rnacentral:lncRNA from 1 species
GAUUGGCCAUCUGAACACAUUUUGCGUUUUUAGGACUUGUUUAUAUAGUUUUGAUACAUUACAUUCUGAUUAGUUGGAUGAAAUAAUCAAACUCAACUUUUUCCUCAUGAAGGAGCUGACAAUUGGGUAGGUGUCCUUGCCAUGGCAAGUGGUGCUCGAGAUGUAGUGUUGAGGUUGUUAUUGGUUGCUCAAAGCUUUGUCAAAUGGCGCUCAAUGAAUUAUCAAAAAUGUCUUCUAUUAAUGGGAUGUGUCUCUAACCAAGCAUUAAUCUUGCCAUACCUAAUCAUGGGUGGUUUUGCAAUUAAUUACUAGACAUCUUUGACUUAUAUUAGUUAGAAAUCAAUGUCACAUGCUUACAAUUGGCCAUCCGAACACAUUUUGUAGGCCUACUAGUUAUUUUUGUUCGAACCCACAUAAUUGGGUAUUGAUAAUACUUUUGCUAAAAAUAAAAAUGUCAAUCAUUCUAUUUUUCAACAUAAUAACAAGCUUAUUUAUAAUAAACUAAUCAUAUUUGUACUAGGACUUCAAUUCCUAUUAGACCUAAAGUCAUAAUUAACAUAUGAAACCUAAAUAAAUAACAAUUCCUAAUAUUUCUCAAAUUUCUAAAAUUCUUUUAAUUUGACUUUAAGUCGGAUUAUAAUUUCAACAAUUUUUAGAGGUGUUGGCCAAGUAAUUAAGGAAAUGGUCCCUGUAAUGCAUCACAAAAUCUAGGUGUCCAACCCAUAAUGAAAAAUGUAAUAGGUUUUUAAAGGCUUGCAUAACUUGGAAGCAUUCUUAUGCAUAAGGUGGUUGGGGUGGUUGUGUAUGACUAAACUCAAAUGAUCAUACUUUGUCUCUAGAGUGAUGUAGGUGCCUAGGCUUACCCAAUCAAAGAGCCUACGCUUAGUUAUACCGAUCUUGGUUAGACCAUCUGGGUUCUACAAGCUCGAUAACUCCAUAAACCAAAAGAAACUAAAAACUUUUAAGCAAUAUUUUAUUGGUUGGAUAUAACAUGAGAUAAGAUAAGAAAUGAGAUAUUAUAUCUUCUCCCAUGUUUAGUUGGUCAUGAGAUAAGAUAAAUUAUCCCAUAAUCUACCAAAUCUUAUGUUCAACCAAAUAUGAGAUAAGUGGUGGAAUAUAAUAUCCACUUUCUUUUUUAUAUCCCUUUUAUAUGAAAUAUGUUAAUUCUAUACUAAGAUGUAGAAUAUGCAUUCUUAUGUAUCAUAAAUAUAAUUUUUUUUUAUCAAUUUUUUUAUAUAUAUUACUUAUUUUGCAAAAUAAAAUUUGUUUGUUAUAAAGUUAAAUUUAUGGUUAAAAUGAAAAACUAAAAAAAUAUUUACAAAAUAUAUUGUUAAAUAAUAUUAAUAUAUGUAUAAUUUAUAUAUAUACAUAUAUAUGUGUGUUUGUGUGUGUUUUAUUUUUAUUUAUUGGAUAACAUUGUAUAUAAUUUUUAUUUAUAAAGUUUAAAUAUUUUGAUUAUAAAUAUAUUGUUAAACGUAAGAGAGAUUUCAUUUUUUAAUAGCAAAUAUUGAAAUAUAAUAUAAUAUUUAUUUUAGCGCUCAAAAAUAAUAUACAUUUCAUAUUAUUUAUUUAUUCAUUUCACAUGCUAGAUAUAAACAUAACAUAACACAACAUAUCACAUUGUUUACGUUACCAUAGAAUAUUAUGUCAAUUGGAUAUAAUAUCUAAGGAUAUCAUAUCAUUUAAUAUGCAUUUCCUAUCCAAUGGGAUAUGAUAUUCUAGGAUAUACAAAUCCUAUUCUAUCUUAUUCCACUAACCAAAUGUAGCUUCAAGGCUUGGGGAGUGUAAGGAAAACCAGAAGAAAAAGCAAAUAAGAGAGCAAAGAUAAAAAAUAGAUGAAAAAAAAGAGGUGAAAAUCAACAUGAAAAGAUAUUUAAACAUAAUGAAUUUUUUCACACAUGAUUCAUUUAGGUGUAUUUCUCUUUUCUUGUUUAUUUAAAAUGAAAAUGUAUUUUUGGAUUAUGAAACUAACCGAGGUCGAUAGGUAGACCAAUAGAAUUUUGGAUUCUAUUGCCAACCUAAUUCUCUCAUAAACAAAUAGUUCUUCAUCAAAUUUACCUAAUGAAAAAUUAACGCACAACUAAAUCAAACCAUAUAUAAUUGCAUAAGAAAACACCAACAUACAGAAUUUGAACCCCUUGGAAAAAUUAUUUACUUUAGGUAAAACCAUUGGCCUUGGCUUGCAAAGAUAAUUUACUAAGUAAUAACAAGAAUUACCAAAUUUUAUAGCCUUCUGUGAUGUUCACAACUUUCGUGAGACCUAGAUUGAUCUGCACUUAUAUGCUAGCUUUUUAUGUUUUUAAGUGUUGCAACCUCUAGUUGCUCCUUGGAGGAAUGUUAUUUUGAACUUAUUGAGACACAAUAAUCCUUUACCAUGGUUUAACACAACUUUAUCUAUCAUUCACAUAUAUGCAUAAACAAAUAAAUGUCACUACUACAAAAAUAAAAAAUAUUGAUAGUCAAUAUUUAGGAAAUUAGGAGACUAUUUUUUAAAAGUGGCGCUUCUUAUUCAUAUAUGUUGACACUUUUAAUGUCAAAUUAAUUUGUUAACAUUGAUGUUUUCUUGAAGGUUCCAAAAUCAUAAGACCUUGACCAAGCCAUCAAUAAUGGAGCUUCUUCAUGGUAAUUACUAACUGCUACACAAAAUUCAAUUUAAUUUAUUUUUUAUUUUUUAUAUAUAAGAAUAGAUGCAUGUGUAUUGAUGUUGAUGAUUGUUAGUUAAUCAAUUAUGGUAGGCAUAAGAGUUUGAUUAAGGCAAUGAUUAACGUGUAUAAAUGAUUUUUUUUUUAAAAUUUUAAUGGGUAAAUUACCCUUUAGGGUGGGCGGGGUAAAAAAAUGACCCAAAAGGAUCAGUAGAUUUGAUAAUUCUUUUGAAGGGUAGACUGAAAAUAUAAUAAUUCCUCCAAAUGCCUUUUUUUUUUAAAUGUCAAGACUACUCUUAAUAAGUCAAAAGCAAUAGCUAAAAAAAAAGUGUUCUUUAACCCAACUGCAACUUAUCUAUAUUGAAGAAGAAAAAAAGCAAAGAGGAAAAAGUUCUAGUACUUCAUGUCAUGAUUUGAAACCGUCUCAACAAAGCUUUUUUUUUUUUUUUUUUUUUUUGUGAAUCUAGCAAGAAAUCCAUUAAAGGUAAGAAUUUUUUUUUUGAAAAAAAUGCCAAAAAAAACAAAAAUACCUCAAUUUAUACAAAAAAAAAGAUUAAAUAAUUUAAAACUUGGAUUGAAGGAACGAAAUGUUAAUAAUUUUAACAAUGUAGAUAUGAAAUAUUAGAUUUGAAAUAUUGAAGGAGGUUUUGAGAAAGAAAUGACAUUUUUUGUGUAAAAUGUUAUGAAAAUUUAUUUAUUUUUGAAUUUUUUUAUAUUAUUUUGAUCAUAUUGAAUAUGUGCUUUUAUUUUUAAUUUAUUUUCCAGGUGAGUUGUUUGAUAUGAUUAUUAUUGAUUUCCAUUGAAAAUGUUUCUACUUUAGUUUUAUUGUUGGGACCGGUUUGACAUGGCAAAGGAAAAAAAAUUUCUCAAUUGUUUCAUGCUUGUUUGGGAUCACUUUGUUUGUGUAUUUAUAAAUGUAUUUGGAUUUUCAUUGAAAAUUGAAAUCACUUUGUAUGGGACCGCUUUGUCUUUUAUUAUGAAUUUGUUAAAGAGUUAAGAUCACUAUAUUUUUAUUAUGAAUUUUUUAUCUUUUUUGUAUGAGUAUUAUACUGGUAUGAUGUGUUGAAUGCCUAGUAAUUUGAAGGUUGUGUAAAAUAACCAUUACUUCAAUUAUAAAGUAUAAAUACAAUACAAAUGCAAUACAGUUACAAUGCAAAAACAUUAACAUUACGAUACAUUACAAUAUACCAAAAUGAUAAAAUAUUGAACUGGUUUUUAGUGAAUUGGCAUUUCUAGGCUAUCAUGUUGUAUUCCUAUCAUGAUCAAUGUUUUGAAGCAACCAUGCAAGCCAAAAUUAUAAAAAGACAACAAAAAUACACUAUUGUAAUUUCAAUACAUGAAGUUGUUGAUGGUAAUCCAAUAAUGUAUAAAAAAACAACUAUAAAAUUAAUUUUUUUAUAAAAAAAAAUACAGAGGUACAAUAAAAAUACACUACAAUUACAAUACAAGUACAAUAACAUUACGAUACAUUAUGAUAAGGUAAAAUUUUGAAAAUUUCAAAUUUCUUAUAAAACUGGGCAGUUGUGGGUUCUUUGGCAUAUCCUUAACAUGUCUAAUAUACAAUAAAUAUUGUUCUUUAUGAUAUAAAAUAUGUCUCAAUUGAUUACAAUUGGCAUUUGUUUAUUUUGUAUUUGUUGUAAAAAUUUCCUUGCUUGUAAUAUUGUAAAAUAGAUUGAUUUGAUUGUCAAUGAAAGAAAACGUACUUCUCCAUUGGUAAAUGGACUUGGGAAAUUCCAUUUAUGGCUAACUUCAUGAAGGAGGGGAGAUUGUACCUAAGGAGGAUAAAUAAAUACAAUACAAAGGUGGGCAACAAAAAGGCAUGUACAUUGGACAAGGGAUGUCAUAUGCUGAUUUUGUUUCAAAGGCAUGUGAACAGUUGGAUAUUAAUCCGAAUGGAUAUACGUUUCAUUGCACCCUUAAGUUUGAUCCAUUUGCACUUCAAUAGUUGGAUGAUGAUGAGGACAUGCAUAUGAUGUUAUCCCAUAGUUAUGAUUAUGAUCAUAUUUAUGUACUAAAACGGGCUCGAAGAAUAGAAGUUGAAGGAGGUAUAGUCAAUGUGCAAAAUGAUUAUUGGUAAGUGAUAUGUGUUGUAUUAGUUGUCAGUAAUUAUUAAUGUCAAUGUGUAAAAGGGAUAACAAGGGGAUAGUGAAGUUUAACUUUGUUAUAUCAUGUUUUACUUUUAGGGGCUCAAUCCUAAUAGUUACUGUACCCAAACACAAAUUUGAAAUUAAUAUUUUAAUAUAAUAGUAAAUUUUGUUCAUAUUUAUAGUUCAUUUCGUUAAGUUACUUUUUUGGGCAACUCACAAAAUUUAGUCAAAUAAGUUGAAAAUUAUUGGACUAUAGUAACACAAAUACUUGAUUUACAGAGAGAUUUUCAAUAUCCAUUCAGCACUCAAACUAACAGGCCAACUAACCAUUUGCCUUCAACAAAUCUACUCCCUCUUGGGAAACCUCAAAUCCCCUCAAAUAUAUGAAUCAAACAAACACACCAUGAACAAUAUGCAAAGUAGAUAAAAUGCACAUAAGAAACAAAUAUACAAGUAAACAACCCCCUCUCUUCUCCCCUUUCCCCUCCCACCCAACAAAAACAAAAAAAAAAAAAAAAAAAAAACUCCUCAAACCCAUUUACUAAAUCCACAAAUAUGAAUAAGUCAAAAUUUAGAGUUUUCUUAUCUGGAGAGGAGAAAUCCACACAAACCCUAAAAAUUUGUUGUCUAUAAUCUAGUUUUAGAGCAAGAGGUAUGAUUUUAGGGCAAAGAGAUGAGAGAACAGAAGUCUUCUUACAAGUAGUGAAAGGAACCUUGAAAAUAUAGGAAAAAACAAUUAUUUAUAAGGAGAUUUUUGGUAUUUUAUAAUAUUGUAAGGGUGAAUUGGUAAUUAUACAUUUAAGACGAGUUACUACCAAAUCCAUAUUCACCCUAAACCGGAUUCAAGUUUAGAAAAACUCCCUAAAUCAAUUCCAUACCCGAUUAGCAUAUUCUCAUGUUCGUCCUAAUAAGAGCGAGGCGGGGUGGGUUACCCAAUUAACCCGUGAAACUAUCAUCCCUACACUCAUAAGGUAUACGAUAACUAUACUUUAAUUCCUCAAGUUUCUAAAAUUACACCAAUACCCUCUUUUAAGAAAUCCAACUUUCUUUUAUUUUCUUAAGAGCCAAACAUGUCUUGAAAAUUAAAAUCUCAAAACAUGACUUGAUCUCACUUUGGUCAAAGGAAGAAGGAUCUAAAUUUAAAAAUCUAUGUUAGAAUAAGUACUAGAAGCCAAAGAGAAGGUAAUUUUAUUUAAAUUGAUUGAUUGAUUGAUAAUUUUGAGAUAAUUUUAUCUUUUAGUUGUUUUAAGUAAGGAAUAUAGUAUAAUCUUUGUCAAUUCAUCAAAUGCAAAAUGUUAAAUUUUGUGAGGUUGUGUAGUUGUGCUAUAGGAUCUAUUACAAGGUAAUUGAAAAUGACCUGAAUUAAGUUUAGAUGAUUGAUCAAUGCAAUUGAGAUUGAUAAUUUGACAAUAAAAUUGAUCUAAAUUUAAAACUAAAUCAUAUAUAAGUUUAGACGAGAUUUUAUGGUCUUUAACUUAAUUUGAUAAAGUAUAUCCUGAUGAUAUUUUCACCAUAGAUAAUAAUCUCUAGUGAAUUUCAAAUCUAACAGUUAUUUUAUUUGGUAAAUCAAUUCAUCUAUGAUUUUUUAACAUUUCACUUAUGGACAUCUUCAUUUCAAUUCACACCAUUUUCUUUCUUGAUCACAAAAUACAUUUACCAUCCAUUAGAGGACACUUAAAUCCACCAUAUGGUUGUAGCCUUUCAUAUUGAAAAUUCUUUUGAUUGAACAACUUGUUAUAUUAGAAACAAUGUUCUUAGUCCACCCUUGCAAUUGAAAUGACAUAUCUAUGAAGUGAAAUUAAUAAUUUUGGAAGCGAAGUAUAUAAUUGCAGGAAAAUGAAUUAUAUUGAUUUUAUGAACAUAAUAUUUAUUCGUAGUUUCUACAACUUAUAUUUCUAACUUAUUCAUUUCCUUGUUAUAUUAAAUAAAAUAUAACAUAAAUAAAUUUUAAUUUUCAAAUUCUAGCUAUAUGAUCAUGCACAUGAAAUAAAUAUUUUUAAAAUUUAUUUUCCUUAAGACAAAAUUUUAUUUCACUAAUUUAUUUUAUUAAUUUAGUAAAAUUUUUUUUUUUAUCUAUUCAUUAUGGUAAAUAAUUUUUUAUAUAAAUAAUUGAUUUUAAGAAACCAUUUUUAUGUGUAUUAGUUAUGAUAUAUAUUUUUUAAAAUUUGUUUUUUUAAUUAACACAUUAUUUUUUUUUUGCUUUUUUUCUUCUUUAACAAAGUCGUUAGUGGUAAUUAUAAACUAAUAUUUUUAUCUAAUCUUCAUUACAAAUAAAUUUUUUAGUAAAAAAAUUUAUAUGAAUAUAUUUUUAGUAAAUAAAUCUUUUAUGAAUGAUAAUAUUAUGAAAUAAAUAUUUAUUUUAAAUAUGUUUUCUUGAACUAAUCAAAUCUUAUACAUUUUUAGUGGAGUGAUUUUAAAAAAGGCCCUGGAAUAUGAAAUUUAAUUAUGUCGAAUUUGAAUAUAUUUUCAAAGUAUUCCCAAAACAGCAAAAUAACAAAGAAAUAAAAAACAUUAAAAUUGAAAAGAAAAAAAAGAAAAGAUAGAGACGCUACCUCAUGCAAACAAUUAAAUCCACGUGUACAAAUACUGUAGCGUUGUGACGACGUGUCCUUUCCUCCCACAUAUCAACCCCUUUUUAUCUCUACAAUCUCUCUGUUUAUCUCCCUCAGUCGCCAAUCGCCAUGGCCACCGCCACUCCAAACCUUCUCCAACCUCCUAACUUUACAUGCGUCAAAUCCCUAUCCGAAUCUUCUGCUCUCACCUCCAUCCCUUCCACCUACACCUUCACCACUGAUCCCAAUCAACUCCUCGCUUUUGAGCCACAGCACUCCAUCCCCAUCAUCGACUUCUCCUUACUCACUUCUGGUGAUCCUGAUCAACGCUCCAGAGCCAUCCAGGACCUUGACCAAGCCUGUCUGGAAUGGGGCUUCUUCAUGGUAAUCGCCACAUGGAAUUCAAUUGAAUUUUAAUGUUUUGUGUGUGAUAGUAGAUGCAUCAUGUAUGUGUAUUGAUGUUGAUGUGUUGCUAGUUGAUCAAUCACGGUGUGCCGGAGAGUCUGAUGACGGGGAUGAUUGAGGCGUGUAGAGGGUUCUUUGAUCUGACGGAGGAGGAGAAGCGUGAGUUUCAGGGGACCCACGUUUUGUCUCCGAUCAGGUGCGGCACAAGCUUCAAUGCUAGGGUGGACCAGAUUUUGUUCUGGAGGGAUUUUCUGAAGGUCUUCGUGCAUCCACAGUUCCACUCUCCCAGCAAACCAGCGGGCUUCAGGUACCACCACUUUCUCCCACUCUAAUCACAAUUAUCAGUACAUAAUAUUAUUUUAUUCUUAUAGAUUAGAGAAAAUGUCAUAUCAUCUACAUUAAAUUGAUUUUUUUAAUUAAAAAAAGAGUACAAAAUGGAACCGAUGAUAUCAAUAUCAUGAACGGUGGGUGGAGAGUCCCAGUCUUUGGAUGGAGACAUGGCCAACAAGUGGCGGGAUUAUCAUGGGCAAUACAUUAUUAAAAUGGUUAAAUAUACUUUGCCCACAUUUUAUCCAAAUCCAACACUUUACCCUCUCAAACUUAUUAAAGAGUAACACUUUACCUCUAAUUACUGACUCCAUAAAAUUAUAAAAGAAAGUAUUCUUUUUUGCACUCUAAUUUAAACACUGAUUCAGAUUUUUAAGUAAAAUCGACUUUGAAUUAACAAUUUUAAAGUGAAAUUUCUUGAAAUAACAUCCACCUAAACAUGCAUGUUGUUCAAGAAAUAGUUCAUAUUGGUUAGCAGUUGACACAAAUUUCUUGAGAGGCCAAUCUCUGAACGUUAGUUUUUUACUUUUCCAUUAGAUCUCCAUAAAAUAAAGCAUGUUGUCUAUUUUCUGAUGGUAGGAAGUAGAAGGUGUAUAAAUUUGCCAAAACUAUGUACCCUUAGUCUUUGGUUUUAAAAAAUUUGAGGAAAAAUGGAAGGAAACGUAGAAAGAAUUGAAUAAAAAAUAAAUUUAAAACUAAUAAAUUUAUUUUUAUAUAUUAUUUUAAAAAUAGAUUUAAAAAUUAAAUAAUUUGAAAGUUAAUAAGUUUUUAACUAAUUUUACUUAUUUUUUUAUUUUUUAUUAUUAUUUUUCAUAAUAAAACACGAUAAAAUCAUUACCACUUUCCCAUAAUCAAACGUAUUCUUACUGUUUAGUAAGAAUAUUUUCAAUUUUUGUGCAUUGAGUGAUGAGAGAAGAUCGGUUGCUAGGACUCACUAAGUGAUUCAUGCUAUUCAUUAAUAAAACCGAAUGUUAAUACUUGCUUAUUUCAUGAAUUUGGGUCCAUCUAGAAUUACAUAGUAGCUACUUACUUUAAUUUUUCAUAAGUUCCAAUCACAUGAGAUAGCAGAAUAGCUAAAAAGUUUUGUUUUGCUUCUUGUUGCUGCCACUGCAGUGAGGUUUGUCUAGAAUAUACACAAAGAAUGAGAAAAGUGGCUGGAGAAUUACUUAAAGGGAUAUCGAAGAGCUUGGGAUUGGAAGAGUGGUAUAUAGACAAGACCAUGAAUAUGGAUUCGGGUUUACAAAUCCUCACUGUCACUAUCCACCCUGUCCUCAGCCAGAGUAUGCAAUGGGAAUGCCGCCUCAUUCAGACCACAGCUUCUUGACCAUCCUCAUACAGAAUGGGAUUGGUGGGCUUCAGGUGCAGCACAAAGGACAAUGGUUCGAUGUGAAUCCAAUCCCCAACUCCAUUUUGGUUAACACAGGCGACCAUCUUGAGGUACCUUCCUACCUUGCUUAUUCUGUUGUUCUAUUUAGAGAUUGGUUCUCCUAUUUGGUUUUUUUGACAAAAAAUAACAUAUUCUUUGGUGUUUUAUUUUUAAAAUCAAUGAUUAUGUUAUUGAAGAAAGAGAAAAAUAAAAAAUAAAAAAGUGCAAGAGGGUAGCUAGCUUUACUCUUCCAUUUUUUUACUUAAGGCUAUAUUUAGUUUACAGGAUAUAAUAUAGGAUAUGACUUAUUGAUAUUAUAAAUGAUAGGAUAUAUUAUCCAAUUUUAUUUAUUUUUUAUUUUUUUAUCACCUCAUGAAAUAUGAUAAUCUUAAGUUGAAAUACGAGUAAUAAAUAACCAUCUAUUAUAAAUGUGUUUUUCUUAUACAUUUUCUUCAAUUUUUUCUAUUUUAUAUAUUAUACAUUUUGUCAAAAGAGUAAAUUUUAAUUGAAAAAUUAAAUUUGUAGUUUUAAAAAAGAAAUAAAAAUAUGUACAAAAAAUAUAUUAUAAAAUAAUAUAUAUAUAUAUAUAUAUAUAGAUAUAUUUUUUUAUUUAUAAAUUAUAAAUAUUUUAAUUAUGAAUGUUAUUAAAAAAUAAAAUACUUAUUAAACUAUAAAUUAUAAAACAAUCAAAUAAUAUUAAUUAUUUGGGAGAUUUCCUACUUUUCUAAUAGCAAAUAUUAUGUAAUAUAAUUUUUAUUUUAAAGAAAUAUUAAACAUUAAAAUGUAAGAUGCUUUUAGCUCCAUUAUUUAUUCUUUUUAUAAAUCAAUAUCUCCUAUACUCAAUUGUUUAUAAUGUUUAAGUUUAUAUUAAUAUUUAAAGAUAUUAUACUCCACUAGAAAUGAUAUCCGAAAUAUAGAUAUCUUAUAUAGUGGGAUAUAAUAUUUUAUGAUAUAAAUGUCUCAUUCAAUUAUAUAACCAAUCAAAUAUAGUCUUAUUACACAUAAAUUACCUUACAAUUAUAUUUAAAUAAUAAUAUUAUAUGUGAGAUAUAAAAAUAAAAUAUUUUAAUACCAUUAAAAUUAAUGAGGAAAGAGAAAAUAAGAUGGUAAAUAUCUCUUUUAGGCCAAUUUUGUUUUGCGAGAUGCAAUAUUCUAUAAGAUAAUUGGGUAGGAUAACUUAUGAAACUUUUUUCGCAAAUUGAAUCGUGGACCUUGAGCACAAAAGAUGAGGUUGUGACUAAUGUGCCUGCUUAUUUCUUAAAAGUUGCAAAUUACAAAAAAUAAGUAAGAUAAUGUCAUAUUUAAAAAAAAUAUAUGAAAUAAUAGGAUAUAUAUCUUUUUUUCUUUUAAUAUAUAAGGAAAUUUCUUCUAUUUCACAUUUAAAUACUAUAUAUAUUCUAUUUAAUACAAUUCAAAAUAUUCAUACAUUUAUAUUUAUCUAUGAUUUAAGUUGAUUACAUCAAAGAUGAAAAAUAAAUAUUAUUUCUUUUAAUAUAUAUUUAAAAUUUUAUAAUUAAUUUAAUUUUAAUAAUAUAUAUAAAUUAUAUAUUUAUGACAUCAUCGAUUUGACCAUAGUUUAACGGUUGGUCCGACUAUUGAAUUGUGAAUCGAUAAUGUUUCCGGUGUAAUAAUUGGUCCGGUUCUAAAAACAUUGUAUAGAUAUAUAUUUAUUUCAAAAACCCUUGUUCUUGCAUCUUAACUAAUUUCUUUUAACACAAGUUUUAAAUAUUUUUUUGUUUUCUAUUUAAGAAUUGGAGUGAGCAUCAUUUUUCUUAAUUUUUAUUUCAAUAAAUCCAUUAUUUUUAUGCAAGGUUUUGAGCAAUGGUAAGUACAAGAGUGUUUUGCAUCGAGCGGUGGUGAACAACAAAACCACUAGGAUAUCAUUGGCUCUUUCAAAUGGACCAUCGCUAGACACAGUCGUUGAACCAGUACCAGAGCUAAGUCAUCCAUUGAAAUAUGUUGGAAUGGCAUAUAAAGAAUACUUGGAACUUCAACAAGGAAACAAACUUGAUGGGAAAACCUGCUUGGAUCGAGUCCGAAUCAGAACAAUGUGAACUUCAUCCCCAUGCCUUGCAUUUGAGAAUAUUGGUAAUAUCAAUACUCAAAAAAUUUAAAAUGUUCUUAGAACAUGGAUAAUAUGUAAAUGCUAGGAAUUGCUAAGGAACAUUUAUGCUUUUAUUUAUUAAUGUUAUGGUGGAUGUUUUUGUGUGAUUUGAGAGAAUAAUUAAUGAAAUAAUUUCUAUCUUCUAUUUUAUUACCAUAGGCUUGAUAGAGUUCAUGGUUAAAGCACUAAUUUUCUAGCAAACUUGAAAAUUUAAUCAGUUAGGGGGUGUUUGGUAAAGUUUGACACUUAUUACUUAAUGACUUAAGUUGACUUUAAGUUAAAUUAUACUUAUGUUGUUGACUUAAAACUUAUUAUUUAAUUCUUACUUUAAAUAUUAAGUUUGUUUAAUAAGACACAAAAAAAUCACUUCUUAAAUAUGUUCAUAUAUGUAAUAUAGAAAUAUAUAAUAAAUGGGAAAAUGGGUAAGGGACAAGAAAAUAAAAUAUCACAAUAAAUAGGUCAUGAUAUAAACAUCAAUAAAUACGAAAAGACUUGACAGGGUUGAAAAUAUUAACCAGUGUCUUUUCUUCAUCAUAGCAAAACUUAGAUUCUCCUUAUUGCAUCUCAUCUCUUUUGCUCACUGAAACCCCAUUACAUAUGAUCCAUUCUCAUUGAUAGCCUACAAAACAAAUAUAAAAAAACACCAAAACAUAUAUCAUUAUCUAAGUUCCCUUAUUAGUUUCCUUUGUUUUUUUAAUAAAAUUUUAUAAUUUGUAAAUUUAUGAAAGUAAAAUAUCAUUGUCCAAUAGUUAAGGAGCCUCAAUUAAAAGGUUUUUUUUCCAUAUAUAUAUAUAUAUAUAUAUAUAUAUAUAUAUAUAUAUAUUUGUAUAAAUAGAACAUAAUGUUAUUUAUUUAAGGUAUAGUUUCUACUUUUUUUUAAAUUUAAAAAAAUUAUUUCUACUUUCAAUUCAUAAAUUUGUUUAAUGGUUAGGUACACCAAAGCUUGUAUUGAAUAGUUUUUAUAUAUAUAUUAAGAUAAAAUUAUUAAAUAGUUUGUUUAAUGGUUAUAUAUAUAUAAAGAUAAAAUUUUCUCAUAAAAUAUUUGUAGUCUUUGUGCGUAAACUUAGUAACUAUUUUUUAUCAAUAUUGAAUAAUUUUAACUUUCCAAGUUAUGCAAACCACUUUCUUAUUUUAAUAAAAAUUGAAAUGCCAAAAACAAUUCUCCUGUGGCAAAAAAAAAAAAAAAAAAAAAAUUAAAGAAAAAUUCUCUUUCCAUUCACGCACCUUGGAAAUUUUCUUAUAACAUGUUGAGUCACAUAACCCUUCUCAACUCAAGAGAGAAAUAUGGGUUGUUUUAGUUCUAAGGUUGCUUCCUCUAGUAUAAUCUUCAACCUUUUUUUAUUAUCACUGGUUUGUGGUUUUUUCUGUUACUUUUAAAUUUAUUCUAAUUUUUUUGAAAGGUAACAUUAGUAUUCACCUUUUUUUUUUUUCUACAGAGAAUAAAGAAGUGAAAAAUAGAGUAUUUAGAAGGGGGUGAAAAGUGAAUGAUCCAUAGAGAAUUUGGAGUAUUCAACCACUUUGGCAAUGGAAUAUGAUAAUGAUAUGAGGUGGAGGGCCAAACAAAAUAACAAAAGCAAGCUAAACAAAUUAAAAAGACAUAUUAGAAGUCAUCAGCAAAGGCGGACUUCAUCUCAAUUUCUUGUGCAAAAACACAAGAACAAAGAAAAAGACAAUUUAAAAAAUCAAAAGUCUUACCAAUUGAAUGCAGAAAUUACAACUCCAGCCCAAAGCGGCAAAAAACCCAUGACUAAGAAUUAGCUCCUAGAUAUUAGCCCUAAUUUGGGCAAAAACCCAUGACAAAAACGACCCAUGUGAUACUCUUUCAUUACAAAUCUGAGCAAGAUAAUAGCCCAUGCCCACCCCAACCCUUGCUAAUAAUAACUGGAUCAAGAACCCCAUAGCCAUUACCCACAUCAAUACCCAUAACAAUGAAUAUCCUACAUUGACUCCAGCCUCAAGAUCCCCUUCUAGGUUUCCAGGGUUAAGAAAUGUAGUACUCAUCCAUGAAUAGCCAUAACUUCUUCCACCAGAAGGACGAAGUCAGAAAAACAUCAAGAGAAUCUAGGGUUUCAUAAUCGAUAUCAAGACUAAAGUUUUCUCUCUAUGAUGGAAAUGAUAAUGGUGACAAAGGAAAUUUUGGGAAAGUAUUCAGAAGAAUUUAUUUGAUGGAUGAGAGAUCCUAUUCGGUUUUGUACACAAGUUUAUUUGGUAUGAGCAUUUGGGGGGUUUGAAAUGGCAUAGGAAUGUUUGGUGGAUGAGAGAUUGUGGAAGGGGAAAUAUUGUAGGGAGGUAUAUUUAUACCUAUAAUUCAAUGAUACUUGUCUAAAGUGCCAAAGUUAUGGGAUUAAUGUUAUCACGCUUUGAAUAAGCGCCAUUAUGUAGCGAAUAAUAUUUAAAUAAGCCUUAUCAAACGAUGAUGCUUCUAAUAAGCGCCAUGGAUUGAAAAAUACUAUAGUAAACAGUGAUGCUUCCAAUAAGCGACAUUGAAUCUCAUAUUAUAAUCUAAAUAAUGAUGUUUUUUAAAAGUGUCAAGGAAUCAAGCAUCACUACAAGAAAAAUGAGAUACAAUGACGCUUUUUACGUGUCAAGAAAUGUAGAAGAUGACGCUUCUCUAAAGCGUUGUCUUCUGGCCUGUCAUUGUAUGUUUUAACCAACAAUGACGCUUUUAGGAAGCGCCAUCUUUGAUGAAUACCUUUAAUGACAUUUAAAAAAGUGUCAUCUUUGAAUAACAUUAACAAUGACCCUUGUAAAACCAGUCAUCUUUGAACAUUUUCUAGAGAAAUAUUUUUUAUAAAAUUGAUUAUCUUGACACUUUAUAAGAGUGUCAUCGUUAAUAUAUUUUAUCAAUGACACUUUCAAAAGUGUCAUCUUUGAUUUAUGUUAACAAUGACACUUAAUAGAAACACCAUUUUUGAACAUUUCUUAUUAAAAAUAAUAUUUGUAUUCUGUUGUUAAAAUAAUGAUUUCAUAUAUAAUUAAAUAAAAAGAAAAAACAAACCCCCCAAAAUUAAAUUGAAUUUUACUAAUGAAAAUAUCUUGAAAUAUUAAUAUACAAUAACUUAGUUCAAACCAUCAAUGUAACUAUUUAUAUACAAUAAUUAUAUACAAAUCUGUUAAUUAAAUCAAAAUAUUUCAAGAACAAUAUCUAAUUCUUUCAACAAAAGAACAAAUAUUUAGUGCAACUAUUAACAUCUAUAUUAUAUAAAAAAUAUAGUUCAGCCUCCAAAUGACUUUAUUGAUGUAAUCUUCAUAGUUUUCGACAUCACCUCCUUUAACAUAAUGAUUUCUCUUCUUUUGGCAAAUCAAUUUUCUUCGCAACCUGUAAACAAAUACAGGAAAAAAAAACCUCUAAAUUGUACAUGUAACAACCAAUAAAUGCAAUUGAAACUAUAUGUAACUUUCACAAAAAUCUGAAGGAGAAAAACAUUAAACAAAUAUAAAAUGAAAUGUAGAAAAUUUUGAGAAAAAUAAACAUGAGUUAGAGAAAAAUAGUUAGAACUUAUCACUUAAAGAUAAAAUGUCUUUCACUGAUUGAACAAAGAAACUUUGUAAUAAAAUAGUGUUUCAUUAGUAUAAAAAAAAAAAUAUAUUCAAAAGUAAUAUAUUUCUAAAUAUGAUAUAACAUCAAAAAGUUAAAAAUAAUGAUUCAUGGUACCCCAAAACAAUAAGAGGAUAAAUGAAACAUGAUAUAAACGACUAACCCAAAAUAAAUGUUCUACAAGCAAAGUAGUGAACAUAAAAAAUUGAAAUAUACAAAGAAAAUACCAAAGGAAUACAAGACUAGGGGAGUUCCUUCUCUAAAACUUUAAAAGCUAUAAAUAAUGGGGAAAAUAAAGAAAAGAGAUGUAAAUUUUCCUUACCAUUAAUUAUUUUCAUGUUAUAUUUUCUUAGAAAUUUUCAAACCUAGAUAGAAAAUUUCUUUCAUUAAUUUUUUUAUAGGUUGCUUUCUUAUAGAAGUAAAAUUUCCCAUUCAAUCAUCACUCAUCUUUCUUUAUUGAUCAAAUGGAAAAAUGGAAGAAGAGACACAUAUAUGUAGAAUCAGGCUAUAUAUUUUAAUGUAUAAAGACCAAUUAUUAAUAUUAAUAAUACUUCUUAUUUCUAAAAGGAAAAGAACAAAAAUGAAAAAUGGUUGCAUUUUUUUAAUAUACAUAUGCAUAUUCUAUAGGAUGGUGUUGAAGAGCAAGACUUUGAAGAUUGCGUUAACAAUCUUAACAUGAAUACAUUUAGUCCCCUCAUCUUUAAAUGAUUUUUAUAUUUUAUCCUUUCCAUCAUGUUCCGGUCCACCUAAUAGGGUCUUAAGAAUGUUGUGUUAUAUUUUCAUCCCACUAAUUCUCUUAUUUGGUUUAAGAAUUUGAAUUUGAGAAUCUAUUUUCACCCCAAAUCCAUCAUGUUGAUAUAUUAUUAUAACCAAUAUGUAGUUUAUUUAAGCCUAGCUACAAACAAAUAAAACUAAUUAUAAUUAGGUAAGGUACAUGAAGGUGGUAGUGGCUGGCUAACAAUGGAUUGGUUUGAACUCACCACAAACUAAGUUAGUUGUGGUGAAUGUUGACCUUCAUUGGGGAGGGGGGAGGGGCAAUAUAAUAAAAUAUCUAGCCUUCAUCAAGGGUAUGAGCAAGAGGUUAGAGAAAGUAAUUACAAGAUUUAUGGUACAAUUACCUACCAAUAGAAUUUUUUGUUUGCGAAUGCCCAUAUUAGAAUUUGCUUAAGAUAAUGCAUUUGAGUUAACAUAUAGUGGGUUCACAAAAUUAUCCACCUCAUGACCAAAUUGUUGAUGGCAAUCAAAACCACUCUUUACAAGAUUAUUCAAGGCAUAGAAUAUAAGAAUGAUUCCUACUUUCAUUCAAAUUAGGAUUCCUAUCUACAUGAGUAAAAUUAAGAUUUCUAUUUUUAUCAAUAUUAGCUUUCUACUAAUUAGUUUCAAUUCUUAGCUCUUUAGCUUGUUGUUUCAACUAUGUCAUAAUUUUAUUACUUGUUGGACUAGUGAUUUAUUUCUAUUAGGCUUUUUUGAAUUGUUUAUCAAUAAGACUAAUUAUAAUAAUGGAAGGAUCAAUUGUUACAUCAUUAUCCACCAUGCCAUUCCGAAGGACAGACAUGCAUAUAUGCAUAUAAAUAAAUAAAGUUAGGGUUAUAAAAAUGGAAGAUAAACCUUAACUUCAAAUAAAAUUACCAAAGUUUGGACAACUUUCUGGAUGUUCAGGUUUUUACUAGGAAGCAUGACAUUGCCUUGCACAAGUAUUUUUUAUGAGAGGAAAUAAACAUAAAAAAAUGUGUUUCCAUAAAAUUUUUUGAGACUCCAAAAUAAUUUCUGAAAAUAGGUUUCUGAAAUUUGAACACAAAUAGAAAAAAAAAAACUAAAAUCAAAACUAAUAAAUCAAUAGUAGGACAUUAUAAAGAAGAUAUUAAAUUGAAAUUCUAGGGGAUUGAGAGUAUGUUUCUUGAAGUAAUUAAAAACAAAAACAACAUGCAAGAAUUCUGAGAAUCAAUUGAACUAACAAAUAAGGACCACUACAUUCCAAAUAAUAGGUGUUGCUAUCACCUUCACAAUCCUAUUAAAUAAAUAUAAAAAAUGUAUUUCCAUAAAUUUAAAUUGAUUGUAAAUUAGUUUAAUAAUUUACUAUGAUUUUAAUGAUUUAGUUAAGUUAUUGAAUAUAUUAAGUAUAUUUGGUUAAAAAAAUAAUAUUAUCAUUUAAAAAUAACUUUAAUCAAUCAUUUAACAUAAUCAAACUUAAAAUUAAAUAAUUAAGUAUUCGUCUUAUGUUUUUUCCAAAUGCCAUAUGAUUAUAAAUCAACAUUGUUCGAUAAAAUUUGUGUUGGAAUCUCUCUUGGUUGGAAAAGUGAUGAAAAGUACGAUUCGUAGUUAGGUAAUUACUUGGUUGUAAAUAAAUAAAUAAAUAAAUAGUUGUUGUGAGAUUUUAUAUGAAUAGUAAGGAAAAUAUAAUAAAUAAUACAAAUUUAAUUUAAUUGGUCACAAAGAUAAAAAAAAUAUAAUAUAAUAAUUUUUUUUUUGAGAAUGUAUACAUUUUUGGAGUAAGAAAAAAAAUAGAAUUUAAUAUAAUUUUUUAUUUAUAUCUUUCUGUUCUUCUCUAUUUUCAACUUCAUGUUUUCUUUCUCUUUAUUCUUAUCCUCAAAUUUUCUAUGAACCAAAUCUAAGCAUAAAAGUUUGUCAUAUAUAUAGAUAAAAGUUUAAUAUUGUAAUCCUAAUAAAUUUACAAUAAAGAUGGGUUAGAAAUUAUUGUAAAAACCUGAGAGAUGAAAAAAAUAUUAUUGACUUAACUAAUAACAUAAAUGUUAUAAUUUUGCUUUUAUUUAGCUCAAUUGCCUUCCUUUUUGGUGCAGUUGUGAUUAGAAAAAAUAGUAUAAUUGUUUAAACAAUAUGUAAAAGAUAAUUAAUUAUUAGUAUAAAUAUAUUCUAUUAAUUAGAAAGUUGAUUUAACACUACAAGCAACAAUUCAUCUUUAUGUGAAUUAGAAUUAAAAAAAAAAAGAACAAAGAAAGAGGAAAAAAAGCUAUUUUCUAAUGCUACUUAUCAUCAAUAGCAUGAUUGGACGCAAUAAUUCUUUGUUGGUAGCGACGAGAACUAGAGUCUUAUUUCUCUAAAUACUAUGUAUCACUAAUAACAUGAGUUUUGUUUGUUGCUGGAAGGUAAGAUGGAGUGAUUUCCUCAUCCAGAUAUUAUUUUGGAGUCACAUUCUUCAUUAGCAACUUUGCUUUCUUUGCUUUUUUUUUUUUCACUCACAUUCAUCAUUAUUUCUCAAGAUAACUACUCUUCCAGUACCUUAGUCACAACUAGGGUAAAUGCAUCUUAGCCCUUUGUACACAACUAGGGAAGUCUUAUCUUUUAAAGUUGGUCUAGAUAGGUUUCACCUCACUCUAUAUAUAAAAGAACAUAGUCAAACUUUGUUUAGUAUAUUCACUAUUGAACACUAUGACCUAUUAUAAAGAACAUAGUUAAACUUUGUUGCUUGAAACCAACUCUCAAUUUUCCCUCUGACCAAACACCACUAUAACACCCACAAAUAAAAAAAUAAAAAAAUGUAGUUCCAGAAUUUUCUUUUUUAAAAAUAGCAAAACUUGUUUCUAAAAAGGAAUAAAGGAAAAAAAAAACGUAAUACCCAAAACACAAAAGGAUGGGAAUUUCCAAUCCAUGCAAUUAUAUUUGUAAAGAAAUAAGUAAAUUCAUUAGUAUAAUUUUUCAAGAGAGAUUAUAGUUAUAGAUUCUUUUAACAAAGGUAUGAUUUCUAAAUCAUUGGCUUGCCUAUCAUCAAUAUUGGUCCAAUAUGAAAAUUCAAUGUGUCAUUGAGAAAUACAACUCUAAUUAAGCUCACAGUGGAACAAAAAUAGAAAUGAUGAGCUUACUAUAAAAUCAUCUUCAGCAUGCUCUUUUCCCUUGUACACUCUAGUGAUCUUCUCAAAUAUGCAAUCAAUGGUAGGUUAGUGAUGAAGCGAACAAUGGAAGAUUUAAAAUGAUGACAGCUAAGGUAAAUCAUGUGAUAUAUCCAUGAAUUGAUUAUCUAUUGUACUUCAUCCAACAAUGGUCCAAGAAGAACUGUAAAAGCAACUUGCAGUAUAUGGUAAUAACUUUUUUUCCAUUUCCCAUUAAUUAUAAGUCAGGGAUGAGUUAAGGCUCUAAGAGGAUCAUGCAUUCUUGUUCUUCAGAGUUAAUGGGGUUUGUACCAUUUGGCCUAAAGAUGUAUGCUCCAGAGGCCUUUAAUAAAAAUGUAUUUCUUCUAAUAUCUUAAGAUAUGAUUAGUAAAUGAUAGAACAAUACCAUCAAAUUAAAAGAAAAGUUGUACCUAAGGACUUACUUUCGUGUUCCACAGAUGCAUUGAUCUUCAAAUUUCCACACCUACCAAAAAUGCAUCAUUUAUCAAAAAAUGCAUCUCAAGAUGCAAAAAAGAAAAGGAAAACUCUUAUUUAGACAAAAAAAAAAGACGAAAAAGUGAGCUUUUAGCUAAAAAGAAAACAAUCUAUGAUUUAAUCCUCUGUUCUUAGAAUAAAUAAGUUUCAGAUUUCUCAACACUACUUCAAUACUAGUUACAGAUGCAUUUGACUAGAAUAAAAAAGUUUUAGAUUUCUCAACACUACUUUAAGUGUACUAGCUACAAAUGCAUUUAACUUGAAUAAUAUUUGCGUCAGAUUUUUAUGCUACUAUAAGUUUCAGAUUGAGGGCAUUCAUGAAAAAAUAUAGAAUCUCUCCCAGAAACCACAUUCAAAAGCUUAAUCCUGGGAAAAGAGAUAGGAGAUAUGCCUCUAAAGGGUCAAGCUGUAUUAUCUGUAACUACAAAAUGAGGCAUGGCCCUAAUCAACAUCUUCACUUUCAUCAGACACCUUGUUUGAACUUUGAACUAAGAACAGUUCAGAAUUUAAAUUAUAUGAUAGUGCAAGUUGAAGCAUAGCAGAUGAAAAACUCUGGUUUUUUUUUUUUUCUUAAUUAAAGUUUUCGGUUUUGGUAAAAUGAUAUGUGUGAGUCUCUCAAAUAAAGAUAGCAAAAACCAGCAACCAACAUGACAUGGCCCAUAUGGAAUCUGGAGUUAGGGACAGAAAGCUCCACAUCAAGCACAACUUGACUUAAUUAUUGAGGUUGAGCUCUUACCUGUCACUUAAUGGUGCCAUGACUUGCCGCUAUGAAACUUGUGAGCUUGAUCCCAAGCUUAAUCUACCAAAAAUAAGUAAAUAAAAAUAAUGAGAAUGAGAAUGAUCCAUGAGUUAGAUGGCAUAAAAAUGUGGUUCACGGCAUAGAUUGAUAUAUGAUUUAGAACUCAGCUAAGAAUUAUUAUACAAUAUCAUGGUAAUGUUUGUUGGAAUCACUGACAUUUGUCGAUGACUCACAGUGAUUUCUCUUAACAGAGGAUCUUCUUAGAUAAAUAUUCAUGUAAGUGACAUUGGUGCGCAAUAUUAGCAAGUUGCAAAUUUACAUGAGACUAGUCAUAUUUACUAUGCUUUUGUAUUAUUAGUGGAUAAAAUCAUAUCCUGGGCUUGCUCAUCCUUUUUAAAAUCAUGAAAGCAGGCAUGCAGAGACUUGUCUUUUUUAAAACUCUUGAUAGCAACAGGUUCAUGAAUGGCAAAGAGUAAAGGCAGGAGUAAGGGGUUAUUGGCGUGGGUGUGAUCAUAACCAGAUUUUGUGCCCUAGAAAAAGCUCAUAGUAUUCAAAUUAUGUGAUCUUACAGGCAAUCUGAGAACUCAAAGCUCACUUGAAACUAAAGCACAACAGCACCUAACAACUUUAUCCUACUUUUAACUGCUUCAAACUGUGUCCACCAGCUUAGCAGUUGCAACUGUUCACAUGCAGAAGAGCAUCACCUUCCUUCCUCUUCCCUCUUUUUCUCUUUUUCUCUUCUCCCAAAGAAACAAAUACAGGGAGAAAGAAUCAACUUUGUGAAAAAUACUGGUCAAAAGGAGAAACAACAAGAGGGGUUUGUCCAAAAGAGAUAUAUGAAAGAACAAACUUGAUAAGUCUCUGUUUUGCGUCAGAUUUUUUCAAGGUAAAGAAAUUAUAUGGCUGACCUAUUCAAUUGGUGCUUGAGAUGACAUAAGUGCUCUCGAUCCCUUUCCUUAGUACUCCCAGCCACCAAACCAAAUCUGUGAACGUUACCAAACACAUACCCCUAAACUAGUCAGAUCUAUAACACAAUGAAAUGCAGUAUUCGAAAUUCACCGUACAAGAAUAGAUCCAACAAUAAAACAAAAUUAAAACUCAAUAUCUCAACAUGAAAAGAGGAAAUGGUUACCCAUGUUCAAGAGGAUUCAUGUGUAGGUGAUUGGCAGCGAGAAGGUUAAGCUUCUGGCACUCCUUGUUGAGAAUGAUAAUGAUCUUGGUGCGAAGGUAGUGGUGGUGGAUUUUUGGGAGUCUCUAAUGGGUUAGGGCUUCAUUGAUUGGUUUCUAAAUAUUUCCAAUAAAGUUUUUGAGUAAUGGUUGGUCGUCACCAAUUUGUUGCUGGUGGUCACUAGUUGGCUUUUGGUGGUCGCCGAUGUGUUCAUCGAUGAAAUUGCCGGUAGGUAGCUUUCCUAUACAAAUGGGGGUUUAUUGAUUUGAGAUGGGUUCGUGAAAAUGAGAUGUUAGUGGAGGGAAAUUAUGGCCAGUAUAUAUAUAAUGGCCGGGAGAUAAUGACCCUUAGAACAAGUGCCAAGGAAUCCAGUUAUGCAUACAGAGGAGACAAUGACACUCGUAACAAGCGCCAAGGUUGUUCUUAUUUUACAAUGACACGUUUUCAAGUGCCAUCUUAUUAAAAGUGUCAUUAUUUUAUAUACAUAAACGCCAAUGUUAAUCAAAUUUCUUCAAACGCCAAUGUAAAUAUCCAAGAAGCGUCAUUGUUUAGAAAGCGCCAUUAUUGAUCUAAUUCAUUGACGUUUUUUAAAAGUGUUAAGAAAUUAAACGCCAUUAUUUAGUAUUUUUGUAGUAGUGCAUCAUUAAUUUCGAUUUUUGUAGUAGUGAAAUUAUCAAAGACAUAUUUAUCCUCAUAAAUUAAUUAUAACUAAAGCAAAGGGGUUCAAGUAACAAUGGAAGUUGUGGAGUAACAAAAGAGAUUAUUGAGGUAAUUAGGACAAAUGGAAAUAAAAAGGUAAAAUGAAGAUGUAGACUUAAGAAUAAGUUAAUUAUUUUUACUUAUUACUUAAAGUUGUUUUCGACUUUAAAUCACCAAACAUACUUAAUUUACUUAAUGAAUUAAAUUAAGUUAUUAAGUUACUUUAAGUCAGUUUACCAAACACCCAUUUAGUAUCUUUAUAAAUACUUUAUUUCGUCGUUAGUGAAAUAAUAGAAAAAUUAUAUCACUACCAUUUUGUUUAAGAAAAUUCUAAAAAGAAAAAGAUUUUUCAAUCAUCUUUUUUUUAUUGCAUUCUAAUAUGGAAAAAUAAUAAUUGAAUUUUUAAUAAGUCCAAUGAUUACUUGGCACAUUAAUGUGCAAUAAAAACAAAAAGAGAUGGUAAUCGACAACAAGUAUAUUAAGAACAACAUUUUGGUUUGCCUUCUUUGAGUACAAUAGUUAAGAGUUUCUAAAGGAGGAAGUUGGUUAUAGUAAUUCAUUUAUGUUAAUAAAUAAUUUUUUGUACUAUAAUAAUUCUCUUUCAAUAGUUAGAAAAAGGACUAUAAAUUUAAGAGGCUACAGUAUUAAUUAUACAUUAGUAAAAUCAAUGUAAUGAAAUAAUAUUUAUAACAUCAAUCCUAUCCAUCAUAAUUGUAGUAAGAGUCUAGUGAGUGAAGAGCUUAUCCCUUGACAAGGCAUGGUUGGUGUGAAGCGUGCUAGAUGUAUAAGAAUUUGUGUCGUCUAUGUUAAAAUUUGUUUUGCAAGAAAUUAAUCCCACAACUAAAGGAGUUUUUAUUUUAUUUUAUUUUUUUUAAUGAUUUUAAAUUUAAUUUUGAUUUUUUGAAUACUAUAUUUUUUUAUAAAUGAAUUAUAAAAAUUUAUUGUUUUGAUAGAUUGGUUGAAUAAUCAAUAAUCAAAGGGGCAUUAUUUAUAAUGAGAAAGAUUACUUUUCACCAAACCACACACACACAAAAGUAGAAAAUAAAGAAAAACAAGAGAUUUUUGACGUGGUUUAGUGAUCAAUGUGAUCCCUACGUUUGCGGAGUGCACUAACUCAAUUCCCAUGAGCUCAACGAGGAACUCAAAUCCCAACAUCCCUUGCGAAGCACAACAAAAUUGAUUUAAGCUUCAUAAUCCAAUAAUCUCCCACUUGAAAACUAAAGCACAAGUAAACACUUUCCUUAAAUGAUUAAUGAGUAUGAUGCACUCAAACAAACUGUCCCCACAUUUGAUCCAUUGAAGCUACACAUAGCUCCAAUUUCUCUAUUAUCACUCUUGGUCAACAUUUCAACUAGAUUCACUUUAGCUAUCAUUAUGCAAAACAUUUAUCACCUAUUUGAAUCCUAACUCUACCAACAAACUUUGUAACCAGAUUAUCUCUUUGUUGGCUUCUGCUAGGUUACAUACUUUGCUUCAGUUUUAGAUAAAGCAACAAUCUUCUGCAAUUGAGAAAUCAAAUUAAUAGCCAUAGUACCCAAAGUGAACACAUACCCUAUAAUGCUUCUCCUACUAUCCAUCUUACCAACAAAAUCAGCAUCCACAUAUCCCUAUAAUUUCAACUCAUCCAUUUUGAAACAUAAACAUUUUUUUGUAGUACCCUGCAAGUACCUAAAUAUCCAUUUCGCUAUUUCCCAAUCCUACUUGCCUAGAUUUGAUAUAAAUCUACUUACAACUUCAAUUGCAUAGGCAAUGUCUAGUCUCAUGCACAUACAUCAAUCUUCCAUUGGAUGAGGCGUAUUGGACCUUAGCCAUGAAAUCUUUUUCUUCAUUUGUCCAUGGGCAAUGCUUCUUAAACAACUUGAAAUGAUUUUCUAGAGGUGUUUUAAUUGCCUAAGCAUCACUCAUGUUGAACCUCUACAAUACCUUAUGAAUAUACUCAGCCUAAGGUAACCAUAAGGUGCUUGUUUGUUUGUGCCUACUAAUUGUCAUCCUAAGUAUCUGCUUUAUUACACCCAAGUCCUUCAUCUCAAACUCGUUGGACAACUAUUUCUUCAAGUUGUUGAUUUCAUCUAAAUUUAUGUCAACGAUUAACAUGGCAUCAACAUAAAGUAACAAAAUGAUAUAGUUAGUGUUGAGAACCUUAGAUUGAUUCAUUCCCUGGCCCUGAUCUCAUAGGGUGUAUUCGUCUAUUUUUAGGCUCUCUAAAUCUAUAGCAAUGGAAAUAUAUGGCACUAAAAACCAUUUUAAAGUAUAAAUCUAAAGAAAAAAACUAAUACUUAUGAUCUGGAUGUUCCUAGAUCGAUUUUCCAUUUGACAAAGACUCUCAAACUACGAUGGUCAUCAUAGAACUCGUCUACCCAACGAUCUUCCACCCGAUCUCUCCAUUCAUGGGUCUUGGCAUAAGAGAAGGAUGAGCCUCUCUUUCUCUUUCUAGAGGAUGACUAGGGUUCCUCUCUUUGAAAUUUCAUAAAAUCGAAGUGGAAGAUUGAAGCCCUAACCCCUAAGGGAGUUUAUACUAAGCUCGAAUUGGGCUUAGCUGAUCUAAUCCAGUCUACUUAGGUCCUAAUUAAUUAAUCAGGCCUAAUGGGCUCCAAUUAAUUAAUUAUCCCAAUCCAUAAAGACAAUUUAGUGCAAUAACGUGUUUUUACCAAAACACCCUUAAAGCUCGUGCCAACAUGAACUAGGAGCUCGAGUGAGGACCACUAGGACCUAUAAGAAAUUACGGGCUCUCUCAUAAUACAAUUUUGAAGUUAACUCAACACUCCACUAAAGAGAAUCAAUUGCACUCCAAUAUUCUAUGAAAUUAAAAUGAGACAAAGGUUAGGUUUGUGACCUACUAUUCAUUGCAUGUAGACUCCCCAUGAACUAAUGUCCAUAAUCUAAUAGGGUCAUGUUAUCAACCCAUCAAGCUUACCUCUCUAAGCCUUGAGUUACGAAUUCUCCUAUUAUGUGAUCAACCGACAUACUCUACCUUCAAGGAGCAUAUGUUAAAUUCCACUAAAGGAAUUACUACAACCAUAUAUUUCAUGAUCACAUGUUUUUUAGAUCACCGAAGGAGAUACACUGUUUCAAUCCCAUAAGAUAUCAUAGUGCCUAUGAGUGUUUAGCUAAGUUGGCAAUUUUGGACAAAAAUUCUUUAGUGUCUCCUAACUCGAUUUUUCCAAUCCUUCUACGGACUACUUGGCUAAUGGAGAUCAAUUUGUUGAAUUUGUCAAGAGACCAAGGUUUGUAGUUGAGGUUGGAGUUGGAAGGAAUUGAAUCAACCAUAUUGUUUAAAUGUUGUUUUACUUAAAAUAUUUUUUUAAGCAGUUAAAAAGGUUUAGGAAGCAUUUUUUUUACAAAGUGUUCAAAAUGCUAUGUCCUAGGAUCGAUCUAGCUUUAGGUUGAAUUGAUUCAUGUUACAUUUUUUUUUUUUAUGAAAUCUCAUCCGUUGGAUUAAGGGCUUCUUUCAUUUAAAAACCCAAAUCUUGCUUUCUGUGCUGUAGUGAGAGACACACAACAGUAGCCAUCCCCUUUGAUUAUCUUCUCAUUUCCUAUUUUAGAGUGUUUGGUUGCUAAGAAAAUCCAACUUUCCUUAUGUUUUCCAAAUUGUUUUCAAUGGAUAUUCUUGAGAAAAAAAAAAGGGUGAUUCUUUCCUUCAUUCAUCUCUCAAUUUCUAAUCUAUUUGGGUUUGGGUAAAAACUCAAUUUCUUCUUGUGUGGAUUCAAGAAGAGGUCGAGAUCGAGCUUGGUGUGGACUCCAAGUGUGUUCCAAAAGAAGAAGGUGAGAAGUUGAAAGUGGAAGGUACUAGUCAAGUGGUCCGAGAAGGAUUGGUAGGCUCGAGCUAGGUAAAACCUUGUAUUCAAUUUUUUUUUCUUCAUAAUGGAUGUUUUCGAUCGGUUGUAGGCCCAUGAUUUUUUAUUUCUUCAUAGGUUUUCCAUGUUAAAAUCCCGUGUUAAUUGUCUCUUUCUCUCACUUUAUUCUUUGCAUUUGCAUUUGCAUGUGAAUUGCAUUUAUAAAUUGUUUGGAGAGUGUUGAUGCAUAUAUAUUUGAUUGUGAAUAUGAUGCUUUGUUGAAAAAUUGUUGAAAAAGAAGUUUAUUGACCUUAAGAAAUUUUAAGGUUUGGUAAUCUUUGUUGGGACUUUUUUUUUUUUUUUUUAAAUUCAACAACACCUAUUCACCCCCUCUCUCUAGGUUUAGUCCAUUAUUGAGAUUCACAUUUCAAUUGGUAUAAGAGCAGGUAAGCAAAAAUCAUUUUCGAUCCUUGAAUCUCAAUUAUGGAACCUCGUUAAGAGGGAGCUUCCAUUGAGAGACCACCAUUCUUAACCGGGGAAUAUUAUUCUCAUUGGAAAGUGAUAAUGCAAUAUUUUCUCAAAAUGCAAAGUGAAAAAGUUUGGAAUGCCAUUGAAUUUGGUUGGUUUCCACCUAAGGUGUUAGAUAGAGAAGGUAGACCAACAAAUGUUAUCAAGCCUAAGUUGGAAUGGGUUAGAGGUGAAAAUGAAGCUAGUAAGAAUAAUGCUAGAGCGAUGUACUCCAUCUUCAAUGCCAUUAGUAUGGAUGAAUUCUAUAGGAUUGCUACAUGCACUUCGGCUAAGGAGGCUUGGGAUAUCCUCUAAGUGACUCAUGAAGGAACUAAUGCCGUGAAAGUUUCCAAAUUUCAAAUGUUGACAUCUAGGUUUAAGACCAUUAGGAUGGAUGAUCAUGAAACUUUUAGAGAAUUUCAUGCAAACUUGAUGGAUAUAGUGAAUUCUAGCUUCAAUCUACGUGAACCCAUCUCUAACUCUAAGGUGGUUAGAAAAAUUUUAACAUAUCUGGAGAGAUUUAAAGCUAAGGUCACCGCCAUUGAAGAGUCUAAGGAUGUGGAUUCCUUGAAGAUAGAUGAACUUGUAGGUUCCCUCCAAACCUUUGAAAUGACCCUUGUAUAACCUAAGAAAGCUAAGAGAAUUGCUUUAAAAACUAUUAAAGAAGAGUCCCUAAGUUCCAAAAGUGAGGAUGAUGAGAAAAUGUCAAAUGGUGAGCUUACUAAGUUUGCUAAAAAAUUGAAGAAGUACAUGAAAUUCAGAAAAUCCAAAAAAAAAAUCAAAUGAUGGUAAAAAAUGGAGGAACUCAAUUAGAAAAGAGAAGAAGAUGGAGAAAGAUGUGAAAAAAAAAAUUGGAGAUUGAGUGCUUUAAAUGUAGAGGAAAGAGACAUUAUGUUGCUUAAUGUCCCUCAAAGAAAAAGGAAAAACAAGGUCAUGCAAGUCACUUGGAGUGAUACAAAAUCUUGUCAAUCAAGUGAAAAAUAAUCCAAUGGAAGUGAAGAAUGCAUUAACUUCAUAGCCUUUGCUGCAAGUGUCAAUGAGAAACCACUUAAGAAAGAGGUCUUAAGUGAGUUUUGUGAGUCAAGUGACUCCAAUGAUAAUGACAUUAGUUUUGACACAACAUAUAAGACUUUGUAUAAGGAGUGCUUGAGCCUUAAGCAAGAACAAGUCAAGUGGAAGGCUUUUAAGAAGAUUUUAAUCAAUGAGAUUGAUGUUUUGAAGGGAGAAAAGAAGGCUUUUCUUGAAAAAAUUGCAUUUCUUGAAAAUGAACAUUUGGAAGUGAAGAAAAAAUGCGAUGUGUUGAAAAGUGAAAAUCAAAUGUUCAAGGAUGAGUUAAGUCUUUGGAAGGGAGAGUUAUAUCCUAGCUCUAAAAGACUUAAUGAGUUGAUUAAUUCAGGGCGUAAAUCUUUUGAUAAAAGAGGCUUAGGAUUUCUUGGUGGAAAUGCUACUCCAAGUACUAGUAAAACAAUUUUUGUUAAGCCUUGUGAAAAAUAAUUUCGUAAGAAAACUCAUUCUCAAAUUAGGUUAUAAGGGAAACAUGCGUGGAUUCUACUCAAAUAAAAACAGAGCAUGUUUAGCCUGAAAUAAUGACAAAUAUUCGGUCAUCAAUUCUAUAUUUGGAGUUGAUUCUAAUUUUGUAUUAUUUAGAUGUCUGUUGUAACAUUAGCACAAUUCUAGCAUUAUUGUAUAUGUGUUUCCUAAAUUAGCUUCUCUUCCACUUUCUAUAUAACAUAGAAUUUCUAUCAAUAAAGUGUGAGUAAUUAUUCAUUGAAAUCACAGCAGUACUUAUUUUCUACAUGGUAUCAGAGCAGCCACUCUCCACCGAGCCACCGAUCCAAGUCACUAUAAUGUCUUCCUCCUCUGAUCAAUCUCCCCACUUUACCCUCAACACCCAACCCCCUUCCGCAUUAGCAAAACCCCUUAUUGCUCUCAAUAUCAUUGCCCAAAUCAAUGAAAAAUUAACUCCCUCCACAUUUCCUCAAUGGCGUUCUCAAUUUGAAGCACUCCUUAUUGGUUAUACUUACUCGACUAUGUCAAAGGCACCUUUCGGUGUCCCUCUUCAGAUGGUACCGCUACUGAAGAGCUACGCAAGACCCAUUGGGUCGACAGGAUAAACUUAUCCUGAGUGCGAUUUUAGCCUCUACAUCUCCUUCAAUCACACCCCUCAUUGCUACGGCUAAAUCUUCCCAUGAAGCUUGGAAAAAGCUCACUCAUCUAUAUGCUAGCUGAUUACUACUCAAAAAGUGCUCUUUUAUAGCUUCUUAUAAACUCUUUUAAACACUUUUGAGUAGUAUUUAUUACUUUUUAACUCAAUUGGCACAUUAAGGACCCUUACAAGUGUUGCUAAUAAGUUUUUGGCAAGUUUUGAUGUUUUUGAUAGUUUUUUUAUCAUUAAAACAAGCCAAGAAUGAGGGAGAACUUGGUAUAGUCCAUGGCAAAGCAAGAUUGAAGCUAAAUUACACAAAUAAUCCAAGUUUGGGAGAGCUUCGAAGCCUUUGCCAAAUCAAUCAAGUAUGCAAGGAAGAGAAUCAGAGAAGGAAUCUAACAUUCAUGAAUUUUGCAACCCCUUGUGAAAUAUUUGCAAGCUUGCGAAUUGCCCAAGAAGGAAUUUCGCAAGCCUUGCAAAACCAAAGCCUUGCAAAAUUGAUGAAUUUCGCAACCCCUUGCGAAAUUUUCGCAACCUUGCAAAAUCUUCCUAAAAUCUUCAGAUUUUUUUGCACCGACUCCGUUAGAUUUUUAUCUCAAGAUAUUUUGUGUAAUUAUCUAUUCUCUCCUUGUAAUUAGCUAAAGAUAUUUUUAGAUAUUUAGGAUAUCUAAUUGAGGGGUUAAAAAUAUCUCUCUAUAUAUGUCUUAACAUAUCUCUUUUUGUAAUAUCUAUCUCAGAAUCUCGGAAGAAAUUCUUGAGGAUCACUUGUACAUUUUUACUAAGAAAUAUAUAGAGCUUUGCUCUACCUUACCUACUCAUUUUGAUUUUAUUUUCUUUCUAGCCAAACAACCUCUGAGGAUGUUUUCUCAGAGGAUGAGUGGCUAGGCUUUUUGUUUCUUGGACUGAAGGAAGCUAGGUAAGGGAUCCGGGUACAAAAGGGGGAGUUUUCCUUGUUUUAGUUUUUAAUGAAGAGAAGUUGUGACCCGUUAAUGGUUUUUAUAUUUUUAGUUAACUUAAAAUCCCUUAUAAUCAUCUAGGCCAACACUUGGUAAUCUUUUCGGACUCAGUCCAUAGAGAUCCAUUAGUUAUCUCUUGCGAGCCUCUGGGAGGUGGUUUAAAGGUAGGAUUACCUAGAAUAGCCAACACUUGGUAAGCUUUUGGACUCCCUGAAGACAUCCAUUAGUUAUCUCUUGCGAGCUUUUGAAGGGUAAUCCAAGGUUAAAGAUCACCUUGAAUGGCCAAUAUUAGGUGAGAGGUAUGAACCAUUGCAAGAUGCAUCAGUGAGAGGAUUUUAGUGUUUGAAACCAUUAAUUGGAAGCAGUGUAACACACCGGUUAGGGAAAUAACUAUAGGUUAAAUCCCCAAUGCGAGGAAAAGAUCCGGAAUCUCUCAUUUUGUAUAAGGAACUUGAACCUAGUGACCUGAAACUCCAAGAAACCUUUUCUUUGUAAUUAAUCUCAGUUACUAUUUUUGGUUAGCUUAAAACCAACAUUUUUCAACCAAAGAUUAUGUUUUCUUUUAAAGCUAACUCAGAAAAGAAAAACCACCAUUUCAGUGUUGUAACUAAUAUCACGUGUGAAAUGAAAACCCAUCCCUAUGGACGAUCCUAGAACCACUAUGCUAUGCUAGCUAGUUACCCUAGUAUAUGGUGAUUAGGUUUAUAAAUUUUAUUGAUAACUCCCAUCUGAGGACUGAAUCAAAGUAGAACACCAAUUGGGAACGAAUCACUAGCCGAUCCAGAACUCGUGCAAUGCAGUUAAAGGAGGAACUCACCUUAAUCCAACGUGGAAAUCAGACCAUCACAGAAUAUUUCCAUGCUGUGAAGACUUUAGCUGAUGAAAUAACCAUCAUAGAUCAUUCAAUUUCAGAUGAUGACCUAACCCUUUAUGUGUUGAAUGGUUUAGGUCCAAAUUUUCGGGAGAUUGUAGCACCUAUUUGAGCCCGAGAAUCAUUACUGACUUUUGAGGAGUUGCACGACCUGCUGGUUGGACACGAGGCUUAUUUGAGGCGUCUAGAAGACGCAACGCAGAACAUAGUUGUUUAUGCUAACUUUACGAAGACGAAGUCGUCUGCAAAUGGGGGGAGUCACCAGCGGUUCUUUAAGCAACAUGAUCAUUCUCGUGGGCCUCAAGGCUCCAGUCCAGGCCGACACUUCAAUGGAACCCAACGUGAUGGGCGACGUCCCAACACAAACUCUGGUAAGCCCAAUAAUUCCACUCAGCGCUAUUAGCCCAAGUGCCAACUUUGUGACUAGUUAGGCCACAUUGUCAAUCCUCGUCCUCAAUUUCAUUCCCAGAAUGUCUCUAUCAAUUGUGCUACCAUUUCUACGGGAAAUGAUAAAAAUUGGCUACUUGAUUCGACCGCUUCUCAUAAUAUCACAUGUGAUUUUUCCAAUUUAUCUAUUCAUUUCGAAGAUGAUGGAACUAACAAAGUAAUUCUUGGUGAUGGUUCAGGUUUGGCCAUCUCACACAUUAAUUCUUUAGCUUUACACUCUCCGCACAGAACUUUUACAUUACAUGAUACUCUUUGUGUUCCAAAUCUUUGCAAAAAUUUAAUUUAUGAGCAUCAUCUCACCAAACAAAAUGAUGUCUUUGUUGAAUUUCAUCCUUUUUAUUUUCUUGUGAAAGACAAGAUCACGGGGGCGAUCCUACUAAAAGGAGCAUGCAACAAUGGCAUCUACACCUUCCCGGAAUCACUGGUGGUGUCCAAAAAGGUUGCUAAUGUGCAUGAAUGGACCUCCAUUGAUGGAUGGCACAAGUGUCUUGGGCAUCAUUCUCUUAAAAUUGUCCAUCAUCUUGUUAAGAUUUUUUCUCUUCCUAUUUCCUCGCACAAAAAUUUGUCUUCAUUAUGUCAUUCAUGUUCUAUUAAUAAAGCCCAUCAACAACCUUUUCGUGUCACAAGUCUCCAAAGUCAUGAGCCCCUUGAACUUAUUUACACGGAUGUGUGGGGACCUGCUAGUUAUACUGGGAUUGAUGGAUAACGAUAUUACCUUAUUUUUGUUGAUCAUUAUACAAAAUAUAUAUGGUUUUAUCCAAUGGCCACUAAAUCCGAUGUUUCUACAAUUUUCCCGCAUUUCAAAAAAUUUGUUGAAACCCGCUUCAAAAAUAAAUCAAAACACUAUAUUUCGACAAUGGAGGUGAGUUUAUUGCUUUAAAAUCAUAUCUCUUACUUCAUGGCAUAACUCACCUCACUACUGCUCCCCACACCCACAACAAAAUGGUGUAUUUGAACGAUGUCACCGUCAUCUAGUUGAAACGGACCUUACGCUCCUUUAUGAUGCAAAUCUUGACUUCUCAUAUUGGCCUUACGGUUUUCAAACAACCUCUUAUCUCAUAAACCGACAACCCACACCUCUCCUAAAAAAUAAAUCACCUUUUGAAGCUCUUUUUGGUCAAUCACCCAAUUAUUUGAAAUUUAAAAAAUUUGGGUGUAUUUGUUAUCCUCUAAUGAGGGCCUAUAACUCAAAUAAAAUGCAAGCCAAAUCAAAAGCCUGUAUUUUUCUCGGCUAUUCACCCACUCAAAAUGACUACAAGUGUUUUAAGCCACAAACAAGAAAAUUCUUCAUCUCUCGCUAUGUGUUAUUUGAUGAAAAUCACCUCCACUCCAGCCCAUCCUCACCUGUGACUUCCGUGCCCACCUAGUACCUUCGAGAACCUCACCAUUUGCUUCCUCUUCACUUCAGUGCCCAGCCGACUGCAGUGUCCUCAUCAACGGUCUCUAACGCACCAGCAACCUCGCUGCCUCUAGAAGGCUCACCUGUCAUCGUUGCAUCCUUCCCAGGUAAUUUCGAACCCUCUACUUCUUUACUUCAUGAUUGCUUGUAAGCCUUAGACCACAACCCCACCCAUCCGAAUACUCCUCUAGAUGAUAAUCAGCCUAGGUCUUCCUUAAAUUUGUAAACACAAUUUAACCAUUUUUCUCCUGAUACACAUCUCAGUGCAGAUCAUCCUCUCCCAAAUCCGAAUUUCACAAACCCUAACCAAACAAAUCCUCAUCCUUAACGCACUCAUACCAUGACCACAAGAUCAAUGAACCAAAAUUUCAAACCCAAACAAAUCCAUACCGUGUCAAAACAUCCUCUUCCUCAGACCAUUGAACCAACGAGUGUGAGCCAAGCCAUAUCUCAACCUCACUGGCGUGAAGCCAUGUCCAAUGAGCUCACUGCUCUAAUGAAACAUGGGACUUAGGACCUCGUUUUACCACCUUCAGAUUGCAAUCCCGUGGAGUGUAAGUGGAUAUUUUGGGUAAAAUGGAAAGUUGAUGGGUCUGUGGAUAGAUUCAAAGCCCGUCUCGUUGCUAAGGGCUAUAAUUAACGUCCUGGUGUUGAUUACACAGAGACCUUUGGCCCUGUAGUUAAACCAGCAACUAUUAAAGUUAUAUUAUCUAUUGCAAUCAUGAAUGAAUGGGAUUUGAGGCGAUUGGAUGUUAAUAAUGCCUUUCUCCAUGGUGAAUUAACUGCAAUUGUUUUUAUGGCACAACCUCCGGGGUUCAAAGAUUUGUCCAAACCUCACCAUGUUUGCAGACUAAAGAAGGCUAUCUAUGGGCUUAAACAAGCCCCAUGGGCUUGGUACACUACCCUCAAAACCGCCAUUCUUCAAUUGGGUUUUCAGAACUCCAAGGCAGACUCUUCUCUCUUCAUUUACAGUCAAGGCUCCACUCUUUGUUAUUUCCUGGUGUAUGUUGAUGAUUUUGUCAUCACAGGAAAUAAUCCAACUCUAGUGGCCUCCAUUAUUAAACAACUGGGUGACAUGUUUUCUCUCAAGGAUAUAGGUUCUCUUCAUUUUUUCUUGGGGAUUGAAGUCAUUCCUACAAAGGCAGGAUUAUUUCUCUCACAACAUAAAUACAUCCAUGAACUUUUAGACAACACAAGUAUGAGUGGUGCAAAAGUUGUGUCAACCCCUUUGUCUAUAACCCAAUCACUUCAAUUGGUUGAUGGCACGGCUGCUGUGGAUAGCUCUGAGUUUCGUCGAAUAGUUGGCAGCCUUCAAUAUCUUUCCUUGACACACCCAGAUAUCUCAUUUGCAAUUAACAAACUCUCUUAAUUUAUGCACAAGCCAACUGCAAAUCACUGGACAGCAACCAAACGACUCAUCCGCUACUUAAAACAAACCAUUUUUUAUGGUAUUCAGAUCCACAAAGCUGGAACUCCUGUACUAAGGACAUACUUUGAUGUCGAUUGGGCUAGAAAUAUGGAUGACCGCACGUCAACUUCUGCAUACAUCAGUUUCUUAGGUCCUAAUCCAAUCUCUUGGAGCUCCAAGAAACAACGUGCAGUUGCAAGAUCCACAACCGAGGCUGAAUACUGGGCACUAGCUAUUGCGGUUUCCAAGACAAUGUGGUUGUCUACCCUUUUCAAAGAACUCACACUUCCACUCAAAGAAUUUCCCCAUUUGUUAUGUGACAAUCUUGGAGCCACACAUCUAGGUUUCAACCCAAUCAAUCAUUCGCACAUGAAACAUAUUCAAAUCGAUCUUCACUUUGUGCGUGACUUAGUCCAAAAAGGAAGCCUUCAAGUAAGACAUGUACACACUCAAGACCAAUUAGCUGAUUUGUUAACCAAGCCACUGUCAAAGUAGCGCAUAGAAUUGCUACGUACCAAGAUUGGUCUUGCCGAUGGAAGCCAAUCUUGCAGGGGCGUAUAAGGGAAACAUGUGUCAAUUCUACUAAAAUCAAAACAGAGCAUGUUUAGCCUGAAAUCAUGACAAAUAUUCGGUCAUCAAUUCUAUAUUUGGAGCUGAUUUUACUUUUGUAUUAUUUAGCUGUUUGUUGUAACAUUAGCACAAUUCUAGCAUUACCGUAUAUGUGUUUCCUAAAUUAGCUUUUCUUCCACUUUGUAUAUAACACAGAAUUUCUAUCAAUAAAGUGUGGGUAAUUAUUCAUUGAAAUCACAGCAGUACUUAUUUUCUAUACAGGUUUCAUUGCAAUCAUUGUGGAAAAAUGAGACACUUUUGAUAGAUGUUAUGAAAAAUUAUUUGAUAAUUUUCAAAGGAAGUUGACCAACCUCAUGAAUGAAUGUCAUAGCUUGAAGAGUAGGUUGUUAAAUGAGAAUAAGAAAGUGUCCAAGAAGAGCUCAAAGAUCUCUGAUAAUGGUGAAGUGAAAAGGAGCACUUUGAAUGAAAAAAAAAAGUCUCAAAUGUUAAACAAAUUUAGGUGAAAAAGAAUGAGUUGAAAUGUCUUGUUAUCUAUACUGCACUUAGAGCUAGUGAGUCACACUCAUGGAAUCUUGAUAGUGGAUGUUCACAUCGUAUGACUGCAAAUAAAUAUUUGUUCACUUCAUUCAAGCUAGUGAGUCACACUCAUGGAAUCUUGAUAGUGGAUGUUCACAUCAUAUGACUGCAAAUAAAUAUUUGUUCACUUCAUUCACUGAAUUUGAUGGAGGAAAUGUGACAUUUGAAGAUGGUAAUGUGGCUAGAGUGAAAGGCAAAGGUACCAUUUGUGUCCCUGACAUUCCUAAUCUUGAAGAGGUCUUAUAUGUUGAAGGUUUAAAGGCUAAAUUAAUUAGCAUAAGCCAAAUGUGUGGGAAUGAGUUCAAUGUCCAAUUUUCACAAAAUUUUUGCAAAGUGUUGGACUUGAAUGAUGCAUGUGGGAUGAUUGACUUGAGAACUUGUUAUAAUUACCAUGUUUUUAGCCAAAAAUCUCCUUCAUUCUCUUAUCUUGUGUGUGGAAGUUCUAAAAUUUCUUGUGUUAAUCACUUGUUGCAACAUAGAUUGUUGCAAAAUGAAAAAUAGCAUCCCAUUGUAAAAGUUAGGAUUGAUAGGAGGAGGAAAUUUGAUGAUACCAAUGUUGUUGAUAGGUUAAAGAACCAUGUUCUUCAUUCUAGAUCAAAACAUGUGGACAUUAGACAUCACUUCAUUCAAGACUUGGUAGAAGACAAGGUUGUUUCAUUAGAGUUUUUCCCAACAGAUGGUCAAAUUGCUGAUAUUGUCACUAAACCUUUGGAUGUGUCUAGGUUUAAAUCACUUAGAAAAUCCAAAGAUUUAUGCACACUUAAUUGACUUCCUCUAGAAAUUGUUUAGGACAUCUUCUUGCAUAUCUUUGAGUCCUAGUUGUCUUCCUAAGUCCCUAAAUGUCAUUAAGUUGAUGCUCUUUUUGUCUUGGUUCAAUUUUUCUCUAUUUUUCACUUGCUUUCCAUUAUAAUUGUUGAGUUCAUGUGAGUGACAUGCUUAUUCAUGUUGUUUGAAAGUUAGAUUGACUCAUAAUGAUCUUAAAAGCUUCAAGAUGGUUUUAUCUCCAUGGCUUGAUUGAUAAGCAUGAUAUUGAGUCUUUGGUAUUUUGAUUUGGUUAGAUAAACUACAAAGGUUAGCAUCAUUUCUUUUAAGUGAAUAAAAGCUCAUGGUUGAACCUUGUGAUUGCAUAAAUGGUGAAUAAUGCUAUUUAAAGUCUAAAUGUAAACUUAUACCUAUUUAAUGAGUAUUAAAGAGUGAGUAAAGUCACCAAAAAAUUCCUUCAGUGGUUAAGAUGAUUGUUCCUUGUUCAUUUGCCCUCUCUUUGAAAUUAAAUGUAAAAAAAAAAAAAAACGAAAAAGAAAAGAAAAGAAAAAGAAAAUAUGAAGUUUUCCGGAAUGGGUAUGGCAUCUUGGCAAUGUUUUAGGUGUAAAAAGCCUCCAUUGCAAAAUUAGGACAUCCCUCAUGUUGUGUUGUUGUAAAGGUCAUCUUAAUUAUCCUCAAGUCAAAAAUUGAUCCUAAGGGUGAAGAUCAUGUUUGUGUAAUCAUUUCAAUGCUUAAUGUGAAAAGCAAAUGAUGUAUGAAAUUUUUUUUGGGAUGUGAAUAGGUCAUGUUAAAUAGAAAUAUGGUCAAGAGAUGUAUAAAUUGACUUCAUGGAACAUCAUCUUGAAUUUGUCUAGGAAGGAAGAGUGUCUUGAAAAUGAUUUUUAGCUUUAUGGGUGGAUAUAGGUUUAUAAGUGGAAAGUAAUUAACAUUCUCACUGUUUUAUGGUGUCAUGAGUGAGUCUUCUUUGAGUUUAAGCUUCCUUGUUAGAAUGUUGAUAAUCAUUUGGUUUUUUACUUAUUCAUAUGAUAAAUUGGGAAGGUUCCUCAAUCUCUAUGUUUAUUAAUUUUAUUUAAUCUUAAGUUCUUGGUAGCAUUUUUUAUCAAUAUGAUUCAAUACUAGCUCAUUGACUAGAAGGUUAGUGUGUCAUCCUCAUGUUUCUCAACUUUGUUGAAUCACUUUUUGGUCUUUAGAAAGCUUCUUAGUGUAUUUCUUAUGAGCUAGUAUAAGUUUUUUUUACCUAAGUCAUUUUUCAGUAGUGUUAAUCGAUCUGUUGAAUUUGUGGAUCGAUCUACUAUGUGCACAGUCUAGUGACCGAGAGCCCUUGAACGAAAUGUGGAUCCAUCCACCAAGAUCGAUACUACUUGGCUUCAACACUUUGAAAUUUUUGUGAAAAGUUUCCUACAAUUAAGUUGCAUAAUUUUUUUCCGUUGAGAGCUCUUCAACGAAACUUGGAUUGAUCCACCAAGAUCGACACCACUUAUCUCUUAGUGAAGAAAAUUCCCAUUUUGUCCUUGGUCUUGUGUUUUUUAAAAGAGGGUUUGAGGGGUAAAAUUGUCAUUUCGUGUAAAAAAAAAUGAAAAACUCAAAAUCCCCAAUCUUUAAAAACCCCUCUUUCAUUCUCAAUUGAGCCCUAAUUUCCAAAAUUUUCAAAGAGGGUUCUCAUCAUCAUCUUCUUCUCUCCUUUAUUGCACAAACUUCCACCACCAUGGUUGCAUCCGACGAAGUCCUUCUCUAUCAUCAUUCUUUUCAACGUCGAAAAUCUAUACGUCAAGGUUUCAUUGGUGUCAUUUUUUCAAAAGUGGCUCAUUCACGGGUUUCUUAGCUUAAGCUAUCUUCUUCGACAACCUUGGUUAUUCGGGUUGUACAUUUUUCUCUCCACCAUUAGCUUAAUUUGGAUGCUUUCUUUUGGUGGAAUCCUUUCACAAGAGAUUUUUUUAUUUGGAGUUUCAUUUUGCUUUGGAUUGUUCUUGGUUUCUAGCAAUGUUAAUCCUAGGCUUUGUUUGCUCAUUGUGAGUGUUCUUUUUACAUUUUUCAUGCUUGGAAUCUAUUUUCAUGGUGAUAGAGCAUUUUUUUUGGAACUUUUUAAAUGAAACCAUGUGAUGAGAUUUAGGGGGAGUUUCCUAUAUCUUGUGAUGGGAGUUAGGGGGAGAUUCUUGUAUCCUAUUAAUUUUUUUGGGAUGUUGAUAUGGAAACUUGGUAACAUGUGGAUACUUGAUUUUUGGAUAUUUGACAUUUUGCUAAAAUGUGGAUGUUUGUUGAUUUGUAUGUUAGAUAUCUAACUAUUGAAUUGUCAUCCCUUUGUCUUUUUUUUUUUUGGAUAUAAUGGGGGAGAAUAUGGCCCUUUGUCUCUUUCUAGGACAAAAAGGGAGAGAAACAUUACAAUUAUUAUUUUGGUGAUUGGAUAUCUACAUGUUGAUGAUUAUUUUGGAUAUAAGAUAUUUUGAGAUACAUGUUGAUAUGUGAUCUUGUCUCAUUUGGAUUUGAAUAUACAUUGGACCUUUUGGAUAUACUUGUUGAUAUAUUAUGUAUAUUUAGUUACUUUACACAGGUACUACUAAUUGCUUUGUUUGUGAGCUUUUAAUUAUAGGUUUUGUAGUACCUAGGUUGUGAGUUUGAGUGGGUAAGUAAGUGGCCUUGUAUAAGAGUGGGUGGGGCUUACUUGUACUUGUUCGUGUUGUAAAGGGUUUUGUCCUAAAAUUUCCAAAGGGGGAGAUUGUGAGUGUUUAGCUAAGUUGGCAAUUUCGGAAAAAAAUUCUUAAGUGUCUCCUAACUCGAUUUUUCCAAUCCUUCUAUGAACUACUUGGCUAAUGGAGAUCAAUUUGUUGAGUUUGUCAAAAGACCAAGGUUUGUAGUUGAGGUUGGGGUUGGAAGGAAUUGAAUCAACCAUAUUAUUUAAAUGUUGUUUUACUUAAAAUAUUUUUUAAGGAGUUAGAAAGGUUUAGGAAGCAGUUUUUUUAUUUUAUUUUACAAAGUGUUCAAAAUGCUCUAUUCCAGGAUCGAUCUAGCUUUAGGUCGAAUCGAUCCAACUUACAUUUUUUUUUUUUUAUGAAAUCUCAUCUGUUGGAUUAAGGGUUUCUUUCAUUUAAAAACUCAAAUCUUGCUUCAUGUGCUGUAGUGAGAGACACACAACAUCAACCAUCCCCUUUAGUUCUCUUCUGAUUACUACCAAAAAGUGCUAUUUUGUAGACCUAAUUAUAAUGGUUUUAAGCACCUUUGAGUAGUAAUCAUAUUCAUUUAACCCAAUUAAUUCAUUAAGGUCCUUAGUAAUUGGUUUUAACCAUUUUGUGGCAAGUUUACAUGUUUAUAUCAGCUUAUGAAUCAAUUCAAGCAUGCCAAAUGAUGGAGGAGCUACUUGGACAAGUUAAAGCAAGCUUUUAGCUACACCAAAGCAAGCCAACAAAAGGAGAAAAGCAAAGAGAAGCAAAGAGAAGCAAAAAGAAGCAAAGAGGAAAACAGAGGACAGCAGCUGCAGUCUUCUUUGGAACUUUUGGAGUACUUCCCAAAGUCCAUUUUUUACAUACUAUAUACCAUUUGAAAUCUCUGGAAGUCAAGAAUCCAACGCUUCAAACCGUGUACGAUUUGGAGCUGAAACAAGGAAGAUAUGGCCUUCGGAAGAAAACUGCUCCAGGCUUGUGCGAAACUCGCACACCCCAUCAGCCGUGCGAAUGGUGUGCGAAACUCGCACACCCCCUCAGCUGUGCGAACGGUGUGCGAAACUCGCACACCAUUCGCACACCCCAUGCGUGGUGCGAAUUUUCCCCUGUUUCUGCCGACUCCACUUUAGAUCUUUUCUUUUAGAUAUUUUUGUAUAAAUUUCCAUUCUUCUCCUUGUAAUCCACCAAUCAUAAGAUUUAUUAGCUAGGAAGGUUGGAAAAACUUCUCUAUUUAUAUCCCCUUGCAUCCGUUGUAACAAAUAUGGAUAUAUAGAUAUAGAAAUAUAUAAAGCUUUUUUUUUCUCUCUUCUCCGGUUCUUCCCCAUUUCUAUUUUCUUAGUAGCCAAACAUCCUUGGUGGAUGAAAUCCCCAAGGAUGAGAGGCUAAAACCUUUUAGUUUCUCAAAGUAUGGAUGUUAUGUGAUGGCUUGGAUACACUCCCAUGGAAAUUUCUCGCACCCGGAAGGUAAGGUUGUCGUUUUUCAUUAAUGGUUCAUUAAUGCAAAGUUUGGUUUUAUUUCCUUUUGAGAACUUCCAACGGCCAAUACUUGAUAAGCUUUUGGAUUUCUAUCCAUUAGUUAUCUCCUACGAGCUAUUGGAAGGUGAGGUUUUCAAUUCCAAGUUUUGCAUUAAUCCGUUAGAACCAAUUUCAAUGGCCAUUGAAAGGUGAGUUUAUCACCUGGAAUGACUUUGAGUUGCCAAUAUUUGGUAAGCUUUUAGCUUUAGACUACUAGUUAUCUCUUACGAGCCAUUCAAAGGAAGUCUAAGGUGAAUAACCAUUGAUGAAAUUCACUACCAUCUGUUUUGCCAUUUUAAAGGAUUAAAACUUGAUUUGCUAAAUCCAUACCGGUUCAAGAAGCAAGCAUCACCAUAGUUGCAACCCCAACGCGAGGAGCCUAUCCUGAGAUUUCCAAUUUGCAUAAGAGCCAGAGCAUAGCUAUCCUAUCUUUGAGAAACUUGUUUUACACCCUUUAAUUUUAGUCUUUAAUGUUAGCUUAAAUUAGUUUAAAUCUUUCUAAAACAUUUACAUUUUCUUUUAAAGCUAACAUCCAUAAGAAAAUCACCUAUUUUCCUAAUUUGAAUAUCACUUGUGUUUGCGAAAACCCUUCCCAGUGAACGAUCCUAGAACCACUAUGCUAUAGUAGCUUGGCUACUUUAGUAAUAGUUUUUAAGGUAUAAAUUUUGUUGAUACGCCUUUAAAGCUAAGCUACCAUGAGUCGAAUCAUCUUCUCUUUUCCUAUUUUGGGGUCUUUGGUUGCCAAGAAAAUGUAAGUUUCCUAUUGUUUUCCAAAUUGUUUUCAAUGGAUAUUCUUAAUAAAAAAAAUAGGUUGAUUCUUUCUUCAUUCAUCUCUUAAUUUCUAAUCUAUUUGGGUUUAGGUAAAAACUCAAUUUCUUUUUAUGUGGAUUCAAGAAGAGGUUGAGAUCAAGCUUAGUGUGGACUCCAAGUGUGCUCCAGAAGAAAAAAGUGAGAGGCUGAAAAUGGAAGGUACUAGUCAAGUGGUCCAAGAAGGAUUGGUAGGCUUGAGCUAGGUAAAACCUUGUAUUUAAUUUUUAUUCUUCAUAGUGGAUGUUUUCGAUCGAUUGUAAGCCCAUGUUUUUUUUUAUCUCUUCGGAGGUUUUCCACGUUAAAAUCCUGUGUUAAUUGUCUCUCUCUCACUCUACUCUUUGCAUUUGCAUUUGCACGUGAAUUGCAUUUAUAAAUUGUUUGGAGAGUGUUGGUGCAUACAUACUUGAUUGUGGAUAUCAUGCUUUGUUGAAAAAUUGUUGGAAGAGAAGUUUAUUGACCUUGAGAAAUUCUAAGGUUUGGUAAUCUUUGUUGGGAUUUUUUUUUUUUACUUUUAUAAUUCAACAACACCUAUUCACCCCCCCCCCCCUAGGUGUAGUCCAUUAUUGAGAUUCACCUUUCAGUGCCUUUAUUGAGAAUACUUGUUGCCACCAGCUUUCAUUAACAAUGACCUAAUUCGUAGGGAAUAUAUGACCACUUUAGGGUCUUACCCAUAGGUCAAAGCCUCUUGUUGAUUUCAGUAUAGGCUCAAUAUCCUCUCAAGGUUAAGAGCCCAUGCAACAUACUAGCUUAAUGAAUUGUGACAAUCUAAUAAGCUUACUUCAUGAUUCAUUGUAGGUCCUAUUUAAUGUGUAACCAUACACACUAGUAUACUUACCAUGGCCAAGACAAGUCAUCCCUCUAAUUAGGAUGUGGUGCAUUAUAGAAUUAAUUGGUUUGCCCAAAUUCAUGAAUUGACCGUGAAAAACUUAUCGUUUUGCAAGGAGCCCAUGAUUUAUAUCCUUUGUCCGACUGCUAAUGCACUCAAGAAAUGUAUAAUGCAAGUGAUAUGAGUUGAAUGCUCAAAUCAAUGUCAAUGCAUAAAAAUGAUAACCUAAAGUAUAACUUUGAUACAUCAUGUGUUGCUUUUAGGGGCUCAAUCCCAAUACUUAUAACUAACCUUCUUAAAGUAACAACAAUGGUCUACAUUGCACCUGAGACACCCAUUUUUUUUGCAUGAAACCAUCACACCUUUUAUAAUGUCUCUAAGCUUAUUUUAAACCAUAUAGGCUCUUUGUUAAUCUGCACACCAAAUUCUCUUCACUGUUCACUACAAAACCUUGUGGUUGAUGCAUAUAUUUUCCCUCCCCAAAUCACCAUAGAGGAAAGUUGUCUUCACAUUUAGUUGCUCAAGAUGUAGACCCUCUGCUACUAUAAUACUCAAAACAAACUAAAUUGUAGUCGAUUUCACAACUAGAGAUAAAAUAUUUGUGUAGUCAACUCUUUCUUUAUGCUAAAAUCCUUUUACUACCAAUCUAGUUUUAUAUCUCUUGGAGCCAUCAUGCUCCUAUUUAACUUGAUACACCCACUUAUUAUGAACAUCUUUCUUACCCACUAGUAACUAUACUAGCUUCCAAGAUUGGUUAGAAAUAAGAGACUUCAUUUCCUUUUUCAUUGCAAGCUCCCAUUCGCAAUUUUCUUCCAAUCGACAUGUUCAUCGUAACAUUUAGGUUCACUCCUAUCUGUUAGUAGCAAAUAAGUCAAAUACUUCAUGUUUGGUACAUGUGGCUUGUUGGAUCUCCUCGAUUUAGAGAUUGAAAUUAGAUCUUAUUGUAUAUCAACAUCCUAUGUAGUGUUUUCCUCAAUCUGACAAUUUUGACUUAUCUUACCUACCAGAUUACUUUGUGAGACAUCAUUCGGCUCAAAGUAAAUAGGUUCAAGCUAUACUGAACUAGUAGACUAUGUUGAAUCUUUAUUCUUAUACAAAAUUUUCUUCUUGAAUAUGACGUUCUUUCUUCGAAUCAAUUUAUUAUUCUGGUCAUCUCAAAACUUAUAAUUGAUCAUCAUAACUAAUGAAACUACAUUUUAGUGAUUUAGCAUCAAGUUUGUUUCUGCCAUGAUCACUAUUAAGUAUAUAUAAGACAUAACCAAAUACCUUCAAAUGAGAAAGCUUUACUUCUUUUCUAGUCCACAUCGUUGGGUUUGAGCCUUUAAAAGCAAGACAUGAUAUAACAAAGUUGGACUUAACUGUUCCCUUGUUAUCUCUUGUAUGCAUUGACAUUGAUUUGAGCAUUCAACUCAUAUAUCUUAUAUUGUACAUAACUUGGGUGCAUUAGGAGUUGCAUAAAGGAUAUAAGUCAUGGGUUCCUUGUAAGUAGAUAAGUUUUCCAUUGUCAAUUCAUGGAUUUAGACAAUCUAGUAGAGACUCUAGUGCACUACUUCCUAAUUGGAGGCAUGACUUGUCUUGGCUAUUUUGAUGGAUUUCCCAUGGUACGUGCAUUAGUGUAUGUGAUGCACACUAGACAAGACCUACGUCGAAUCAUGACUGAUUACGUGCCUAGCUGGUGUGCCUUGAAUUUGGUCCUCAGACAGGAGUAAUCAACAAAAUUUAUAACCUAUAUCACCAUGCACUAGGAUAACCUUAGCUAAUAUAGCAUAGUGGCUCUAGGAUCAUUCACUGGGAAGGGUUUUCAACUUACAACUGAUACCAAUUCAAAGCUGAAUUGGUGCUUUUUCAUUUCAAGGUUAGCUUCAAAAGAAAACAUAAACUUUGGUUGAAAAAUGAUUGAUUUUAAGCUAACUAAAAAUAAAGUAAUGGGAAUUACUUAUGAAGAAAAGCGUUCCUUGGAGUUUUAGGUUCACUGGGGUUAGGCUCCUCAUGCAAGAAUAGAGUUUCGAUCACUUGAAUCUUUUCCUCGCAUUAGAGAAUUAACAUAUAGUUAAUUCUCUAACCAGUGUUAUACAGAUGAUUCCCUUUAAUGAGUUCAAACACUAAAUCUCUCUCACUGAUGCAACUUGCAAUGGAUCAUGCCUCUCACCUAGGAUUUACCAUUCAAGGUGAUCAUUAACCUUGGACUUCCCUUCUCAAGCUCGCAAGAGAUAACUAAUGGAUGUCUCCUUAGAGUCCAAAAGCUUACCAAGUGUUGGCAAUUCUAGAAAAUCUUACCUUCAAGUCACCUCCCAAAGGCUCGCAAGAGGUAAACUAGUGCAUCUCAAUGAACGGAGAUCACUUGCCUUACCAAGUGUUGACCCAAGUGAAUUAAAGGCGUUUUAAGUUAACUAAAAACAUAGAAAUAUUAACGGGUCACACUUUCUCUUCAUUAACAGCUGAAACAACAAAACUACCAAUUCUUGCAUUUGGGACCUUACCCGGCUACCUUAGCUCCAAGAGACAAAAAUUCUAGCCACUCAUUCUCUGAGGAAACAUCCUUAGAGCUUGUUUGGCUAGUAAGAAAAAAUACAAUCAAAAUGAGUAGGUAAGGCAGAGCAAAGCUUUGUAUUUUACUUCCUUCAAAACUAUACAAAAAGUUGUCUUUGAGAACAAGCUCCCGAGAUAUGUCUGUGUAAUGAAAAUUACAAAACAAUAUAUAUGAGGUUAUUCACCCUUUGUUCUUACAUAAUAACUAAGGAAUCCUAUAAUUGGUGGAUUACAAGGAGAAAAUGGGGAUUUAGACAUCAAAUAUCUGAAGCAAAAAAUCUAAAAAUGUCGGUCGCAAAUAUCUGGAAGCACUUAGGAGGAUUUUGUAGGUGUGCAAGAUGGCUGCGAAAUUUCGCAAGCUAAAGGUCACCAUUUCGCAGCCAUCCUCUUGUGAUUUCACAGCCAAAGGCUAAUUUCGCAGCCUGCGAAAUUGGUCUUCAGUUUGGUGUGAUCGACUUCCAAUGGCUUUAACUUCUUCAUUUCAACUCCAAUUUGUGUAUCGUUUGAAGCGUUGGAUUGCUUACUUCCCAAGCUUUGAAACGACAUAUAGUAUGCAUCAAAUGGACUCCAGUAAGUGCUCCAAAAGUUUCCAACAAUUUCUAUCCUCUUGAAUUCUUCAUGUUAGAUUUCUCUCUUUGCUUUCCCUCCUUGCAUUCAUGAUUUGCUUAUGGCAAAGGACUAUAAAGCUUCAAAGUUUAGGUUCUUCAUGUUAAUGAGCUUCCAAUUGCUUUGCCAUGGAUUCCAUAGAACUCUCCUCAAUCUUGGAUUGCUGAUCAAAUUACUAUCAAAAACACCAAAACUUACACAAUUUGAUUAGAAACGAUUGCAAAAGUACUUAAUAUGCUAAUUGGGUUAAAAGGUAAUAACUACUACUCAAAAGUGUUUAAAAGAGUUAAUUACAAGGUACAAAAUAACACUUUUUGAGUAGUAAUCACUCCCCCAACUGACAUAUUGCUAGUCCCUUAGCAAUUAAGGAGAGAAAAAGUAAACUAAACAGUAAUAUACUUUACAAAAUCAUGUUGAUCACUUCAAAAAAUUUUAAGUGGCAUGAUGAUCAAACUCUCACAUGGAACAUUAAAGAAAUAUAAAACUUAAAUUUCAACAAGAGUUAUAAAAUACUUUACCUAAUCACAAUUCCUAAAGAGAAGGCAUUAUGCAAAAUGAAGCUUUAAAAUCAUUUCCACUUCCAAAGGACUAAACCUUACUCUUCCACUUAAAUCUAAGUGUUACUUGAUAGCUUUCGAAUAUAGUAUGCUAAACUAAUCUUUCUCCCCCAACCUAGUUCUUUUUCAACACUUAGCAAAUUGACCAAAUUCAAUAGGCUAAGAACGCACCCUUUUGUUUCACAAUUUUUUUUUCAUUGUAGGAGUACAAGGCUUAAAGGUAUUCUUUUCUAAAUUGUCCAUGUAACGGGGGUCCAUCGAUGACUCCCAACCAAUUAAGGUUUAGGGCAUCAAGCUUUAAGGAUCUUUCAACCACUAACUCCUCGGAUUUUACCCCGAACUUUUGAGAAUGAAAUUUUAAUACCCAAGCACCUACAGCAUGUUAAACUCCACCUAUUCACCCUUGUAACAAGCAUUGAGGUCGGUGACUCCCAACCAAUUAAGGCUUAGGGCACCAAGUUUUAAAGAUUUUCACCAUAUAACCCUCAGACCUUGCUCGGGUUUUAAGGCAAGCAAACAUUUUUUUUUUUUUUUUUUUUUCAAAGGCUCAUUAGCCUUUUAUAAGGUGUCCCAACACUAUUAAAUGAGGUCAAAGGUACCAAGUCUAAAAUUUUCCUAAGUCAAGAGGGAAAUAGUUUUUCAUCUUAUACUUGGAACCUAUUGUGCACAGUGUGUGAAUAGCUUAAAGUGGAAGAACUAAGCUUGAAUUCAAUAGAAGUUUCAACAAUUCAUCAACUUUAUUAAGCAUAAUACAAACUCUAAGUCAUGUGAAAAACAAAAUUUCAAUUUUUCUCAUUUUAAUUUGAGAAUUUUUCCUUAAUAACCAUGGAGAGUAGAAUAAAAACUUUAAAAUUUUUAAAAUUAAACAAAAAUCAACUAAAUUACCAAAAUAACUUAGCAUUAAUCACAAAAAUUCUUUCCUCAACUCUCCCCUCAACCAAGCUGAACAUUGUCCUCAAUGUGGCAUGAGCGAUUGAAAUUACAGGGAGGAAGUGGUGCCUCCUGAAUGAUAUGAAGUUUGAGUAGAAUAGGAGAAACCACAUGUUUCAAAAACAAUAAAAGAUAUGAGUAGAGGAAUUAAAAUAAAAUAAUGCUAAGAGUGCUAAAAAAUUGAUAGAUUUGUAUUACUUCAUGAAAGUACAAUAUAAAGGAAAACAAGUAAUACAACUUAUCCCAAUAUAUAAAAUAUCAAAAGCAUGGGAUUACAAGUGCUACUAUAGUAAGGAAAUACAUAAAGGAAAUACAUAAAGGAAACUAUGCAAAUGAUCAGAUAGUGGUGGGAGGAUGAUGUGAAGAUGAUGGCUCAGCUGUAGAGGACGGAAUGCUCGGGGUGGAUGCCUCUGUCUCUCCUGUAGACUGCUCGUUAGAGGGCAUAGUCUGCUCUACGAAAUGAGGGACCUGUGAUGGCUCUAUGGGCUUUGAGAUGAUAGGAAUGGGGUGCUUAGGAGUUGAUAGAAUACCUAGAUGGUGCUGAAUCUGCUUAAGGAUGGUAGUAUGCUGAGUCUGAGUGGCGAUAAUCUACUCCUAAUGGGCACGAAAAGUUGUCAUCUACUGAGUGAGGAUGCUCUGAGAAGUGGUCAAUGCCUACAAAGUGUGACAUAGGCCUCUAUACUCGGAAAUGGAUAUGGCGAUCCUAGGCUCAGAUGAAGGAGGGGGCUCUGAUAUAGAUGGAAUAACAGGGGGAGUCCCUGGUGUGGCAUGAGGAGCAGAGGGUGCAACAUCAGGUAUAGACUCUGUAGAGGGCACUGCAGGGGCAGGUGCUCUCAUGCCAGCUGGUAUCUGAACCGGCUGUGGCUCAUAUGGCUGCUCUAGAUGUGGAAUCUCUGGAUGCUCUGGUUUAACUGGGGCUCCCGGCUCUGCACCAUAGGCUUUCAUACUCGUCCAUUUGUCGAGAGUGAAUAUCUCUCGGCAAAUGCGUUUGCGCUCAAGCUGAGGCUCUGAUGGGUAUCCCAAGUACUCCAAAAUCUGGCAUAAUAAUCUGGGGAAGAGAAGUGGAAUAGCAUCCGCUCUGAGCAGCUUUUUCCUAUGGACCUUCUCUUCAAAGUAUAGAAGAACGGCCAUAAUGAGAUGAUGAGGACCAAAGAAGAAUCCCUCAGAUAUCCUAAACAAUGCCUCUAGAAAAACUCCUCUCCUCUACACCCAAUGUUGAAGUGGAAAGAUCUUAUGGCGUAGGAGUGCAUCUAUAAAAAAACAUGCUAGGAGGGAGCUCCUUCCUCAACGGAUACUGGCGUGUGGAUGCCCCUCUGGACAAAAUAUGAACUAUGUCGCUUUGGGAAGGAUGAGUCCAGACUCGAUAAUCCUUUGGACAGGCUGGCUCGUAGGGAAUACGCAGUGCCUUUUGUCACGGACUUAGUCGUUCACUAAGCUCGUGCGGCACUUAGACAAGCCAAGACGCUUGAUCUUGCUAAGUCAGCCUUGCUCCCCAAUGCUUAGCUUGCUAGGCUAAGACACUUGCAACUCAAAAGCUUAAGAAGCUUGGUAGGCAACUCCUUAAAGAAUGGAAGCUUUAUUAUCUCAAGAAAGCCUUUACAAGUGCUUGGAUGCUCACUUGCUUGGUUAGGAAGUGAUUUGGGUGGUGCCUUGGCCAAAUGAGGCCCUCACCUAUUUAUAGGCACCAAGGGAACUCUCUAGAACCUUGGAGGGUUCCCUUACAAAUCAAGAAUAUUCUAGAACAUCCUACCCUAUUCUAUGUACAACCCUAUGUACAAGAGAUUCCUAGAAGUCUCUAGAAAGCCUUGGACUCCUCCCAUGCCUUCCACCAUAGUGUAGAGAUGUGUGGACAUCUCUAGGCAUUUCUAGAACCUUCCACACUCUUCCCACCAAUGACUUAGUGUAGAUGGCUCCAGGAGUCUCCAGAAGCUUCCCUCCUCCUAUAUAAGCCCAUGGGGAGGGUCAUUUGAAACAUCCUGUGACACUCUCCCCCACCGAUGCCGUCGACGUCCUCGUCGUUGCCUCAUUCUGAAACCUCUCGAUGUGUUUCCAGAAUUUUCUCAAGGCAUCCGCAUGUUCCCAGCUUACCCGCCUCUUAGGUAGUCCUUUCCAUCGGACUAGAUACUCUAUCACAGGAGGGACCCCUUGUCUCCUGGUGACCCGUUCAGCCAGGAUAUUCUUCACCUCCUUCUCCCGUGAGGCUCCAGAUGGAUGCAGACCCGUGCGCUUUCGAUGCUUAGAGUGCUGCUUCCUCUUACCCAUUGAGUUCACCUUUCCCUUGGUGACCUCUUCCAUGUGGGUGCGGGCUACCUCAGCUCGCUCCCCUUUUUCCUCCUUUACUUGCACCCCUGCUAGUAAGGAGGUCUCAGGCGUACUAGGCUUCGGGUUGAAUUGGAGGGCACCUAGUAGCUGCAUUGAGCCCAUAUGUGCUUCGUCCUCCUGCUCCCUCUCCUCGAUCAUGGCACUGAGCGCCUUCCUCUUUGGACAAUCCCGUGCCCAAUGUGGUCCGUCACAUAGGAAGCAUUUGAUUUUAGGCGUAAACUCCUUCCUUUCCGCCUUAUCCCUUCCUUCCCGGACGUUAGACGUCUUGCCUGAUCCCUUUUUUAGGAGCAUUGUGGUCCCUUGGAACCUCGUCUCCCCCACCCAUGGCGUGGCUAUCCUCCAAAGACUCGACCUUGGAGGAGUCUCCUCUCUUAUAAUCCGUUAAAGAUUCUGCUACUGCCAUAGCAGUGGCUAAGUCUUGAACACCUCGGCGCCUUAAUUCCUGCUCGGCCCACCCUUGCAGGUUAUCCAUGAAGUUGAAUAGCAGCUCCUCUUGAGUCAUGUUAGGAAUCUCAAGCAUGAGCGAAGAGAAUUCCUUGACGUAGUCGCGUAUUGAGCUUGUGUGCUUAAGACGCCGCAUGUUUUUCCUAGCCAGGUAAGCCACGUCCUCGGGGUAGAACUGCUUUUUGAUCUCCCUCUUGAAAUCCUCCCAUGUCUCUAUGGUGCAAAUGCCUUUCUCCAUAUCGGCAAACCUUCGACACCACCAUAGAGUAGCUGUGUCAGUAAGGUAGAGAGUUGCAGUUCUUACCUUAGCCGCCUCAUCCGUCAAUGCGAUAGCCUCAAAGUAUCGCUCCAUAUGCCAUAAGAAGUUAUCCAACUCCUUGGCAUCCCGAUUGCCACUAAACCUAUGUGGCUUCGGCACCUCCACCCUAGAUGCCUCCUGAGUGGCCAUGACCCGUGCCGACACAGCAGCCUUGUAGAUGGCCAACUCCUGCCUAACUUCCUGGUCUCGGGACUCCAUUCGAGUGGCCAAGGCCUCUAUCCUUGACUCCAUGCUAGCAAGCAUGCUCAAGACUUUUCCUUGGAAGGACACAAACUCCUCGUGCGACACUGGCUGAACUUGUGAGACUAGCACCCUCUCACGAAGGUCUUGGAUCUGCUCCCUUAGAUCCUCUAAGCCCUUCUCCAUGCCUUGCUCGAUCAAGUCCAACCCCUCCCGAGUGUCCGCCAUGGCUAGCUCCACCUUGGCUAACCUUGCCUCCAUGUUGGCAACGGCAUCACGAGAUUUAUCCUUCCUGCCCCUGCCCCGUGCAGUAGGCUCGGUCUCCCUCCCACGGGUUUGCUCACUAGUCUCCUCCACGUUGGAACCCGACAUGCUUCCUUUGCUAUGCCCACCUCGUAACCGCGCUCUGAUACCACUUGUCACGGACUUAGUCGUUCACUAAGCUCGUGCGGCACUUAGACAAGCCAAGACGCUUGAUCUUGCUAAGUCAGCCUUGCUCCCAAUACUUAACUCACCCGGCUAAGACACUCGCGACUCAAAAGCUUAAGAAGCUUGGUAGGCAACUCCUUAAAGAAUGGAAGCUUUCUAUUACUCAAAGAAGCCUUUACAAGUGCUUGGAUGCUCACUUGCUUGGUUAGGAAGUGAUUUGGGUGGUGCCCUGGCCAAAUGAGGCCNNNNNNNNNNNNNNNNNNNNNNNNNNNNNNNNNNNNNNNNNNNNNNNNNNNNNNNNNNNNNNNNNNNNNNNNNNNNNNNNNNNNNNNNNNNNNNNNNNNNACCACUUGUCACGGACUUAGUCGUUCACUAAGCUCGUGCGGCACUUAGACAAGCCAAGACGCUUGAUCUUGCUAAGUCAGCCUUGCUCCCCAAUGCUUAGCUUGCUAGGCUAAGACACUUGCAACUCAAAAGCUUAAGAAGCUUGGUAGGCAACUCCUUAAAGAAUGGAAGCUUUAUUAUCUCAAGAAAGCCUUUACAAGUGCUUGGAUGCUCACUUGCUUGGUUAGGAAGUGAUUUGGGUGGUGCCUUGGCCAAAUGAGGCCCUCACCUAUUUAUAGGCACCAAGGGAACUCUCUAGAACCUUGGAGGGUUCCCUUACAAAUCAAGAAUAUUCUAGAACAUCCUACCCUAUUCUAUGUACAACCCUAUGUACAAGAGAUUCCUAGAAGUCUCUAGAAAGCCUUGGACUCCUCCCAUGCCUUCCACCAUAGUGUAGAGAUGUGUGGACAUCUCUAGGCAUUUCUAGAACCUUCCACACUCUUCCCACCAAUGACUUAGUGUAGAUGGCUCCAGGAGUCUCCAGAAGCUUCCCUCCUCCUAUAUAAGCCCAUGGGGAGGGUCAUUUGAAACAUCCUGUGACACUUUGCUAUGUGUCUGGUACCCAGAAUACCAUGGCGUCCGUCUAUGGUGAAGUGGAUGACAAUAGGAUAUCGAACCUGGUGUGUGGUCAUGGAUUGAUAAAAGUCCAAUGCUACACGGGGAUAGAAAAAAUCCCUGGGAGUCAUCAAGUGCUCCAUAUGGUACCUUUGCAGCAGAUGGAAGGAAUUCUUAAGGUCUGGCUGAAGUCUAAAAGUAGUUGUGUCAAAGCAAAGCUCGGAGUGGAAUGGCUUAGCCCUGCAAUCCAAAUUACCCUCAAUGGGUGGUUAAGUGACCAUGGGACGUCUAAUAACCACCUCAGGAGUCAUGCCUGAGGGAAUCUGAGACUCUAUGGCUGGUGGAUGAGGCUCUGAUGGAGGCUCUGAAGAUGGCUCUGAUAAGUCAAUUGGUGUUGAUACCCUGGCUUUCUUCUUUGGGGGACGGCUACCUGACUUUUUGGCUAGGGAAGAACUUGCCCCGGGUGUGGUGGGUGGUCUCCUCGUCUCAUAGUGCCUCGAAGGAGGACUCAAGGGUGUGUCCUCAAUUGGAGGUGGGAUGACCAGUGGCCGUGGAGGCUCGGGUAUGGUGCCUUGAAUAAGGGUCUCUCUUGGGGCUCUUAGGCGGCUUGAUGGAGACGAGGACUUAGUUCCUCGGUUUUUUUCCAUGGCUAUCUCAAAGAAGGUAACCGAAGGUGCACGCACGGCUUGGGUUCAGAUGGGGGUUAGAUGGAAGGUUGCUCUGGUUUGGCUCCUCUUUGGCACCUAUUUGAAGUUGAAAUGACCGGUUUAAAACGAAAUGUGGAAUUUAUAACGUUUAAAAAUGGAUGCCAAGGGACGGUUCUAAUUUUCACAGCGGAGAGGCGAUUUCGUAGCGGAGGGUCAAUUUCAUAGCGUAGGGGCAUUUUCCCAGCCCAUUUCGUAGCUGCGAAAUGAGAGAGAGGGGGGGGGGGGCUGCGAAAUGGCACUCGUAUGCCAAAGGGGUGUUUCGCAGCCCCAAGAAGCCCUCUGCGAAAUGGGGCUAUGACUGCGAAAAUUGGAUUUUUAAAGCUUUGGGGAUUUCGCAGAGCAUUUCGCAGUUGCGAAAUGAGGCUAGGGGCUGCGAAAUGGCACUCAUGUGCCAAAGGGGUGUUUCGUAGCUGCGAAAAUUUUCGUAGAGGGGGUGCAUGGGGUUGUGAAAUCAUUUCACAGCCAAGCCCUGAUUUCGCAGCGGACUUCUUGGGGCUGUGAAAUUAUUUUGUAGCUAAGGGCCAUUUUCGUAGAGGCCUCCUUUGGGUUGCGAAAUCUCACAGACCAUGGUUUUUCUCUUGCUCCUGAGCUGCUUUUGACUCUAAGAGACCUUCCUUCAAUUUCUUUGCAAUUCCUCCUAAAUUAGAUCAUUCAAAAAGAUUAAGUUACAUAUAAACAACACAAUUUAAGACCAAAAUUAAAAUCAAAGCAAUUACUGAAGCUUUUAAAUUAACAAAAUUAAACAAAAAAUAUGGACUUUGGUGAAACCAAGUCCAUCUAACCCUUUUCUGAUUAGGCUUUCUGUGGCUCAAGAAGGUUGAUUUCCUCAUUUUCUUGCUUGAAUGGCUCAAUGAAUGGCUUGAGACGAUGACCAUUGACUUUAAAAGUGUAUGUGCUAUUGGAAUUUAGUAAUUCCACCACUCCAUUGAGAUGCACUUGGUGAAUAAUGAAAUGGCCUAUCCACCUUGACUUAAGCUUCCCAGGAAAGAUAUGGAGCCUUGAAUCAUAGAGUAAGACUCUUUGUUCUUUCCAGAAUUCUUUGUUGGAGAUUAAUUGAUCAUGCCACCUCUUCAUCCUCUGCUUUGCAACUUUGGAAUUGAUGUAAGCAUCAUUUCUUAAUUCCUCCAUCUCAUUAAGGUCUAAGCACCUCUUUGCCCCGGCUCUGAUCAAGUCCCUGUUUAACCUCUUGAUUGCCCACCAAGCCUUAUAUUCAACUUCCACAGGGAGAUGGCAUGCUUUGCCAUAGACUAGGAGAUAGGGAGACAUGCCAAGAAUAGUCUUGUAAGUUGUUCUAUAUGCCUAUAGUGAAUCAUGAGCUUAAUAGACCAAUCUCUUCUGCUCGUGAUCACCACCUUCAUCAAUAUGUUCUUGAUUUCCUUGUUUGCUAGCUCAACUUGCCCGAAAGUCUGAGGGUGAUAAGGUGUGGCUACCUUAUACUUCACUCUAUACUUGGCUAAUAGGGUUUCAAAAGGUCUGUUGCAAAAAUGAGUACCUCCAUCACUGAUUAUGGCCUUGGGCACCUGAUUACUACCAAAAAGUGCUAUUUUGUAGACCUAAUUAUAAUGGUUUUAAGCACCUUUGAGUAGUAAUCAUAUUCAUUUAACCCAAUUAAUUCAUUAAGGUCCUUAGCAAUUGGUUUUAACCAUUUUGUGGCAAGUUUACAUGUUUUUAUCAGCUUGUGAAUCAAUUCAAGCAUGCCAAAUGAUGGAGGAGCUACUUGGACAAGUUAUGGAAAAGCUUUUGGAAGCUCAAAUUCAUGAAGAACCAAGCUUUGGAGCUCCAUAGCCCUUUGCCAAAGUCGUUCAAAGUAUGCAAGGAAGGAACAAUGGAGAAGAGGAAAACAGAGGACAGCAGAUGCGGUCUUCUUUGGCACUUUUGGAGCACUUCCCGAAGUCUAUUUUCUACAUGCUAUAUACCAUUUCAAAGCUGAAGAAGUCAAGAAUCCAAUGCUUCAAACCGUGUACGAUUUGGAGCUGAAAUGAGGAAGAUAUGGCCUUCGGAAGACAACUGCUCCAGGGGUGUGCGAAAUUUUCGCACAACACCUUCCAAAUUCGCACACCCCCUUGCAUGGUGCGAAUUUUCCCCUGUUUCUGCCGACUCCACUUUAGAUCUUUUAUUUUAGAUAUUUUUGUAUAAAUUUCCAUUCUUCUCCUUGUAAUCCACCAAUCAUAAGAUUUCUUAGCUAGGAAGGUUGGAAAAACUUCUCUAUUUAUAUCCCCUUGCAUCCGUUGUAAGAGAGAGGAUUGAAAUAUUGAUAUAUUGAUAUAUAGACUUAGAAUUUUUACAGAGCUCUCUCGUUUCUAUUUUCUUAGUAGCCAAACAGCCUUUGAGGGUUUUUCAUCAAAGGAUGAUUGGCUAAAACUUUUAGUUUCUCAAAGUAUGGAUGUUAUGUGAUGGCUUGGAUGCACUCCCAUGGAAAUUUCUCGCACCUGGAAGGUAAGGUAGUCGUUUUUCAUUAAAGGUUCAUUAAUGCAAAGUUUGGUUUUUAUUUCCUUUGGACAACUUCCAACGGCCAAUACUUGAUAAGCUGUUGGAUUUCUAUCCAUUAGUUAUCUCCUACGAGCUAUUGGAAGGUGAGGUUUUCAAUUCCAAGUUUUGCAUUAAUCCGUUAGAACCAAUUUCAAUGGCCAUUGAAAGGUGAGUUUAUCACAUGGAAUGACUUUGAGUUGCCAAUAUUUGGUAAGCUUUUGGCUUUAGACCAUUAGUUAUCUCUUACGAGCCAUUCAAAGGAAGUCUAAGGUGAAUAACCAUUGAUGAAAUUCACUACCAUCUAUUUUGCCAUUUUAAAGGAUUAAAACUUGAUUUGCUAAAUCCAUACCGGUUCGGGAAGCAAGCAUCACCAUAGUUGCAACCCCAACGCGAGGAGCCUAUCCUAAGAUUUCCAAUUUGCAUAAGAGCCAGAGCAUAGCUAUCCUAUCUUUGAGAAACUUGUUUUUACACCCUUUCAUUUUAGUCUUUAAUGUUAGCUUAGAUUAGAUUAAAUCUUUUUAAAACAUUUACAUCUUCUUUUAAAGCUAACAUCCAUAAGAAAAUCACCUAUUUUCCUAAUUUGAAUAUCACUUGUGUUUGCGAAAACCCUUCCCAGUGAACGAUCCUAGAACCACUAUGCUAUAGUAGCUUGGCUACUUUAGUAAUAGUAUUCAAGGUAUAAAUUUUGUUGAUACGCCUUUAAAGCUAAGCUACCAUGAGUCGAAUCAAAUGGCGCCAUUGCCGGGGAAGGUGCCACAAGCACAGUGAAGCAACCAUUAAGGGUAACUUGUGAUCUUCAUCACAAGUUUGGUGAGUUUUCUUAUAAUUUUUUUUGUUUUUUUUAUUUAGUUUUUAUUUAGUUAAAUUUUUUUGUUCUCUUUUAUUUUAUUUUUGUUUUAAUUUCAAUUUGUGCAUUCCUUGUUGGAUUCGAGACCAAGAGGGAACCCUGGUACAAGUUGAAGAAAAGAGCCUUAGUUGAAUAUCAUUUUUUUUUAUAAAUGGAAAUUCCACAUGAAGAUCAAAGCUCUCAUUAUGAUCAUGAGAAGGACAAAUUUGCAUACUUAUCCAUGAGGGAUCGGAUUGAAUUAGGGAAAAGGCAAGCUCAACAAAGCCAAUGGGGUAGUAAGUAUGCUUUGAAUGAAGACAUGAGCAUGAAGGCAAACUAGCAUCUAUGGUUAGAAGGAUAGAAGAGUUUGAAUUGAGGAAUGUGCAUACUGAAGCACAACCACAAGCCAUGCCAACUUCAUUUGAGUAUAUAAACCAUCCCAACCUUACAACCCACCCUCAACCUCAACCAUCAAUGAGUACAUCUUCAUUGGAGCAAGCCAUUUUAAAGAUAAGCAAAGUCAUGGAGGACUUUGUAGGUGAGCAACAAAAGAUCAACUCUCAUGUUAAUGAAAAGAUUGAUAAUAUGGAGAGUUCAAUAAAUGUAAGAAUGAAGGGGGUUUAUAAUGAUCUAUCACUAAGGAUAGAAAAAGUUCAAGACUCCAUUGAGAAGCUCACCAAUCUCGACAUAGCAAGGGGGAAAAGGAAGCUUCCUCCUCAACCCCACCAUAACCUUCAAGGAACCAAUGCAAAAAGAUCAAGAAAAUUGUUGAAGAUCGACACUUUGGUGGGGGAUUGCUAUGACAACUCUAUGGACCAACCUUCCACUGAAAAUCAUAAGGUUCAAGAUGAUAAAGGGUUACUUGAACCCUUUAAAGCAUCCACUUCUCCAGGGAAGAGAAGAGAAACGAAUUCCCUUGGACCAAAUGGGAAGGAUGCCAAUUUUGUUUGGGAUCCAGGGGGAAUUCAGCAUGAAGUGGGUGUGUGAGUGAGGAUGAGCUAAAUAGUUCAUCUUCUUUUUGGGGUACAUGCUAUCAGCUUCAUUUAAAUUCUAUGUUUUCUUUAAAAUUAUGCAUGUUUUAGUUUGAAUUAUUAGCUUUAAUUUAGUUUUAAUAUGUUUUUAAGAUGAGUUUUGAAGUGUUCAUGCAGGUAUGAUGCUUGCAAAAAUCGAAGUUAUGAUGAUCAACACAGGGGAAGCCAAAAACAGGGGAAAACAGGGGAGAAAAGCCAAGCACCACCCCAUUUUGGCAACUGUUGGGCCCAUUUCGAUUACUUCCUGAAGUCCAUUUUCUACAUACUAUAUAUCGUUUCGAAGCUCGGGAAGUCAGGAGUCCAACGCUUCAAACGGUGUCCAAAUUGGAGUUGAAACGAAAAAGUUAUGGUCAUUGCAAGAAAACUGGACCGAGCUGAGCGGGAAUUUCGCACACCUCAAUCCAAGGUGCGAAAAAUUUCGCACCGUGCGAAACACCUCCUGGCACAUGAGUGCCAUUUCGCACACCUCAAGCCCAUUUUUGCACCGUGCAAAACAAGGUGCGAAAAUUUCGCACACCACAAUUCAAGGUGCGAAAUUCAUUCCAACGUGCGAAUUCGAGUGCGAAAAUUUUGCUACUGUUGGACACAAUUUUGAAGCACUUCCUGGAGCUCAAAUUAUGCAUAUGAUAUGUCGUUUUGAAGCUUGAGAAGUCAGGAAUCCAAUUCUUCAAAAGGUACGUGAUUUGGAUUUGAAACGAAGAAGUUAUGGCCGUUUGAAGAUGACUAUGCAAAGCUGAACGAAAUGUUGCAGCCGCACCAAAUUUCACUACUGUUAGACACGUUUUUGGAGCACUUCCUGGAGCUCAAAUUAUGCAUGCUAUAUAUCAUUUUGAAGCUUGGGAAGUAAGGAAUCCAUUGCUUCAAACGGUGCAUGAUUUGGAUUUGAAACGAAGAAGUUAUGGCUGUUUGAAGACAGACUGCGCAAAAGUGCGAAAAUGUCCAAAUGUCUUUUAAACCAAUUUUUAAACACCCAAGACUCAGUUUUUCAUUCCUAAAAGCCAUUUUCGACUUUUGAAAGAGUUUUUAAACAUGUGACCAUCCAAAUUCCACCCCUUCCUCUCUAUUUGAAGCCUCAGGAACAUGCAUUAGAGGAGAGAGCACCCCCGUGCACCAUUUGAGAACUCUCUGGAAAUCAUGAACAGCCACCUCUCUCCAUUCCAGCCAUGGCCAAGACUAGAGGAGAGCCCUGUGCACCCUGGGAUCACACACCAAGCCUCUCACUCCAUUUUUAAACCUCCUAAAACCAUCACAGCCCAUAGCUCCAGCUGAGAGCUCCAGUUGAGAAGACUAUGCCACCUAAGGAGACUACUAGAGCAGAGGCCAAAGUCCUGAUCCAACUCACUCAGAAGGCCACCACAAAUGCAUCAGCUCCACAGGACCCUUCUAUUACUUGCUCAUCUCUUUAUUUUUUGUAUUUACUUAUUAUAUUAGUAUACAUAAUUCCAUGUUUUGAUGUCUUAUAUUCUGGGAUUGGAUGUAUUACUGAUGAUACAUCAUAUAUAGACAUCAUUUUUUAAACUUGGCAUUUUUCUAUUUCCUCUACUCACUAACUCUUAUGUUUUCUUUGAAACAUGUGGUUUCUCCUAUACGACUCAGACUCCAUGUCACUCAGGAGGUACCACUUCCUCCCUAUUUUUUAAUCACUUUUGAAACAUUGAGGACAAUGUUCAGCUUGGUUGGGGGGAGAGUUGAGGAAGGAAGUUUUGUUAUUAAUGCUAAUUUAUUUUGGUAAUUUAGUUGCUUUUUGCUUAAUUUUUAAAAUUUUUAAAGUUUUUUGAAUACUCUCCAUGGCUAUUAAGGAAAAAAAUUUCAAAAUAAAAUGGGAGAAAUUAAAUUUUUGUCUUUUUACUUGAAACUUAGAGUUUGUAUUAUGUUUAUUAAAGUUGAUGAAUUAUUGAACUCUUAUUGAUUUCAACCUUAUUUCUUCCACUUUAAGCUUAUCACACACCGUGCACACUAGGUUCCGUUUAUAAGAUGAAAAACUAUUUUCCCCCUUGACUUAGGAAAAUUUAGACUUGGUACCUUUGACCUCAUUUUAAUAGUGUUGAGACACCUUAUAAAAGGUCAAUGAGCCUUUGGAAAAAGAAAGAAAAAGAAAAAUGUUUUACUUGCCUUGAAACCCGAGCAAGGUCUAAGGGGUAUAUGGUGAAAAUCUUUAAAGCCUGGUGCCCUAAGCCUUAAUUGGUUGGGAGUCACCGACCUCAAUGCUCGUUACAUGGGUGAAUAGGUGGAGUUUAGCAUACUGUAGGUGCUUGGGUAUUAAAAAUUCAUUCUCAAAAGUCCGGGGUGAAAUCCGAGGAGUUAGUGGUUGAAAAAUCCUUAAAGCUUGAUGCCCUAAACCUUGAUUGGUUGGGAGUCAUCGAUGGACCCCCGUUACAUGGACAAUUUAGAAAAGAAUGCCUUUAAGCUUUGCACUCCUACAAGAAAAAAAUUGUGAAAGAAAAGAGGUGCGUUCUUAGCCUAUUGGAGGUUGAUUAGUUUGCUAAGCUUUGAAAAGAACUAGGUUGAGGGGAGAGAUUAGUUUGACAUACUAUAUCCGGAAACUAAUAAAUAACACAUAGAUUUUUGUGGAAGAGUAAGGAUUGGACCUUUGGGAGUGGAAAUUAUUUUGAAGCUUAAAUUUGCAUAAUGCCUACUCUUUAUGAAUUGUGACUAGACAAAAUUAUUUGAUAGCUCCUAUUGAAGUUUGAGUUUUAUUUCUUUCAUGUGCCAUGUGAGAGUUUGAUCCAUGGAUGUCCAUCAUGCCACUCAUAUCAUUUUUUGGAGUGAUUUGGAUGAUCCCUUUUAUGUAUAUUAUUAUAGUUUACUUAGUUUUUAUCUCCUCCAUUGCUAAGGGACUAGCAAUGAGUCGGUUGGGGGGUGUGAUUACUACCAAAAAGUGCUAUUUUGUAGACCUAAUUAUAAUGGUUUUAAGCACCUUUGAGUAGUAAUCAUAUUCAUUUAACCCAAUUAAUUCAUUAAGGUCCUUAGUAAUUGGUUUUAACCAUUUUGUGGCAAGUUUACAUGUUUUUAUCAGCUUGUGAAUCAAUUCAAGCAUGCCAAAUGAUGGAGGAGCUACUUGGACAAGUUAUGGCAAAGCUUUUGAAAGCUCAAAUUCAUGAAGAACCAAGCUUUGGAGCUCCAUAGCCCUUUGCCAAAGUCGUUCAAAGUAUGCAAGGAAGGAACAAUGGAGAAGAGGAAAACAGAGGACAGCAGCUGCAGUCUUCUUUGGCACUUUUAGAGCACUUCCCGAAGUCCAUUUUCUACAUGCUAUAUACCAUUUCAAAGCUUAGGAAGUCAAGAAUCCAACGCUUCAAACUGUGUACGAUUUGGAGCUGAAAUGAGGAAGAUAUGGCCUUCGGAAGACAACUGCUCCAGGGGUGUGCGAAAUUUUCGCACAACACCUUCCAAAUUCGCACACCCCCUUGCAUGGUGCGAAUUUUCCCCUGUUUCUGCCGACUCCACUUUAGAUCUUUUAUUUUAGAUAUUUUUGUAUAAAUUUCCAUUCUUCUCCUUGUAAUCCACCAAUCAUAAGAUUUCUUAGCUAGGAAGGUUGGAAAAACUUCUCUAUUUAUAUCCCCUUGCAUCCGUUGUAAGAGAGAGGAUUGAAAUAUUGAUAUAUUGAUAUAUAGACUUAGAAUUUUUACAGAGCUCUCCCGUUUCUAUUUUCUUAGUAGCCAAACAGCCUUUGAGGGUUUUUCCUCAAAGGAUGAUUGGCUAAAACUUUUAGUUUCUCAAAGUAUGGAUGUUAUGUGAUGGCUUGGAUGCACUCCCAUGGAAAUUUCUCGCACCUGGAAGGUAAGGUAGUCGUUUUUCAUUAAAGGUUCAUUAAUGCAAAGUUUGGUUUUUAUUUCCUUUGGACAACUUCCAACGGCCAAUACUUGAUAAGCUUUUGGAUUUCUAUCCAUUAGUUAUCUCCUACGAGCUAUUGGAAGGUGAGGUUUUCAAUUCCAAGUUUUGCAUUAAUCCGUUAGAACCAAUUUCAAUGGCCAUUGAAAGGUGAGUUUAUCACCUGGAAUGACUUUGAGUUGCCAAUAUUUGGUAAGCUUUUGGCUUUAGACCAUUAGUUAUCUCUUACGAGCCAUUCAAAGGAAGUCUAAGGUGAAUAACCAUUGAUGAAAUUCACUACCAUCUAUUUUGCCAUUUUAAAGGAUUAAAACUUGAUUUGCUAAAUCCAUACCGGUUCGGGAAGCAAGCAUCACCAUAGUUGCAACCCCAACGCGAGGAGCCUAUCCUAAGAUUUCCAGUUUGCAUAAGAGCCAGAGCAUAGCUAUCCUAUCUUUGAGAAACUUGUUUUUACACCCUUUCAUUUUAGUCUUUAAUGUUAGCUUAGAUUAGAUUAAAUCUUUUUAAAACAUUUACAUCUUCUUUUAAAUCUAACAUCCAUAAGAAAAUCACCUAUUUUCCUAAUUUGAAUAUCACUUGUGUUUGCGAAAACCCUUCCCAGUGAACGAUCCUAGAACCACUAUGCUAUAGUAGCUUGGCUACUUUAGUAAUAGUAUUCAAGGUAUAAAUUUUGUUGAUACGCCUUUAAAGCUAAGCUACCAUGAGUCGAAUCAGCACCCAAAAUCUUGAGAAGAUGUUCUCCUUGAGAAACUUGAGAACCACCCUGUGAUCAUUGUGUUUACAGGGGAUUGCCUCAACCCAUUUAGAAACAUAGUCCACCCCCACCAAGAUAUAAGAGUUACCAAAAGACAUUGGGAAAGGUCCCAUGAAGUCAAUGCCCCAAACAUGAAAGAGAUAAACUAUUAGAAUGGGGUUCAUAGGCAUUUGAUUCCUUCUUGUUAGCUUCCCGAGCCUCUGGCAUCUAUCACAGCUCUACACAUGGUGUGGGCAUCUUUGAAAAGUGAUGGCCAACAAAACCCUGAUUGCAACACCUUCAUGGUUGUUUUUUGAGAGGCAAAAUGACUUCCACAUGCACUUUCAUGGCAAUGGCUGAGGAUUCCUUGUUGUUCUUCUUUAGGGACACACUUCCUUAUUAUUUGAUCUGUACCAUACUUGAAAAGGAAAGGCUCUUCCCAAUAAUAAGCAUGAAUCUUUGCAAAGAAGUGUUUCCUGUCUUGUGCUUUCCACUCACUUGGAACUUCACCAGUAACUAAAUAGUUAGCAAUAUGAGCAUACCAAGGAGUUUUUUCUAGCAACAUAAGUGAUUCCUCAGGAAAGUCAUCAUUAAUAGGUAAGACAUGGGAAUUGUGUGCUAUAGCCAACCUUGAAAGGUAGCCAGCUACCACAUUCUCCAUUCCUUUCUUGUCUCUGAUUUGGAGAUCAAACUCUUGUAGUAAAAGAAUCCAUCUAAUCAACCUUGCUUUUGCAUCUUGCUUUGUUAAUAAAUACUUCAAGGCUGAAUGGUCAGUGAAAACAAUGAUGAAAGACCCUACUAGAUAAGCACGAAAUUUGUCUAAGGCAAACACCACAGCUAACAAUUCUUUCUUUGUAGUUGUGUAGUUCCUUUGAGCUUCAUUCAAUGUCUUGCUUGCAUAGUAGAUCACAUAGGCUUUCCAUCUUCUCUUUGGCCAAGCACAGAUCCUAUAACAAAGUCACUGGCAUCACACAUUACUUCAAAGGGUAGUUGCCAGUUGGGAGCCCUCACUAUUGGAGCGGUUGUCAAAAAUUGCUUCAAUUGAUCAAAACUCUUUUGACAUCUUUCAUCCCAUAUAAACUUAGCAUCCUUAGCCAAAAGUUCACAAAGAGGCUUUGAAAGCUUAGAGAAGUCUUUUAUAAAUCUCCUGUAGAACCCUGCAUGGCCAAGGAAUUGCCUUACUCCUUUUAUAGUUGUUGGGGAUGGCAAUUUGACAAUAAGUUCCACAUUUGCUUUAUCAACUUCAAUGCCUUUCUCGGAGAUGAUAUGGCCAAGGACAAUUCCUUGAUGUACCAUAAAAUGACAUUUCUCCCAGUUGAGCACCAAGUCCUUUUCAAUGCAUCUGUUAAGAACCGCUUCCAAGUUAACUAAGCAUUCUUCAAAUGUACCUCCAUAAAUGGAGAUGUCAUCCAUGAAAACCUCCAUAAUUCGCUCCACCAUAUCACUGAAGAUACUUAGCAUACAUCUUUGGAAUGUUGCAGGAGCAUUGCAUAAACCAAAAGGCAUUCUUCUGUAGGCGUAUGUUCCAAAUGGACAUGUGAAAGUGUUCUUCUCCUGAUCUUCAACAUCAAUUUCAAUUUGAAAAUACCCGGAGUACCCGUCCAAGAAACAAUAGAAAGGAUGGCCAGAGACUCUCUCCAACACUUGAUCAAUAAAUGGCAAUGGAAAAUGAUCCUUCCUUGUCACAGCAUUCAAUUUUCUAUAAUCAAUACACACCCUCCAACCUGAAGUGAGGUGUGUAGCAAUUUCUUCUCCCUUUUCAUUUUGAACCACAGUAAUCCCUGACUUUUUUGGUACCACUUGAGUAGGAUUCACCCAAGGGCUGUCAGAUAUGGGGUAAAUAAUACCUGCUUGAAGUAGCUUCAGCACCUCAGCUCGCAAAAAAAUAUAUUUUCUCAAAGUUGAAACGUGGAAUACAUUAUAAAUCUUAGAUAGGCUUAGUGGCAAGGCCACUUUAUACGCCAAAAUGCCUACUCUUUCUAAUAUUUCGAAUGGACCUAAAAAUCAAGGACUAAGCUUUCUCUUUCUCCCAAAUCUCAUUACAAACUUCAUGGGCAAAACUUUUAAGAAAACAUGAUCACCUAUCUUAAACUCUAAAUCUCACCUACGAUUGUUAGCAUAACUCUUUUGUCUACUUUGAGCUGCUUUCAAUCUUUAUUUAAUUAAGACAACCUUUUUAACAGUCAACUGCACAAGUUCAAGCCCCAAAAGUUUCCUUUCUCCAACAUCAUCCCAACAAAUAGGAGAUCGACAUUUCAUACCAUAUAACCCCUCAAAGGGUGCCAUUCCAAUGCUAGCUUGAAAGCUAUUAUUAUAGGCAAACUUUACUAAAGGUAAGUAAGCAUCCCAAUUACCUUUUAGGUCUAAAGUACAAGCUCUCAACAGAUCUUCCAAAACUUGGAUUAUCCUUUUUGAUUGACCAUUAGUCUGAGGAUGGAAAGCAAUACUGAAACUCAAGUUGGUACCCAUAGCUUUUUAUAGACUAUGACCAAAUCUAGAAGUAAAACUUAGAUCCCUAUCAGAUACUAUAGAAAUAGGUACGCCAUGCAUUCUCACAAUCUCCUUAACAUAAAAAGAAGAUAGAUGGUCUAUAGAGAAGUUGACUCUCUUGAGCAAAAAGUGAGUAGACUUUGUCAAUCAAUCCAUGAUUCGUGCCCAGCUGGUGUAUCUUGAUUUUGGUCCUCAGACGGGAGUAAUCAACAAAAUUUAUAACCUAUUACACCAUGUACUAGGAUAGCCUCAGCUAGCAUAGCAUAGUGGCUCUAGGAUCGUUCACUGGGAUGGGUUUUCACUCCACAAUUGAUAUUAAUUCAAAGCUGAAUUGGUGCUUUUUCAUUUCAAGGUUAGCUUUAAAAGAAAACAUAAAGUUGUUUGAAAAGGUUGGUUUUAAGCUAACUAAAAAUAGUAACUGAUUUUAAUUACAAAGAAAAGUGUUUCUUGGAGUUUCAGAUCACUAGGCUCAGGUUCCUUAUACAAAAAGGGAGUUCCGGUCACUUGAAUCUUUUCCUCGCAUUGGGGAUUUAACAUAUAGUUAUUUCUCGAACCGGUGUGGUACAGAUGCUUCCCCUUAAUGGGUUCAAACACUGAAUCCCUCUCACUGAUGCAUCUUGCAAUGGUUCAUACCUCUCACCCAGUAUUGGCCAUUCAAGGUGAUCUUUAACCUUGGAUUAUCCGUCAAAAGCUCGCAAGAGAUAACUAAUGGAUGUCUCCUUGGAGUCCAAAAGCUUACCAAGUGUUGGCUAUUCUAGAAAAUCCUACCUUUAAACCACCUCCCAAAGGCUCGCAAGAGAUAAACUAGUGCAUCUCAAUGGAUGGAGAUCACUUGCCUUACCAAGUGUUGGCCCAGGUGAUUUAAAGGCGUUUUAAGUUAAUUAAAAACAUAGAAACCAUUAACGGAUCACACUUUCUCUUCAUUAAAAACUUGAAACAACAAAACUUCUAAUUUUUGCAUUCGAAAACUUACCCAGCUUUCUUCACUCCAAGAGACAAAAAGCCUAGCCACUCAUCCUCUGAGGAAACAUCCUCAGAGUUUGAUUUCCUAGAAAUAAAAAUAACGAGAAAACAAAAAUAUGAAGGAAAAGCAGAGCAAGUGCUCUGUAGAUAUAUUUCUUCAAAACUAUACAAAAAGUUGUCUCUGAGAACAAGCUCCCGAGAUAUUUUUUCAAAGAAAAUUACAAACUAUAUAUAUGAGGUUAUUCACCCUUUGUUCUUACUUAUUAACUAAGGAAUCUUAUGAUUGGUGGAUUACAAGAAGAAAAUGGGGAUUUAAACAACAAAUAUCUGAAGAAAAAAUCUAAAAGUGUCGGUUGCAAAUAUCUGGAAACACUCAGGAGGAUUUCGCAGGCAUGCAAGAUGGGCUGCGAAAUUUCGCAAACUAAAGGUCUCCAUUUCGCAGCCAAAGGCUGAUACACAGCUGCGAAAUUGGCCUUCAGCUUGGUGUGAUUGGCUUCCAAUGGCUACAACUUCUUCAUUUCAACUCCAAUUUGUGUACCGUUUGAAGCGUUGGAUUUUUGACUUCCCGAGCUUCAAAACGACAUAUGGUAUGCAUGAAAUGGACUCCAGGAAGUGCUCGAAAAGUGUCCAACAGUUGCUGUCCUCUUGAAUUCUUCAUGUUAGAUUUCUCUCUUUGUUUUCCCUCCUUGCAUUCAUGAUUUGCUUUUGGCACAGGACUAUAAAGCUUCAAAGCUUAGGUUCUUCAUGUAAAUGAGCUUCCAAUUGCUUUUCCAUGGAUUCUAUAGAACUCUCCUCAAUCUUGGAUUGCUUUGGUGAUCAAAAUACUAUAAAAAACACCCAAACUUAACACAAUUUGAUUAAAAAUGAUUGCAAGGGUCCUUAACAUGCCAAUUGAGUUAAAAGGUAAUAACUACUACUCAAAAGUGUUUAAAAGAGUUAAUUACAAGCUAUAAAAUAGCACUUUUUGAGUAGUAAUCAAUCCACAAUCACCCAAAUAACAUUAUUACUCCCUAAGGUUCUUGGCAAUCCCAUCACAAAAUCCUAGUAAUAUGUUCCCACUUCCAAUUAGGAAUAGAAAAUGGUUGCAAACCCUACUGAUCAUUGAUGCUCAGCUUUCACCUAUUGACACACCAAACAUUGAGCCACAAAAUGUGCAAUAUCUUGCUUCAUACUUGACCACCAAUAAUUCUGUCUCAAAUCUUUGUACAUCUUCAUCUUUCUUGGGUGGACCACAAGCUUAGAACAAUGAGCUUCCUCAAAAAGCUAUCUCCUUAAGUCUACAUCAUUUGGAACACAAAGUCUAGUCCCAAACCUCAAGAUCCCAUCAUUUAAUAAAACAAAGUCAAGCAUACUGCCCCUUUUAACUUCAUCUGUAAGUUGCACUAAUUUCAAACCAUUCUUUUAUAAGGUCUUAAUUCUUCUAAGUUUGGUUGUACUCUAAAAUUCGCCACAAGUGCUCUUAAGUCCGGAACUCUAAUAUGGACUUGCAAACUCCUCAAAUCCUCUAUUAAUUGCCUUUGUUAACCUCUAAUAGCUGUUAAGGAACCAACUAAUUUCCUACUUAAGGCAUCAACUACAACAUUCGUCUUCAUUGGAUGAUACUAAAUAAUACAAUCAGAGUCCUUAAGUAGUUAUAUCCAUUUUCUCUAUCUCAUGUUCAAUUCCUUUUAGGAAAACAAAUACUUCAAGCUCUUAUGAUUUAUGAGUUAACUCCAGAUCAUGAGUAGGUUAAUUUUGCUCAUAAGGCUUCAACUGUCUAGAAGCAUAAGCCACAACCUUCCCAUGUUGCAUGAGGACACAACCCAAACCUUGAUAAGAGGCAUCACUAUACACUACAAAUCUUCCUAAACCUAAAGGGAUAGUCAAAAUAGGAGUUGUCACUAAUAUGCUCUUUAACUCUUGAAAACUACGUUCAUAGUCAUCAAACCACUCAAACUUAACCCCUUUUUGUGUCAACUUAAUAAAAGGUAGGGUGAUCUUAGAAAACCCCUCAAUAAACCGCCUAUAGUAACUAGCAAGUCCUAAGAAACUUUGGAUCUUAGUCACAGUACUAGGUCUCCUCCAAUUUGCUACAAUGUCUACCUUUCUAAGGUCAAUUGAGAUGUCAUCCUUAGUUACCACAUGCCCAAAAAUGAGACUCUAUCUAACCAAAACUCACACUUCUUCAAUUUAGCAUACAACUGCUUAUCUCUUAGGGUUUGUAAUACAAUACUCAAAUGAAGGUCCUGUUUUUCUCCACUCCUUGAGUACACCAAAAUAUCAUCUAUAAAAGCCAUAACAAGCUAAUCUAGAUAGGGUUUGAAUACCCUAUUCAUUAAAUCCAUAAAGGAAGUAGGUGCAUUAGUCAAACCAAAAGGCAUAACCAAAAACUCAUAGUGCCCAUAUCUAGUUUGAAAAAUAGUCUUAGGUUCCUCACCUUUGACUUUCAACUAAUGAUAUCCAAACCAAAGGUCGAUAUUAGAGAACACACAUGCACCCUGAAGUUGAUAAAACAAGUCACCAAUUCGAGGAAGAGGAUCCUUAUUCCUCAUGAUCACCUUAUUUAACUCCUUAUAAUCAAUACAAAGUCUCAUUGAUCCAUCCUUCUUCUUCACAAAUAAAACAAGAGUUCCCUAAGGUGAAACACUAGGCCUAAUAAAACCCUUAUCUAACAACUCCUAAAGUCAAGCCUUCAACUCAUUAAGCUCCAUAGUUGCCAUCUUGUAUGGAUUCUUAGAGAUAUGAGCUAUUUUUGGUAUCAAAUCAAUGGUAAACUUCACAUCCCUCUUUGGUGACCAGCCAGGCAAAUUGUCUAGAAAGACAUCAGGAAAAUCCCUUACAAUGGGAUUUUUUCUCCUCUUUUAAAUCAUUUUCAUCACUCGUCACAUAAGCCAAAAAGCCUUGACAACCCUUUCUAAGAAAGAAACUAGCUCGUAAGACCGAGAUCAUACAUAGUGGUCUAUCCAUAUGCUUAUCCUUAAAAUUGAACUCAGGCUGACCAACUAUGCUAAACAAUCAAUAGAGACAUGAUAGGAAGCUAACCAAUCCAUUCCCAAAAUUACAUCAAAAUCUUGAAGGUUAAGAAGUACUAUGUCAACUGGCAUUUCCCUAUAACCAAUCAUCACAAGACAUUCUCUAAGCAUUCUACUCGUCAUAACAAAAUCUUCUAUAGGAGUAGUAAUAAUCAAAUCAAAGUCCAUACUAGCAAUAGGCAUACCCAACAAACUAGUAAAAGAUAUUGAAACAAAAAAGUGUGUCGAGCCUAGAUCAAAUAGGGUUUUAGCAAAUAAAGUGUGGGUUCAGAUAGUACUUGUCACCACAUAAGUAGUGGCUUGAGCAUCUUGAUGAGUCAUAUCAAACACCUGCCCUUGGGCCCUAGGAUUUUGUUUAUCCUCCUUAUUCUCCUAUUUAAUCUUUCCAAUGAUAAACAUUUUAUUCUUUAGACAAUCCCAAAUCAUAUGUCCUUGCUUCCCACAACCAAAGCAAGCUCCAAUCUCUCUAUAGCAUGGCCUACCCCCAUGCUUCUUACCACAAGUAGGACAAAUCACAUCUGAAUUUUGUGUUAUCUUCCCCUUAUUUUGAUUUCUAGUAGAAGUAGACCUUUUCUAUGCUUGGUUACCAUGAGCAUCAUCACUCCUAUUCCCCUUCCUUUGUUAUUCCCUAUACUAAUGAAACUCCUCAUUAUCAUUUUUUGCAAUAAGGGCUUUCUCCACAACCUCUGAACAGACACCAAGCUUCAGAAUAGUUAUCUUGUUCUUCAUGUAGGGCUUGAAUCCAUCCUGAAACUUUAAUGCUUUUUCCUCUUUCGUAGCAAUCAAGUGUGGGGAAAAAUGUGAUAACUCUAUAAAUUUGGACUCAUAUUGGGCCAGAGUCAUCUCCCUUUGUUCCAAAUGAAAAAACUCGUCUAACAUUGUUAGGAAAAUACUUCUUAUAGAAGCCUCCCUAAACUAUCUCCAUGUUAUAGGUCUCGGAUCCUCCAAAAGCCUCUUGGCCAUGCGCCACCAAUGAUCUGCCUCUUUGUCUAACAUAAAUGCUGCAUAAGAGGCUUUUUGCUCCUAAAAGCAAUCUAUGACAUCAAAGAAUCCAAGCCUCUGCCUCUGUUGGAUUUGAAGUGACAAAAAAAUAAGGAGGACCCACUUCUUAAAGUCACCAAAGGAGUUACCCUAGAAGAUGAGGAUUAUCCUUUACCAUUAGUCUCAACAGCUCUAGCUUGAUGCUUAACUAGAUUAGCAAAGUCCCAAGAUACCUAUAAAGUCUUCUUGCACUCAUGGGAGACAAACCCUCAAGUGGAGAAGGUACAUCAUCAUCAAUCUGACAAUUUUGGGAAGAUGUCGGUCUUCUUGGUGGCAUGAUAUCCUAUAAAGCAUAAGGUAUAGCUAAAUUAUUCACUAAGAAACUAAUCAAACAAUUUAGAAUUAUAAGGAAGAAUAGAAAUUUAUACAAGAUGAAGUUGAAACUUAAACUAAUGCGUCACUCAUCUAUCCCCAAAGUAAACUAAAACAAGUUCCUAAUAAGAUCAUAACCUAGUGCUUUGAUACCACUCUAUUAAGCCUCAAAACCUACUCCAAGGGCAUGACAGUCAUUUCACACCUUAAACUCAAAAGCUCAAAGUAGAAAUGACCUAAACAUUCAUCUUGUAACUGGAAAUUACCAAUUACCAAAUUCCUGUUCAGAGUAGUAGAAAAAAAAAAUUCUAAAAUCUUCAAAUCUCAACUUUUAAACCAACAUAUCAACCAUAGUAUUUUUGUCCAAGCAAAUUCAAACUUAAACAACAACUAACAAUAAUCAAAUUCUAACAUUUAACAAAGUCCCAAAAUGAGAGUUUAAACAAAUGUCCUAAUAAAGCCAAAAUUUCCUAUUCUAUCCGUCACUUAUCGCUCGAACUAAGGGUACUUGAAAAAUUAACAACAAAAGGGGAUGAGCUCAAAGCCCAAUAAGAAACAUUAACACAAUUUCAUGGAUCAAAUAUUUUUAUUCAUGUUUGCAAAUAGGAGAUAUAGGUUACAAUCAUUUUCUUAAAACAUUUGAGUUCAAACAUGCUAAUACAUUUUAAAUUGUUCAACAAAACAUUUUCAUAUAUAUCAAAACCAUUUUAUAUCAAAUACAUUUCAAUUGUUUUCACUCUGGUUAUCAAAUAACAAAUGGUGCCCUAUUAAGUGGGACUUUACAAAUGGGUGGUUAGCCUCAAAUGUUCAUUUUAAGAUGGACGGAGCCAAACACUACUAAUACUAGUAAUCUUUAACCAAACCCCUAGAGGUUGGGGUCCAAAUCAAUUACAUUCCCCAUCAUGAAAAUGUAAAGGUCAACUAUUAUAUCUCAUUGACAAGAGUCGAAAAGUAAACUAUUAUAUCUCAUUGAUAAGGGUCAAAUAAGCCAGAGUCAAAUUCUUUGUUUUAUUUAUUCAAACUUACAAAAACAUAAUAUCUUCAUAUGUUUUGUUAUAAACAAAAGAAAUGUCAUAAUAUAUUUUUCAUGUAAAAAUAUAUUUAAUCCAUGUAUAAAAGAAAAAAAAAUAACAUUUUACACAUUUCAAACAACAUAUAUAAAAAAUUAUUUUCUUUUAUAAAGUCUGUAUUAAUUUCCCUUACCUAAAAAAAAAGUCUUAAAAAACCUUGGAGAAAAAUAAUUCUGAAUAAUCUAUUUUUCACCUAACAUUACAUAAGAGAAAUAACUAUUACUAUUUAUCUACAAUUAUAAGUUUGACUUUCCUAAUUUUGUUUUUAAUAUUAAUAUCUCUUACUAUCAAAAUUAAUUUAAUUAAUCUAUUCCUAUUAAAAUAAAAUUAAUAAAUUCCUAAUGUAUAUAAAAACUCUUUUUUUUUUCCCAAUGUGUUUCUAGAGCACAUUACUAAUUUAAUUAAAUUACAAUUUUAUUUUCUUAAUGAAAUUCUAUAUUUUAUAUAUUUAUUUUUAACAUACAUAUAUCAUUAUCAUUAUUAUUGCAUCAACUAACCAUGUAUUUCACUAACUCUAAACACCCACAUAAUAAUAUACGCAUAUUAUCCUUUUUCUUCCAUGCCAAUAUAUCAAGACUAUCCCCAAAACCAUAUUAUCAUAUUAUUAUUAUUAUUAAAUUCAAUAGUCAUCCCAACCAUUACCUACUUGUCUCCAACACACAAAAAAACCCAUAAAAGGAAAACAAGGUUUCAUCCACUAUUAUUAUUAUUAUUAUGAUUCAUUAUUAUUAUUAUUAUUAUUAUUAUUUUCUCAGUAUUCCAAUGCCUUCCUUCCAUCUAGUGCAUGCGCACCCUCUUUCUUUUUCUUUGCCCUAACACACCUACACGCACAAUUUGCAUUUUCGUCAUUUUUUUUUUCUUCCAUUUACUGUUGGCUGUUGUUUUCUCUACACUUCCAGAAAUCAUGUAACCCUAUAUUUUCUAACCAUCACUGCACACAAAAACCACAAAACCUAUUAUUAUUAAUACUAUUUUUUUACACUUCCAAAAAUGACGUAAACACUAUUUUAUUUAUUAUAUAUAUAUGUAAAUUUGAUUACUUAGAGAAUUCAUCUAAAAAUUUUUGAAUUUCCCUAUUUUCAUCAAUAAAACAACUUAUAUUCAUAAUUUCCGAUAUUUUGAUAUAAAAAUUUCAAAUAAACUAACCCUAACCUAAAUCGAAAUCUUCCAAAGAUUUUUUUAUUUAUUUAUUUUUUUUUUUGAAGAUUCCAAACUAAUUAAAAAAUCUAAAAUAAUAGUUUAAGGGUCAAAAUCUUAUUUGAAAAAAAUCUGAAAUUCAAUCCCUAGACCUCUAAACCUUCAGUCUUACAUUUUUCAAUUAUCUGAUUUUUGGUUAAUAGAGUUUUCUAAAUAAAGAAGACAAGAAAAAAAAAUCUAAUUUAUACCUAGGAGAGUUAAUUGCAAAAUGACCUUUCUACCUUUAUUAAAAGUAUUGAAUUACUUUUUUUUUUUACUACUUUACCCCCAAAAUUGAUUUAGGGUGUUACAUCAAACCUGUUGUAAAGCUCCACAUUCUCCUAUUCAGUUACUUUUUUUUUUUUUUUUGCUGGGAACUUACAGUUUUGAAUUGAAUUUUCAAUUGAAAUAGUCCCUCCUUGGAUACCCUUAGGCAAUAAAAGUAAAUAAUUUUAAUAAACAUUUGCUACCAUACUUCCUUUCAACAUGCACCUUUUUUUUAAAAUUAUUUUCUUCAUUUUUAAUAAUUUUUCAAUUUUCUCAAUUUUAAAAACAUGAAUAUAUUCUCCAAUUCUAAAAAUGAUGGAUUUCAUCCAAAUUCCUACGAUCAUUUUCAAUGAUUAGUAGGAAAAUGGAUUCUAUAGAAUUAAUUCAUGCAAAAAUAAAUUAAGCCUUGUUGGGGGACCAACAUCCAUGAUAUCUUCUUUGAUAAUAAUUCAAGUGAAAUGCAUGUUUGAUAUUGAUUGACUUUGAUCUAUUAUGUGAUACAUAUGAGAUAUUUUAUGCUUGUACACAACCCUAUUUCUCACGAAGCACUUAACUUACUACUAAGGUACGCUCCCAAAUCAAUCUUGUUUAUUCAUUUCUUAUUAUCAUGAUGAUCACUAUUUGGUAUCCAUCCAUUAACUAACCCCUUGUCAUGUUUGCCUUAACUUAAUUAGUGGAGACUUAUAAUUAGAGUUUAGAGGAGUACUACAACUUAUCAUCAUACCUUUCUGAUAGAUAACAUGACCUUCAUACCCAAACUUAGUUUUUCAUAGAUAUAUCUUUUCCCUUCAAGAGUCACACUUAGUUUUUCUUAUUUUGUUUUCCCUUAAAAAACCAAAAAUAAGUGGUGACUCCAAAACCUUUUCCUAAAAAUCAAUUUUUUCACAGUAAAAGUGAGUCCCAAGAUCAAGUGGGAACGCACAUGAAAAAUGCAUGUCCAUAAUAUGAAAUUUUUCCAUGAACUUCACUUUUUACCACAAAAUUAUUCAUGGUAAAAUAUUACUUAUUUCUACAAAGUUACUUUUCGUUGCUAAAAAUAUAGUAGGGAUAAUUCCAUUCCUAUGUGAUAUAUGACAUUGUGCCAUGAACUCCGCUUUUUGCUUCAUAAUUAUUUGUGGCAAAAUGUCACUUUUCACUCUGAAUUUAUAUUUCAUCUUUAAAACUAUGGUAAGAAAAAUUCCCACAUAAUUCUACUAUGAAAUUUACUUUUUAGUAUGAAAUUAUAUAUAUAUAUAUAUAUAAAUUUCAAUUUUUGUUCAAAUUCCUUUUUCCAUAAUCUAAUUUGCAAUAGAAAAUUAUAUUUUAUUUUAAUUAUAUGUGCACCACUUUUCUAUAAGAAAUUGAAAAUAAAAUAACUAUUAAAUAAUUAAUAUUUACAUAUUUUUAUAUAAAAGUAUGAUACAAAAUAGUCAUUAAUAAGAAUAGUCUUUGUAUUAAAGUAUAAAAGAAGUUUUACGUUGAUAAAAAGUGAAAAAAAAAAUGGUCAUUUGAUUUUUAUUUUUAUUUUUGUGUGAGUUUCACAAUUAUAAUUUUGAAGAUAUAAAUAAAAUUUCUAAAAAUUUGAUUAAAAUAUAUAAAUUUUGAAGCUUGCAUGUUAUUUUAAAAUGAGAAAGGAACUUGAAAAUCAUGUGAACAAUUAUUGAGAACCUAUUUAGUCUAAAAUUAUUGUUUCAAUAUUCCUUUAUCUCCAAAUUCUCUAAAUUUUAGUUUUCUGCAUUAUUUUUCCUUUCUUGUCUAAUGCAUCAUUUGGUUUGUAAAAAUAUUUUAUUAUAUUAUUUAAAUAUUGAAAAUAAAUCAGUUAAAAUCAAUUUUCAGUUUAAAAAUAAAUAUUCAUUUACUUUUAUAAACUUAUAGAUUAACCUUCUCCAUGAGGCUAUAAUCUUUUGAUGACAAUGGACACUGAAUUCUAGAUCUUAGGGAUUCAAAUAUCCCAUCUAAUGAUUCGCCCAAUUCUUGGAACAUGUGAGGGUAACCCACUUAUGAAUUGUGAUGGUAACUUUUAUAUAUCUAAUAGAUAUUGUUCAUCUAUUUUGAUACAUUCCUUCCAUUUCUUUAUGUUUUUUUCCCCUUGAAAAGUGGUUUUUUUUUCUUUUGAACGUUCUUGCAUCACCUUCUCAACCUCCUCUAAACACCUUAGUAAAUAAUCUAUGAACAUUAAUGUUUCAUCCAUAUGUUCCUUUCCUCAAGGUAAACAUUUUUUUAAGUUAUAUUCUAAUCCCAAUACCUCCAACAACCUAACUACAAGUUUGCUAACCUAAACACACCUUCAAAACAUCUUUGUCUUAUCUCCAUUAGAAGAGGUAACUAUCUCCAUUAUUCAUCUUAAGUCCAUUUACUUUUAAUAUACCUUUUGAAUCUUAUUAGUACAUUGCACCAUUGUGUCUUUUAUUGUAUAAGCUAUUUUUCAUAAUCAAAUUCCUUGUAUUUUUCUUAGUAUCAAAGCAUCAUUAAAACGUAGAUUUAUUAUCUUAGGCACUCAAUGAUAUUUUUUGUGUUAAGCAAUUUUGUAUGUUAUAACCGUGUGUAGACCCCCUCAGCGGCAGCAGUUUUCUUUUUUAGAUUAUUAUUUUAUUCCUUUUUCUUUUGCUUUUAUUUUUUCUUUCUCUUCUUCAGAACCCGAGAAUGAGCUGGGGGUGGCAGCCAAAACAGGGCGGCGAUAGGACGAGAUGGGCAGGUUUUUUUUACGAGGAGAUGGGACGGGAAAGUAGGUAGGGAGACUUGCCAAGGAAGAUAGAAACGAGGGCUAGAGGGAGACUCGUCAGCUGGGGAAACGGAGCAGAGAAAGGGGGGGGGGGACUCAUGCAUUUUUCGGAUUGGUUCCUGCUAGGAGAGAGCUCUUCCAGGUGCGAAUAUUGUGGAUCUUCUGUUUACAUUUUCUUGCAUUGUUCUUCAUGCAAUUUCCUUGAUGUCUUUAGCUUUUAUUCACCGUUUGGAUGCAACUUUUCUGCUACUCUCUCGUUUUUUUAUGAUUUUCACUUAAGGAUAUUUAUGCAUAUGAGAGCAUCAGAAUCAUACAUAUAUUCUCUGUCCUUCCCUGUACGUGGAGCUUGGAGCAUGCAUGGAUAUCUCUAUCUCUCUCUACCCACACCCUCAUGCAUGUGUUCAUCUAAACAUACCGCUCAAAACCCAUUCUUUCUCUGUAUCCUCAUGUCCUUUAUCCACCCCUACCCACUCAUUCCGCAUAUCUCAUGCCCGCACCACUACCUGCUUUUCUGAAACACCCCUCAUACCCAUCUCCUUUUUCUAUCACACCCAUUUGUAGCAGCUAACCUCACCAGCCGCCACCACCCGCCCCGGCCAAGCAAGCACUCGCACCAGCCACCUUGACGGCUGUGCCUUUUGGUUGCCGCUGAACCGCCGCCACGGCUUCUCUCUCCAUCUUGCCGCUGGUGGUGAAGUCUCUCUCUCAGGAUGGUAUUCGGGUGAAGAAGCAAGCUGGAGGAAGAUGAAGUUUUGGGCUUGGGUUUGAGAUGGGUUUUUGAGCCCGCCCCUGUUAGCUUUGGAUUUGGGCUUGGGUUGGUACACCAAGCCCAAGUUUGUGAUCAAGUCAGCCCAUUGGGCUUGCCCAUAGCAUGGAUGUGGACUUGAGUUUGGAGCCAAGCCCAAGGCCCAUGGACGUCCUUCCCCUUAAGCCCAUUUACAUUGAUGAAAGGCCCCUUGUUUUGUUCACCCAUUUUAAGUUAGCCCAUGCCCAUUCCAAGCCCAUACCCACCUCAAAUUAGCCCUUUUGUUUUCAAUUUACAUGAUUUAUCUUCCUAAAAGCAUUAAUUCCUCAAUAAAAUUUUAAUUCCAAUUUUUGAAUUUUUUUAAUCUUUCAAAAUUCCGAUUUCUAAAUUUAAAAUUCCAAUCUCCGAAAUUUUAAUUUUCACAUCAACGUAUUUAAUCAUCGUUAUUUUAUUUAUUUAUUUAACCUUUCAAACUUCCGUUUUCUAAACUAAAUUCCAAUUUCCGAAAUUUUAAUCCUCACAUCAAUUUAUUUAAUCAUAAUUAUUUUAUUUAUUUAUUUAUUUAUUUUCUUAUUUUUAAAAUUCAACCUUUAAAUAAUUUCUCAAAAUUUCGAUUUUUAAACCAAAUUCCAAUUUCCGAAAAUUCCUAUACUCACUUUAAUUUAUUUAAUCACAAAUAUUUUAUUCAUUUAUUUUAAAACUCCAUUUUUAAUCUAUUCUUUAAAACUUCCGAUUUCCGAAUUAAAUCCCGAAAAUUCCUAUACUCACUUUAAUUUAUUUAAUCACAAAUAUUUUAUUCAUUUAUUUUAAAACUCCAUUUUUAAUCUAUUCUUUAAAACUUCCGAUUUCCGAAUUAAAUCCCGUAAAUUCCCAUACUCACUUUAAUUUAUGUAAUCACUAAUAUUCAUUCAUUUAUUUUAAAACUCCAUUUUUAAUCAAUUCAUUAAAAUUUCCGACUUCCGAUUUUAAUUUCUAAUCCCAAAAAUCUCAAUAUUCGUAUUAGUCUAUUUAAUUAUUAUUAUUUUAUUUAUUUAUUCUGAAAUCCCAUCUUAAACAAUUCUUUAAAAUUCCAACUUCCAAACUUAAUUUCCAAUUCCCAAAAUUCUAAUUUCUUUUUAAUCUAAUCCCUGAAAUUCCAACUCUUAAAUUUAAUUCCCGAGAUCCCGAUUUUCAAACAAAUUCCAAGAUUCCAGUUUUCGCUCAAAUAGUUUUAUUUCCAUUUCGGUUCCUAAAUAAUCUUCUGAUCUUCUUGAUUGUACAUAAGCAAUAAUGAAUUCUUCAUAAUUCUAAAACACGAAAUUUGGGGGACUAGUUCAUGAACAAUAAAUUGGGCUUUGGUGAGGGCCCUAUAUUUGAUCCCUUUUGAUUGUCAACUGUUGUACUUAAUGUAUUUUGCUUGAUCUUCGUUUUGCACUCCGAUAUGCAUGAACUAUAUUUUGUAUUCAUUAAUUGUGUACUAAUCCCGUUUCUUGAUAGCGCAUUGUGGCUCGUGGCCGAGGUAUGUAUCCACUCCCAUUCUAGUCAAUCUCUAUUGCGUGUUUUAAUUCUCAUAUUGUGCAUGAUUUAGGUGAAUAUCCAUCGACUUUCUCGUCCAUUGUCAUGAUUGCUUCAUUUUAUUAGUAGAGACCCGACUUUAGGGACUUAGAGGGGUGCUACGGUUUUUACUGUACCUUCCCGAUAAGUAACCUGACCCCCGAACCCGAUCCCGUUUUUUUGCAGACCAUCUUUUCCAAAACAAGGAGUCACACUUAGGGUUUUUCUUUCUUAUUUUGUUUACCCUUUUAAAAUAAAACAAAAAUAAGUGGCGACUCCAAGUCAUUUUCUUAAUCAAUCAAAUAAUUUUUCGAAAUAAAAUCGAGCUUGCCAUCGAGUGGGAAACGCAUGAGCCGAAAUGCGGGGUCCACAAAAUGGCGACUCCAUUGGGGAUCUUUUAGAGGGUCAAGCUUGAACUUAGGAUGAAGCAAAUGUUGCGUUUGGUGAGUCGAUCAGUGGAUGCCCAUCUCUUGAUUGCACAUUGAGAGUUUUUGAUGCAUGCUUGGAUGUUAUAUCUAUUUGGGAUUUUGACAUGUUGAUUAUGUUGACUGAUUUGUCUUGAUUGAGAUUUCCAAUACCAUGAUUUUAUGUGCUUCAUUGAUAUAUUCGUUUGAGGCAUAGACAUGUUGGUUUGUUGUUGAUUGAUCGUCUUGUAUUGCUUAGCACAUUGACUCUGAUUUUGCCAUGAUUGUUCUGGUCACCUCACAUGCAUACACUCACCACUGUAUAUCAUUUGGUUGGACAUGUUGAUUCAUUUUCUUGUAUAUUAUCUUGAUCGUCCUUUGAGCAUGAUGUUCAUAUCAUUAUUUGUCUUGAUUGUCGUAUUCUCGCUUAUUUUGUGUGUAUAUGGUGAUAUAUCUGAGCACUGUUUGAUUGUAUGUUGCAUGACUGCCAUUUUUCUGUGUGAUUGCAUGUCGCUUGUCUCUGUGGGUAGCACAUUUAUCCCCUUACCUCCUACCCUUUGGUUUCGAUCAUUUCAUUCAUCUCGGUUCUCACUUUUGCAAAUGUGAGGCCUUGUGUGUGCUUGCACUCUGACCGAGCUAGAGGUUAGGAGUAGGGUCUAGUGACGGGCUAUACCGAUGUUUGGGAGUAUUUUGGAGGAAAGCGACACGUUGAUGCGGAUUGGAGUCCGAUCAUUGAAGACCUGUAUAGCCCCGAGCUAGAUUUCAUGGAUAUUUGUGCGGCCAAUGGUUUCCCUUUCAGCUUUAGCUUUAUAGAGUUAUCGGAUGCACCCACAUCGUUCACUGUGCACUCUAGUUGACCAUUGAGCGUUGCGAGUUUGAGAGCUUUCACCAUAGAAGCCCCCUGUGAUGCGAGGCAAUGCAUGUGUGGGGGUGAUGACCACCUUGCAUGGAAGCGCCCCGUCUCUUUGGAGGCGUGCAGAGGGUUGCGUACCGCCGGAGGAUACGAUCGCUUCUGCUAGGGAUCUUUUGAAGUCUACCCAUUUCCUCUUAGAGCCACCUUGACCUUGUAAGUUGAGCCGUAGAUCCUUCGACUAGGACUUCCUCCCUACGCAUGGGCACAUCUGAGGGCUUUUAGAGCCUCCGUAGUCACAGUUUGGAUCCGACACUCCAUCUUUUUAGUCUCCUGUCGAGAGUGCAUUGAGAUAAGGACGAGUUUGAGUACGAUCAGAUAGUCUGCCUUCGCUUGGAUGCCUUACUCACUUCUGUUCAGAUUAUCAUUUCUUUCAUACUCUCCCGGGACAUGUUCUUAUUCCGCUCUUCAUGCUUUCUGGAUUGGGUCUUGGUUCUCAGUCUAGAUUUACCUCAUUGGAUCAGAGUAGAGGGGAGAUUGAUUCGGUUUUUUUUUUAGAGAGGUUGGAUAUGGAUCAGCGGGUUGUCACAGUUGAUCAGUUCACGACCUCCAUAGCAUCUAUUCAGGAGGCCUCGGCCAGUCCCAGACAGGAGAUAGACAGUCAGCAGAGUAGACAGUUUGUAGUUCAGGAUGAGACGCCUUGUGAUUCACUACCACAUCUACCACCACCACUUGGUUCGACAGUGCCACGGGCCCCACCAUAUAUGUUACAUGGUCAUUUUGAGGUUGCCUCACCUGCGAUAGACUAGACCACAGACCUUGAGGAUGCUCAUCCAUGUAUAGAUCGUAUUGAGUAGCGUAUCAAGCAGUUGAGAUUAUUUGGUAGUUCAUCGACUUGGGACGAUCUUGAUAGUAUACUAGUGGCCAGUCCACCAGCCAAGUUCAGGAUGCUUGACAUUGAGAGGUACAUGGUCGUCGGUUGUCUCUACACUUAUCUGCGACUCUACAGUACUGUGAUGAGGGCCCAUGGGUUAGACGGGUCACAGAUGAUCACUAUGUUUCCUUUAUCUCUUAGUGGUGCAGCCUAACGCUAGUUCACAUCUUUGGAGUCCUUGCAAGGCAGGACAUGGGAUGACCUAGCUCAGGAGUUUUUGUGACAGUUUCCAUUUAAAACUGUCGCAGAGGUGUCGAGGAGAGAGCUUGAGGGUUUGAGACAGAGAUCAGAUGAGUUCAUUUCUUCCUUCAUCUCCCAUCGACAGGGGAAGAUAGCAGAGAUUGUUGAUAGACCAUUACAGAGGGAUGACUCAAUCUUGAUGGUCAUUAGAGGAUUGAUCAGAGAUCCUAGAGGGAAGUUCAGACCCAACUGGAGCGGACCUUAUUUCAUCAGGGAGUUGACCUCAGAGAGCGCUGCAUGGUUGAUGGAUUUAGAUGGAAAUCGAUUCUCAGAGCCAACCAAUGUGGAUCAGCUAAAGAGGUACUAUGUUUGAGACCAUGGUCGCAGGAUGGGUGGCCAUCAUUUCGGUUAGCCAUUACCUUGUUAUUCUCUUUUGAUACAUAGUCCAUUGCUAUCCCAUUGAGCCUCGCAUGCACAUUAUAGCCUUUCUUUCUUAUCGCCUUGCUCACAUUUUCACACCGGGAUAGGGGCCCUUUAAUGUAUGCAUGCAUUGUUUGGUAGUUUCAUGAGCUUUGGACCUAGGGGCAUGUUUUUCUCAUUAUCUUUUCCUAUCACUGCACCUCUGCAUUUUCAUCUCAUCUUAUUGGUUAUGUUAUUCAUCUCUUCUUCCUUAUCCUAUCUACUAUUUGUUUGUUUCAUAUUUCUUUUCACCCUGGGUGGUGGUCCUCCUCAGUUCAUCACAUGGAGGAUAGUCACAUCAUUUCCACCAUCUAUCUCGCGGACACUGGUUUAGAGAUCCUUAGUUUGAGAAGGUCAUCUUGUCAGAGAGAGUUUGUUUGUUACCUUAGCACUUGGGGGUGUGUCCAUUUGUUAUUAAUAUCAUCUUUAGGGUUCAUUUGUUCACGUUCUACGCGUAUUUGCAUAUAUGUAUAAAAAAAAAAAAAAAAAAAAAAAAAAAAGGAAAAAAAAAUCAUUAUUAUUAUUUUUAGCACAGGUGUGUAUGUGCAUAGUGUUCUCGAUCAUUGAGUAUGUAUAUUGAUGUCUAGGGGUCAUUUUUAUCGAGUAUGUUCGUUAUUGGGAGUUCGUAUGUGAGCUCUCCGAGAUCCCAUGAUUAUUUGUAUUACUUUGUCAUAUCUAUUUUGUGAGAGAGAUGAGUGACCUUCUCCUAAGGACUCUUAGUCAUUGUCCUUUCCAUCAUUACAUUCAUUAUUGAUGUGACUUCACUUCAUGUUUGAUCUCAGUCGAUCACCACUUUUCUUCAUAUAUUCAUUGUUCCGCUGUCAUUUUUAUCGUCGCUUGUGUUUCACCUCAUUCACUUCAUGUCUUAUUCUCUUCUUACAGCAACCCAUCUCGGGUUCGAUACUCACUUCGCAUCAUCAUUACACAUAUCAUUAUCAGUUCGUUUUGUUUCAUUUGUCUCCUUAUCGACAUCAUAUUCACGUUAGGCAUCCUCAGGUCCAUGGCUCAUGAGAUUCACUAUACAUGUUGCAUUUCAUAUAUGAGGGCAUGGUUUUCUGAUCAUCGGGUAUUUGGGCCUAGUUUCCUUUCAUUUCUAUUACCCUAUCACCCUAGCCUACAUUACGUCCCGUGUCUUAAGACCACCCUGAGGCCAUGGGAUCAAAUGUCGUCUUUGACAGCCUUUACUUGGACAGGUGUUUGAGAUCUGGUUGACAUUUAGAUAUCGUCAUGCUUCUUCUUCUAGGAGUUGCCUCUUUGAUGUGUAGGACUGAUUCAGUUGUGUUCGGAUUACCAGGAUCGUGAGUUCGACGAUGAAUUGACUUGGUGUCACAUGAUUUUUGACCUAUCGUACCUCUGGUGCCACAUUGCGGCAUAUCCUAUUUCGUUUGGAGGUUUAUGGAUCCUCAUAGAUUUGCACGAUCAUUAUCACUUACUGGAUGCUCGUUGAGACGUGGACAUGAUUGUUACCUUACAGAGCCCCCGAGAUCCAUCCAGCUAGGUCCGCACUUCUUGAGACUUGGAUGCCAUCAUGCCUCGCCAUUUGGGAGGUGCAUCUUGGAUAUAUGUGCAUGAUUCAGUUAUGGAUUCGAAUGACCAGUGUUACAUGCUCGACGAUAGAUGAUUUCAUGUCAUUUGUUCUUCUGACCUGUCGUGCACCUGAUGCCACACUGGGGCAUAUUUUCCAUUUCAGAUGAGAUUUAUGAUUCUUCACAGAUGUCGCGUGUUCGAUGAUAGAUGAUUUCAUGAUGCCCGAUCUUCGACCUAUCAUAUGUUCGACGCCAUACUGGGGCAUAUUACCGUUCUGGAUGAGAUUUAUGGAUCUUGGAGGAGUUGUGCGCUUAUUCCCAUUUACGAGACGUACAUCGAGACGAUGAUCUAUUCACUAUCUUUACGAUGAUUCCUCAGUGGAGCCUCUCGGGAGUUACCCAGUUAGGCCCGCACUUCUCGACACUUAGAUGUCGUCAUGCUUCCCUGCCAGGAGAUGCCCCUUCGAUCUAUGAGUCUGAUUCAGUUGUAGGCACGGAUGACUUGGAUCGUGCAUUCGAUGAGGGAUGAUUUGAGCUCAUCUGAUUUUCCGACCUGUCACAUUUUGACGCCACGCUGGGACGUAUUCCCCGUUUUGGUCGAGAUUUGUAGAUCCCCCACUGAUUUCCAUGACCACCCUCGGUUUUGAGAUACACAUCGGAUUGAUGAUUCGAUUUCAUUGUGUCCGGAUACUCUGUGGAGCCUCUCUGGAGUCUUUCGGCUAGAUUCACGUUUUCUGAUAUAGUCGCGAUUCCUGGACAGAGUUAUCUCGGGCGCGUGGAUUCCCACGUCACCAUUUUAGCGGGGUUCAUGUUAGAUCCUCUGUACGUCCCCAUGGAGUUAUCCUUGAGCUAUCAGGAUAGAUUAGAUACAUCUGAUACCAUACUGGGACGUACCCUCCUCACUUAGCUAUGGAGGCGAUCAUUCCCUCACGAGUCUGUUAGAGUUUUCAUUACUCGAUCGAGAGAUAUUGCAUUUGCUUCACUGGUCACUAUUCCUGUGCUGUUCGUCGAGAUGAGCUUCCAGUAAAGUGAUGUCCAGAUUUUGAUUCCUCUAUUAGCCAGGAUUAUUCAGUAGAUAGUUAUGUCGAGGCAUAUUCUUCUCAGUCGAUGAUGGAUUUUUGAGCCAUGUCCAUUCCUCGGGGGAUAUCGGGUGUCCUUUUUUCACAUCGGAGCAUGAGACAUGAUUGGCGCAUUUCAUCUGGUGUGCUUUACACAGGGCAUACCCCCUUUUUCGGUUGAUGAUGGUUUUAGGUAUGGUUGUUCCUUGGAGGUGUUCAAAUUCAUUUCACGUUGGAGUACGAGAUAUGAUUAUAUUUGAUGUGAUCACAGGAGCAUAGCCUUCUCAUCAUUGUUGACAUAUUUUUGAGAUGAUUGGAUCAGGACACGGACACUUAUGAGAGCAUGCAGCGGAGUUUAGUCAUUUCAGGGUUUGCCUUAUACUGGGGCAUAACCCUUUAAUUGGCGGUUGAUCUUAGAGAUAUCAGUUCACAUUGGGACAUGUUCUUUCUUUGGGGGAGGUCAGAUACUCUCUUCACAUUACCACGAUGGCUUUGAUGAGCAGAUGUUCAUUUUGAUCAGAUGAUGUAUGAUUGGUCGUACUCUUCUCAUGGAUGUUUGAUUUGGAGAUGCUUACACUGGGGCAUAGCCCACUCGUCUUGGUGAUGAUUUUGUGAGAUGACAGUUUAUACUAGACACUUACUUUCCAGAGAUCAUUCUGCAUUGAGAGCUUACCCAUUCUGAGAUGAUGCAUUCAUACUGGGGCAUAGCCACCUUGCUGAUUUUGACAUUGAGACUCCACUUCUUGUUUAUGAUCGCUGCUCUCGAUGGAUUAUAGAGUUGUUGGCACCCUGGGUUCAGUCUUCUUAGCAUACCUAGUUGGGUUUGGACAUUAACUUAUCUUUGUUACACACCCAUCCAUCCUACAUUGGACACCGUUAUAAUUGCACCCAUCUUAUUAGAGCCUUACAUCUUUUGAGCCUACAUAUUUCAUCAUCUUACCUGACUAUUAUCCCUUUCUCUUGAUCGGAGGAAGAUACAGACUAGUCUCGAGCUUUCUGGUUGAGUUUUCACAUGCCUUUGGACAUUAGGUUCAACACCUUCCAUGAUGGUAGGGCCUGUUAGAUUGUUGAUAUAUUUGUGAUGAUAUUCUCAUGUUGAUAGUUGACAUCGUGUCUUGAUUUGUUUAUAUUUCUGGUUUAGAGUCUUGGUCAGCAUUUGUUUGAUCCAUUAUUUUAGUUUUUGCUUUGUCAGCAUGAUUUCAGUGAUGCUUGGACUUGUUUUAGCAUUUGUUCAUUGAGGCUAUGUAUGUGUUUUUUUCAUUGCAUCAUCAUUGAGCAUAUCCUAGAGUGUCUUGUUUGGUGACAUUCUGUGCCUUAACUUGGUUACUAUUUUACACUGGGGCAUAACCCCAUCCUCAGGUUCAUCAGAUGUUUUGCAGACUUUUCUCACUACUCAUUCUAUUUCUUGACCUUUGUGAGUUGUCAUACUUGGGCAUACCCCCGUCCUUGAGUUCAUCAAUUCUCUUUUGCAGACUUUCUCGCUGCUCAUUCUAUUUCUUGACCUUUGUGAGUUGUCAUACUGGGGCAUACCCCCAUCCUUGAGUUCAUUGAUGUUUUGCAGACUUUUCUCAUUACUCGAUCUAUUUCUUGAUCUUUGUGAGUCAUCAUAUUAGGGCAUCCCCCCCUUUAGAGUUUUUCUACUGGGGCAUUUCCCCCUAUUUGAGUUUGCCACGUCUCGUGCUGAUUUCAUGGUUGUCAGACCCAUUUCUUGAUCUUUAUGAGUUAUCACCUAGGGCAUCCCCCUACUGUCAUCUUGCUUAGGGCAUCCCCCUAUUGUCAUUUUGUUUAGGGCAUCCCCCUAUUUUCAGUUUAUUUAGGGCAUCCCCCUAUUGUCAUUUCGUUUAGGGCAUCCCCCCUAUUUUUAGUUUGUUUAGGGCAUCCCCCGAUUUUCAGUUUGUUUAGGGCAUCUCCCUUUAUUUCAAUCAUUUCACCACCAUGGAUUUUCAUCCUUGGGCUUUCGAGAUUUUCACCACCAUAGAUCUUCAUCUAUGGGCUUUGAUUAGGUUUUCACCAUCAUAGAUUUUCAUCUAUGAGCAUUUAUUUCAGUCAUUUCACCACCAUGGAUUUUCAUCCUUGGGCUUUCGAGAUUUUCACCACCAUAGAUCUUCAUCUAUGGGCUUUGAUCAGGUUUUCACCAUCAUAGAUUUUCAUCUAUGAGCAUUUAUUUCAGUCAUUUCACCACCAUGGAUUUUCAUCCUUGGGCUUUCGAGAUUUUCACCACCAUAGAUCUUCAUCUAUGGGCUUUGAUCAGUUUUUCACCAUCAUAGAUUUUCAUCUAUGAGCAUUUAUUUCAGUCAUUUCACCACCAUGGAUUUUCAUCCUUGGGCUUUCGAGAUUUUCACCACCAUAGAUCUUCAUCUAUGGGCUUUGAUCAGUUUUUCACCAUCAUAGAUUUUCAUCUAUGAGCAUUUAUUUCAGUCAUUUCACCACCAUGGAUUUUCAUCCUUGGGCUUUCGAGAUUUUCACCACCAUAGAUCUUCAUCUAUGGGCUUUGAUCAGGUUUUCACCAUCAUAGAUUUUCAUCUAUGAGCAUUUAUUUCAGUCAUUUCACCACCAUGGAUUUUCAUCCUUGGGCUUUCGAGAUUUUCACCACCAUAGAUCUUCAUCUAUGGGCUUUGAUCAGUUUUUCACCAUCAUAGAUUUUCAUCUAUGAGCAUUUAUUUCAGUUAUUUCACCAUGGAUUUUCAUCCAUGUGCAUUUCAGUUAUAUCACCAUCAUAGAUUUCAUCUAUGAGCAUUCAUUUCAGUUAUUUCACCGCCAUGAAUUUUCAUCCUUGGGCUUUCAGAUUCACCACCAUAGAUCAGACAUCUAUGGCCUUUGAUCAGUUUUUCACUCUCAUAGAUUUUCAUCUAUGAGCAUUUAUUUCAGUUAUUUCACCACCAUAGAUAGGGCAUCUAUGGGCAUUUUUAUUGUAUCACCACUGUAGGUCUUCACCUAUGGGCCUUCUAGUUUAGCGUUUAGAGUUAGCUUUUUGGUUUGGCUUCCAGAGCCGUUGUCUUUCUCAUUUUAGCGUUUAGAGUCAGUCUCGUCAUUCAGAGUCAUAGCUCCUAGUAUUCGUAUUCACUGGCAUUGCACAUCUUACCUUUAGGGUAUUGCAUUCGUCCUCGGCUUUCCUCACUUCAUUACCUGGUGCUUAUUGCAUAUUCAUCUCGUACUCCAGGGUGGUUCGACCGUUACUCAUCUUUGACAUUGAUCUCUUGGGUCUCUUUUGGAGACAUCUUAGAAAGAGAUUGGGUCCUUAGUGUGGCUUCAGAGACAUUUUGAGACUUCAUUUCCUUUUAGGAUUAGAGCCUCGUUGUUCGUCUUUUGACCUGAGUGAGUUCGUGUCUCAUUAGUGUCCCUUUGGGGGUCUCCUUGGUUCUUCGGUAGUUCACUUCAUUCCACUCACUAUUCACACUUUCUUUUCACUCUAGUGUUCAUAUUCCUUGCACUCGUGAACUCUAUCGAAGAGGGGCAUAUUUGUAGACCCCCUCAGCGACAGCAGUUUUCUUUUUUAGAUUAUUAUUUUAUUCCUUUUUCUUUUGCUUUUAUUUUUUCUUUCUCUUCUUCAGAACCCGAGAAUGAGCUGGGGGUGGCAACCAAAACAGGGCGGCGAUAAGACGAGAUGGGCAGGUUUUUUUUACGAGGAGAUGGGAUGGGAAAGCAGGUAGGGAGACUUGCCAAGGAAGAUAGAAACGGGGGCUAGAGGGAGACUCGUCAGCUGGGGAAACGGAGCAGAGAAAGGGGGGGGACUCAUGCAUUUUUCGGAUUGGUUCCCGCUAGGAGAGAGCUCUUCCAGGUGCGAAUAUUGUGGAUCUUCUGUUUACAUUUUCUUGUUGCAUUGUUCUUCAUGCAAUUUCCUUGAUGUCUUUAGCUUUUAUUCACCGUUUGGAUGCAACUUUUCUGCUACUCUCUCGUUUUUUUAUGAUUUUCACUUAAGGAUAUUUAUGCAUAUGAGAGCAUCAGAAUCAUACAUAUAUUCUCUGUCCUUCCCUGUACGUGGAGCUUGGAGCAUGCAUGGAUAUCUCUAUCUCUCUCUACCCACACCCUCAUGCAUGUGUUCAUCUAAACAUACCGCCCAAAACCCAUUCUUUCUCUGUAUCCUCAUGUCCUUUAUCCACCCCUACCCACUCAUUCCGCAUAUCUCAUGCCCGCACCACUACCUGCUUUUCUGAAACACCCCUCAUACCCAUCUCCUUUUUCUAUCACACCCAUUUGUAGCAGCUAACCUCACCAGCCGCCACCACCCGCCCCGACCAGGCGAGCACUCGCACCAGCCACCUUGACGGCUGAGCCUUUUGGUUGCCGUUGAACCGCCGCCACGACUCCUCUCUCCAUCUUGCCGCUGGUGGUGAAGUCUCUCUCUCAGGAUGGUAUUCGGGUGGAGAAGCAAGUUGGAGGAAGAUGAAGUUUUGGGCUUGGGUUUGAGAUGGGUUUUUGAGCCCGCCCCUGUUAGCUUUGGAUUUGGGCUUGGGUUGGUACACCAAGCCCAAGUUUGUGAUCAAGUCAGCCCAUUGGGCUUGCCCAUAGCAUGGAUGUGGACUUGAGUUUGGAGCCAAGCCCAAGGCCCAUGGACGUCCUUCCCCUUAAGCCCAUUUACAUUGAUGAAAGGCCCCUUGUUUUGUUCACCCAUUUUAAGUUGGCUCAUGCCCAUUCCAAGCCCAUACCCACCUCAAAUUAGCCCUUUUGUUUUCAAUUUGCAUGAUUUAUCUUCCUAAAAGCAUUAAUUCCUCAAUAAAAUUUUAAUUCCAAUUUUUGAAUUUUUUUAAUCUUUCAAAAUUCCGAUUUCUAAAUUUAAAAUUCCAAUCUCCGAAAUUUUAAUUUUCACAUCAACGUAUUUAAUCAUCGUUAUUUUAUUUAUUUAUUUAACCUUUCAAAAUUCCGUUUUCUAAACUAAAUUCCAAUUUCCGAAAUUUUAAUCCUCACAUCAAUUUAUUUAAUCAUCAUUAUUUUAUUUAUUUAUUUAUUUAUUUUCUUAUUUUUAAAAUUCAACCUUUAAAUAAUUUCUCAAAAUUUCGAUUUUUAAACCAAAUUCCAAUUUCCGAAAAUUCCUAUAUUCACUUUAAUUUAUUUAAUCACAAAUAUUUUAUUCAUUUAUUUUAAAACUCCAUUUUUAAUCUAUUCUUUAAAACUUCCGAUUUCCGAAUUAAAUCCCGAAAAUUCCUAUACUCACUUUAAUUUAUUUAAUCACAAAUAUUUUAUUCAUUUAUUUUAAAACUCCAUUUUUAAUCUAUUCUUUAAAACUUCCGAUUUCCGAAUUAAAUCCCGUAAAUUCCCAUACUCACUUUAAUUUAUUUAAUCACUAAUAUUUCAUUCAUUUAUUUUAAAACUCCAUUUUUAAUCAAUUCAUUAAAAUUUCCGACUUCCGAUUUUAAUUUCUAAUCCCAAAAAUCUCAAUAUUCGUAUUAGUCUAUUUAAUUAUUAUUAUUUUAUUUAUUUAUUCUGAAAUCCCAUCUUAAACAAUUCUUUAAAAUUCCAACUUCCAAACUUAAUUUCCAAUUCCCAAAAUUCUAAUUUCUUUUUAAUCUAAUCCCUGAAAUUCCAACUCUUAAAUUUAAUUCCCGAGAUCCCGAUUUUCAAACAAAUUCCAAGAUUUCAGUUUUUGCUCAAAUAGUUUUACUUCCAUUUCGGUUCCUAAAUAAUCUUCUGAUCUUCUUGAUUAUACAUAAGCAAUAAUGAAUUCUUCGUAAUUCUAAAACACGAAAUUUGGGGGACUAGUUCAUGAACAAUAAAUUGGGCUUUGGUGAGGGCCCUAUAUUUGAUCCCUUUUGAUUGUCAACUGUUGUACUUAAUGUAUUUUGCUUGAUCUUCGUUUUGCACUCCGAUAUGCAUGAACUAUAUUUUGUAUUCAUUAAUUGUGUACUAAUCCCGUUUCUUGAUAGCGCAUUGUGGCUCGUGGCCAGGUACGCAUCCACUCCCAUUCUAGUCAAUCUCUAUUGCGUGUUUUAAUUCUCAUAUUGUGCAUGAUUUAGGUGAAUAUCCAUCGACUUUCUUGUCCAUUGUCAUGAUUGCUUCAUUUUAUUAGUAGAGACCCGACUUUAGGGACUUAGAGGGGUGCUACGGUUUUUACCGUACCUUCCCGAUAAGUAACCUGACCCCCAAACCCGAUCCUGUUUUUUUGCAGACCACCUUUUCCAAAACAAGGAGUCACACUUAGGGUUUUUCUUUCUUAUUUUGUUUACCCUUUUAAAAUAAAACAAAAAUAAGUGGCGACUCCAAGUCAUUUUCUUAAUCAAUCAAAUAAUUUUUCGAAAUAAAAUCGAGCUUGCCAUCGAGUGGGAAACGCAUGAGCCGAAAUGCGGGGUCCACACCGUGCUUCAUUUUUUUGCUAAUUAACAAAUGGGCAAAAAUUAUUUGUUUCAUGUCCUAAAUUGAAAUAUACCUUGAAAACCAUCAUUCUUGUUCUUUUAGUUAUUUAGGGACUAACUCCUCUAUCUAAUAUUAAAAAUAAUUUACGUUGCAUAUCUUAUCAUAUAUUUUGUUGUUAUACCUAAAUCAUCUCACUUAUAAUUAAUCUAAUUCUUAUAAUGUCUUUAGCAAUGAAAAAAACUCCAACCUUUAAAAUUGAAGCACACAAAUUGAUGAUAGUAAAAAGUAAGUAUAAGAGGUAAAAAUGAUAUUAAUUAACCCAUAAUGUUACUUAAAGGAUUUCAUAUGCUUAUACUCAUGAUAGAAAUAAAUGUGGAAAUAAAGUAUCUAAACAUCUUUAAGAAAAUCUUAAUAUUCUUCACCGCAUUGAAUUUGUCAUUAAUUGAUAUAUCAAAUUAAUGUCUCUCCUUUUAUUUGGAAAAAACCCAAAAAAACAAUAUGCAUGUUGGUUUAUAUAUGUUGGUGAUAUAAUUAUUAGUUGUUCUAAAAUUUGCGUCUAUGACAUGGAACACUUAAUCCAACUAAUCCAAAUUUUCCAUGGAAGAUCUCAAGCCACUUAGUUGGUAGAUGUAGAAGCUAGUUGAAAGACUAAUGAUGUCGAAAAUUUGUGCAGUUUUACAAUUUUUACCAUUACUUGGUUUGGGAUUAAUCCAUAUUCUUCUAGAUUACUUGACAUUUUGUAGCCUAUAAGCACAUAAAAUUUAGAUGGUGAUAAAGACAUCUAAAAUAUCAAUGAUCUGUCAUGUCUCAAUCUAUGAUUACCUUUCCAAAAGGUCAAAUAAGCUAGAAACUAGCUAGCAAUAACUCUUUAAUGUAUAUAUUCUAUUCAUCUUUAUAUUUAUAACAAUCCUCUAAAGAACUUCUCAUCUAUUUAAGGGAAGAAAUGACUUAAAACUAUGAUAAUAUGAAACUAAGUUGGAAAUCCAUUCAAUCUCUAUAUUGUUAUUCUCUUUAAAGUCUUGGAAAGAGUAGAAUUACCUCAAAUUUUGUAAUUGGUUCACUUUCUAGAAAUUUUUUAAACAGUUAGCAUCUUUGACAUAUAUUUUUGUUAUUAGCAUUUAUAAUAUGAUUAGAUUCAAGUUGAAGUGUUGGGGAAUUACUCAACUUCUCGCUCAGAAAGAAAAGAAAAAAAUGGAUGUCAAAGUUAUACUAUAGGUAAGAAGGGAAACACUCUUGUUUAAGGGCCAGAAGGACAAUAUAAAGUUCAAUUAUUGUGAAAAGCCUAAUCAUAGUAGGGAACUUAAACCUAGUGAUUCAACUCACCCUUUUUAUCAUUACAUUUCUACUAUAGGUCUAUUUUAUUAGAUUUUCUUCUAUUGCAAAGGAACCUUGGAAACCACCAAUAUGAGGGAUCAACCAAAAUUCAUGUGACAUAGAAUAUUGAACCGAAGUGUAAGUUCAAACAAAAAAUAAAAAUAAAAAUACAAAGACAACAUUUAAAUAUUUACCUGUGGAGUAUGUUUAUUUCCUUCCAUUGUCCUUGUUGAUCCUUUAUUUUAAUGCUUAUAUGUAUAAUAUUGAUUCAGUAAUAAAAUCAUGUCUCUCUAACUUUCUAAAACAAAUAAUCUAGAUAAUAGUAAAAAAAAAAAGUAUAGAUUCUUUUAAAUAAAUAACUUUAUAUUAGAAUAGAAACUCAUGGAUUCCAACUAGUCACUAAAGGAACCUUAACACCAAAAUAUUUAUGAAUUAAAGAAUUAUUCAAGAUCUUUUCCUUUUAUGAGGACUUAAAACAUGAAUAAAUUAUUACUAGGAUGAAGCCAAAAUUUAUUAUGCAUUAAUUAUUCAAAAAAAUUUCCAUACACCAAGUGCCUCAAGGUGAUUAUCUAAAUCCUUUAUUCAUUGUAUAUGGUGAGGCCCAAAAUCACCAUUUUCCAUGCCUAGGUUCAAUAGUCAACUUUUAAUUAACUUUAAUUGACCCUGUCUCACACAUUCCAUCUGUCAACCCCAUGACACAUAUAGAUUUGAAUAUACUAAGUGCCUCAAGGUGAUUACCCUCUUUAUGCAUUGUGCAUGGUAGGGUCCAAAAUUAUUUCAAUGAUGCCUAGGUUAGAGCAUCAACUCAUUAAUUUUAAUUAGCCUUCUCGUCCUCAUUCCAUUUACCAAUUCCAUGACUUUGCAAAAAAAUCUAGGUCAAUGAACAUUUUUUCCAAAUUGGUUAUAAGAAAUAACCACCCUCUUACCUAAUUAAGAAAAUGCAUUCAAAGAAAUCCUCUCUAUAACUCUACAAGAAAUUGUUCAAUUAAGAAUUUAAUAAUGCCAAAGGUGAGGCUCAAUUAUUACAUUUUUUUAUUAUUUAAUAUCUUUUCAAAUGAUACUAACUUCAAAUUAGUAACUCCCUACUCUUGUAUCUAUUUUGCUUAUAUAGUAUUUUAAAUCAUUUUUUAGGAUAUUUUUAUUGGAAUACUCAUGGAAGCAAGAUAUUUUAAAACAAUAAUAAAUGAAAGUGAUUAUCUAAUUUUCUUAUGCAAAUAUUUGUGAAUAUAUUUCUUUAUCACACAUUAUCUCCUUGAGUAUUUAGCCUAAUCGAGCAUAUUAUAUAUUAUGUGUAUAUGUGGAGACAUAGAUUGAAUAGACCAUGGAAUCCUUGUAACUUGAUAAGAUGGUUCAGAAUGCUUCAUGAAUGUGGAAAAUUCAAUAGAAGCUAAGGCAAGUCACAUUCCAUGUAGAUGGUAUGACAUGUCUAUAUAUAUCAAUGUGCAUAGGUUGCACAUUAAACACGACUUAAGGAGAUGUAUGUCAUGUAAGUUAUAGGUUAGACAUGCAAUAUCUCCUAGCACCAAUAUUGCAAGUACUCUUAAUCUUGAGAGAUUAUUAAGCUAAUGUUUGAGUUAGUGACCUCUUUAAGUCCCAAAAGCAUGAGACCUCUUCACUUAUGAAGGUGUAUGUCAUGUAAAUUAUACGUUAGACAUAUAAUAUCUCUUAAGUACUAUAUUGCAAGAACUCUUAGUCUUGAAAGAUCAUCAAACUAAUGUUUGAGUUAGUGACUACUUUAAGUGACAAAAGAAUCAUACCCUGAAGUGGUCAUAUAUCAUUAUUGAAUUUAUUGAUUAUUUGAUUCAACAUGUAGCAAGAUGGAUGCUUAAUAAUGACACCAUGAUAUCCUAGAAGGGAUAACUAUAUCUAGUAGUGUAAUCCUAAGGUGAAUGGUCAAGAUGAAUAUAUAGUCAUGGUAAUUCCAUUAAUUGUAAUUUGAUAUUUUCUUCUAAUGGAUAAUGAAAUAUCUAACUAAUCAUAGAAAAUGUGAAUUUGUAACUUAAAUAUGCAUUUAGUUAAUUGAUUGAUGGAAAUUUUCAAUCAGAUUAUGGAUAUCAAUUCAUGGUUAAAAAUGUAAUGCAAUAAUAAGUCAUCGAUAAUGCAUAUAGUUAAUUUAUUAAUUCCUUCACAUGAUUGACAUAAAAUGUUGGAGCAUAAUAUAUUUUUUAUGGUGGAGUCAAGAUUAAUUAUGAUAUUAUAUUUAAUUAAUUUCAAGGGAGCCUAUCAUUUUAUGGGUUCUAGUGGUCUCCACUUUAGCUAUCCAUGUCAUGUACACACAUGAUUCAUUAAGCAUUAGAAGAUUACAAUGCAUCAAGUUGUUUUGAUAUACUACAAAGAGGGUUAGGCAAGACAAGCAUAUUAAGGGUAAUAUGGUCCUUUCACCCCUUAAGUUUGUGUAAAGAACUCUUAUAGCUCUAAUGGAAUACGCACAUUCUCUUCCAUCCUAAAAAACUACCACCCUCUUGUUGUCUUCCUGUCCUACUUUUCUCAGGCUUGGUUGCCUAUAUAAUUUAGUACACUACUCCAAUAAGAUAAAGGCAAGGAGACAACUAGGUUUUGAACUCUUUACUUAAAAGUUUAAAGGCUAUGAUUUUUACUCUUGCUUAUUAAGGGCUACCUAUAUGAAGGCUUCCAUUGUGUGUGUACCACUUGGAUUUCAUUCUAGAAAUUUUCACCAACAAUAAAGGAUAAAGAAAUGAAGAUUCCAUCUCAAGUAUCCAUCUCUCUUUUUGGGUAGCAUUGAAGUUCAACAUCAAAGGCUACAUUUUAGAUAAGAGUUAAUGAGAAAUACUUGUGACCACCCAAACACAAUUUAGGGGCAAAAUCAUAAUUUAGAAGAAAAAAAAAGUUAAAUAAAUUUAUUAAGAAUAGAAAAGUCUUCCACUUUUAAAAGCUCUUGGUAUAAAUUAGAUUUUUUUUUACUCCCUAAUACCGAAACCCUUUUACAUGGAGAUUAGAGAAUGUAAGGUAAUGUGGGACUGUAGAUUUGGGAGCUUAGUGUUUGAAAAUUAAUUUUUCCGGUAAGAUUUUAACUCUUACUUUAGUAUUUUAGAUUCAUUAAAUAAUUUGGAAUGCAUUAAAAAUUCUUUAGAAGAUCUUAAUCUAUAUUAGGGUUUGUUUAUUUAAUUUUUAGAUAAAAAAGAUUGAAAAUUUAUAAACAUAAGUGGAGUUAUUAAUAAAGAUGAAAAAUUUUCGAAUAUUUGAAUUAAUAGAUCUAGACCAAAGAAAAAAAAAGAAAGUAAAUUAAAGAUUCAAAUGUCAAAAGAAAAGAAAAAAAAUAGUAUUUACCGUGUAAUUCAUGGAAGUGUUAUAGAAAAAUGGAAGAAUGAAGAGAGAAAUUUUGUGGUUAUGCAUGGACUUAGGUUGUUAAAAAGACAAAAAAUGAAGAUGAAGGAAGAUUGGAGAGUGAAAGUGAGAGUGAGUAUUGGAAAAACAAUAACAAAUAAAUUAAAAGAAGAUAUGGAUAUGUUUGUGCUAUAGUGAGUUAAAUAAAUAAAAAAAUCUUUUAAAUAAAAAAAAAAUCUUUUGGGUGCCUUGGAAAGUGUGAUGUUAGUGGCCUAUGUGGGAAGUUUGAAACGAAGUAGUUGGUUGAAACUGGAUAUAAAAUAAGGGGAAAAAAAAAGGAUCAUGCAUGGAAUGACACUAUACAUGUGGCUAUUGUUGGUCAUGUCUAGGGAGGAGGUUAGAAAUUCUGGUUGUGUUGGGAACAUGGAAAAAGAAAUAUUGCAUAAACUUUUUAAGAAAUAAUAAUAAUUGUUUAAUGUAAUAAAUAGAAAGAAUGCACUUUUAAGAGUUUUAAUAAAUAAAAAAAUUUAUAUAUUCUUAAGAAUAGAUUUUGGAAAGGACAUAACUUUUAUGAAAAUUUGGAAACUCACUUAUUAAAUUGUUAUUGGUUAGAAAGUUGAAAAUAAUAUUAGUAAUAAUAAUAUUAACAUAUGAAAUUACUAGGAUUAUCAAAUUUAUAAUUUUAGAUAAAUAGUCAAUAGUAAUAGUUGUUUUUUGCUUAUGUUGUUGUUGUUUUUUUUAGACGAAAAUUAUAUUCUUCAAUAGUAGAUUCUUCAAGAUUCUAAGUGUUUUUUGAGGUAAGAGAAAUUAAUGAAAAUUUCGUAAAAGAAAAUUUUUUUCUUUUUAUAUGUUAUUUUGAAAUGUGUAAACUGUUAUUUUUGUUUCCAUGCAUGGAUUAAAUAUAUUUUGCAAGAAAAAUAUGUUAGAAUGUUUUCUUUUUAUUUAUAACAGAAAAAUAUGAAGAUAUUAUGUUUUCGUAAGUUUGAAUAAAUAAAACAAAGUGGUUGACUCUAGUUUAUUUGACUUUAGUCAAUGAGAUAUAAUAGUUGACAUUUCGGUCAUAGUCAAUGAGAUAUAAUAGUUGACUUUUCGGUCUUUGUCAACGAGAUAUAAUAGUAGACCUUUACAUUUGUGGUAGGGAAUAAUUGAUUUGGACCUCAUCCUCUAGGGGUUUGGUUAGAGGUUACUAGUACUAGUAGGUUUGAUUAUGUUCACCUUUAAAGCAAUAAAUUUGCAGUUAGCCACCCAUUUGUAAAGUCCUACUUAAUUGGGCACUGUUUGUUAUUUGAUAACCAUAGUAAAAAUAUUUUGAAUGUAUUUGAUUUGGAUUUGAUAUGAAAUUGUUUUGACAUAAAUAUGAAAAUGUUUGGUUGAAAUUUUUUGAAUGUAUUAUCAUGUUUGAACUCAAAAGUUUUUAUGCAAAGGAUUAUACAAUGUCUUUCCCAUUUGCAAUCAUGAUUGAAAAUGUUUAAUCCAUAAAACUGUAUUAAUAUUCAUUAUUAGGCUUUGAGCUCAUUCCCUUUCAUUGACAAUUUUUUAAGUACUCUUAGUUCAAGCAAGGAGUGACAAUUAAGAUGAGAUUUUAGCAUUAUUAAGGCUUUUGGUUUAAACUUUAUGUUUUUCGACAUUGUUUAAAAAUUAGAAUUUAAUAACUGUUCGAAUUGUUAAAUUUGAAGUUGUUUGAACAAGAGCACUUUGGUUGAUGUGUUAGUUUUACUACUCUAAAUAGGAAUUUGGUAAUUAGUAUCAUUUAGUUACAAGAUGAAUGUAUGUUCGUUUCAUUUUUUACUUUGAGUCUUCGAGCUUGAGAUGUGAAAUGACUACCAUGCCCUUAGGUUGGGUCUUGAGGCGUGACAGCGUGGUAUCAAAGCACUAGGUUAUGAUCUUAGGAUCCAUGCUUGGGAAUAUGUGCAUUGUAAUUCAUGCUUUGGGACGCACACUAUGAGAUGUGUGCAUUAUGGGACCAUGACUCAGAAUGCUUGCAUUGGGAUUCAUGCAUCAGGAUCCACAACUCGAAAAUUGUGCCUAUACUAUUGCACCUCAAGAUUUUCUCAUUGGGUCUUGAGAUGCGAUAGUAAAUGCAUGAUUCCUAAGGCAAGCAUCAUGAUACAUUCAUCUAGAAGCCAAAAUCUCAAUGCAGGCAUCCCAAGUCAUGGUUCCCUAAUGCACGCAUCAUGAGGCUCGCAUUUUGAAGCACGAUUCUUGAUACACACAUCCUAAGGCAUGAAUCCUAAUGCAUGCAUCCAAAGACAUGAACCAUUGCACACAUCUUGAGGUGUGAUUUUGGAAGCAUGGAUCCUUAGGUUCAUAUGUCGAUGCAGGCAUCAUAAGAUAUCUCGACACAUGCAUCCUGAGCAAGGGUCUCAAUACACAUAUCCUAAGGCAUGAAAUCCCGAGGCAUGAAUCCCAAGGUGAUUAAAUUUUAAUGAGUUCACCCAUACCUCUUCAUUCACACACAUACACACACACACACACACACACACAUAGAGGAAAAUCUUUACAAGUUUAACAAGAUUGGAUAUCUUUGAUGCUUUCAUUGACUUAAUGAAUGCUUAUCUUCAUGAUUUAAUUCACUGAUGACAAAGGUUGAUCAAGGAUAUGAAAAAUCUUAGAUUAUAUUUUGAGAUGAAAUAGAGCUAUUUGUACUCAAAUUUUGGUAUAAAAAAUUACAAAGAACCAUGUUUUUUGCAUAAAAAUUGUACAAAACGAUAUAAAAGCAUGUUUAAGGAUCAAUGGGAGGUCACAAGCUAAAAAGGUAAGAAAAAAAGGUAAAAAUUGGAAGAUAAGUGUAGACCCUCCAUUUUGUCCUCUUAACACAUGUGAUACUAGCUAUUUUUCCUACACUUCUCAUUACUUUUUAGUCAUUCCUUGGUGGCUUAUUAACAUUCAUAUGGUUUACUUUUUUCGAGCCACCUUGUGGACUCGUAUUUCUCACGUGCAUCCCCACUUGACAGUGAAACUCUCUUUUUAGGUAAAAAAACUGGAUUUUAUGAAAAAUUGGAGUCACCAUUUAUUUUUAUUUUUGUUAAAUGGAAAAUAAAAUAAGAAAUUAGAACCUUAAGCAAAAAAUAACUCAAACUUUUGGAAUAAACGUGUCUUUAAUAAACCCGAGUCUAGGUCUGAGGAUUAGGUUACUUAUAAAAAAGGUACCUAAAAAAGAUAGCACCCCUCUAAACCCUAAAAAGAUCCCUACUAGCUAGGUUGGGGGAAGUAUGACAAUUAAUUGAUUGGCUUAGGGUACCAAGAAAAGCUAAGGUGUUUACCUAAAUUUUAAUAACAUAUUAAGCAUGCUAAAUAAUUGAUUCAAGUCACAAUCAUAAAGGAAAAGUAAGAUGCGUACUUGGACUGUGACUUAAAGUGCUAUUACAAGAUACUAAAGUUAGUUCAAACAACAAAAUAUAUAACAGGAAUCUCAUCCAAGAAAAUCAAACAAACACCAAGGCAAUCAAGGAUAGUAUCAAACAUGGAUAUAGAGUUCACACAAAACAUUUUUUACGUAACUAAAAAUGGUGAAGUGUAGAGAGUGUACCUGAAUAGCAUAUCUUAAACAUAAUGCACUUCCAAUACAAAUAGAGAAGUGAGGAUAAAAAAAAAGAUGACAAGCAAUUAGGAGAGCAAAACCUAACAUGCAUGGUAUCUACAUGGCAUGAACUUACAAAGACAUCAACUAUAGAAGGUAUAUAACCAACUAAAUAACUCAACUUUGGGAAAAGCUUUUUAACGCAAAUAAAAUUCUAGAAUCAAUUUCAAGAAGUUAGUAACAUCAUACAAUUUUGGAAAAAAAAUUAAUACACUCCUAAAAUAAUCAAAAUGAAUUUUAAAACUAAAAGGUCAUUAGCUAAGUUAAAACUGACAACAAAGAUGAGUUUUAAAAAUCUUUCAUGUAGGGGUUUCAUCAAAUGCCCAUUCAAUAUUGACAAAUUCAACUCAUUCAUCCUCAACCUCAAGUGAGAAGAUUAACCAAGGCUAAGGACAUUCCCAUUAGCUUAGGGGCACAAGUUCAAACCUAUGUGAAUAAAAACAAAGUUUUUAGAAAACUAAAAAGAAAAUGUAACUUGGAUGAUAUGAGUUGCAUGUUUUUAAAAAGAAAGUGAGAUCUUUGCCCUAAACUUAGAUUGAAUUUUCUUUUAUAGUUUUUAGAUGAUAAAUCCUCUUGAAAAUAAUUUAAUUUAUUUUUUAAAAUGAUAUUAGAAGGAGAAAAAAGGAACCAAGAGAAUUAAGAAAAUCCUGAACAAAAGACACAAAAGUUGGGAUUUUUAUUCCUAACUUAAAAGGAUUUAAAAACAAGAGAAAAAUCAACUUAGAUCUUCUUAGCCCCAUUCAUGAUGCAAAAAAUUUAAUUAAAAAAAAAAUUUCUAAAAAAAAGGGUUUGAGUCUCAAGAAUUUCUCAUGGAGCCUACUAAAUAAGUAUCAAAAUAAGGAAAGCUAGAAAUUUAACCAAAUGUAAUAUCCAAUGAGUUAAAAAAAAAAAAGGAAAAAAAAACAUACUAACAUUAAAAUGUAACCGCACAUGCCUUCAAUGAAUUUUUAACUAACAUAUAAAUUUAAUCAAACUAACACUCAAUGAUUUUUUUUUUUUUAAGCAUCUAGAAUAUAAAUUUACCAAAACAAACAUUCAAUGAUUUUUUUUUUAAAAGCUUCUAAUGUAUAAAUGUAUCAAAACAAACAUUCCAUGAAUUUCUUAAAAGCAUAUAACAUGUAAAUUUACCAAAAAAAACACUCAAUGAAUUUUAUUUUUUCAAAAGCAUCUAGCAUAUUAAUUAUCAAAAUAAACACUCAAUAGAUUCUUUUUAAAUGCAUUUAGCAUAUAAAUUUAUCAAAACAAAUGCUCAAUGAAUUUUUUUAAAAGCAUCUAGCAUAUAAAUUAUCAAAACAAACAUUUUAUGAAUUCUUUUAAAAGCAUCUAACUAAAUGGAUCAAAACAAACACUUAAUGUUUUUUUUUUUAAAAAAAAAAUCUAACAUAUAAAUUAUCAAAACAAACACUCAACAAAUUUUUUUAGAAAAGCAUCUAGCAUAUAAAUUAUCAAAAUGAACAUUCCAUGAAUUCUUUUAAAUACAUCUAGCAUAUAAAGAACAUUACAAAAAUAACUUAAUGUGAAUUUUGAACUAAACUAGCAUACAAUGAACUUUUUAAAAAAUAACUUAACAUGAAUUUUAACUAAACUAGCAUACAAAGAAUUUUAAAAAAUAACUUAAUAUGAAAUUUAACAAAACUAUCAUUUAAAAAUAUUUCAUAAAUAACCUAACAUGAUUUUUUAACUAAACUAGCAUACAAAGAACUUUAAUAAAUAACCUAACAUGGAUUUUUAACUAAACUAGCAAUCAAAGAACUUCAAAAUGGUGAACACAUGCUCUCCAAAGGCUCUCAAUGGUGUAUAUUCUCUACCCCCCAAAACAUCCUCUGAACUCUAUUCAAAUGUGUCUUCCAUCUCCCCAAACCACCAGACUGUAAGUCUAAGAAAGUUUCUAAAUGUUUCCAAGGUUGAGAGAUGUGCUACCUUCAUUGUACCUUCCCGAUAAGUGACUUGACCUUCAGACUUAGACUAGAGUUUUUUAAAGACAUGCUUUUCUAAAAAAUAAGGAGUCACUCUUAAGGUUUUUAUUGUUUAUUUUAUUUUCCUUUAAAAAAACGGUAGAUCAAAUUUUAUAUAUAUAAAAAAAUUGUUUUCCACUAAGAAAAUGAGUUUCACCAUAGAAUGGGAAUGCAUGUACAAAAUGUGGAUCCGUAAUAAGAGGAGUUGAAAUCACAAUUUUGAUUUAAGUAAGAUGACUCAAGAAGAGAAAUAGAAAUCAAGAGUCCAUUUUGAUAACAUUUUCAAUUUAACUAUAAUCUUGUUUUCUAACAAUUCUUUGAACUAAAACUUGUUUAAAUGGUAAUUUAAGAUUAUGCACAAGUUAAGAAAAUGUUUAAUAUGUUUAUUUAAUCAUUUUCUAGGAAUUUUGAUUAUAUGUGAUGAUUGAAUAUUAUUAUUAUUGAUUGUUAUGUAGAAACAUGUUUCUCGUGAUAUAGACCUUCUAUUUUGUCCUCUUGGCACAUUCCAUUCAGGAUUGCUUUCUUACAUCCUCUAUUGCCCUAUUAUGCACUUAUGUGUCCUUUUUCGAGUUGUUUUUUGAGUCCCAUUAAGUAUCUUUCGACUUUCUUUGGAGAUAUCUUAGGGGACUUUCUGAGAUCCUUAGGGUGAUGAUCAAUGACCUCUAGUUUUUUUAGUUUAGGGUUUUGUUUGUCUUGACUUUGAUUUUCUUCUAGUGUAUUUAUGUUUGACCUUUGUUCUUUUAGUACAUGAUUUUACGUUUAGAUGAGAUGGAUUUGAUUAUGAUUUUUUUUGAGUCAUUUCGAUAUUUGAUUGCAUGUCACAAAAAUUUGAAUUUUUGUGUGCAUUAGGAUGUUUAAUAUACUAGUUUGAUAUUUUUAAUUGUCAUAGUUCUAAUUUUUUAUUUUUUGGUUAGACAAUUUUAUUUUAUUUUAAUUUUGAAUUGCAUGCUAAUAUAUUUAAAUUUUGCAUGAGAACUAAUUCUUGUUAGUGUGUGAUUUGCCUUAUGGUUACUAAUACAUAGAUUUUCUUUGUGAGGUCACAUGAGGAAAAUAUGGGGAUUAGAAGAAGUUGGGAAGAGAAUUCUAGAAGAAAAAUAGCCUUGCAAGAUGAGGUAUUCACAUUGAAAAGCAUUCAAGUAAAAAAGUUUGAACUAGUGGCAUGUUGGGUGAGUUGGAAAAUUCUGAGUAGUUAGGAAGUCUCCAGAAAGUUGGUGAAACAUGGAGAUCACGUGGGGAGCAUUUCAAGAAAAGAAAAAGGCUUCAGUUAGGAUCAUGGUUUUAAAGACUGGAUCAGACCAACUAGUCGGACCAUUUCAAUCGCCGAUGAGUGACAUUUCCUAUCUGGUUCAAUCGCCAACCAACGACAUUUCUGGUCCAGCUCUCCAUAUUGAACCAUUUAGCAAAUGGAUAGGUCACAAACUGCCUGAACCAAUAAUUGGACUGGUAAACCGGACAAACCAGGCAGUUCUUAAUGAAUCUCUUCCCCUUAUUCUAUAAUUCAAGCCCACCACUGGGCCUCCAAUUUUAUCAUUUAAACCAACUACCUUCAAACUAGGCCCACUUUACAAAUUAAUUUUUUGGCAAAAAUCCUAACCCUGCAAAAGCCCAACUUACCUUGAUCCAAUUGCUAGGUUGCAUCUUGAAGACAUUCCUCUGCAUGAGUCUUGUUUUUAUAGACCUCUUUAUUCUAAUCAAGUUCUGAUGUGGGAUUGAUGAUAUUAGUUAAUAAAAAAACAAUCAUAAAUGAUAAAACACACCCAAAAGGACUUGAACCUUGAUCUCAAGUUAAGAAGAGCAUAUAGGCACCACUCGACUACACACCAGUUUAUGCUUAAUACAACAAACAAAAGAAAAUAUUUUCUUUUAAAAAUAUAUAUAUAUAUAUAUAUAUAUAUAUAUAUAUAUAUAUUAAGUAAAAUAAUUGAAUUUUAUUUCAUUUUCAAUAUAUUCACAUUUAAAUAUUAUACAUAUGUCAUUUCAUAAAAUUUAAAAUAUUAAUAUUUUUAUACUUAUGCAUAAUUUAAUUUGAUAAUAUCAAAGAUAAAAAAAUAAUAUUAUUGAUUUUUAAUUUAUUUUUAUAUAUUUUAAUUUUUUAUAAUUAUUUUUAAUUUCAAUAAUAUAUAAAAUAUAUAUUUAUUAUGUCAUCAAUUCGACCGCGGUAACUUUUCCAAUUCUGAAAAUAAAAUAAUAUUAUUUUUAAUUUUUUUUUUCAGCUUUGAUAUUUUAGGAGAAAUCUCUUGGUGGGAAAAGAAAGAAACAGAAAAUAUGUGAAAGGGGUGUGCGUUUGAAAAAAAAAAAAGUGGCAGUUAUGUUUAGAAGGUUCUAGAGGCUAGUUAGUUAGAAGUGGAGAGAUCAUAUAUUCGGGAUUUUUCUAGAAGUGGGAGUUUAAGGGUAUUGGAAGGAAAGCACCAUCUCCAUUUUGGGAGAAUUUUUGGGAUUUUAGGAUUUUCUUGAGCUGAGAGUUGUGAGAGACAGAGAAAGAGAGCUUAGGGCUGUGAAAGAAAGGCUUGGAAAACAAGCAAAAGAAAAAGAGCGGGAUUUUGGGUUGUUGGAAGAAUAUGAGGAAAAGAUUUGAGAUUUUGUUGGUGGGUUGCGAUAGAGAGAAGAACAAGUCAGAACAGAGAAAGAAGAAAGAGCUAGACCAGCGGAAGGGAACCAGAGGAAAAAGGGUAAUCCAGCUGAUUUUGCUAGCUUUGGAAGAAUAGAGAAUUCGGCUGAAGCCUUUCUAGGUAUGGUUGCUAUGAAUCUUAUUUCUUUACAUUUAUGCUCUGUUCCUUCUCAUUUUCUGGGUAUUUUAUGGUUUUUGUUUGAUGUUUGAAUGUGGAUUGCCUAGAUAGUAGUUUGGUUGGUGGAAUCUAAAUUGUUUAUAAGUUUGCCAUGGUUUUGAUUCAUCUGAUGUUCAUCCUAUGCCAUUUUUGGAAAUAGCUUAUAUUUGAAUCAUUUUUUUUUGUUUUUUUUUUUUUGGAUAUUAAAGAAUCAUACUUUAGUUCUUUAUUGGUCUCACUGGUUUUUUCCCCAUUAAUUGAAACAUGAAAUAGGGUUGUGUUCUUUGAUCUUUUGGUUUAUUUUGUUCCUUUCUUUGGUGUUUUGUUUUUGUUGUUUUCUCCCUAUUUUUUAUUAAGACGUUUACUGAUUUGCCUAAAAGAUUGGGAUAAUAUCAGUAUAUUUUGAAUAUCUAUUAUGUCACUACAUUUUUGGAUAGUUUAUUUGUAUUUGAAUUGGUUUUAUUAUUGAAUUAGCAUGUAAAUGGGCAACUACUUGUAUCAGUUCCGAGAUGUACAUUUAUUUUGAAUUUGUAAAUCAUCUAUAUAUUAUUGAACUUAAUAAGCAUAUUAGUAGUGUUGACCAAAAGUAAUAUCUUAUAUGGUAUCAAAUUCUCUCUGCUUUUAAAGCCCUCGAUCCACUUUUUUCCCAUGGCCUUCUCUACUGCUCACGACUCCCCUGUCUCAUCUCCUACCUCACUUGUGAUUCUUCCAACCCAUUACCAUGUGCCUCAUCUCAUUACCAUCAAUGUGAUCGCUCAAGGCCCACUUAAAUUAACUCACACAAACUAUUUUGUCUAGCACCUACAGUUUACUUUCCUUCUUAUUGGCUACGACCUUGUCGAGUUUGUUGACGACACUCAUCCCUGUCCACCCCCGACUCCUAAUCUUGCAUAUUCUCUUUGGGUGUACUAAAAUCGGUUUAUUCUCAAUGCCAUCAUCAGUUCUAUCACUCCCACUCUCAUUCAUUUCAUUACCACUACCAUGAUAUCUCAAGCUUCUUGGACCACUCUCUUCAACACUUAUGCAAAGCCAUUCCAAGGUAGUAUCAUGUCUCUUAAGGGAAUCCUAGACAAUUUGCACAAGGGUGAGACAACCAUGAUGGAGUAUAUGCAGCUCAUUAAAACGUUUAAUGAUGAUUUUUUCCUCAUGAAUGUCGCCUACAAUAUUGACGAGCUCACUCUCAAAAUUCUUCAUGGUCUUGGUGACUAAUAUUCUUCUCUUGCUUCUGCAGUCAAAGCUAGAGAAACCCCUAUUUUCUUCUAUGAACUUCAUGAGAAGAUUAUCACCUAUGAAGCCUAAUUGAAACAAGAUUGGGAUAAGAAAUUAUUACCUCCAGUCUCUACUUAUUUGACCACCAAGAAUCCCAACUCUUCCCUACAUCAUAAUUAUAAGGCCAAUUCUUAUCGUCGUAACUUUUCAUCUAAUAACCCUCAUUUUCCUGUUAGUACUCACCAACCUUGCCCACCUCUCAAACCUUACCAGGAUUUUUGUUAGCUUUGUGGUAUUCAAGGCCACUCUACCAAACGAUGCUCUACCUACAAACAUAUACCUUGGAUUGCUCAUUCGUUCCUAUCUGCUCGGUCGAUAGCUCCCCAAACUCAUUUUGCUUUCUCGACUGCUCCUUCCACUAAAUGGUUGUUGGAUUAUGGCGCCUCUCAUCAUGUGAUAAGUGACUUAUAGAAUCUCUAUCUCCACUCUGAUUCCACUGGUCAUAAUGAUAUCAUGAUUGGUGAUGGCAAUAGUCUCCCCAUCACUCACAUGGGUUCUUUUACUCUUCAAUCCUCCUUUCACUCAUUUCUUUUACAUGAUGUUCUUUCUAUGUUCUCUAUGAAACACACCCUAAUUUCUAUUUCUCAAUUUUGCUUAACUAAUAAUGUUUCUAUUGAGUUAUUACCUCGCUAUUUUCUUGUGAAGGAUCUUCGAAUGGGGGCAACGCUUUUGACCGGUAGUUCUAAGGAUGGAGUAUAUGAGUGGUCGACUGUCCAUGAGAAAUCUAAACAAUUACUCGUCUUUGCUUCUAUUAAAGCAUCUGCUUCUAAUUGGCAUCAUCGUCUCAAUCAUCCUUCUACCAAAGUUCUUAGUCACCUCGUGUCAUCUCAGCUCAUUCACUUAUCUUCCACUAGUAUUAGGAACUUUUCUUACAACUUUUCAUUGUAAUAAAAGCCAUAAGCUUCUUUUUUCUACAUCAUCACUCACUAGCAUAUCUCCUCUUCAACUUCUUUAUUAUGAUGUAUGGUGUCUCUUGUGGAAUCGUUCAAUGGCAAUAAAUAUUGUGUAUUUUCGUUGACAAUUUUACAAAAUAUAUUUGGUUUUAUCCCAUGAAAAAAGAAGUCUAAUGUUUUAGAUAUUUUUAUUCGUUUCAAAGUGCUUUUAGAAAAAAUUUAUAACAAACAAAUUAUCCAACUAUACACAGACAAUGGUGGGGAAUAUCUUGCUCUCAAAAUUUUUUUGGCUCAUCUUAGUGUCUUUCACCUCACCACUUCCCCCCUUCUCCCCAUACUCCUGAACACAAUGGAUACUUGGAACAUCAUCAGUGUCAUAUAGUUGAGACAGACCUCACUUUGUUACAUUAUGCUUCUAUGUCCUUAUCACUUUGGCUUGAAGCCUUUGCCACUGUUGUCUAUUUGAUCAAUCGAUUACCAAAACAUAAUCUUAGGUUUCUUUCUUCUUACCAAAAACUUUUUGGUCAGUUGCUAAAUCUAGCAAAACUUCAAGUUUGUGGUUACUUGUGUUAUCCAUGGUUACGUCCUUAUAAUUCUCAUAAACUUGAGUCUAAGUCCAAACCGUGUGUAUUCAUUGGCUACUCACUCUCUCAAAGUGCCUACAUCUAUCUUAAUCCCACCACUCAUAAAACCUACACAUCUUGGCAUGCCAAGUUUGUCGAACCUAUCUUUCCAUUUGCCACAUCCAAUCCCCUUUCACCUUUCUCAUUCAUAGAGUCCUAGUUAUCACCUUAUUUAUCUACCCCUACUCCUACUCCUACUGGUACUCCUCCAUUGAACAUCUCUUUGGCAUUUCCUCCUUCUAGUAACUCGGUUCCCUAUUUGGAAGCACAAGUGAGUAAUGACAAUAGAGGUCUCAUAAGUUCCCCUUCUCUGAGCUCUCCUAAUAUUUUUGUUCAAAUGCUUUGUCUUUCUGUUCCUAAUCAAUCUCCAUGUCAACCUAUUGUAUCUUCUUCUCCACUACCUGCACUUCUACCACCUCCAACUUUGAAUCCACCACCAAUCUCCCAUAUUAAUCUCCUCAAUCGCUACUCCAUGAUCACCUGUGCCAAAAACAACAUUGUCAAACCAUCCACAAAGAUUACAAUGCUUGCCACUACCCUUACUGAACCCAUCACUGAGCCCACUUGUGUCUCUUAGGCCCUUAAGGACCCUCGCUAAUGUCAAGCAAUGUCAGAAGAAUUUAAUGCUCUACUCCAUAAUGGUACUUGAAAUCUUGUACCCCGCACUACUAAUCAAAAUCUUAUGGGUUGUAAGUGGGUCUUUUGUAUCAAGAGAAAACCUAAUGUCUCCAUUGAUCGUUUUAAGGCUCGACUUGUCACCAAAGGGUUUCAUCAGUGUCCUAGUGUAGACCCUCGAUUUUGUCCCUUUAGCACAUGUCUUUAAAUUCACUUCCAGUACUCCACUGUAGUUCCUUGGUGGCCCAUUACUACUCGUACGACUUACCAUUUUCUGAGUCACCUCGAAGACUUUGGUUAAGGGAUUAUCUGACCCUUUAUUGUGAUCCUCGGUAGUCUUGAUUUAGACUAGGCUUCACUUAGGCACCCUUGACCCAUUUAAGCAUCCUAGGCCCACUUAGGCACCUUAGGCCCGUUUAGGCACCUUAGGCCCAUUAAGACUUUUUUAGCGUAACUUGUAUGACUUGCAUGUUUGCAUGGCUCGUGGGACCCAAAUUUUUGUUAAUUUGUUUAUUUUUAUUUUUUUUAGUUUUAGUUUUAUGACUAUCAUUCACUUUUUAUCAGUUAUCUUCCUCUUUAUAUUAUUUUCCUUAAGUUAUUUAUUUAUUUAUUAUUUUUACCAUUUUCUAAUUUAUUUACUUAUUUAUCUAUUCAUUCAAUUAUUUAACUUCAAAAAUUUGAUGCUUUUGCAAGGAAACUUACCAUUGGAGUUUAAGGAAAAUGGGACUCUCCAUGGAAGGUUUUUGGAGGGGAAUUUGAAAUUGAGAAGAUGGCUUUUGAAAGAGAGGAUUGAAAAAAAGAAAAAGGAAAAGAAGAAAGGAAAUAGGAGAAUUUUCCUUUUUGGAAACAAAUUUAGGUCUUGGAGGGUGAUACAUAUAUAUAGGAGAAAGGAUGGAGGAAAAGGGAUUCGGAGGAUUUUUUGCGGAGAAGCAUAGCGGAAGCAGGAAAAGAGCAAUUGCAACCAAGGUCGUUCGGGUAUGUUUCUCGAUGUUCUUGAAAUUAUUACCUAUGCUUGAUUUCUCCAUGUAUUUCAUUUCUGAAUAUUUAAUGUACUGUUGAUUGGUGUGGACGCAAAGGGCCACAAAUUUUUUUUAGUCGAUAUUGGUUGCUGAUGUGUUCGCCUCAAACCUGUUUGUGAUCCUCGCCACUAGCCUGAGCCCAUUGAAAAAAACAUGAGAUGUGGCUUUAUUUGAUUUAUUUUAUUAUUAUGCUUGUUUGUUCUCUCCCCGUCUUCUAUGGUUUUACACUAUACAUGUUUUGGAUCAUUCUUCUUAGUUUCCUGGUCACUGUCUAUAAGCGUUUCAUAUGAGUCGAAAUUUUGGGAGGAUAAAGAUAGAAAGGACCCUCUGUUUCAUCCAACAGAAAUCAAUUUAGAAAUGUCCUUAUAACAACUAGAAAUUGAUUCUGAAAUUGAAGUAUCGUGGUAGAGUAGAGUGGAAGAACCAGAGCCAAAGAUGACCCCUUUAUUCUCUCCUGUGUUCUAGUAAUUUUGGUUUUCCGGCGCCAGAGUUUGUCGGACCGCCUUCAUUGUGGUUAUCUUCUUUUGAGGUUCGGUGGAUUCUGAUCUCUGGCGUCAAGCUUUCUCCAAAGUGUAACUCGUCCUCAAAUUCCAGCAAGAAUGGCACCGCUGAGUAUCUGAUUGAGGGAGAAGAGGGCACCAAUGAUCACAACAUCAUUCAUAAAUGUGUUGAGAUAUAAAAUGUUAUCUCUAAAAGAGCAAUAUUUUUUCCUCUUCGCCGAAUAUCUGUAUAUUGGAAUCUUCAUGGUUGUCUAAUCUUAAUUUUCAUUUUCCUUGGCUCUGUGGAGGGUUUCAACACAAAGAGUCAGCCUUGCUUAUACAACGAAUGAGAGAUUUGCUUUUUUUUUUUUUAUUGGGGAUUUACUGCUUUCUGUGACACGUUUGAUGUUUCCCCCUUAUUUCUGGGAUUGUGUAUUGAUGCGACUCAUGGUAGCUUAGCUUUAAAGGCGUAUCAACAAAAUUUAUACCUUAAAUACUAUUACUAAAGUAGCCAAGCUACUAUAGCAUAGUGGUUCUAGGAUCGUUCACUGGGAAGGGUUUUCGUAAACACAAGUGAUAUUCAAAUUAGGAAAAUAGGUGAUUUUCUUAUGGAUGUUAGCUUUAAAAGAAGAUGUGAAUGUUUUUAGAAAGAUUUAAAUUAAUCUAAGCUAACAUUAAAGACUAAAAUGAAAGGGUGUAAAAACAAGUUUCUCAAAGAUAGGAUAGCUAUGCUCUGGCUCUUAUGCAAAUUGGAAAUCUCAGGAUAGGCUCCUCGCGUUGGGGUUGCAACUAUGGUGAUGCUUGCUUCCCGAACCGGUAUGGAUUUAGCAAAUCAAGUUUUAAUCCUUUAAAAUGGAAAAACAGAUGGUAGUGAAUUCCAUCAAUGGUUAUUCACCUUAGACUUCCUUUGAAUGGCUCGUAAGAGAUAACUAAUGGUUUAAAGCUAAAAGCUUACCAAAUAUUGGCAACUCAAAGUCAUUCCAGGUGAUAAACUCACCUUUCAAUGGCCAUUGAAAUUGGUUCUAACGGAUUAAUGCAAAACUUGGAAUUGAAAACCUCACCUUCCAAUAGCUCGUAGGAGAUAACUAAUGGAUAGAAAUCCAAAAGCUUAUCAAGUAUUGGCCGUUGGAAGUUGUCCAAAGGAAAUAAAAACCAAACUUUGCAUUAAUGAACCAUUAAUGAAAAACGACUACCUUACCUUCCAGGUGCGAGAAAUUUCCAUGGGAUUGCAUCCAAGCCAUCACAUAACAUCCAUACUUUGAGAAACUAAAAGUUUUAGCCAAUCAUCCUCUGAGGAAAAGCCCUUAGAGGUUGUUUGGAUACUAAGAAAAUAAAAAUGGGGAAGAACAGGAGAAGAGAGAAAAACAGAGCUUUAUAUAUUUCUAAAUUAAUGUACAGAGGAUCGAUCCCCCAAUCAUCCCCCCUUUUUGGAGGUGUUGUGCACCUCUAUAUAUAGCAAAAUUACAAGAUAAAGCUUUAUGUCGGCUGAAUACAAGGUUACAAAAGGAAUUUACACGAGAAAAUAUCAAGCUAAAAAUAUUUGGGAAGUCGGUGGUGCGUGCGUGGAGAAACAGAGGAUUCAAAGGAAUUUCGCAAGGUGCCUAAAUCCUCCUUGCGAAAUUUUGACAAGGUAUUUCUUCAUGGUGCGAAAUGGCCAAAUUUCGCACCAUGAGGAAAAUCUCCUUGCGAAAUUUUCGCAAGGUAAAAUUCACCUUGCGAAAUUGGUCAUUUGGCAUGAUGCAGUCGUCUUACGAAGGCCAUAUCUUCCUCAUUUUAGCUCCAAAUCAUACACGGUUUAAAGCGUUGGAUUCUUGACUUCCUGAACUUUGAAAUGGUAUAUAGCAUGUAGAAAAUAGACUUCGGGAAGUGCUUCAAAAGUGCGAAAGAAGACUGCAGCUGUUUUCUUCACUCUGUUUUCCCCUUCUCCAUUGCUUGUGCUCGUGUUUCCACUUGAAUUUCAAGCCUGUAAUCAUCCAAAAUCCUUGCUUAACUCGCCCAAAUAGCUCCUCCAUCAAUUGGCAUGCUUGAAUUGGUUCAUAAGCUGAUAAAAACAUGUAAACUUGCCACAAAAUGGUUAAAACCAAUUACUAAGGACCUUAAUGAAUUAAUUGGGUUAAAUGAAUAUGAUUACUACUCAAAGGUGCUUAAAACCAUUAUUAUUAGGUCUACAAAAUAGCACUUUUUCGUAGUAAUCAUGUAUCUGAUAACCCGACUCUUGGUAGCUUGGAAUGUAAGGGUAUCAACAAAAUUUAUACAUAAGGUCCUUACACUAAAGUAGCAAAGCUACUAUAGCAUAGUGGCUCUAGGAUCGAACACUGGGAAGGGUUUUUACUUUAACUGGUGAAGUUCGGAGGAUGGAGUGAACUUUUCUUAAUAAAAAUUAGGUUAAGAUGAAAACAUAAAAAGAUGAAGGCAUUGUAAACUAAACUAACAUGAAAAAAGGUUAAAAGAUGGAAAAAGAAGUUUCUCAAAGCUUUGGAUAGCCAUGCUUAGCUCACUGUGUAAAAAUGGAGAUUUUGGGACUCUUCACCUCGAGUUGGGGAAGCAACUAAGGUGAUGCUUACUUCCCGAACUGGUAUGAGUUUAACAACUGAGUUUUAGUCCUUGAAAACUUACAAAAAGGGUAGCUGAACCUCAUAAAUGCUCUUUUAUUGGUAUAGGUCAUCUCCUCGACUUGCAAUACAAUGGCUCGUAGGAGAUAACUAAUGAACGUCAGUGGAUCUAACAAUAAGAAUCCACUGAGACCAAAAGGUUAUCAAGUAUUGGCCAUUCAAAGCAAGUCAGAGGGAUUAAAAGCUUUACUUUGAAUGAAAACAUUUAUGACGCUCAGCUACUUACAUUUAUGGCUUGGAAAUCUCCAUCCUGACACGGGAGCUUCACAUGGCAUCCAUUACUUCAAGAAACUAAAAGGUUUUACCCUCUCAUCCUUGGGGAUUUCAUCCUCCAAGGAUGUUUGGCUACUAAGAAAAUGAGAAAGAAAAGAGAAAAGAAGCGUAUGAACAAAAGUGCUCUUAUAACUUAUAAAGUUACAAGUUACAAGAUGAUCGUGUCUACUGCUCUUCACCUCUAUUUAAAGACAAUAAAAAGCUAAAUUACAAGAGCUAUUACAAAAGCAACCUUUACAUUGGUUGAUUACAAGGGUAAAAUAGGUAUUUACAAAGCUAAAAGUCAAGCAAAAUAUCUUGGAGAACCGGCAGUGGAAUAUCAUCAACAGCGUCUCAAAACAGGGGAUUUCAAAGGCAUUUCGCAAGGUGCCUAAAUCCACCUUGCGAAAUUUCGCAAGGUGGUUUCUUCAUGGUGCGAAAUGGCCAAAUUUCGCACCAUGAGGAAAAUCCCCUUGUGAAAUUUUGGCAAGGUGAAAUUCACCUUGCGAAAUGGUGUUCCCAUUGCUUGUGAUCGUGUUUCCACUUGAAAUUCAAGCCUGUAAACGUCCAAAAUCCUUUCUUAACUCGUCCAAGUAGCUCCUCCAUCAAUUGGUAUGCUUGAAUCGGUUCAUAAGCUGAUGAAAAACAUGUAAACUUGCCACUAAAAAUGGUUAGAACUAAUUACUAAGGAGCUUAAUGAAUUAAUUGGGUUAAAUGAAUAUGAUUACUACACAAAGGUGCUUAAAACCCUUAUAAUUAGGUCUACAAAAUAGCACUUUUCGAUAGUAAUCACACCCCUCAACCGACUCAUUGCUAGUCCCUUAGCAAUGGAGGAGAUAAAAACUAAGCAAACAUAAUAAUAUACAUAAAAGAGGUCAUGCAAAUCACUCCAAAAAAUAAUUGAGUGGCAUGACUGAUAUCAAAACACAUCUCACAUGGUGAACUAAAGAUAUGAAGAUUCAAAAUGCAAUAGGAGUUGUCAAAGCUAAAACUUAAACAAAAAGUACAAAGAGUGAAGAUUAUGCAAUUAAGUAUCAAAAGAAUCUCUACUCUCAAGGUUUCGAAUCAAACUCUUCCAUAAUGAGCUAAGUGUUAAUGAGAUUAGCUUCCGGAUAUAGUAUGUACAACUAUCCUCUCCCCCCAACCUAAGCUUUUCUCGAACUUUGGCAAAAUUAACCAACUCUUAAUAGGUUAGGAACGCACCUUCUUAUUCACAAUUCUUUUUACUCUCUAAACUUAACCAAUUCACCUAUGUAGCAAGCAGAGGAUCGAUGACUCCCAACCAAUCAAGGUUUAGGGCAUCGGGUUUUAAAGGCUUUCGCCACCCCUUCGGAUCAUGCUUAGGUUUCAAGGAAAGAAUAGAAACUUAUUCUUUUUUUUUUUUUUUUUUUUUUUUUUUUUUUUUUUUUUAAGACUCAUUGGUCUUUUUGAGGUGUCCCAACACUAUUAAAAAGAGGUUAAGUAAUGAACCAAGUCAAAAUUUUCCUAAGCUUAGAGGGUGAGAAAGUUUUACAUCAUAUAUCCGGGAUCUAAUGUGCACGGUGUGUGUAAAGCUUGAAAUGGAAGAAAUAAGUUCGAAAUCAAAGAGGGCUUCAAUAGAUUAUCAACUUUGAAAGCAUAAAACAAACUCUAAGACUUAAGUAAUUAAGUUAAAACUCGACUUAUCCUAUUUUAUUUUGAGAAAUUAUCUUUAACAACCAUAGAGAAUGAAACAAAAUUUUUUGAAAUAGGUCAAAAACUACUAAAUCAACAAAAUAACAAACUAAAAUAGGAAAUACUUACUUCCUCAACUCUCCUCCCAACCGAGAUGAACAUUGUCCCCAAUGUUUCUAUCGAAAAAGACGAGGAAGGAAUGAUAUACCUUAUGGUGAUGUGGUAUUCAAGGCGUGUGAGUGCAUCCACAUGAUUCAAAAACCAUAAGAAACGUGAGAGAGGAAAUAAGAUACAAAAAAUGAUGCUUUUAUAAACUGAGAGAGUUGAGUACAAGAUAUAAGCAUGAGGUACAUACAAUCUCAGAAUAUAAAACAUGUAUCAUAUACAAAAAACAUAUACAAAAUGGAGAUAGAAAUAUCCAAUCAUGGAUGUGGCUCCUGAGGUGGAGGAGGUGAUAUGCCCAAGUGAUGGUAGAUCUGAGAGAGCAUGGCGGAGUGCUAGUCCAGGAUAGCUGUAUGCUGAGCCUGAAUAGUUGUAUGCUGAGCCUGAUGUGUCUGUAUGGUAUCCAUAUGUCGUUUGAUGGCCUGCAUCUCACGGACUAAGGUGGCCUGAGAGGCGCUCAAUGAGUGAAAGGACGACAUGAGAGCUCUGAACUCUGUAGCGGAGACAGUGAUGGAUGGCCCGACUGAAGACUCAGCAUAGGCUGGAGCAGGAGUGACUGGUGGUGUGGGAGUAUCAGUAGUGCAAGUCACUGGAGCAGGUACUAAAAAAGAAAGCUCUGUGGUAUGUGGGUCGUGCUCUGGUGAUGUUUGUGCUGUAGGUGCUGAGGCUGCUGGAGAAUCGGGAGGCGCUGGAGAAGCUGGAGGUGCGGGAACUAAUGGUCUAGGGAUAUCCUAGUCCAUGGGUGAGCGGUCUAAGAAAUGGGUCCAACUCUUACUGGUAAAGAGCUCUCGACAAUGAUGACGACGCUCUAGGUGGGGUUGAGAAGGGUAUCCCAUAUCCUCUAAGACCUGAGAGAUCAGCCUUGGAAAUAAGAGUGGGAUAGUACCAGCUCUAUGUAGGCCCUUCCUAUGCACCUUCUCCUCAAAAUAGGUAAGAGCAGCCAUGACUAGAUGGUGGGGUCCAAAGUAGAAUCCCUCAGAGAUGUGGUAAAGCGCAUCUAAGAUAGCACCUCUCCUCUGGAUGACAUGCUGGAGGAGAAAAAGAUUGGUGCGGAGCACCAAAUCGAUAAGUAACAUCCGUGGAGGAAGCUCCCUCCUCAAAAUGGUCCUACCAGUGACUCUACCUCCUGAUAAGGUAGACACCAUGUCGGGCUCUGAAUACUGAGACCAAUGCCGGAAGGAACCAAGGUCCUCAAGGAUAGGCGGAAAAUGCAUAGCAGCGACUAUAUCUCGGGCCUCUAAAAUACCAUGUUGGCCAUCAAUCAAAAAAUGAAUGGCUAUGGGGUCCUGGACUCGUCUAGUAGUCAUAGUCUAGUAGAAAUCUAAGACUACCCUAGGGUAAUAGAAGGACCUAGGAGUCAUAAAUGGCUCGAUGUGGUACCUCUACAGAAGGCGGUAUGACUCCUCUAGCUCUGGUAAUAGGCGGAGAGUCUCAUGCUCCAUACAGAUCUCAUCGUGAAAUGACCUAUCUCUGAUAUCCGUGUUGCCUGGGAGGGGUGGCCCUGCUAUCAUAGGCCGCUUGAGGACCUCUACUAGGUGUGAAGGGCCUAGGAUAGUAGAUGCUGGAGGUGAUGGAGGGGCUCUAGAGGACUCGCCUAGUCCUGAAAUCCUAGUCCUCUUAGGUGGAGGACUGCUCACAGGGGGUGGCACUGGUGCCCUGGAAGACCCAGAUGAUUGUCUGGUCCCGUACUCGUGUUGAGUAGAGGGAACUGGGGUCUGGGCAAGUUGAGAUGGUGUAGAACGACCACCUCUCUGUGAGUGGGCCCCAUGCUGACUAGUUGAAGAGGAUGCCCACCGUGUCCGUGCCAUGGUAUAAAUACUGAAAUAAGACUGAAAAGCAUAAAAAAUAGAGCAUCCUAGGGGUAAAGUGUCAAAAAUACAGUUGAAAUGGUAACCAGUGCAAAAUUUGCAAGGCAUGAAUAGUGGUUGCUAAAUUUGGCAACGAGCACUAUUCACAGGCACUAUUCAUCUUCUUCUCCAAUGCUUACUUUGAAUUUGAGUUUUCAUUUUUAACGGUUUAAAAUUCAAAAAAAGGGUAUGGUUUUAAUGGAAACAUGAUUCUAAAUGCAAUGGAGUAAUUUUGGGAGCCUAAAACACAUUGCAAGAUAGAGAUUUUUGCAAAAAUGGUGGCCGGCCAUGUGGGUCUUUGAUUUGAAAAAAUGGAUUUUUGAAAUGGUUUUAAUGGAUAAAAAUGCAUGUUUAUGGUCCCUAAAACAUAGAAAUGACAUAAACAAGCAAUUUAAGGAGUCAAAAAUGGAGAAAAAUGAAAAAUUACUCACCUUGGAACAAUGAAGCACGCAGCCUAGAGAGGAAAUGCAAGGGGAAUAGUGUUUUAUACAUGAAAAAUGAAGUUGAGAAGGCUUUAAAAAGGGUUUUUGGCCAUGAAAUUUUUUUUUUUUGAAAAUUUGUCUAAGUACGGGGAUGAACUGAGGAGUGUUAAAACUACAAAACUGAAGUUUGAAAAUGAAUUUAAAAAGAAUCAAAUCAUUGGUAAGCAUGAAGAAAAAAUUUCGCAAGGUGAAAAUUCACCUUGCCAAAUUUUCGCACUGGCUACUCCCCUUAAAAACCAAUCCCGAGAGGUUGCAUUUUGAUAUUUGCUUUGAAAACAAUUUCGCAAGGUGAAAAAUGACUUGCGAAAAUUUUCGCACUGGUUACUCCUUGCGAAAGUGCAAUCCCGAGAGGUUGUAAAUUGCAUCUUGCCAAAAUGUGCAUUUCGCAAUGUGAAAUUCACCUUGCCAAAUUUUCGCAACUCAAAGUGAGUUGCGAAAUGGGCUUUUAAGCUUGGACUUAGAUAUAUUUCUCCCCUAUUUCACCUUUCUCUCCACAUUUGUGAGCUUGUGAGCUUUCGUACCUGCUAUUGGACAUCAAAGCUCCAUUAAAAACAUAAAAAAUCAAAAUCAAAACUAAGAAACCUAAACAAAAUAUGUGCAGAAGUAUUAAAAAUGCAAAGUAAACAAGAAUGUAAUACUAAAAUUAAAACAAAAAGAGAUGAGCACUUAGCUUUUCAUGCUAAGCUGAUCAACUUAGCACACUUUCUCAAGGAUGUGAUGGGUCAUGGAGGAUGAGUACCUCCUUGUCAAGGGAAAAUGGCUCGAUGUAGGGCUUGAGUCUUUGCCCAUUUACCUUGAAGGUCUUUGCACUUUUUGAGUUGAGUAACUCAAUUACUCCAUGUGAGUGUACUUGGUGGAUGACAAAAGGCCCUACCCACCUUGAUUUGAGCUUUCCCGGAAAUAGGUGAAGCUUAGAGUCAUAUAGCAAGACUCUUUGUCCCUUGAAAAAUUCUUUCUUGGUCACCAACUGAUCAUGCCAUCUCUUUAGCUUUUCCUUAGCUAUUUUUGAGUUGAGAUAGGCAUCAUUUCUCAAUUCCUCAAGCUCAUUCAAAUCCAAACUCCUCUUUAGCCCAGCCUUAGUUAAAUCCAUGUUGAGCUUUUUAAUGGCCCACCAUGCCUUGAACUCAAUCUUAACGGGAAGAUGGAAAGCUUUGCCAUAAACAAGACGGUACGGUGACAUCCCAAGGAUAGUCUUAUAAGCCGUCUUAUACGCCCAUAGGGAAUCCAGGAGCUUAACAGACCAAUCUUUCCUAUUGGUGUUCACCCCCUUCAUCAAGAUGUUCUUAAUUUCCCGGUUGGCUAGCUCUACUUGGCCACUCGUCUGAGGAUGAUAAGGUGUAGCUACCUUAUGCUUAAUUCCGUACUUGGCCAAAAGAGCUUCAAAGGGCUUGUUGCAAAAGUGAGUGCCUCCAUCACUGAUGAUUGCUUUAGGCACUCCAAACCUCGAGAAGAUGUUUUCUUUUAGGAACUUGAGAACCACUUUGUGAUUAUUGGUUCUAUAGGGUAUAGCUUCAACCCACUUUGAAACAUAAUCAACUCCUACCAAGAUGUAGGAGUGGCCAAAAGACAUAGGGAAAGGUCCCAUGAAGUCUAUGCCCCAAACAUCAAAAUGAUCNNNNNNNNNNNNNNNNNNNNNNNNNNNNNNNNNNNNNNNNNNNNNNNNNNNNNNNNNNNNNNNNNNNNNNNNNNNNNNNNNNNNNNNNNNNNNNNNNNNNCUCCUAUAGAACCCGGCAUGCCCAAGGAAUUGCCUUAUUCCUUUUACAUUGGUGGGAGGUGGCAACUUCACAAUUAGUUCCACCUUAGCUCUAUCUACCUCUAUACCCUUCUUUGAGAUUACGUGCCCAAGAACAAUACCUUGACUUACCAUAAAAUGGCACUUCUCCCAAUUGAGUACGAGGUCUUUCUCUAUGCAUCUUUUCAAAACAUCUUCAAGAUGUGACAAACAAUCCUCAAAAGAAGUCCCAUACACAGUUAUGUCAUCCAUGAAGACUUCCAUGAUUCGUUCAACCAUGUCACUGAAGAUGCUAAGCAUGCAUCUUUGGAAGGUAGCAGGAGCGUUGCAUAAUCCAAAAGGCAUCCGCCUAUAAGCAUAGGUGCCGAAUGGACAAGUGAAGGUAGUCUUUUCCUGGUCCUCCACAUCAAUCUCUAUUUGAAAAUACCCGGAAUACCCAUUCAAGAAGCAAUAAAAAGGAUGCCCAGAUACUCUCUCAAGGACUUGAUCCAUGAAAGGUAAAGGGAAGUGAUCCUUUCUCGUUACUGUGUUCAGCUUCCUGUAGUCAAUGCACACCCUCCAACCAGUUGUGAGGCGUGUGGACACUUCAUCUCCAUUUUUCCCCUUGACUACGGUUAUCCCGGACUUCUUUGGAACAACUUGGGUUGGACUCACCCAAGUGCUAUCUGAAAUGGGGUAAAUAAUGCCCGCUUGAAGAAGCUUCAACACUUCAGCCCUUACUACCUCUUGCAUAUGAGGAUUCAAUCUCCUCUGUGGCUGACGAGUUGGCUUAGCUCCCUCCUCCAUAUAAAUAUGGUGCAUGCAAAUCAAUGGGCUUAUCCCCUUCAAAUAAAAAAUUUGCCAUCCGAUGGCCUUCUUGUGCUUUCUAAGGAUUCUUAGAAGAUUGUCCUCUUGUGAAACGGUUAAAGAAGAAGAAAUUACCACCGGGGCUUUAUUGCCUUCCUCCAAGUAAGCAUACUUCAACUCGGCAGGAAGGGUCUUCAAUUCAAGCUUAAGGAUUGCAUCCUUAGCUUCUUUCAUCUCUUCCUCAUCCUUGAAAAAAUGGAGGAUCACUGGCUUUUGUCUCCAGUUUGACAUAACGGCAUUCAUUCCCAUGGGUUCAGCUAACCCAUCAUCAAGAUCUUCACGGCUUUCAUCUGGAUUCUCUUCAAACUGAUCAAGCAUACUCUGAUUACAAUGCUCCUCCACCAGGGUAUCUAUCAUACACACUUCUUCUAGGCCCUCAUCUUCUUCAGGACAUCUUCUUCAGGAUGGAUGUGUUUUUGACAUAGAUGGAAGAUGUUGAGUUCCAAUAUCAUAUUCCCAAAAGUGAGUUGCAUGACCCCAUUCCUACAAUUGAUGAUUGCAUUGGAUGUUGCAAGGAAUGGUCUUCCAAGGAUGAUUGGAACAUAGUUGAUCUCUUUGACAAUGGGAUCCAUAUCAAGCACCACAAAAUCUACUGGAUAGUAGAAUUUGUCAACUUGAACCAAUACAUCCUCUAUUACCCCCCUGGGGAUUUUCACUGAUCGGUCAGCUAAGGAUAGGGUGAUCGAUGUUGGCUUGAGUUCUCCAACCCCAGCUCCUUGUAUACAGAGUAUGGAAGCAAGUUAACACUUGUCCCCAAAUCAAGCAAUGCCUUCUCCACUUGGGUUCCUCCAAUAUUGACUGAGUUUGUAGGACACCCCAGAUCUUUGUAUUUGAUUGGAGACUUGCAUUGGAUUAUAGCACUCACUUGCUCGGUUAGGAAGGCUUGCUUUGUAACAUUAAGUCCUCUUUUCACAGUGCACAAGUCCUUUAAAAAACUUUGCAUAUGUGGGUACUUGCUUGAUCAUAUCAAGUAAAGGAAUAUUCACCUUCACUUGUCUUAGCACAUCAAGAAUCUCAGAAGCAUUCUUGAUCGGUUUCUUCCCACGCAAGGCUUGAGGAAAUGGAGGAGGCAUGUGCUUCUUCAUCAUGCCUUCCUUUAAAAGAAUUUGAGGUUCCUCAUCCAUGCUAGGAAUGAUGCUUUCUUUCAUCUGAACUUCCUUACCCUUUUGUUCUUUCUUCUUUUCUUCUUUUCUAUCAGCCUUGUCUUCAUUGGCUUUCCUCUAAUCAUGCUCCAGCUGAUGCACUUCCUUACCACUUCUCAAAGUGAUAAUAGCUUGCACGUCCCUCACCUUUGAAGAAUCCUCAUCUUUGGAUUCCACUUCAUGUAUCCCCUUAGGAUUUUGGUGAGGCUGAGAGGGAAACUUCCCUUUCUCAUUGAUAGUGUUCAAAUUUGUGAGCCUUAAGAUGGAAUAUUGGAUGUUGUCAAUUUUCUAAGACAACUCAUUAUGCAUCCCAUCUAUCUUCUUGUUCAAUGUACUCUUUACGUUGUCAAUCUUCUAAUUUAGUUGAGAGUUGAUGGAUUUUUGCUCACUCACAAAGUCACCCAUAACCUUGCUAAGGCUUAUGAGUGCUUGCUCAACUGAGGAUUGACCUUGACUCUGUUGGCUUGAUUGGGCUGGUGACUGAUAUGGGUUUGGCCUUGGCUUCCAUGCAAAGUUUGGGUGGUUCCUCCAGCUAGAGUUGUACGUGUUGCCAUAGGGAGCAUUUGAAUUUGGCUUCCAUUGGCCAAUCAGGUUAGCUUGUUCCUCGAACAUUUCUCUUGCUGCUAGAAUGGUGGGACAUUCUCCCACCAUAUGUUCAAAUGAUUGACAGAUGUAGCUGCCAAUCAGGUUCUCAAAUAGCUUGGACUUCGUGAACUUUUCUCAACUCCAUUUCCUCUAUUUUUCUAGCCAUGGCAGCUACCUUGGCUUUCAUCUCCAUGUCUUCACUCAGAUUGUACAUCCCCCCUCUUGACAUUUGCUGAACCGGCCUCUUCCCCAUUUCUCUGUUAUUGGGCUCAUCCCAUCCACGGGAAACCUCUAAGACAUAACUUAGGAAAUCCAUAGCCUCCUCAGGGUUCUUGCUCAUGAAAUCACCCCCACACAUUGUCUGCAAUAUCUGCUUCAUUGAAGAUGACAUGCCAUCAUAAAAAUAGCUCACCAACAGCCAUGUAUCAAAGCCGUGGUGAGGACAUGCAUUGAUGGCCUCUAUAUACCUCUCCCAGCAUUCAUAAAAUUUUUCAUUCUCACGUGCUGAGAAAUUGGAGAUUUGUCUCUUCAAUCCAUUUGUUCUGUGAGUAGGGAAAAACUUCUUUAAAAAAUCAGCUUGAAGUUCUGUCCAUGUUCUUAUGCUUCUCGGUCUCAAGGAAUUGAGCCAUAUCUUGGCUUUGUCCUUUAAUGUGAAUGGAAAGAGCUUCAACCUCAUAAGCUCAAUAGUUGUUCCCCCUUCUUGAAAAGUAUUGCACACAUCUUUGAAUUCCUUUAUGUGCGCAUAUGGAUUUUCACUUUCCAUUCCAUGGAAAGUAGGAAGCAGAGGCAUGAUGUGUGGCCUGAUAAUCAAUUGCUCUGUAGGAGGAAUGAUGCAAGAUGGUGCACUCAUCCUCGGAGGGUGCAUCCUGUCCCUCAUGGACCUAUACAAGUUCGGAUCAUUCUCCUGCCCGUGUUGUGAAUGUUGAUCCUCUGGCUGAUUCUCCAUGACUUCCAAAAUAAUCUCUAAUUCAAUAGCUCGUGGAGUCUCUAUCCGCACUAACCUUCCCUCUUGGUCUCUAAUCCAAUAGGGCAUGCACAGAUUCAGCUGGAACAAAACAAAUAAACAAAACAAAGAAAAAGAAAAAAAAAAAAAAACAGAGCAUGCGAAAGGAAAAACAGAGUAUCAAAAAUAAACUAAAAAUGAAAGUUAAAAGCUAAAAGAAACUUAUCUAAACUAAGUUAAAAAUGUUCUCAAACUAAAAUAAAAAGUUAGUAAAUGAAAAAUGAGAUAUAAUUCACCUCACUCAUGAGAAGUCUCACAAGUUACCUCCGGCUGAUCUAUUCACAGUGAAGUAGCACCUUCCCCGGCAACGGCGCCAUUUGAUAACCCGACUCUUGGUAGCUUGGCAUGUAAGGGUAUCAACAAAAUUUAUACCUAAGGUCCUUACACUAAAGUAGCAAAGCUACUAUAGCAUAGUGGCUCUAGGAUCGAACAUUGGGAAGGGUUUUUACUUUAACUGGUGAAGUUCGGAGGAUGGAGUGAACUUUUCUUAAUAAAAAUUAGGUUAAGAUGAAAACAUAAAAAGAUGAAAGCAUUGUAAACUAAACUAACAUGAAAAAAUGUUAAAAGAUGGAAAAAAAAGUUUUUCAAAGCUUUGGAUAGCCAUGCUUAACUCACUGUGUAAAAAUGGAGAUUUUGGGACUCUUCACCUCGAGUUGGGGAAGCAACUAAGGUGAUGCUUACUUCCCGAACCGGUAUGAGUUUAACAACUGAGUUUUAGUCCUUGAAAACUUACAAAAAGGGUAGCUGAACCUCAUAAAUGCUCUUUUAUUGGUAUAGGUCAUCUCCUCGACUUGCAAUACAAUGGCUCGUAGGAGAUAACUAAUGAACGUCAGUGGAUCUAACAAUAAGAAUCCACUGAGACCAAAAGGUUAUCAAGUAUUGGCCAUUCAAAGCAAGUCAGAGGGAUUAAAAGCUUUACUUUGAAUGAAAACAUUUAUGACACUCAGCUACUUACAUUUAUGGCUUGGAAAUCUCCAUCCUGACACGGGAGCUUCACAUGGCAUCCAUUACUUCAAGAAACUAAAAGGUUUUAGCCUCUCAUCCCUGGGGAUUUCAUCCUCCAAGGAUGUUUGGCUACUAAGAAAAUGAGAAAGAAAAGAGAAAAGAAGCGUAUGAACAAAAGUGCUCUUAUAACUUAUAAAGUUACAGGUUACAAGAUGAUCGUGUCUGCUGCUCUUCACCUCUAUUUAAAGACAAUAAAAAGCUAAAUUACAAGAGCUAUUAAAAAAGCAACCUUUUCAUUGGUUGAUUACAAGGGUAAAAUAGGUAUUUACAAAGCUAAAAGUCAAGCAAAAUAUCUUGGAGAACUGGCAGUGGAAUAUCAUCAACAGCGUCUCAAAACAGGGGAUUUCAAAGGCAUUUCGCAAGGUGCCUAAAUCCACCUUGCGAAAUUUCGCAAGGUGGUUUCUUCAUGGUGCGAAAUGGCCAAAUUUCGCACCAUGAGGAAAAUCCCCUUGCGAAAUUUUGGCAAGGUGAAAUUCACCUUGCGAAAUGGUGUUCCCAUUGCUUGUGAUCGUGUUUCCACUUGAAAUUCAAGCCUGUAAACGUCCAAAAUCCUUGCUUAACUCGCCCAAGUUGCUCCUCCAUCAAUUGGUAUGCUUGAAUUGGUUCAUAAGCUGAUGAAAAACAUGUAAACUUGCCACUAAAAAUGGUUAGAACUAAUUACUAAGGAGCUUAAUGAAUUAAUUGGGUUAAAUGAAUAUGAUUACUACACAAAGGUGCUUAAAACCCUUAUAAUUAGGUCUACAAAAUAGCACUUUUUGGUAGUAAUCAGUAUCGAGUUAAUCUGGAAUUAUCUUAGACGAGAUGUUUUCAUUACAGAAGGUUGUAAGAGAAGCAUUCUGCAUACAGAUUAGUUUCUCCCUUGAGGAUUCUGUUUUGAAUUGUUUAUUUCUGGAUGGUGAGGCAUCAGAAUAUAAAACUUAUGGCUCUCCCCAUGCAUGCGAUUGAAGAAGAAUCACUCCAGUUUGAAGGUCUCUCUGUUUUGCACUUCUUCAUUGAGCAGUUGGCUAAAGUAUCGUCAUCCAGCACUAAACAUGUAAUUUCUCAAGCUUCUGUUGCUCUUAGCCCCUCUUGAAGAGAGAGAAAGAAAAUCUCUCCAUUCAUUUGAAUAAAAUAGUGGAGAUUCUAGAAGAACUCAUGUUUGAGAACAAGGCUGUCCUAAAGUAGCAUAUCUGUGAGUUCUCUUCAUUGCCCUGCAUUCUUGCUUUAAUGAAAAUGAGGAGAUUCUUCCAAAUUGUCGUGUUCAAGUGGCUUGUUAGCCACUUAUACACCUGCUAAGUUUGGUCACAGUGAUGUAAGUUUGUGGGUUAUUAUGGUGAUUAGAGAAAAGUUUUCUCGGAAUUUGAUCAUUUUAGAGUGUCACACUGAAGAAAGGUUGAAGAGCACAAGAGAUGUUUUAAGAAAUGCCCACAAAGGGAAUUGAGAGCAAUUCUGUUCACAAAGAUUCGUCAAUGAGACCCUUGUUAUGGGUGACUCCAGUCACCAUGCACGUGCUUUCUAGUGUGCUCAAAAGAGUGACCCCAGAAAAUAUCAUCAGUUCAAGCAAUCUGGAUUUGGAACACUAAAUCGUCUGCGAGUAGUUGUUGUAGAAAAGUUGUUCUAUAGGAAUAUCAUAAAAAGAUGUGAGAGUGCAUCUAAGAAGCGAUCCGAAGCUUGUUGUCUUUUGCAGGAUAAUAUAUUGUACACAACCCAAGAAUCUGACUCUCACUCUGUAUUCAUGAAGCUUUCUUGUUUGUUAUUUGAUAGCACUUUUGAACUUUAUUUGGCAAAUUUUCUUCGUAUGAUCACAACCAUGGCAGAAUCAGGCUCCAACGAGGAGCAAACCGUUAUGUGGAAAUUAAAUGUUGCAUUUGGACCGUUGUGGCAAGAGCUGAGUGACUGAAUAAGCACGACUGAGGCACAGGUUGGGAAACAACUGAACAUUCCAGCCAAACCCCAAUUCAGUCUACCAGACGGAACAUCUUUUCCUAUUUUAAAUUCGUGGGUUGAGUGGUUACAAAGGCGCUAUUUGAUGGUCAGCUUUUGGAAAUUUCUUUCACUUGGUCGUUUUACAAGCAUACUCUUGGUGUGAAGGCGACUUUACCAUGAUAUAGAGGCCAUUGAUCCUGAUUACUACAAGGAUUUGAAGUGGAUGCUAAAGAAUGAUGUGAGUUGCAUACCUGAAAUGACAUUUAGCAUGGAUCUAGAUGAAGAAAAACACUUUCUUUAUGAGAAAACUGAGGUUACUGACUAUGGGCUUAAACUUGGAGGGAGGAAUAUAAGGGUCACAGAAGAAAUAAAGCAUGAGUAUAUAGACCUUGUUGAUGAGCAUAUCUUGACAAAUGCUAUUUGUCCUCAAAUCAAUUCCUUCCUUGAAGGCUUCAACGAAUUGGUUCCACGAGAACUUAUUUUGAUUUUCAAUGAUGAAGAACUUGAGCUGCUUAUUAGUGGACUCUCAGAAAUUGAUUUGGAUGAUCUGAAGGCCAGCCCUGAGUACACAGCGUACACUGCAGCAUAUAGUGUUGUUCAGUGGUUUUGAGAGGUGGUUAAAGCUUUCGACAAGGAAGACAUGGCUAGAAAUGCUGGAAUUUGUUAUUGGAACAUCAACAAGGUCUCCGGUGAGUCUAUUUGGAGCCCCCAUUCCACCCAAUCAAAUCAAGUAUCUUGAUCUUCUGGCAUGGUAUUAUGUCUUGAAGAGGCAACAUGUAUCACCAAGACUGGCAAAGAAGCGCUCAAUGGAUGCAGGAGGUGUCCCUACUUUAGAGCAGCAGAGGCACCAGUACCUGAGUAAUGCAGUUCUGCAAGCAAAGAAUGCAAGCAACAGUGACAGUCUAGUAGGUUCUGUCCAGGGUACCUCUGACAAUGGACUGCUGAAUUUGCUUGAAGGGAAGCUUACUGUUCUCCGGUUUCAAAUAAAGAUCAAAGAGAGAACUGGAGGCUAUAGCUUCCAGGCAGUAUUGCUGAAGCUUGUUCAGCCCUGAAGAGGGUUGAUUCCUACAUUUAUUCUGGAGAUGGAGCGAAGUCUUUUAGAAGUAUAGAAAAUCAAACUGGUUUGAUCAACAAUUUGGAAAGCCAGAGUAUCCUAAAUGAUGGAAAUUCAGAGUCUUCAAAAUUGAAGAGGAUAACAUAUGUGAAGCGCCAGUCAAACCAGUUAGUUGCUGCUUCAAAUCCACAGGAUAUGUCUGUUCAAAAUGUAGAUAAAAUCCCAGCAUUAUCCCCUGAUGGCUACUACAAGAAAAGGAAAAUUUCAAAGUGAGUGCAAUGAAAAGUAAUACAAGGCACCUCCAUGAAUGACAAAAACUAGGAACUUUUGGGGAUUUGAAUAAUUCAUUUGAUUGUUAUGGAAAAUAUUCUCAUGGGAAUACUGAAAUUGAGGAGCAAGAGUAUGAAUCUGACCCUGAAAAUUAACGGUUAUGAAGCUGUUAGUUUGAUCAAAAUGGAAAUUAAGUACCUUAAUUACAUUUAUGUCUCCUCCAGUGAUUGUAUCACUAUAGGUACAAGCAGCUCGAAGCAAUUAUGUUCUGCGGUUCCAAUUUCAAGAAGUUCAAUAGUUGGGUCUGGAAUACCCGAAUUUAUUAUAUAAUUGUCUUGAUAGUCAGUUUCUUACUUUGCAAUAAGAUGAAGCAUGUCGGAAAAGGAAAUUGGUGAGAAAGGUGAUCUGCAGCCUGAAUUUUUCUGGUCAACUGAACUCAAGCCACUUGAUCGCCAGAUUGCCGAAGAGCAAAUCCAGUUCAUUUCUUUCCUUUUAUUGGUUUUCUGGCUCAUCCCUACCUCAUGAAUACACCCAGUUAGGCAGUAUUACUGAAGUACCAAGGGACCUUAUUGAUCCCUACAUCCUGGUCAGCAUCCUUCAACACGAGAAAUGGAAGUAUCAACUAGUUUUCAUGUAAGACAAGGUCAACGAAUAGAUCAGAUUCUGCAAUCACUUUUUUUUCUUAUCAAGAUGAUAAUAUCCAAGCAAUUUCUCUCUCAAUCCACAUACCAGUAGCCACUUCCAAUGUGCACAAAUAGAGGACCUAUAGCUAAGAAUGAAGCUCUACCCGUCAAUAACGUUGAAAGCACAAGGAAUAACAGUGUUGUGAAUAUAAUUGGACAUGUCUGGCCGAAGUGUUGAAUUAAUUCUAUGGUGAAAUUUUGGUAACGCGGAAGGAAUAAUAGCUGCAGAAACUAAAUGUGGAAGGAGCAGAGCAACAUUGUUUUUAGACCUCUUAUGAUCGUCAUGCAGAAAAAACAACUCAGUAGCUGAAGUUGAGUAUAUUGACUAAUCUGAGAAUGCACCUCCAACUGAUGGAACUGAGUAGCAGCGCAGGAAAUCUGAUAUUGAAUUAAGACCUACUGCCACACUACAAGCUCUAGUUGAUGAUUCAAAUUGUGAUCUCGAGAAACUAAAGUUGAAUCCGAACGACAUUGAUGAUGAAAUCAUGUAUCAAACCCUGUGAGCUUUGACUCUAAAAUGAAUACGGACAGUUCUCUUCUGGUCAUGCCAGCAAUAUACGGAGAUCUCUUCACAUAACCACCAGCAACGCAGUCACAGCCAAACCCCCAAACCCUACUCGCCAUGACCAGUUCAGUGCACACUACUCUCUUCCCUUCGCACCCCUCUUGUUUUCCUCAUGAUUUUACGUGUUUUGAAUUGUGUUUUCAAAAUCGUUUUCACCCAAAUAAUCCUGAUUUUAGAGAAUCAUCUUUAGACCUUCUCUAGGCAAUAAAAUCCAGAUUUCAACACCCUUUUGCUGCCAUUUUCCUUCCGGCACGCGUUUUCACUAUUUUAUUUGAUUUUCAACUGAUUUUCAUGAUUUUCAACAAGCAUGAACAAACUUCAUGAUUCCAAGCAAUGGAAUUUAUGGAAUCAACUCAUGCGAAAUUAAUUAGGGCUUUGGUGGGGGCCCGACAUUCAUGAUACCUUCUUCAAUAUUGUUUGCUUGAUAUGUUGAUUUUUGAUUCUGCUUGACGAAAUACUUGAAUUCACUUAAUAUUUAUUGUUGAGAUGCCCUUGUUCCUAUAAGACGUGUGGAUGCUCACUAAUCAGGUAUGCUCUUCCCACCUUACAAACUCUAAAAUUCUAUGAAUGUGUACUCUAUCAUGAGCUAUGAUCCUGUUUGAUGGCAUGAUUGAUUGCUUUGAUGCUUGUUUAAUCAUCUUUGAUAAAAUACAUAUAAUGUGUCGUAUUUCCAAACUAAUCUCUUAUGUUUCAUGAUAGCGCUUGAGAAGCUGUUCAGGUACGCACUUCGACUCUCUCUCUUAUGGUUUGUUUUCUUGUUUGGCAUGCUAUUUUUUUGGAACCACCUAGCCUACUUAGGUAUCCAUAAUUAACCGAUUAAUUGCCACACUUCCCUUAACUUUGUCAAUAGAGACCUUUAUAGGGCUUAGAGGGGUGUUACCUUUCAAAGGUACCUUCCCAAUAAGUAACCUGAUCCCCGGACCUAGACUCAAGUUUCCCAAAGACAUGCUUUUUCCAAAACUAUGGAGUCACUUUUUAGGGUUUUUCUUUCUUGUUUUAUUUUCCCUUUAAAAUAAAAAUAAAAUAGGUGGCGACUCCAACUUUUCUAAAAAUUAAUUUUUCACAAAUAAAAAAGCGAGUCUCACCGAUCGAGUGGGGACGCACGUGAAAAAUGCGGGUCCACACCUAGUAUAAACUAUCAUGGGACUACAGUUCGUCUUAUUCUUGCUUUGGCGAUCUCUUUUAGGUGGUUUCUUCACCAACUAGACUUAAAUAAUGCCUUCCUACAUGGGCAUCUUACUGAAAAUAUCUUCAUGGCUCAACCUCCUAGUUUUUUUUACCAACAACACCCAUCUCAUGUGUGUAAGCUCCAAAAGGCGCUUUAUGGUCUUAAACAAGCCCCCUGUGCUUGAUAUCAUGAGCUUCACCAAUUUUUCAUCUCUACAGGAUUUGGUAAUUCUCGUGUCGAUACAUCAUUGUUUAUUUACAAUAAGUUUGGUUUAACUAUUUAUCUCCUUGUUUAUGUUGAUGAUUUAAUUUUAACAGAGAAUAAUGAUGACUUUCUUAUAGAUGUUAUCUCUCAAUUAGCCAAUAAAUUCUCCAUUAAGUAUCUUGUCACCCUAUCUUUUUUUCUUGGUGUUGAAGUUGUUACUGCUCCAAGUGGUUUAUUUUUGUCAAAACAAGGUAUAUUCAGACUCUAUUGGAGAGGGCUAAGAUACAAGAUGCAAAAUCCGUUCACUCUUGCAUGUCCACUUCUCAAAUUCCCAAGCUACAUGAUGGUAUUGCCUUAACAAACCCUACUGAAUAUCAAUCAAUUGUUGGCGGCCUAUAAUACUUGUCUCUUACUCGACCUGACAUAGCUUUCUCCAUCAACAAACUAUCCCAGUUUAUGCAUCGUCCGACCUCAACUCAAUGGAUGACAAUGAAACGCCUUCUAUGAUAUCUAGUAGGAACAUUGCACCAUGCCCUUUUUCUUCAUAAAGAUUCUCCACUUCGCCUUCAUGCUUACUCGAAUGCUGAUUGGGCUAGCAAUCCUAAUGAUCGAUCUUCCACAAGUGCUCAUGUUGUUUUUCUUGGUCCUAAUGUUAUCUCUUGCUCCUCCAAGAAACAAAAGUUCAUAGCUCGAUUCUCAACGAAAGCAGAAUAUCGUGUUGUAUCUUCUACCACAGUCGAAGUACUUUGGAUUAAAUCUCUCCUUCUUGAACUUAGCAUAGAUGUUCGAUCGGCUCUUCCUACCUACUACGACAAUGUGGGGGUGACAUAUCUAUGUGACAACCCAAUUUUUCACUUGUGCAUGAAACACAUUGCCUUCAACUUCCACUUCGUUCGUCAUAAAGUCCAAGAUGGUGAACUGCAUGUCUCCUAUUUUUUCCGCUAAUUAGUUAGCCGAUGCAUUGACCAAACUAUUUUCUUCUGCUCGGCUACAAGUCCUUCGAAUCAAGAUCAGUGUCCAUAUGUCCACCAUCUUGAGGGGGCGUAUUGAGACGUCUACUGAUUCGCCUAAAAGAUUGGGAUAAUAUCAGUACGUUUUGUAUAUAUGUUAUUUCACUACAUUUUUGAAUAACAAGUUUAUUUGUAUUUGAAUUGGUUUUAUUUUUGAAUUAGUAUGUAAAUAGGCAACUACGUGUUUCAGUUAUGAGAUGUAUGGUUAUUUUGAAUUUGUAAAUAACCUAUAUAUUAUUGAAACUCAAUAAACAGAUUAGUAGUGUUGAUCAAAAGCAAUAUCUUAUAUUUCUGGUGUUUGCAUUUUCUUGAGCCUGGGACUAUGAAGAGAAGUGGUUUGGAUAAUGGUGUCACAAAUUCCAAAGAGUAUAUGUUGGGAAAUUCUGAUUUGGGAUGGGUUGGUUCAGCUGUGUCAUUUUGACUGCUACUUAGGUUAGAUCAAUUCUAGAGCCAUAUUCUACUGCUAUUUGUAAUCUUGGGCUUUAGUUGGAUCGAGUCUACUGAGUCCUAUUCAGAAGUUGGUUUCUGGUGGUUGUGAUAAUAUUGUGAAGGUGUGAAAGGUGUAUGAUGGGAAUGGGAAGAUAGAAUAUUUCUCUACAGGGUUCAACCUAUUAGUAUUCACAAGUGGUGAAACACAGUUUCCUCGUGGAGUAGAUAUAUUGAUGAACUUGCUUCUGUGAUGCCACUUGAAAAUGGGAUAGUUAAAACAACAUUGAACACUUGAAGAGGGUUGCAGAAAUGGCAAGUAGUUUUGGGAUUAGGAUGAUUUCUAAUGAAGCAUGGUCAUCUUGCUUUUGGUAGUAAACCUGAAUGACUCCAAAUGGCAGGGCACACGGGUAUGGCCUUUGGAAAUGAGGAAUGCCUUUUUUUUAAUGGAAAGGGUUUGUGUUGGGAAAGGAAAACCAGAUUCUUUUAUUACUCAGUUUUCAGUUCUUGUUUCACAUUGAGAAUAGAAUGAUGUGACAGAUUUGCAACAGAUGAACUUAAUCUCAUGAAGAAAGUAAAAUUGGCAGUCAAUGAGGAAUUAGGAGUUGGAGAGUUAUGCUAGUGCUGGUGGGCAUGAAGAUAAUGAAGAAUUUUCUCUUGCCAUAAUGCCCCACUGAACUAUUGAUGCAAUGAGUAAUCUAGAAAAUAAUGAGUUUUCUAAGGAAAAGCCCGCUCAAUAUUCUGAGAAUGACGGAAAUGGAUCCAUUUGAGGCUCAAGAAAAGAUCUGGAAAUAGCAAGCAACAUAGGGCUUAAUAUCACAGUUGUAGCUGACAUUUCUUUUUGUAGCAACAAUUGCUUAGGAUAAAUCUAUUGAGAAAGAAGAGCCACAAAUUAUUGCACAUUCUAUUAACUUGGACAAGAAAGUCGAAUGGGGUAUUCAAAAUCACUCCUACUUGGGCAUAACUCGGAAUGCCUGGAGGGAGACAGAAGUAGUAAAGCAAUGAUGAUUAACCCAAAAUCAGGUAUUUCAUCCCAUGGAACAAACAUGGCAAUAAGUGUGGACUUGGAGCAGGUUAUAGCAAUAUGUGAUACAAUUAUGCUUGCGAAAAGCAAAAUUGGAGCAGUCUCAUGCAAGUCACGUUUUCAAGAUGAAAAUCAUCAUCAACUAGCCACUGAACUUAGAUCCUAACUUAAGCAUUAUACAGGUUUUUGGGCUUGACAUCAUACAUAUCAAGCAUUGUUGAGAAAAAGAAAUAUUGAAUGAUAGAACUAACUACCAUGAUGAGAAAGAUGGAACCCAAGUCUCUGGAGAGAGGACAAUAGAAGUCACUUAUCCCACCUUCCCAAAACUUGACAAUGAUUAUGAAUUGUAUCCCUUAGUACCACAACUGUUAGAAAAUUUGGUUGCAACACUUGGUACAUCAGCAAUAGGGUAGUUCACUUGAAACCCAGUAGAUCUUGCUAGAUGGGAGCAUUUCUAGCUUUGGGACCCUAUUAAGGUUUUCAGCAAGUUUAGAUGAACUAGACCACCAUAAAACUUCUUUUGUGGCAAGGAAGCUAUGCUUUGGCCUUCCAGCAACUUGCUAUUUCCACUUGCCUCUUUACACCUACCUUAGAUUCACUCAAGUUCCCUUUGAUCUAAGUUUCAAUCUCAUUCAUCCUAAUUUUGAUCAAAUUCCCUACGUUGGGUCUGGUUUUUGUUUAGCUUAUGACAAUAAGAAGAGUGGCAAACUUCUAAAUGGUAUUCUGCAUAUUUGUCUAAGUGCCCUAUGGAUCAAAAGUUGCAUUCAAACACAACAUAUGGUCUCUUAACUAUGUUUGACAUAUAGGAAGCCAAUUGUGUGGAUUUGUUGAAUUCUAUGGAAGACUUAGAACAAUAGACCGUGAAAUUAAUAAUCAAGAAUAAGGAGUCCAAGAAGAAGACUGCAUCUACUUGCUAUGAUUUUACCAGACUUUUAAGGCUCACUUUGGGAAAGAAUAGGUUCAAAACUAAAGUGGUGAAUAAAAGCUUAAAUUCAUCAUGGGGUAGAGAAUCCAGUUUCUGGGUAAAGGACCUGUUUAAAGAUUUUGUUGUGUCUAAUCAGGAGAGGAUCAUGGCUAUCAGUAUAGCAGUACUGAGUGAAGCAGAAUGAACAUGUCCUUGAUGUGUUGUUUCUUUAUCCUAUUACCACAUAGAGCGAUGAUGGGAGAAUCCUGCAUAAUGGUACAAAGAAUGGUGGAACAAAGCACUCAGAAUUGUCUAUCUUCAUCACUGUUGUACAAGCAAAGGAUGAAAUGAAGGCAAAUGCACUACUGAUCUAUGUCUUGUUGCCUUUUGCAGUUGAAGCUAUCAUGGAGGCAAUAAGAUUCAUCUCACAAUCAAGCUUGUUAAUGUUUAGAAUAGCGAUCUGCUCAAGGAAAGCAUUACAAUGAACCACCAAAGGGAGCCCAAAUGCUGACCCUGUUUUCCUAACAAAGAUUGAACUAUUUACCCAAACUUCAUCAUUGUCAUGAGGUGUACUUCUCUUGGCUACUUCUCAGAAUUCCAAUGAAAACUUGCUUGCAUACUAUCUCAGUUGUUAUUGAAGAGCAAUUUACUGUGGACAACAGAUAUCCUUGAAGAGGCUCAUGUGUUCCACUCAACUAAAGAGUCCAGAAAUCUCUUUGUAACAACCACGAACUAAUCUGGAAUCCACAACAUCUAGUUGCAAUUCUGAGAUCCCCUUCAGAUUUCAUUCCUAGUUUUAAAAACACUGCAAACGAUAAUACACUUUGUUGAAUCCUCAACGAAAUGAAUUCAUCCAUUACCACUUAGUUUAACACUUGGAAUUCUACAUCUUAAUUAUUGGAGUCCUAUCUACAAGGAAUUCCAAGAAUUUUCUCUUAAAGUUCUCAUGUGCUAGAAGAGAAUAAAGGAAAGCUAAAUUCUGUAGUUAGCGAGAAUGGAGAUAAUUGGAAAAUCAUACUAUCAUUUUCCAAGAACUUGAUGAAAAUGAUAGUAUGAUUUUAGAUGAAAAGGAAAACGAGAUAUCUGACAAUGAAAUAGAAGACUGCACUUAUGCAUGGCACCCUACUGCACUUACUAAUUACUACUCAAAAAGUGCUCUUUUAUAGCUUGACAUUAACUGUUUUAAACACUUUUGAGUAGUAGUUAAUACUAUUUAACUCAAUUGGCACAUUAAGGAACCUAACAAUGGUUACUAAUCAGUUUUUGGCUAGUUUUGGUGUUUUUAGUAGCUUUUUUAUCAUUGAAACAAGCAAAGAAUGAGGGAGAAUUUUGUGCAAUCCAUGGCAAUGCAAGUUGAAGCUCAAAUACAUGAAGAAUCCGAGUUUUGGAGCACUUCAUAGCCCUUUUCCAAGCUUGGAAAUAGGUUGCCAAGCCAAUCAGAGAUGCAAGGAAGAAAACCAGAGGAAGAAAUCCAACAUGUAGCAAUUUCGCAUGUCUAUGAGAAAAUUUCGUAUAACAUGCGAAAUCAAGAGGAGCAGCUGUAGGACUAGGUAAAGGACAAUUUCGCACACCCUAUUAAACCACAAGAUGCAAGAAAAAAUUAAUUUCGCACACCAUGCGAAAUUUUGCAUAGUCUGUGAAAUCUUCCUAUGCACCGACUCUGCUAGAUUUUUAUCUCCAGAUUUUUGUGUAAAUUACUAUUUUCUCCUUGUAAUCAACCAAUGAUAGGAUUUCUUGGUUAAGAACUAUAAAUGGGGGUUGGAAAGACCUCUCUAUAAAUAUAUUUUUGUAUAAUCUCUUGGAGAAAAAAGACGACACUUGCAAUUCCCGUAGGAAAAAAUACACAGAGCCCUUGCUCUGCCUUUCCUUCUCAAUUUUUGUUUUCAUUUUUCUUUCUAGCCAAACAACCUCUGAGGAUGAUUUCUCAGGGGAUGAGUGGCUAAGUUUUACGUUUCUUGGAGUGAUGGAAACUAGGUGAAGGACCCGAAUGCAAAGGUGGGAGUUUUCCUUACUUUAAAUGAAGGUAGUUGUUAACCAUUAAUGGUUUUUAUUUCAAGGUUUAGCUUUAAAUCCCUUAGAAUCACCUUAAAUGGCCAAUACUUGGUAAGCUUUCUUGAUUCUAUGGAUGCUUAUUGCUAGAUCCAUGGAUGUCCGUUAGUUAUCAAGUACGAGCCAUUGGAAGGUGGUUCAAAAUGAGAAUCACCUUGAAUGGCCAAUGCUUGGUAAGCUUUCCGGAUUCUAUGGAUGCUUAUUGCUAGAUCCAUGGAUGUUCAUUAGUUAUCAAGUACGAGCCAUUGGAAGGUGGUUCAAGUUGAGGGUCUUUAGUGUUUAAAGCCAUUAAUGGGAAGCAACUACCAUUUUUCAUGAACCCUUUUGAUCAAAUCUUAAUUGCUAAAUACAAAACCGGUUCAGGAGAUAACCAUCCUUUAUGUUAACUUCAAAAAAUCCAAAAGACAUUCUCUUUGUAGUUAACUUCAAUUGCUAUUUUUUCUUAACUUAAAAUCAACUUUUUCAACCAUAAUUCCAUUUUCUUUAAAAGCUAAUUUUCAUAAGGAAAAACACCAUUUAAUUACCUUCACUAAAGUCACUUGUAAGAAGAAAACUCAUCCUUGUGGACGAUCCUAGAGCCACUAUACUAUAGUAGCCAUGCUACCCUAUUGUAAGGUGAUUUAGGUUUUAUAAAUUUUGUUGAUAACACCCGUCUAGCAUAAGAAUCAAAUAGCGUCGUUGCCAGGGAUGGUGCCAAAGUACAUUGACAUAACUUUUGGUGAACACUUGUGAUCUUCAUCACAAGUUUGGUGAUUUUUCUUUUACUAAUUCUUUUUCUUUGUCUCUAUUUUAGCUUAUCUUUUAUUUAGUUUUUAGCUAACCUUAACCUCUUCCUAGAAUUGUAUUUCUUUUGUUUUCUUUGUUUUUAUUUUAGUGAUCUCUAGUUGUGCAUGCCCUAUUGGAUAAGAGAUAUUGAGGGAAGACUUGUGAAGAUUGAAACUCCUCAAGAAAUUGAGUUGGAAGUGUGCUUGAACAUCAUGGAUGUUCCACCUGAAGACCAAAAUAGCUAACAUGGUCAAGAGGAUAAUUUCAAUGCAUACCGAUCCAUGAGGGACCGCAUGCAUCCACCUCGUAUGAGUGCACCUUCAUGCAUAGUGCCUCUCACUGAGCAGCUAGUAAUCCGACCUCACAUUGUGUCACUCCUACCUAUUUUCCAUGGGAUGGAAAGUGAGAAUCCCUACUUGCAUAUUAAGGAAUUCGAGGGGGUUUGUAAUACAUUCCAAGAAUGAGGAGCUUCAAUUGAAUUGAUGAGGCUCAAGCUAUUUCCUUUCACCUUGAAGGAUAAGGCCAAGAUUUGGCUCAAUUCUCUAAGGCCAAGGAGUAUCCGAACUUGGACUGAUUUGCAAGCCGAGUUUCUCAAAAAGUUCUUCCCUACUCAUAGGACCAAUGGUUUGAAAAGGCAAAUUUUGAACUUCUCAGCUAAAGAGAAUGAGAAAUUCUAUGAGUGUUGGGAGAGGUUCAUGGAAGCUAUUAAAGCUUGUCCUCACCAUGGCUUUGACACAUGGCUCUUAGUGAGCUAUUUUUACAAUGGUAUGUCUUCUUCAAUGAAGCAACUCCUAAAAACUAUGUAUGGAGGAGACUUCAUGAGUAAGAAUCCGAAGGAAGCCAUGAACUUUUUGAGUUAUGUGGCUGAACUUUCAAGAGGAUGGGAUGAACCAAACGCUGGAGAGGUGGGAAGAAUGAAGUCUCAACCUAAUGCUAAAGGUGGGAUGUAUGUUUUGAAUGAAGACAUUGACAUGAAGGCAAAGGUUGCAACUAUGACAAGGAGAUUGGAAGAGCUAGAAAUGAAGAAGGUACAAGAAGUGCAAGCCAUUUUUGAGACAUCAGUGCAAGCUAUGCCUUGUUCCAUUUGUCAAUCUUAUGAGCACUUGGUGGAGGAGUGUCCUACCAUUCCAGCAAUGAGAGAGAUGUUUGGUGAUCAAGCAAAUGUUAUUGGUUAAUUCAAGCCCAAUAACAAUGCUUCAUAUGGCAACACCUACAAUUCAAAUUAGAGGAACCAUCCAAAUUUCUCUUGGAAACCAAAGCCACCCCAGUACACACAACCUGCUUAAGCACCUCAGCAAGCCUCGAAUCUUGAACAAGCUAUUGUGAACCUUAGCAAGGUUUUGGGAGACUUUAUGGGAGAUUAGAAGUACAUCAAUGCUCAACUGAAUCAAAGAAUUGACAAUGUGGAGAGUACAUUGAACAAAAGGAUGGAUGGGAUGCAAAAUGAUUUGUCUCAAAAGAUAGGCAAUGCCCAAUACGCAAUCUCAAGGCUUACCAACCUCAACACAGUGCAAGAGAAAGGAAAGUUUCCUUCUCAACCUCAUCAAAAUCCCAAGGGUAUCCAUGAAGUGGAGGCUCAAGAGGGAGAAUCUUCAAAGUUGAGGGAAGUCAAAGUAGUUAUCACCUUGAGGAGUGGUAAAGAGGUUGAUCAGCCCACAUCCAAGCCAAAGCAUGAUGAAGAGAGUGUAGCAGGAAAAGAAAAGAGUGAGGAAAUUAAAGGAAAGAGAAAAGGGAACAGUACAAAGAAAGAUGACCAUGAUUCUAGUGUGGAUGAAGAACUCGAGAGGAUAGUCAUUAAGGAAGAUAUGAUGGAGAAACACAUGCCUUCACCUUUUCCCCAAGCUUUGCAUGGCAAAAAGGGAACCAAUAAUGUAUCAGAAAUUUUUGAAGUGUUGAGGCAAGUGAAGGUCAAUAUCCCUUUACUAGACAUGAUCAAACAAGUGCUGACAUAUGCAAAAUUCUUGAAGGACUUGUGCACUGUAAAGAGAGGGUUGAAUGUGAACAAGAAAGCCUUCUUGACUGAACAAGUGAGUGUCAUCAUACAGUGCAAGUCUUCAGUGAAGUACAAAGAUCUGGGUUGCCCUACCAUCUCAGUGAGUAUUUGAGGGACUUGUGUGGAGAAAGCUUUGUUGGACUUGGGAGCAAGUGUAAAUUUGCUACCCUACUCUGUCUACAAGUAGUUGGGACUUGGAGAGUUAAAGCCAACAUCCAUCACUCUAUCUCUAGCAGAUAGAUUAGUGAAGAUUCCAAGAGGAAUGAUCGAAGAUGUCUUGGUUCAAGUUAACAAAUUCUACUAUCCAGUGGAUUUUUUUGUUCUUGAUACGGAUCCGGUUGUCAAAUGAACUAAUUAUGUUCCUAUCAUUCUUGGAAUACCAUUCCUAACUAUAUCAAAUGCAAUCAUCAAUUGUAGGAAUGGAGUCAUGCAACUCACAUUUGGCAACAUGACAUUAGAGCUCAACAUCUUCCAUUUGUGCAAGAAGCAUAUCCAUCCGGAAGAAGAAGAAGAUCUAGAGGAAGUGUGCAUGAUUGACAAUUUAGUGGAGGAGCAUUAUGAUCAGAGAAUUCAGGAGGAUUUGAUUGAGAGUCUUAAGGAUCUUGAUGAAGGGUUACCUGAACCCUCAGAUUUGCUUGUUACCCUAUCUCAUUGGAGGAGGAGAGAAGAAAUUCUACCCUUAUUCAAUGAGGAGGAGACACAAAGAGCUGCUAAGGAGGAGCCCCCAAAGCUUAUUCUUAAGCCACUACCCACAGAGUUGAAGUAUGCAUACUUGGAAGAAGACAAGCAGUGCCCUGUUGUUAUAUCUUCAGCUCUUACCAUUCAUCAGGAGGAUUGUCUACUUGAAGUCCUUAGAAGAUGUAAGAAGGCAAUAGGGUGGCAAAUUUCUGAUUUGAAAGGGAUCAACCCUUUAGUCUGCACCCAUCAUAUUUACAUGGAGGAUGAAGCUAAGCCAGUUUGUCAACCUCAGAGAAGGUUGAACCCUCAUAUGCAAGAGGUGGUGCGAGCUGAAGUUCUUAAGUUGCUUCAGACCGAUAUUAUCUACCCCAUAUCAGAUAACCCAUGGGUGAGUCCUACUCAAGUUGUGCCAAAGAAGUCUAGGAUCAUGGUGGUGCAAAAUGAUAAGGGAGAAUAUUUCUCUACACGCCUCACUACAGGUUGGAGGGUGUGUAUCGAUUACAGGAGAUUGAAUGCAGUGACAAGGAAUGACCAUUUCCCAUUGCCCUUUAUUGAUCAGGUGCUUGAGAGGGUCUUUGGACAUCCUUUUUAUGGUUUCUUGGAUGGCUACUCUGGGUGCUUUCAAAUAGAAAUUGAUGUUGAAGAUCAGGAGAAGACCACUUUCAUGUGCCCAUUUGGCACCUAUGCAUACAAGAGAAUGCCUUUCGACUUAUGCAAUGCACUCGCAACUUUCCAAAUAUGCAUGUUAAGCAUUUUCAGUAAUAUGGUGGAGCGUAUUAUGGAAGUCUUUAUGGAUGAUAUCACCAUAUAUGGAAGUGCAUUUGAUGAAUGCUUGGUCAGCUUAGAAGUUGUUCUGAACCGAUGCAUUGAGAAAGACUUAGUGCUUAACUGGCAGAAGUGUCAUUUCAUGGUACAAUAAGGGAUUAUCCUUGGGAACAUCAUCUCCAAGCAAGGCAUUGAAGUUGACAAAGCAAAGGUUAAACUCAUUGGAUUUCUCUAAUCUUGCAAGGCCUCUUUGUGAACUAUUGGUGAAGGAUGCUAAAUUCAUAUGGGAUGAUAGAUGCCAAAGGAGUUUUGAAUAAUUUAAGCUAUUUCUGACAACCGCACCAAUGGUGAAGGCUCCCAACUGGCAACUGCCCUUUGAGGUAAUAUGUGAUGCCAGUGACUUUGCCAUAGGAGUUGUUCUUGGGCAAAGAGAAGAUGGAAAACCCUAUGUGAUCUACUAUGCGAGCAAGACAUUGAAUGAGGCACAAAGAAACUACAUAACCACCGAGAAAGAAUUGUUAGUUGUAGUUUUUGCCUUAGAUAAGUUUUGUGCUUACUUGGUAGGGUCUUUCAUUGUGGUUUUCACUGAUCACUCUACUUUGAAGUAUUUGUUGACUAAGCAAGAUGCUAAAGCAAGGCUGAUUAGAUGGAUCCUCUUGCUUCAAGAGUUCAAUCUCUAGAUCAAAUACAAGAAAGGAGUGGAGAAUGUGGUAGUAUACCACCUUUCAAGGCUAGCUAUCACACAUAAUUCCCAUGGUUUGCCCAUCAAUGAUUAUUUUCUAGAGGAAUCUCUCAUGUUGGUGGAAGUUGCUCCUUGGUAUGUUCACAUUGCUAACUACCUAGUCACAGGAGAAGUUCCAAGUGAGUGGAAAACACAAGAUAAGAAGUACUUCUUUGCAAAAAUUCAUGCCUACUAUUGGGAAGAGCCAUUUCUAUUCAAGUAUUGUGUGGAUCGGAUAAUAAAGAAGUGUGUUCCUAAAGAAGAGCAAUAGGGGAUCCUCAGUCAUUGCCAUAAAAAUGCAUGUGGAGGCCACUUUGCUUCUUAGAAGAUAGCCAUGAGGGUGUUGCAAUCGGGUUUCUGUUGGCCAUCACUUUUCAAAGAUGCCCACACCAUGUGCAAGAGUUGUGAUCGAUGCUAGAGGGUUGGGAAGUUCACACGCAGGAACAUGAUGCCUUUGAACCCCAUUUUGAUAGUUGAUCUUUUUUUAUGUUUGGGGCAUUGACUUCAUGGGACCAUUCCCUAUGUCUUUUGGCUACUCUUACAUCUUGGUGGGAGUAGAUUAUGUUUCUAUGUGGGUUGAGGCAGUCUAUGCAAGCACAAUGACCAUAGAGUGGUUCUCAAGUUUCUCAAGGAGAACAUCUUCUCAAGAUUUGGGGUGCCCAAAGUCAUAAUUAGUGAUGGGGGUACUCAUUUUUGCAACAAGCCUUUUGAAACUCUCCUAGCCAAGUAUGGGGUGAAGCAUAAGGUAGCUACACCUUACCAUCCUCAAACUAGUGGGCAAGUUGAGUUAGUAAACCGGGAGAUUAAAAACAUAUUGAUGAAAGUGGUGAACACGAACAGAAAAGAUUGGUCUGCCAAGCUCCUUGAUUCACUAUGGGCAUAUAGAACAGCUUACAAGAUCAUUCUUGGGAUGUCUCCUUAUCACCUAGUCUAUGGCAAAGCAUGUCAUCUCCCUAUGGAAUUGGAAUACAAGGCUUGGUGGGCAAUCAAGAAGCUCAACAUGGAUUUGAGUAGAGCUGGGAUGAAGAGGUUCUUAGACCUCAAUGAGUUGGAGGAACUGAGAAAUGAUGCCUACAUUAAUUUAAAAAUUGCAAAAGAGAGAUUGAAGAGGUGACAAGAUCAGUUGGUUUCCCGCAAAGAUUUUCAAAAAGGACAAAGAGUCUUGUUCUAUGACUCUAAGUUCCACAUCUUUUCCGGGCAAGCUGAAAUCAAGGUGGAUAGGUCCUUUUACCAUUCACCAAGUGCAUUCAAAUGGAGUAGUGGAACUACUCAACCCCAACAGCACCAGUAGCUUCAAAGUGAACGGUCACCGUCUCAAGCCCUUUGUGAAGCCUUUUUCUCGUGACAAGGAGGAAUUCAUCCCCCUUGAUCCACAUCAAGCUUGACAAGACCAGAUUUUGAAUGGACUUAGUCUUUCUAAAGACUAUCAAGUCCAUAUCUUUUUGUUUUAUUUUUUAUUUGAGAGUUUUCUUGUAUUGUUUCUUGUUUUGAUUUUGAUUUCCCGCUUUAAUUUCAUUUUGGUUUGAUUCAACUUAGGUUUUUUAUUAUCAAUUUCAGGGGGACUUCAAAGCAGUUAGGCAUGUCCUUAAAAAUUCUUGGCAAAGGAAAAACCCUGAAGAAAAAAAUUCACCAAGGCAUUUCGCACACCCUUGCGAAAAUUUCGCAGCGUAUGCGAAACCCUUCUCAAAUAGUAAGGUCAGCUACUACUAGUUUGGAGCCUUUUAAAUUCCAUUUCGCACACCCAACACCAGUUCACACACUGUGCGAAAAUCUAAGGGGUCUGCGAACCCAUUUUGCACACCCAACACUGUGCGAAACACCCUAGCGAAAAUUUCGCAGGGUAUGUGAAAUCCUUCUCAAAUACACCCUCCCAUUGCGAAUCUCUUUGCCACCUUACGGCCUCUUCACAGUAUCACCUCGUGCCUCUGUUCUGGUUCCACCCUCUGUUCACACGCUCCCCCCCCCCCAACCCCCCACUCGCAUCUCACUCUUUCGUCCCUCUCCCAUUUGACACCCCCCUUUGAGCACGAACCCGAGGCCCAUUUCUCCAUUUCCAUAUGGCACGGACUCGAGGGGCCCUUGCUGCCCCUUCACAGAGUUGCACUCUAAGGCAGAGAGCCUCCUCUGCUCGGGUACCUCGUGAUUUGCCACCUCAGGAGGCCACCACAGAGGCCCCACAGAUUCCCCUUUCUAAGGGUGGAAUGCCCACUAGUCCCUCAUAUUUUACUCCUCAGCGCAGGUAUGAGAAUAGGAGACCAGCUACUACACAAGGGGCGACUGUUUCGCGCCCUUAGAGUUCAGUGCGGCGCCCUCUUGCCAAAAGGGCCAGGACUUCAGGCCCAUGCGAGUCAUCUAGAGCUUCACAGCCUGAGCCUCCUAUUGCUACACAUGCUCGAGCUCCUGCAAAUUCUGAGCUUCCUUCUGACAUGUCACUGGGGUGUAUUAUCAGAUGCCCAAUGCUCACAACACCACCCAUUGAGGGCAACUCAGAUUGCAGAUCGAGACCUUUCCACUCAGAGUCCUAUUUUGAUUAGGAGGCCUUCCGACAGAAGCCAAAGCUUCGAGACUCUUAUGGCCUACUACAGAGGUACUAUCUUGAGCAGCUUAUGACUCCUCGUGAGUUCUUUUAUCCUAGAGUAGCAUUCGACUUUUACCAGUCCAUGACUACUUGUGACAUCCCGAGUCCUACCUCAAUUCACUUCACCAUUGAUAGACAUCAUGGUAUCCUCUAGGCUAGAGAUAUUGCAAAGGCUUUACAGAUUCCUUUUGAGCCAGUUGAUUCAUCUGCUUUCCACUAGUGGUCCCCAGUAUCUCAGAGGGACAUGGCCCGCAUUUUAUCCAGGGGGACCUCUACAGAUUCGAUUCUUCUUCUGAAGGAGCUUCCACUUGGGAUGCUCCUCGUAGAUGUGGUGCUAAGCUCCAACCUUUUUCCCUUAUAGCAUUCGGUACAGAGGCGAGGAGCUAUCUUGGAUGUUUUGUUCCACAUAUCAGAGGGCUUCUACUUUGGCCCACACCACUUGAUCAUGGCCUUCCUCGUCCACUUUGAGGAGAAGGUCCAUAGGAAGAAGCUUCAAAGGGCGGACACCAUUCUAUUGCUAUUCCCGAGGUUGCUUUGCUAGAUCUUGGAGCAUAUGGGUUUUCCUACUGACCCUCAGCACGAGCGUCACCGCAUUUGUCGAGAGUGACUCACUCUUGACAAAUGUAAUCAGUUGGCGGACUAUUUUGCACCUCUAGGAGCCCAUCCCAUGGUAUCACCUCUAGAGCCCCCACGGACGGAGCAGACAUAAUCUACUCCAGUAUCUAUAGAGCAAGGCGAGCUUCCGACAGAGACUAUACCACCUGCUCCUACAUCACCUACUUCAACACCACUAGUGCCCAUGCUUGAGGCUGUUUCUGCUACUCCCCCUAUGACUCCUACUAUGCCACAUGUUUCUCCUACUACAUCCGAGCCUUCCAUCACCAUCUCUACUUCAAAGUUUCGUGGCCUUGUAGCUACCUUGCAAACACUGUCCACCACACACGUCGCUCUUUUCCAACAGAUGGUUGAGAUGCGUUCCCAGCAGAACUAGUAGAUUGCUAUACUUCUCCAGAUCCAACAGCACUUGGGUCUUCUACCUCCACCUUAGCUUGACCUUCCUGCAUCAUCAGAGCCUUUAGCUCCAGUUGAGGAUAGUAUUCUAGUUGAGGACACUACCACAGCAGCGGUCCAGAUCCCGCCACCUCAAGAGGCCACCACAGAUGCCAUUGCUUCAGUUGAUCCUCAGGAUGAGCCUCAGACAGUUGACAUAGUCACAACUACACCUAAUGAUGCAUCAUCUCCACCUGAGGUUCCCACUACUUGAUCAUAGGACAUCUCUUUAUCUUAUUGUAUUUACAUAUUAUAUUAUUGGAGAUUGUUCCUUGUUUUGAUGCUUUAUAUUCUGGGAUUAGAUGUAUUACCUGAUGAUAUCUCAUAUUGUACUUUCUCAUAUUAAUAUAUAAACAUCAUUUUUUAUUAUACUUGGCAUUUUUCUAUUUCCUCUACUCAAUACUCUUUCAUUUUUUGACUCAUGCGGUUUCUCCUAUACAACUCAAACUCCAUUUCACUCAGGAGGUACCACUUUCUCCCUUUAUUUUCAAUUGCUCUUAACACAUUAAGGGCAAUGUUGAUCUUGGUUGGGGGGAGAGAGUUGAAGAAGGAAGUAUUGUUAAUAAUUCUAGGUUAAUUUGUUAAUUUAGUUACUUUUUGCCUAAUUUUAAAAGUUUUUACUCUACUCUACAUGGUUAUUAAGGAAAAAUUCUCAAAAUGAAAUGGGAGAAAUUGAGUUCUUGCAUUUUUACUUGAAUCUUAGAGUUUGUAUUAUGCUUAUUGAGGUUGAUGAAUUAUUGAAACUCCUAUUGAAUUCAACCUUAUUUCUUCCACUUUAAUCUUAUCACACACUGUGCACAUUAGGUUCUGGUUAUAAGAUGAAAAACUAUCUCACCCCUUGAACUUAGGAAAAUUUCGACUUGGUACCUUUGACCUCGUUUUAAUAGUGUUGGGACACCUUAUAAAAGGCUAAUGAGCCUUCAAAAAAGAAAAAUAAAAAGAAAAAGAACAAUGUGUUUCACUUGCCUUGAAACCCGAGGAAGGUCUGAGGGGUAUAUGGCGAAAGUCUUUAAAAGAGGGUGCCCUAAGCCUUUAUUGGUUGGGAGUCUCCGACCUCAAUGCUUGUUAUAAGGGUGAAUAGGUGGAGUUUAACAUAUUAUAGGUGCUUGGGUAUUGAAUUUCAAUCUCAAAAAUCCGGGGUGAAAUAUGAGGAGUUAGUGGUCGAAAGAUCCUUAAAGCUUGAUGCCCUAAACCUUGAUUAGUUGGGAGUCAUCGACGGAUUCUCGUUACAUGGACACUUUAGAAAACAAUACCUUUAGCAUUGCACUCCUACAAUGAAAAAAAAAUUGUGAAAUAAAAUAGGUGUGUUCUUAGCCUAUUGGAGGUUGGUCAGUUUGCUAAGGUUUGAGAAAGAACUAGGUUGGGGGGAGAGAAUAGUUCGACAUACUAUAAUUGGAAACUAAUAAGCUUAACACUUAGAUUUUUGUGGAAGAGUAAGGAUUGGACCUUUGGGAGUGGAAAUUCUUUUGAUGCUUAAAUUUGCAUAAUGCCUACUCUUUAUAAAUUGUGACUAAGCAAGAUAUUUGAUGACUCUUGUUAAAGGUUGGGUUUUGCCUCUUUGAUGUUCCAUGAGAGAGUAUGAUCAGCAUCAUGCCGCUUGAAAUUUUUUUGGAGUGAUUAGAAUGAUUUUGUAAAUUAUUUUACUAUCUAUUUUUCUUUAUCUCUCCUUCACUGCUAAGGGACUAGUAAUGUGUCGGUUGGGGAGAGUGAUUACUACUCAAAAAGUGCUCUUUUAUAGCUUGAAAUUAACUUUUUAAAACACUUUUGAGUAGUAGUUAAUGCUUUUUAACUCAAUUGGCACAUUAGGGAACCUAGCAAGCGUUACUAAUUAGUUUUUGGCUAGUUUUGGUGUUUUUGGUAGCUUUUUAUCAUUGAAACAAGCAAAGAAUGAGGGAGAAUUUUGUGCAAUCCAUGGCAAUGCAAGUUGAAGCUCAAAUACAUGAGGAAUCCAAGUUUUAGAGCACUUCAUAGCCCUUUGCCAAGCUUGGCAAUAGGUUGCCAAGCUAAUUAGAGAUGCAAGGAAGAAAACCAAAGGAAGAAAUCCAACAUGUAGCAAUUUUGCAUGUCUAUGCGAAAUCAAGAGGAGGAGGAGCUACAGGACUGAGUAAAGGACAAUUUCGCACACCUUGCGAAACCACAAGAUGCAGCAAAAAUGAAUUUCGCACACCAUGCAAAAUUUCUCAUGGUCUGCGAAAUCUUCCUAUGCACCGACUCCGUUAGAUUUUUAUCUCCAUAUUUUUGUGUAAAUUACUAUUUUCUCAUUGUAAUCAACCAAUGAUAAGAUUUCUUGGUUAGGAACUAUAAAGGGGGGUUGAAAGACCUCUCUAUAAAUAUCUUUUUGUAUAAUCUCUUGGAGAAAAAAAACGACACUUGUAAUUCCCGUAGGAAAAAAUAUACAGAGCCCUUGCUUUGCCUUUCCUUCUCAAUUUUUGCUUUCAUUUUUCUUUCUAGCCAAACAACCUCUGAGGAUGAUUUCUCAAGGGAUGAGUGGCUAAGUUUUACGUUUCUUGGAGUGAUGAAAACUAGGUGAAGGACCUAGAUGCAAAGGUGGGAGUUUUCCUUGCUUUAAAUGAAGGUAGUUGUUAACCAUUAAUGGUUUUUAUUUCAAGGUUUACCUUUAAAUCCCUUAGAAUCACCUUAAAUGGCCAAUACUUGGUAAGCUUUCCUGAUUCUAUGGAUGUUUAUUGCUAGAUCCAUGGAUGUCCGUUAGUUAUCAAGUACGAGUCAUUGGAAGGUGGUUCAAGGUGAGAAUCACCUUGAAUGGCCAAUACUUGGUAAGCUUUCCGGAUUCUAUGGAUGCUUAUUGCUAGAUCCAUGGAUGUUCAUUAGUUAUCAAGUACGAGCCAUUGGAAGGUAGUUCAAGGGGGUCUUUAGUGUUUGAAGCCAUUAAUGGGAAGCAACUACAAUUUUUCAUGAACCCUUUUGAGCAGAUCUUAAUUACUAAAUACAAAACCGGUUCAGGAGAUAACCAUCCUUUAUGCUAUUGUCCCCAAUGCGAGGAGAAGAUCCAGAAUCUCCCCCUUUGCCUGAGGAACCCGAUCCUAGUGACCUAAAGCUCCAAGAGACAUUCUCUUUGUAGUUAACUUCAAUUGCUAUUUUUUCUUAACUUAAAAUCAACUUUUUCAACCACAAUUCAAUUUUCUUUAAAAGCUAAUUUUCAAAAGGAAAAGGACCAUUUCUUUACCUUCACUAAAGUCACUUGUACGAAGAAAACCCAUCCCUAUGGAUGAUCUUAGAGCCACUAUACUAUAGUAGCCAUGCUACCCUAGUGUAAGGUGAUUUAGGUAUUAUAAAUUUUGUUGAUAACACCCGUCUGGCACAAGAAUCAAAUGGCGCCGUUGCUGGGGAUGAAUCAAAUAGCGCCAUUGCUGGGGACGAAUUACUUACUAUUGGGUGCAAGCCUAAAGAUGAAGGCUUGAGCAACAAGAAAGAGGAGUAUCGGAGAAAGAGGAAUUAGAAUAACCCUUUGUUGUGGUUCCUUUUUCUACUGAGCAAUAGAGGAAGGUGCAUUGGUUGUGAAACCCAUAGAAAGGCAUCUGCAAUUGAUUGGAUAGUCUACAUGCAGACAAGAUGGAGGAUUGAACCAAUUGUAGAAGUCCCAAAAGCAAAAGUUAUGCAGUCUUCUACAAUAAUUAGUGGCACAUCAAUUUUCUACAAUCAUACUUACAAGAAACCAUGGGAGUCAUUCAAAUUGAGCACUUGUUUUUCACGUACCACUGUGUGGAAACCCAACUGUCAUUUUCACCAUAAAUCAAUCCAACACCAUAAUUGGGGUCUUCUCGGAAAGUUGUGUGAGAAAUAAGGGGAUUGUGAGACUUCUUUUUUAGCCUGCUGAGGAGGGUGAUUUGGACACUCUUGAAAUGAUCAAGAUAGGUGCACUUGGUGAUGUUGAAGUGGUAUUUGGAAUGCAUGUCAAUCAUGAAACACCUACAAGUAGUAUAGUGUCUCGUUCAGGACCUUUCCUAGCUGCAAUGUGCUCUUUUUGAAACAAGAAUAGAAAGGAAAGGUGGGCAUGCUGCAGAACUCCACACCAAUGUGGAUUCAAUGCUUUCUGCAUGAGCAGAUUCUACAAGGAGAGCUCUGUUGGACAGUGGUGUCACAAGUGGGAUUGAUUUCCUCUUUUGAAUCACAUCAAAGGCUUUAAUUCAUGAAGAUGAUAAUAUGAUUGAUGGCUUGAAUGACCUACAUGCAGAUUCAAAAGAUACGGAUCUUCAAGACACUAGUGCCAAAGCUUCCUGUGUAGCUUCAAAUGCUUCAAUGCCUAAAGAUGGUGUUCAAUAAUCAGGUGGCAAACCUAUGCAGAUGGGAGUAAACACCAAGUGUUUGAGACUACAGAAAGAAGCGUCAAUGAUGGCUUUGGUACACUUGAAAUUAUUCCAGAUGCAACUCCAAUUGUGUUAAUUGAACCCUUCCAUUGAAGAAAAUUGGACACGUCAGUGUUGAUUACAUAGGGAGAACAAAAAGUUGCUGAUGAAUCAUAUAUAGUAGCGAAAAGCAAACAGUCUAAGACAUCUGGUAGUCAAGUAUAGGCACAUUUUUCUUCAAGAGACACUAUGGGUGCUGCAAUUGUCGAAGCUACGAAUGAUCUUGAAACAGAAUUACAUGACAACAAAGAAGAACUAAUAGCAAAGCUGAAGGAAUUUCUUCACAAGAAAUCUGAUCUUUUUAACUACAAGAAUCCAGAAGAAGAUAAUAUCCUUGGGAGAGCAUUUGGUCAUGUCCAUUCACCUUACCGGGGUGAAGAAUGGAAGAAGGAAGCCUUACAAUUUGAAAUUGUGAGUGAAAAAAUGGAAUGCUUAAGGAGUUUAAACCUUUCUGAUGAUGAUCUAGGCAAGCUUCUUAAGAAAUUCUUUAAAGUGGAUGCACUUUCUGGGAAGACGGUCCUACUUGUAACCUACCAAGUUAACUUCCUUCUUGUAUUUCAUUAUGUUAUGUGGACGUCAAAUAUGGGAAUUAUACAAGCAACUCCUUAUUUGCAGCUAUUAGCUUCAAGCCCAAAAUGUGAGAAUCUCGUCAAUGCACACAAAGAAACCGUCGGUUCUGAAAGGCUUGCAGAGGUUACACCUGAGAAAUUUGAAAAUUCCAUUACUGAGAUCAACAAGACUUACGUAGAGAAGCAAUUCAAAACACCUAGCGGUGAUCAGUUGAUCAAGCAAGAAAGCUAAGAUAUGAGGGACUUCAUUUACAGUUUCACAUGAUAGUGAUCAUUACCCAGGAUCUAUUCUUGAGGCUUCAAUCUCAAAUGACAGUUUCUGUAGCAGUCUGGAUGAUAGAUCAGGACACAAACUUCACCCUGAAUCCAUUGGUCAUUCCUAUGACCAGCCACAAUUAUCAGAAGCAGAUACAAAAAUUUUUGGACUCAGCAACCUUGUUGAACAAAGAGAAGGAGAAACAACAGGAUGACAAUAGCACUAAAGCUGGUCAAAGUAUAUUCGGUUAUGAUCAACUCAAGGCUAACAUGGAUAACACAAUCAGUUCUUCAGACAUGAGACAAAUUAUUUUGAGGAUGCUUAUGCUGUUAUUGACUUCUCACCAAACCAGAAGACAAAAAUCCAAAUGAUAGAGCCACCUCUUAAUUGCCAGCAUGAAAAUUGAGACACAAGGCAAUAUAAUUUGCCCUACCCAGGUUGGCUAUUAUAGAUACACUAUUGUUGAAGUUCCAAGCAGUAGCUUUUAUGGAUUUGCUGAAGGAAGUCAAGCGGCAAUGUACCAUCCAUCAGUGUACUAUGACAUAGUUCCCAAUAUACCCAGAUCUCAGAGUCAUAUCAGCCCAAUGCAAGGGAAAUGUUGGUUACCCUUUUUAGCAAUGCCACAUCUUUGGAAUCUGGCCAUAGCACAAAUAUGGAAGUAGGAAAUGGUUCGAAGGUAUGAAUUCAAGCUGUUGAAAGAGAAAGUCUAAUGGUGAAGGCUCAACAGAUAUAUAAGGGAGCAGACUUCAUUGCGAAGCUAAACCCCUUAGAUGAGGAGAAUAGAAAACUGGUUGGACAAGUUAGGAAUGACAAAGUGACAGCAGAUAUGCUGGGUUCAGGACUUGGAAAAACAAAAAUGGAACUUGAGCAGGAAAAGAAUAAAUGUGCAUGUCACUUCCUUAUACAUGGCCACCUUGGUGCACACUAUUAUCCUCCUUAUGCUUCUCUUUUCCUUGUGAUCUUACCCGUUUUACAUUUGGUUUUCAAAAUCUUUUUCAUUAAAAUAAUUGUACUUUCUAAAUUCCAUCCUUAGGUUAAUAAAAUCCAAAUUUUAAUAAAACUUUUACUACCAAGUUUCAUUCUAGAAUGCACUUUUUUUUCCUCGUUUCAAUAGUUUUCCUUUUUUUUCUCAAUUUUUAAUGAACAUAAAUAAAUUUUAUAGUUCCUAAAUUAAUGGAAUUUAUGUAAUUAAUCCAUACAGAAAUGAAAUGGAUAGUGGUGGGACCUAAUAUACAUGAUGUACUCCUUUGCUAAUUGAUUCUGAUGACCUGUUUAUUGAAAUAAAUGAUUCAUUUAGCUUUACUCCUAGAUACACAUGAUAUAUUUUAUGCUUAUCAUUGUACACUAACUUUGUCUAUCAUGAUAGCAUUCAACUUGUAGUUAAGGUACACCCCGAAUCUAUCUCACUUACUCAUUUUUUAAUAUCAUGAUUUUUUAUUUUCUGGUAUUCAUAUAUUAAUAAAUCAAUUGUCACAAUUAUCUCACCUUAUUUAGUAGAAACCUUUUUGGGACUUAGAAGAGUGGUACAAUUUUGGUACCUUUCUAAUAGGUAACCUAACCCUAGACUUAGACUUGGGUUUUUUAGAUUUGUCUUUCCAAAUCAGAAGUCAUAUGUAGAGUUUUAUUUCUUUCUUUUUUUUCCCUUUAAAAAAAAUAAAACAAGUGGCAACUCCACCUUCUUUUUUUUUCUUGCCAUCGAGUGGGAACACACGUGAAAAAUGUAGGUCCACACAUGAUUAAGAUACCCGUAUGAUUAAGAUAUAUUUUCCUUUGAGAAAUGAAUUGUUAUGUUUGAAAGUGACCUUAAUCUACAACAUGAUCAAUAUAGAAAGAUGCUUGGAACAUUGAGCAAUUGAGAGAAGGUAUCAAGAAGGAUGACAUAAUGAAAUAAUAGGGGGUAAUGGUCUUUGGGUGAGAGUCCCUAAAAGAAGAAGGAUAAUAUAUCCUAGGGUGAAAUACCAAAACAACCCUAGGAAGAUCCUUGUUUAGAUAUAAUAAGGAGAAGAUCCUAAAAAAACAAGUAUUUAUGAUUGCAAGCAAACGAUAAGUUACAAAGAAAGGUAUAUGGAAAGCCUUAUGAAAGGUAUAUGACAAGCUAAAAAUUGAUAUCUGCAAAACUUUAUGUAUAUCUUGAUGAUUUUAGUUUCCUUUGAAUGCAUUUGUGUUUGGUAUAACUAAAAAAUAUUGAAACAAUAUCUUACAUUUCUAUCUAUCCAUCUAUCUAUAACUAUUUUCUUCUAAGAUAUGACUCAUCCUUUUCUAAAAAUAAUUUUUCAGACAAAGUUGAAGGUUACAAAUAGGAUAAAUAAUUGAAGUGUUAUGUGCAACUUUAAGCCUCUUUAUUUUUAGUGUUUUUGCUAGCUGGUUGCACUAUUAUGGUAAAGAAAAUAAUAUUGUGAGCAUAAUCUAGAAUAUCACUACCAUGCAACAAACCUAGGACGAAGGUUCUUAUUUUAAUGUAUAUAUAUGAUUUAUAUCAAUUCAAGUUUUUUUAUUUAUAAAUGAGUUUUCAAAGUUUAAAAUUCUUCAAUGCAAGUUUAGAGAGUAUUUUCAAGAGUUUUAGGUGCAUAAAAACUAGGUAAAACUCUUGAAAAUACUCUCUAAACUUGCAUUGAAUAAUUUUAAACCUUGAAAACUCAUUUAUAAAUAAAAAACUUGAGUUGAUAUAAAAUCAUAUUAUAUAUAUAUAUAUAUAUAUAUAUGAAGGAAGGUUUCAUAUACUACUAAGAGACGCAAUCCUUAAGUGCACAUGUUUCACUUUGAUUCUUAGUUGUGAACAAAAUCUUGGUGCACAGUUCCUUAAGUAUGCAUAAUUCUCUUCAACCUAAUUCUUUAGUACAUCAUCUCUAGUGUGUCGUUCUUUAGUUCAACAUUCAUUGAUGGAUCAUUCUUUGGUGCACUCAGUGUUUUUGUGUAGUUUCUAGCACCCUAACAUAGUUGAACCUCUAGUAAUUAUUUAUGUUGAAAGAUUUAUAAUAUCUCCGGUUUGAAUUCCAUAAAAAUAAUUUCAAAAAUAAAUUCCGAGUAAAUCAAAUUUUAAUUUUCCAAUUUUAGUUAUAACAUGACAGUUUUUACUAAAAGAUUUGUACAAAUAGCUUGCAUGACCAAAGUUAUCCAAGAUAAAAACCCAAUAGUUUUGAUUUUAUCAACAUGAAAACAAUAAAGUCCAUCACUUUCUAUCUCAAUUUGAGAAACUUUUAAAAACGUCCUAUUUUUCAUAAUGAAAAUUCAAGGUACCUAUGUCAACAAACAAGAUAAAACUUGAAGUUUUCUAACCUAAGAAGCUUUGUUCAAAACGCCUUUUAAAUAAGAAAAAUAUAAUCACAAUUGUUAUAACCUUCUCUUUAAUUCAAACUUAAAGUUUCUAAAAAAAUUUUAUGUUGUCUGGAUAUAAUGCUAAACCAUUAAUUAGACCUUGGGAUGUGGCACAAAGCCAGUAAAAUAAGACAAAUCGAGUAAAAUAAGGCAAACGUCACAAAAAUGAAGGUAGUAGUAACAAGCUCCAAUUGGAAUAAGGUCUCUCCAAAGGCUCUCCAAAGAAACCCUUAAUUAGUUUCAAAAAGACCAUAAAUAGGUGCUCCCAUGUCGCCCUAAGUAGUAUGACAUGUGAAGGCAUCAAAUUAUAAUGGCUUGGGAAAUGUCUAAAAAUGGGGCCUAUACUAUCAUGUAGUAUUAGGAUGAAAUGACAUGAGAAAAGAGAAAUGGCUAUACGGUUGUGAGUAGUGCUAUCCUAUCAUCAUUCUUUGCUAAGGCUUGAGUUUGCACAAUCACAAAUGGCACACCAAGGCCAGUGGUGAUGUCAUCCUAGCAUCAUUUUUUAGUUGAAACAUAAUUCUUGAUAUGGUUAAAUGGUACCAUGGGAGUUGAAAUGGCAUAAAAGCCUAAGAUGGCACCUUGUUAGCAUGAGUCUUUUUUUUUUUUUUUACCUUCUCACGUUGCACUACUCUCUUCUACUUUUUCGCUUGUCUUAUUUAUCACAAGAAGCUUUUACCACCUCCAUAUUGUCUCAAUAGUUGUCAAAAAUGUUAAAACUCCAAUAACAAAGUUAAAUAACUAGACUACUUAAGUUAGUUCAAGAAUGACCAAUUAGAGAGUGUAUUUGUCAUCUAUCUCCACCUAAGAUGCAAUUUUGGCCCACAUUGAAUGAUAAAUUUAUGACUCUACUCAUGUACUCUUGGAAUGAAGAAUGAUACAUAUCUAAAUAAAAAUUAAAUGUUCCUUGAGAGGAUUAAGAAUAUUAAUGUGAUGAGGCACUUCCUAAGAGAUGUCAUUGUCAAUGGGCUAUUGUCACAUGUAAAGAUGAUUUGGUUGGAAAAUCUAAGAAGUGUGAUGAUUACUAGGCCCAUCCUAUAAUAAAUUUUGAGUAUUUGUUGGAGUUGAUUAGUGUUUCCAACAUCUAAUAGCCUUUGAAGGAAUGAGUAAGGUAACCAGAGGGAGUUUUAAGAUUGUGAGACUUAGGUGAACUUAAGCCGUUAUGGUGGUUUUUGCAAAGUAUUUCAAUUUCUUAUUUAGAUCCAUUUUUAAUUCCUUACUAAUUUUCUAGAGAUUUUUGUGCAUCAUAUUUUUCUUUAUGAUUCUAUUUAUUUGGUCACCAACUAUGAAGGAAAUACAAUGUUAGAUAUUAAGAGAGAGAACCUUUAGAUAUCAUUAGAGUUUUGGGAUUUAUGAGCCUAUCAUGUAACAUUUUGGCUUUUUAGUUUUCCACAUUAAUAAUAAUAAUAGUAAUUAUUAUUAUUAUUAUUAUUAUUAUUAUUAUUGUUAUUAUUGUUAUUAUUAUUUGUGAGAUUGUUAUAUUUUCACUCUUAUUUUUUUCUCCAUGAUUAUUUUGAUUUUGAUUUUGAUUUGUUUUUUUAGUUUACGGGAACAAUAGUUUUGUUCAAAGUAUGGUGCAUUAAAAAGGUUUUGCAAUAUGCACCACAUAUUUCAAAUUUAUUGUCUUCAACUAAACAUGAAAAAAAUAUUGAAAUCGGUUAUUUUAUAAGUAUCUACAAAAUUAAAUUAGGAAAAAAAAAUCUCUCCCAUUGAUUGAACACUUUGGUUCAAUGGAUUGAAUUAUUAAUUCAAUAUUUAUUUAAGUGGAUAAGCAAUCAUAUACACAAUUAAACUCUCUCAAAUAUCCAAUGAUAUAACAUUACAAAUAUUAAACAUAGAUAAAUGAUAUCUAGGUUGUUACAGUAUAUAGUUCUUAUAAAGUACUUCCAAACCAUCAUUGCCUUCUAAAAAUAUCAGUCACUUUCACUUUUUAGAAAGCUUAACCAUCUUUGGACUACCAGGAGGAGAUUGCUUUUUGAAUUUGCACUUUGAACUUGAAGUCAUAAGCAUUUUAGUGGUACCCAAAUGAGAGAUUUCAAUCAGAAAUGAGUCAUCAUCAAUGGGAAGGGGCUGCUUCCAUAUGUUCCCAUCAAUGUUCAUGUAAAUAUGGUUAGCAGCAGCUUUGUAAAGAUCAAAGCGGAUUCGAUCCACCUAAAUAGAAAAAUCAAGAGAGUAUAAUUGAAUCAUUUUUCACUGUUUUUUAACACUUUUCUUCAUAAUCAUCAAUAUUGUUAUUGUUAACAAAAAUAACAAGUCGAAAACAACAUAUCAUAAACUAAGACAAGAUCUACUCUAUUAAAUGAAUUUAUUUAUCAUCUAAUAACAAAAAGAAUUAGAAACAAAUGUAGAAACUUCCAAUUCAAAAUUGAGGGUGGAACUUAGUAUAUAAGGGAAAAUUCUUUUUGAUCUUAGAUUUUCAUCUCGAUUUCAUGGCUUCAACAAAAGACUUCCCACUUCCAAUAUUGAUAUGGAACAUGGCCAAGAUGAGAAUGGAAAUAUCAAGAAAUAUCCAAUCACAUAACAAAAAGUUUAUGCAUCUUAAGGAUAAAUUUAAAUAGCUUUGAUUAAAGUAAUGAAAUAUAUAUAUAUACACACACGUUAAAAACAAGUAUGCUAGCUGACAAAUUUGAAGAAUGUGAAGUUACUUAUCUUCAUUCAUAAAUUUUAACAAUCUUGAAAACUACAUGCAUAGUAAUAUUAUUGGUUAAGCUUAUGGUAUGUUAUAAUAGAAAUUUGGUAGUUCCCAUGUCUGAUCUUACUUAGCAGUAUGAAUAUCUAAAUCGAGCUUGCUACUUCACUUUCUUAUGUUAUCUUUAGAUGAAGCAUAAAGGUCAAACUUUUUAUAUACUAGCCUAUCUCGGGUUCAAGGCAAAUAUACAUUCAUCAAUCUAACCUGUGCAAGACGGGUUCCACAACCAUGCCAAGAGUCUUUAAAACCGAUCACCUCAAGAAGUCCAUCAUCUACAAAAGAGGGCGUAAAUUUUCUCUGCACAUUAUAAUAAAGGUAAAGUUAUUCAAUUUAACUUUUUUUUUUUUUAUCAAGGAAAGACAAAGUUAGCUUAACUUUAACUAUCAUGAAAGAUUUACUUCUCUUAAUCUUUCAUGAAAGUACACAACAUUUUUACAAAAUAGAACUCACUUCUCUUUUUUUCUUUACAUUUGAUCGUUCCCAUGGGUCUACUUCACCGAGAAAGCAUGGCAAGUUAAGACAAACAAUUGACUUGAUGCUGUAUAUAGAAAAGAAAUUAUGAGAACAAGUCAGGUGCAAAUUAUACAAAAAAUUAACCUAAAACUGAAUUAUAUAACAUUAAAAGAAUGUAAGAAGAGACUUUGCUACAAUUUUAAGGUAACCAUUCAACUUCAUAUAUGGGACCUAUAAUGACAAAAGAAUUGUUCAGCUUGAACAAGAGAGACAUUAUGUCUAGGUGAGGCCGUAUUUAGUGCAUACUAAAUUUCAAGUCAUGACAUCCAAGUUUUGUGGCAAAUGGGUUAGAUAGAGAAACAAAUGCCAAAGCUUUGGUUUAGGCAAGAUAUCUAGGAAGUUUUCAUAUAAUAAGUCUUUGUUAGAUGUUCUUAAUUUUUCUUAAGAACUUACCGUUGCUACAACCUCCAUUAAAAAAUUGAUGUGUGAACAAAAUAAUGAAAUAAAAACUAAAAAACUAUAAAAGUAUACUUCAACUGUGUAUAGACUUGGGACACUGGAACUUCUCUUUUCCACAUGUCUAAAUAAAGAGAGACAACCCAUAAUCUAUUUAGUCUAAUUAGAAUAUUAAUUUAUGACUUAUGUCAAAGAGGUUAUGUAGUCAUUGGAUUUCUAAAUUUCAACGGUCUAAAAGUAUAGGCAUUGAAUAAUAACUUAAUAAUCAUUAAAUGAGAACUUGAAAGUCAUUUGAACAAUUAGAGAGAAUCUACUUAAUCUCCAAUUAUUGUUUGAAUCCCUCUUCAUUUAUAAAAAUUCUUCAAUUUUUACUUUCUUGCAUUAUGUUUUUCUAUCUUGUCAAAUGCAUUAUUGGAUUUGUAAAAAUAUCUUAAGAUAUUAUUAAAAUAUUAUAAAUAAAUCAUUUAAAUAUAAAAUUACAAUAUUCAUUUGUAAUAAAGAUUCCUUUAUUUUUUAAAAUAUAUAAGCUAACUUUCUCAAUUUCUAGAAUCUUUUAAUUGCAUUAAACAUUGAUUUCUUAAUCUUAGGGAUUCAAAUAUCCUAUCUAACAAAUUAUCCACUUGCUGGACCCACAUGUAACAUAUGACCUGUGUUGGUAAGUAUUAUUUAUCUAAUACACAUUGUUGGCUUACUUCCCAUACUUUCCUUCAAUUUCUUUGGUUCUUUUUCGAAAAGUGGUGUUUUUUUAAAACAUUCUCUCCUCACCUUUUCAUCCUCCUCUAAAUAGCCUUAGUAAUCAAUCCUAUGAACAUUAGGUGAUAUUAUUGGUACAUCCAUUUCUUUAUGAUAAACAUCUUUUAAAAUUAAUUUUCUAAUUCCAUGGCCUUCCAUUUCUUUGGUUUUUUUUUCCUGAAAAGUAGUGCUUUUUUAAAAACAUUCUUUCAUCACCUUCUCAUCCUCCUCUAAAUAGACUUAGUAAUCAAUCCUAGGAACAUUAGGUGAGAUCAUUGGUGUAUCCAUCUCUUUAAGAUAAAUAUCUUUUAAAAUUGAUUUUCCAUUUUCAUAAUCUCCAACAAUCUAACUACAGGUUAGGUAACCUUAACAACCUUCAAAAUAGCAUGGCCAUCUCUCUAUUAAUUAGGUAACUACCAUUGUUCUUCAUUUUAGCCCUUGAAAAUUCAUUUCUAUUUCUAGAAACUACUUCUCAUAACUUGGCAUCAAAAUAGGAAUAAAAAUGAAGGAAUUUCAUAUGCUUACACUCAUGAAAGAAAUAAGUAUGUGGGAAUAAAGUAUUUGCACAUUUUCAAAAUUUUAAUGUUUUUCAAUAUAUUGUAUUUAUCAUUAAUUUAUAUGUCUAAUGCCUCUCUUUUUAUUUGAAGAAAUCAAGAAAAAUGAUAUAUUCAUUGGUUUAUGUUUAUGAUAUAAUUAUUACUUGAUUUAAAAUUUUUGUUAUCUCAUUACAUGGAUUAGUUAAUCUAAUUAAAUUCAAAUUUUACAGGGAGGACCUCAGGCCACUUAGUUGGUAGAUAUAGACCCUAACCACUUCAAAAAGCCAACUAUGCUAAAAAAAAUUGAGUGGCUAUAUGAUUUUAAUUGUUGCUUGUUUUGGGAUUAAUCCAUCUUUUUUAGAGUGCACUUUGAUGUUUUUGUCAAGAUGUAUGCCCACAUAAAACAAAAUAUUUAGCUGGUGAUAAAGAAAUCUAAAUACCAAUGACCUUUCACGAUCUCCGUCUAUGAUUAAUUUCUUUCUCAAGAGUCAAAGAAAAAUAAACGAAAUGCCUUAUAAAUUAAAGAAGUAUAAAAUAGAUGUACCUUUAAUGAGGGUGGGAGAGAAAGAAUUCUACAAUCUUUUACCAUCUUGUAUAUAUCCUAUUCAACUUGACAUUAAUAACAAUGUUAUGAAGGACUAAUGAAGAUUGUGGAUGUUACUUCCUAAUCUAUUCAAGGUUGAAAAUAAGUCAAAACUAUGAUAAUAUAAAACUAAGUAAGAAAUCUAUUCGAUAUCUAAAACUUUAAAUCUCCUUUAGAGUCUUGGAAAGAGUUGGAUUAUUUUUUGAACCCUUUUAAAUUAGUUCAUUUUCUAUACAUUUUUUUCAACAAUUAGUAUCUUUGACAUGUCAUUUUAUUAUUUGGAUCUAGAGUAUGAUCGUAUUCAAGUACAGAUAAUUGGAAAAUGACUCGAUUUUUCAGUUAGAAAGAUUAAAAAAAAAUUAUCAAAAUUAUAAUAGGUUAGAAAGGAAAGAUUCUUUUGUUGGUUAGACUAACCAAAAAGUUGAUAUGAAAUUUAAUUAUUAUGGAAAUUUUGAUCAUAUUAUGGAAACCUAGAGAUUCAUUUCAAAAUUGUGAUGAUUAUAAUUUUAUUAUAUGGAUUCUAAAGGAGUUGUUUAACUAUCUUUUCUUUGAUUUCAAAGGCACCUAGGGAAGUACCCACAUUGGGGAUUUACCAAAAUUCAUCUGACAUAAGAGUGUUGAAGCAAAAGAGCAAGUUUAAAAAAUAAAAAAAUAUGAAGAUAGCAUUUAAAUAUUUACCUGUGAGGUAUGUUUAUUUCCUUCCAUUGUCCCUGUUGAUCCUUUACCUUAAUGCUCAUGGGUAAAACAUCAAUCCUACAUCAAAGGCAUGCCUCUAACAUUCGUAAAUAAGAAAUGUAAAAAUAGCAUUACAUUAGUCCAAAAACUAGUGGAUUCAAAGUCAGUGAGGGAACCCUACCGCCAAAAUGUUUUUGAAUUCAAACACAAUUGACGGAUCUUUCCCUUCUAUGUGGACUUAAAACAAGAAUAAAUUAUCAUUAAAAUGAAAAAAAAAAUUAUCAUAUAAUAAUUAUUCAAAGAUUUUCCAUAUGAUUCACUAAUAUAGAUUUACAUAUACUAAGUACUUGAAGGUGAUUGUCCCUUUUAUGCAUGGCGAAGCCCAAAAUCAUCCUAGGCUAUGCCUAGGUUGGAGUUUCAACUCCUUGUUAACAUUAGUUGGUCCCAUUUGGAUCAUUCCAUUUAUUAACUCCAUGACAUAUGUAGAUUUGCUUACAUUGAUUGCCUCAAGAUUAUUUCCCCCUUUAUGCAUUGUGUAUGGCAAGUUCCAAAAUCAACUUCGACAAUGCCUAGGUGAGAGUGUCAACUUCUUGUUAACUUUAAUUGGCCCCAUCGCAUUCUAUUUACCACUUUGACUUCCCAAAACAAUGCAAUUUAGUUAAUAAUCUUUCCAUGUUAGCUAUGAGAAAUGACCAUCCACUUACCUAAUUAAAAAGGUUCAUUUGAAGAAAUCCUGUUUAUAACCCCACAAGAAGUUGUUUAAUAAAUAAUUCAAUCAUGACAUAAUUGAUCAAAGCUCAAUUAUUACAUAUUUUGCAUUUAUUUUAUAUUUCUCAAAUGACAUUAAGUUCUAAUGACACCAUUCUAACUAAGAGUAUUACAAAUCCCUAUCAUAUUCUCAUAAUUAUUUUGUUUAUAUAGUAUUUUUUAUCUUGUUAAUUAUAGGAUAUUUUCACCAAGAAUAAAGGAUGAAGAAUUGGUUAUUGAAUGUUAGACAUCUGUCUCUCCGUGGAUAACAUCAAAGUUCAACAAUAAAGGUUUCAUUUUAGCUAAGAAUUAAGUAGCAAUACUAGUUGUCAAUAUAUCCAAUUUAAAGACUAAUCUCACCUAUUCAUUUUUCAAAAUUGAAGCUCUCAUCCAAUUUCCUAAUUUGCAGCCCAUUGAAGAGUAAUUUUUGUCCUUAGUUUGAGAAGUUGAAUUUGAACUAUCUACUUAUCUACAUCUUAUUAAAUGUAGUAUUUCUAUAUUUCAUUUGAAAAGAGAAAUAAAAAUAGUUUUAGCUUGACAUUUAGGCAAGGUUUUUAUAGAGGCUUUUUUUAGAGAUAGUUUUUCCUAUUCACUAAGUUUCCUUCUUCCAAAGCUUGGAAAGAAUGUCUAUGUAAUACCUUCAUUAAAGUAUGAAUUUAUGAACAAUCCUAUCUAGUGGAAGGGUGAACAUUCUUUUGAAACUCCAUGAAUAUUUUAUGUAUUUCAAAUUUCAAAUAUAAUUUUUUUAGGACUACUUUUUCUAGAAAUACAUAUUCAUAUAGAUAUUACUUAGAUUGUCAUUUGACAAUGCUUGUUUCAUAUUUUGAUUCUUUGUAUUUGAAAUAUGUUGUUAAUCCUAUUUGAGUGAAUUAAAACAACAAACUUCUUUCUCAAUUAAUAGAAUUUUCAAAUAAGUUUGUUUUUUUACUAUUUUAUUGUUGAAUUUUUAGAUUCUGCUUCAAUCUAAUGCUUUGGAGUUGUUAAUUUGACUGACAAUGUUCUGCUAUAUUUUCUUAUUUUUUUAUUUUCCUUCAUAUAUGUGUGUAAGAGGAUUGAAUUAAAGAUUUAGUUGAGUAGAUUGUAUAUUGUUGUGGGUUUAAAAGCUUAUUUAUUUAACAUAGACAUAUUCUUAUAUUGCUUUUAAUCCAUCUAAUGUGAAGAGUGUAAGUGUUUGAUUAGUAUAAAACAAAAUUGAUUUCAAAUCUAGUAUUGUUAUUAGGCUUUUCAUGAUUUUAAAAUUGUAAAUAACUAGCUAAAGAGUUUUUGGAAAUGAAAAUUUUGUUGAAAAUCUUCGAUAAUCCUUAAUUUCACCAUGAAGGAUUGUAAGUUUUUUAGAGAGUUUUCAAGGGUGAAUUUAACAAAACUAACCACUAAAAAAAUCAACUCAUUGCAUUUUAUGUCAAGAAGUGAGCAUAGAAAGUCACUUCAACUUUAGCAUCCAUCCACUCAUUUAUUUGUUCUAUUUAUUUUUCAUCUUUUGAAUCUAUUUUCACCUUAGAAUUUUAAUCAAUGUAAUCUCUACAAUUAACCUAUUUUUCAACCCUUCCCUAGUCUAUCUUGAACUUGUUAAUCCUACUCUGUGUGGGUUUGAUAUCCAAUACUCAUUAGGUACUACAAAUUUAAGACCUUUGUACUUCAAUAAUCAUUUUUUUCACUAAGUAAAUAGACUAGUUUGAGGGUCUUGACUCAAUGUCUAUAGUUAGCUUGUUAAGGAAAGAAAGAUUCACAAAUUACCAAACAUAUCUUGGCUAGAUUGAGAAAGUGAAAAUCAUGAUUUUUACCUCUAGAUGUCACCUUCACCAUAAUUUCGUACUAAAGUAAUGAUCUAGCCGCCAAUAUAGGAUGUUUUCAUUAGCUUAUGUUUCUUUAAAAUUAGAAAUUUACAACUAAGAAACCUCUUAUGAGGUCUUACCAACCAUCGUUUACGUUGAGUCUUACUCAUUAUUUAAAUUGGACACCUUAUGUUAGUCUCCCUAUACCUCACUCCUUUCUUCUCUCAUUUCCUUCGUAAGCAAAAUAUGAUAACUUAUAAGUGGUCUAUCUUUUCCUCUUGAUAAGAAAUAUCUCAACAAGACCACUUUUUCAUUUAUGGGAGAAAAACACUCAAAAGUGGGCUUGCAAUGACUUUUCAAUCUUAUAUGUUUAUGAGUAAGAUUUAGUUCUACCAACCGUCAUAGCAAGCAUUAUGCAAUACAAUUAGUAUAACAACUUUGAAUGUUAUAAAAUUAUGAAAUAGAAAACACUAUUAGACAUAAAAUAUUUGAAAUCAUGCCAUCAAAUACAUACCUUGGCCAUGAUUUACAACAAGAAUUAGUGAAUACUUCGUCCUUUUUUUCAUGGGAAGAAGAAGCAAACCAUUCUCGAUCACCCAUUCCUAAUAUAAAUAGCAUAAUUGUAAGUGUCAUAACUAAGUUAUUUUAUGUAGCCAAUUAUCUCCUUCCAAUCUCAUGCAUUGGAAACAAAAACUUAUUUCAUUUUGAAGCUUUAAUCAACCUAAAAAAUAAAAUAAUCCUAAAUGAAAUGAACAAAAUGAAAAAAAAAAAAAAGGUUAGAAAUAAAUGAAAAAAAAAAUAUUUCUCUUAAAUGAUAAGUAUAAUAAAUAAUUGAUUGAAUAUAGUAAAAUCAAUAUGCUUACCUAAAAUCUUAUAAACUACAAAAUUGGGGAAGCAAUUUUAACAUUAAUUGUUCAUUAAUAAAAUAAUGUAUAUCAAAUUAAAAAGUUUAUUAUUAAAAGAUAAAUCUAUAUAUUGAAAUGGAGUGAAAUUGGAAAGAAGAUCAAAUUUAUUCUUAGAUCUCCCAAUUAAGCCAAUAGAGAAAACAAAUAAUGGAGUUAAUUGAAUACAAUAUUGAGGCAAUGCCUAUAUUAUAUUAAAUCUUGAAAGAGAUUGAUUAUAUAAUAAUUUUGAAGACAAGGAGUCCAACAAAUUAAAUUUAUUACCAAUGAUAAAGUAGCUCCAAAAUGUUGUUCUGAAUUCUUUGUAUCCGCCCUACAAGAAAUACUCAUUAACAAAUCAAAAAAACUUUCAUCCAUUAAUUUAAACUAUUAAUGCAUACCAUACUAAACAUGUUAAUAAGUGAUUGUUUCCUAGUUGGAGAUAUUUUAGAAAAAAAAAAAUAAUGGUCAUUCAUAUUUGAACCAAGUGAAUAAUUUAAAAAUUAAACUACCAUAUAAGUGUCAAGAAUGAAAAGAGAUUGUGAAUAAAAAAUACAUAUUCAAUGUUCCAUAAUAUACUGAUGUCUUAUACAAUUAAUCAACAUGACCGUGAUGAAUGCAAUCUACUUGAACUUGUUUUGGGAUCAUUGAAUAGAGAAUUGUAAUCCCUUUUGGUCCUUGCCUCAAAAUAAUAUUUAUUAUUCUAUUGCGUUGAUGCAUGUGUAGUUAAAAGAAAAUAAAUAGGAUAUGUAAAGCAUAUAAAUACAUAGCAAAGUCAAUUGGUUGUAAUCUCUAUAAUAGAGGGACUUCCAACAUUUCCAUUUAUUAAGAAAGCAUUAAAGGUUUCUAAGAAUAAAGAGGGUAUCUAGAAUUUAGAGGAAUUUCACAUUUCCUUAUGUUUGUUUUAAAGUUUUUAAAAGGUCCAUGGGUUGUCAUUUUUGUAUUAAAGCUACGUUUUGUUUGGUUUAUGAAAAGUGCUAAAACAAGAAAAAAAAAAUCUAAUAUAUAUAUUCACUUAAUUUCAAUUCACCAAAACUAAACAUUCACUAAACGUCCAUGGGAUGCCCACAUUUUUUUUUUUUUUUUUUUUUUUGUUAUUGGAAUAGAUCUAUUCCAAAUGCAUUAAAAGUCAUGCUCCUUUUUUUCUUCGUAGGAUUUAUAUGGGUCGAGUUGAUCUCUUGAUCUAAUGGUUGGAAUAUGGUCAUCCAGAAUGGAGGGCUGGAAGGGCUAGAAAUAAGCUAAAGGAGUAAAAAAACUAAAACAUGAGAGAAAGGAAGGUCUUUUAGGGGAGAGGUGGGGGGAGGGAAGGGAGGGGGGAGGGGAAAGAGAGAAAGAGAGAGAGAAUCCCAUGUCAAAUAAGACAAUGUAAGAGGCAGGGAGGAUGUCCACAUGGGGCCCUCACAUGAAUACUCUUUUCACUUUCUUGUUCUUCCUUGUCUUUCGGUUUACCAAUUUGCCCACAUCCCCCUUUUCUUUCUAUCAACAAUCUAGUCCAUUCCAAUUUUUACCAAACAGACAUACUUUUCUUUUACACUAUUGUAACUUUUUUCUUCUUGAGUAUCAAAUAGUAUCUAGAUUUAAUACGAAGAUAAAAUUUUAGUAUUAAGAUUUUAAUAUUACUUUUCAUUUCACUAUUUGUAACUUUUUUUAUAAUUUAUUUUAACAAACAGAUCUUUAAAGUUAAAUAAUUUUUAGUAAUAAAUGUCUAGAAAAUAACAAUGAUCAAUAAUAUCUUUUAGAAAAUAAAUUUAAAAUCUUUUUUCUUAAAAUAUAUCAAGUUUUUUCAUAAACAUAUUUUUUACUCAAUUACUGAUGAAGUAUUCUAAAUUGCUUUUUAUUCAAGAAUUUUUAGUAUUAAUUGAUUCACUUUCUAAAUUUUAAAAUUUUAAAAAUAAGUAUACUCAUUAAAAAAAAAUCUAAAUCUAUAUCUUGCUUGAUUAAAAUUUUAUUUAAUUGGUAAAAAGUUCUUAAAAAAUAGAAAUAUUUGCAAAAAAAAAAAAAAAAAAAGUUAUUCUAGAUCAAUUUUGAUUCAUUAUCCUAAUACUUUUGGGUUUAUUUUUAUUUUUAAAAAAGUUUAAACUUAUUAAUGAAUGUAAUACAUUAGAUUAAAGUAUCAAACUAUUUCUCCAAACUACUCAUUUGAACUUGGAAUAUCUUGCUACCAAUUUUGGCAGCAAGAUUUUUAACUCAUUUUAAAUGCAGUUUUUUAUGUAUGGAGAGUAGCAUGUGAAAAUUAACUACUAGGAAAAGCUAAAAACCAAAGAAAUAAAAUUCAAAUUACUAUAUAGAUUCAAGCAACCUAUUGCAAAUCGGAGUUUAAUUGUUGAGAUACACAAGCUUUCAACAACUAGAAAGCAUAUUUUAUAUUUUUUUAAUAUGUAUAGUCAUGUAUAGCAUAACCUACUAGCUCUUUGUCAUCCUAUGGUUAUGUUACGUAAGAAAGAGUAUGGAGCUAUACGUUCAAGGUAGCAAAAUGGAAAGUAUUGAUUUCCAAAAUUAUUAAAAUAUUAGUAAGAUAUAAUUAGAAAUAGAUUACACAACAAUUACUGAUAAUCCUAUCCAUGAUAGCAAAAAUAAUAUCAAUUUUGAAUGAACUACUUAAACCUGAUGUCUGAGUAAUAAAAUUAUUUGGUUGUUGGUGUUGGGAAAAAUAGUUUCUUAAUUAUUAAUUUGCAAUCAACAAAUAUAUUCUUAUAUAAAAUAAAAGGAGAUGUAGUAUGAAGAUACUACCAUAUGGGUCAAAUCUGCUUCAGAAGUACUAGGAUAUGAAAAAGCCUGUAGCAAGCUGUUUGGAAUCAUCGUCAUCCUCAUUAGAAAAUCCCAACUAGAAUACAUUUUGCAAACAUAAUAGUUAGUAUGAGCAUUGGACAUUCAAGUGUUAAAGAUGGAGUGGGUGAUUUCUAAAUAAAAAAUUCUUUCAAGAACAUGAAUUUGAUAAAAAUUUAGUAAGUAUAUCAAUUUAGUAAUAUUAAACUAAGUAUGUCUCUAAUGUUUCAUUGUGGAAGAAAUUAUAUAUCUCUACUAAUUAUAAUAAUGCACAAGGUGGGUAGAUAGUAAGGGAAUCCUUAAAAUAUGUGCUUAAAAUUUGUUAAGUUUUAUGUCAUUAUUUUCUUUUUCUUUUUGUAGAUGGGAACUGCAUGCAAGUGACUAAUCCAACACUAAUUUAAAAUCAUGCUAAAAUUUUGUUUUUAGAAAUGAUCAAAGACAAAACACCUUCUUCUAAGUAACUAUUUAUAAUGUAUAUCAAAGGAACAAGGUAAGAUGAAAAACUUAGUUACCUAUCUAUAACCCUUUCUUCUGCAGCAUACACUUUUUGCAAGAACAAUGACACAUUGGUGAUGUUUGCAUGAGUUGGAGUAUGAUUUUUCUGUAAGUUAACAAAAAAACUAUUUCACAUAUGUGAUUUAUAUGUCACAAGCUAUUUUAUAAGCUAUGAAUUUAUGUGGUAUUUAACAUCCAUUCAUAAUAGCUAGGAAAUAUAGAAUGUUUGAAAUAGUAAAAUUGUCUAUCCCUAGAUCAUCUAACAAUAUGAUUAAAUUGAUCUAGAAGUUAAUAAAUAGUAAAGAGUUCUUUGUUUUAGGGUACUUAUUAAAUUAACCUAAUAUUUAAAAUUACUUUCCUACAUGAAGAUGUACUAAAAAAUUCAUACCAUCACAAUCAAAACAACAAUGAAGUAAUUGUGAAAUUUUCAUGUAUGGAAUGAUAUUCUAAUUAGCUAGCUAAUUAGUCUAAAAAAAUCAAAGGGUUGUAGGAGCACAUGAUAUGGAAUAAAGGGACUCCAAAUUUAGUAUAUAUACAAUUAGUUAUUUCCUUAUAGAAGAAAGAUUUUAUUUGGGCUACCAAAGAAAAAUAUUUUACUAAAUUAAAAAAAUUGAGGGUUCCAAUUCUUUGCCAAAUGAGCAUUCUUAGGAAUUAAAUGAUUCCAAAAUGUAUAAAUUAGUUAAAGUAAAUGUAUUUCCCCUAGAUUGAUCAAGUUGUCUUCAUGUCAAUGAAUGACUUCAAAUAUAUUUGUUAACCUUAAAAUCUUUAAUUCACUUAUACUUGUCAAUAUGCUUGAUGACUUAAUUCUUGCAGUCCUUAGUAGAAUCAUUGGUUGUCAUAUCCUAAUCAACCGUCAAUGCAAUAUGAAUAAGAUGUUUGAAAGUUAAUUGAGUACCACUUUAUGGUUUUUAUACAAUUUCUUUUUAGAAAAGCUAAUAUUUAUUUUUCUAUCAUUCUUUGGAGAAAACUAAAAGAUUAGUAGUUGAAAGGAAAAAGAAAAAAAAAAGAAAAGAAAUAUUGAAUUAAAAAUAUACAAUCCAAUUUUAAAUAACAAAUUGUCUAAUUGGGGAUGAAUUCACUAAGAAAAUAUUAUAUUUUUAGAGUAACUAUUGAAUGAAACUUCAAAAAAAAAAAAAAAAAAACUCCAAUAUUAACUGUUGUCAUCUUACCCAUCCUAGUGAAAGGGAAAAGUUAGUUUGAGAUCCCAAAGACAGUAUGGCAAUUGGUGGUUUUGGAUCAAUUUUUAAAUUGUUGAUGAGUUGUAGGAGCCUAUUAGCUUUAGCAUCCCCACUCACGACCUGGUGAACCAUAUAUGAGUUCAAAAGAAAUCCAACUAUAUAGAAUAAAAUAAAAAGCAUACAUAGUACUACCAAUAAAAGCUAUCAAUAGUUGACUUACUAGUAGUUUUAGUGUCUUUUUGUACUUAUCCUUCAUAACUCUUUCUGUCAAAUAUGUAUGUUGAUUGAGUAUCUCUAACAUAUCAAGAAGAGGAAGUUUUGAAACAUCAACAACCUGAGAAUUGAAAGUAAUACUAUAAUCAAUAGGUUGUUUCAUGAAAAAACAAUUCAACCAAUGUUUAUUCAUAAGAUUCAAUUUGUUUUAAAACAUUACCUUAUCAACAUCAUCAUCUGUGAGGUCAUGCAAUUGUAAAAAAAAAUCCUUUCCUAAUAUAGCAUCGUCUUCAGAGUUAACCAUUGCCACCAAAAAAAAUUGAUGUAAUAUUUUGUAACUGUAACAACAAAUUUAAAGAUUUAAUUCAUAAAAUUCAAUUGUAGUUUUAAUUGAAAUGUAUAUAAGUGGACUAGAAGCAAUUAUUGCUUAACCAUUAAAAAAAUUACAUGUAAAGGAUAAAUAUCAUUAACAAAAAAGUUCUUGUGUAUCUACAUAUGAAAUUAUGAAGGAAAAUAGCUUAUAUACCAAAAUACAAAGUCAAGAAAAUUAAAUCAUCCUUAACAUAUUAAAGGUUAUUUUUAUCCAUAUUAAAGAGUCAUCCCUGCUUGUUAUCAAUGGAGGUAAGGAAUUUACAUAUGUUCAAAAUUCAAAAUAAUUGACAAUUAAAAACUAAUUUACAUAAAGGGCAACAUUGUUAAACUAAUUGUUUAUAUAUAUAUAUAUAAAUUUAGAUAAUCUUGAGAUAGUAUAAUUCAAAAUUUAAUCCUAUCUAAUUUGAUAUUUUAUAGUUAAAUUUUUUUUAAUCAAAUAUCUUAAAAUAUCAUAUUUUCACAUCAAAAUAAAAUUGAAUAUUUGUUUCUUCACAAUUUCUUUCAUUGAAUUUUGUGAAAGAAAAUUAAGGAAAAUAUGAUAAUGUGUAACAAGAUAAUGAUAACUAAAAAUGUAAGUAAUUUUCACUUUUUUAAUAUAAGAUUAAAAUAUAUUUUAUUAAUUAUCCACAUGGUUAUCAGGUAAUUAUGUUAAAAGGUAUAUGAAUCUUAUAAUUGGGUCAACAUGCAUAAAAAGAUGCAUGAUUGUUGCUAAGCCUAUGAAAAUUUAUCGAUAUAUAAAAACACUCUUUAUCAUUCACACUUAUCAAUUUGUAUAUUUAAAAAUUCUUAAUUCUCAUUAUUUGUUUCUAAUAUCAAACCAUUAAAAAUAUUAUUUAAACACAUAGAAGGCACUUAUACUAAAUGUGUAAGACAUUUGUACUAGUUGUACAAAACUUGUAUAAGUGUUAUUGUGAAUAUACUUAUGUGCUUUUCUUUAUUUUUUAUUUGUUUUUAUAUCACUAUUAUUUACAUAGUUGCAUAGAUAUCAAAUACUAUUUUUUUUUUUUUUAAUAUACUCACACAUGUACAAGGCACUUAUAUUAAAUAUAAAAGACAUUUGUAUAAGUUCUACAAAACUUAUAUAGGUAUGUCUAUUGUGAAUAUAUUUACGUAAUUUCCUUUGUUUUCCUUAUUUACUUUUUAUACCAUUAGAAACACCGUAUAGUUACAUGUAUAAAUGUCAAAUACAACCUUUUUUUUUUUUUUUUUACAUUUUCACACAUAUAUAAGUACUUGUACUAAAUGUAUAACGCAACUAUACUAGUUGUACAAGUUUAUAUAUUACAAAUGUAUUUGUGCUUUUAUGGAUAUUAAUAAAAAUAUGAAAAAUGUCUUAUACAUUUAAUAUUAUUGUCAUGUAUAUGUGUGAAAAUGUGAAAUAAAAUUAUAUUUAACAUUUGUCAAUCUAUAUAAACAAAAUUUCUAGUAAUUUGGUAUGAAAAAACAAAAAAAAAGGAAAAAAAAAAAACAUGUACUUAAAUUCAUGACAUAUAGGUUUGUACAUGCCUUGUUGUGCAGUUAGUAUAAAUGUCUUAUACAUUUAGUACAAGUGUCUCAAAUAUGUGUGCAAAUAUAUAGAAAAAUGAAUUUGCAGUAUGUUUAUAAGUAUCAAACAAUGUUUUCUUGCAGUUUAAUAUAAAAAAUAAAUUAAUAAAAAAAUAAAUUAAAUUAAAAAUAAUACAUCUUGUACAUUCCAUGCAUAAUUAAUAUGCAAAUACCUUAUAUAUAUUAUCUCUAAAAGUGAAGCAAAGGAAUUGAUAUAAUAAUCAUUACAAUUUCAAAUAAAAAAUAUAAGUAAUUAAUUAGAAUUUGAUUAUAAUUGUUUACAAUUUGAAAUAAUCUAUUAACCCGUAUUAUCUCUUAUAAUUUAAAUUAAAGGCAAUUUUUUUUUAAUUUGAACAAUUUAAGUAAUACUAAGUCUUAUUAAAAUUAAAUAGUAUAGAAUUUAAUAUAAUUGUAUAGCUUAAUUGUAAAUAAUUGUUUAUUAAAUUAAAUUUCAGAAAUAAAAAAAUAAUAAUAAUAACAAUCAAAUAUUCCAUUAAUGAAAAUAAAUUAAGAUAAUUGUUGCAACUUAAAAAUAAAAAAUAAAAAAUAAAACAAAAACAAUAUGAAUAUUAAAUAGAUUUUAAGAAAAAUUUUAUUAAUCAUUUUUAAAAUUUUUCUUGAAAGCUUAAUAUAUUAAUUAUCAUAAGUAUUAAGGAUAAAUCUUAAUAUAUUAAAUAACUACUAUGCUCAUAUGACAUUUAUCAUUCAAUCUACUGAAAUUCUAUCUGUUCAACCCAAAUAUGACAUUUUUUUUAUGAAAAUAAAUCUUUAUUCCAUUUUUUACUCAAAAUGGUGUAAUUUUUUUCAUUUCUUUUCUUUUAUUUAUUGGUAUCUUUAUUGUUAUUUUAUUAUUUAUAAUUUUAAUAUUAAAAUAUUAAUAUAAAUAUUAUUUGUAUUUUUUACUAAUAAAUAACUAUUUACGAUAAUAAUAUUAAUAUUCAAUACACAUUAUUAUAAAUAUUAUUCAUAUUUUUUUCAUAAUAAGUAAUUAUUUGUAAUAAUACAUCAAAAAAUAAUGUUUAUAUUAAAUAAUAUUAAAAGUACCAAUAUAUACAAUACAUAUCUAAUUAUUAUGUUAAAUAAUAUUAAAAUUUAAAUAAUAAUAAUAAUAAUAAUAGAAAGUAAGAUGAAAAGAUACUUAAAAAUAAAGAAAAGAAAAAAUAAAUAAAAGAAUGAUAUUUUCGUCUUUUGAUCCCAAUGACUCCAUUUAACAUACCCUAAAGCAUAAUUCUUCUAACCUUAUUUUGAAAGGCUUGUGAAAAUCUAAAAAUGAUAUUUGAAGGUAAAUAGAAUAUUUAUGUAUAUUUAAAUACUACUAUUUGACUAUACAUCCCAAGCUUCUCUAAGAUAUUGUUUGAGAAAACAAAAAACACAUACUGGUAUUCAAAUAUGAUACAGGAAGUAAAUUAUUUACUUAAUUAAAAAUAUUUAAAAUAUCAUAAUUAUUCUUAUCCUUAAUAAAAUAUUAUUUGAAAUAUAGUUCCCAAAUCAUAAAAUUCACUUACACCCUGGUAAAAAUUAUUUUAAAAAGACAAUCAUUCACAUAUUCACAUUUUCUAAAUCUUGAUUGCAUCUUCUUUUUCUACUAUCAUCGUUUAAAUAAAAAAUAAUUAACUACUAAAACUUUAGAAGGACAUAAAAUGAUAAUAAUUAAUCAUGUAAAAAUAUAGAUUAUUAAAAAAGAGAGUCCAAACUAUCUGCUACCCUAAAACACCUGUAGCAUUUUUUAAAUUUUUGUAACUUUUAGAUUUUUUCAAAAUCUUAUUAAUAGUCAAAUUUUUGUAACCAUAAAUUAUAUCUCGUAUAUGUUUACCAUCAUGUUUGAUAAAAAUUAACUAUUGAAAAGAGAGAAAAAAAAAUUCUGAUAAUUACUACAAAUGUAUAACUUUCACUUAAGGAUUACUUAUAAUAACUUUUAUUAUGAAUACUAAUGAAGAAACAGUUCCAAAAAUCAUUGAAGUAAAUUCUAAUUAGAUUUAUCUUAUAAUAAAAUCAUUUGAAUUUUAAAUGCAUUAUGGAAUUAAUUCAAUCAAAUAAUUGAGUUAUAUAAAUGGAAAAUUUUGAUUUAAUGUUAUUUUAUUUGCAAUUAAAUUGAAAACUAUUAUUCAUAUUAUAUAUAGUUAUUAGAUGUAACCAUCCAAUGUUUUUGGGUGAUUGGAUUGAAGGCUAGAAAAUAUCUAUAUAUAUAUCUAAAUAUAAUAGGAGUUAGAAUCAUUAGUUAAUUUUAAGUUUUAUAGGAUAUAUUGUAAGUUAAAUUUAUUUUUAAUUAACUUUAUUUGAACAAAUGUAAGGAUUUUCAGCCAUAAAAGGUUCAGGGGAAGGCCCAACUUUCAUAAUAUUUGGCCUAAAGAGAUGUUUUCUGAUUUUUACUCAACAUAACUAAUAUAGUAGACUAUUAAAAUUGAAAUAAGGAUUAAAAUAUUAAUUAAAAAUAUUAUUAAAUUAACUUAUAUAUAAAUGUAUAUAGAUGUACCAGCGGACCCAAACAUCCAUUAAUAGUGCGUAUCAAUCAAAUUCACAUAAUGAUAAGUAGAAAUUACCAAGUUAUAAAGUCAUUAAAUUAAACACGAAGUAAAAGGAAAUACUGCAGUAGACGGUGCUUCCAAUAUUACCUGUCUCCCAAGAUUAGAUUUGGAAUUAUCUUCGACAAUAUCUCCGCAGCUAAUGGGAGGCCAUCACACUGCUGUAUAAUGUCAUCUUCCAUUUUCUGAGCCUCUUUCGUUGCAAAGCCAGCAUCUUUAAGACUUCGUUCGUACAGAAACGUUGUUGGGGAUGGAGGGGCCAUGUGAUGCAAAGGCAUCCCCAUCUGUUUGGGGAUGUGGGGGAGUCUGGUUGUGAUGAUCACGCCUGCACUACUCUCUCUUUCUCUUUCUCUUUCUUUGACUUUGUGAUUAUCAAACCACUCUAACUUGUCACCCAACUUCAAAUACCAGUCCAUCUUAAUGUCCCAUAUGCCGUCAAAUACCAUCAAAUACUUGUUCCCCAUCAACACACUUUUAAGAUUCUCCAACAGAGCAUCUUCAUCCACGUCUUGCAGCCUGUCAUAUUUGUCCUUGCUUUCUUCCACAUCCGCACAUUGCUUCAUCAUCUCUCUCACCAUCUCCUUAAGAUUUUCAUCUCCAUCCCUAGCAUUCAGUUUUUGAGAUAAGCAAAUCCAGAUUCUGUAAUGGAAGAAAUCCACCACCUUGUGGUUAGUAAAAACUAAUUGGGCAAGGGUUGUCUUACCGGAGCCCCCUAUACCCACAAUUCCAAUUAAACCUUUGCCCCAUUUCUUGCCAUCCACAAGCUCAUCUAUAAUCUCAUCCUCUUGUUCAUCAAAACAUGUAUUUCUCCACCUAUAUUCCCAAUCAAGGUCUUUUGGUCUUGGAAUAAAUACCGGUAAGGAGGUGGAGGAUGAACUGGCUGCAGCAAUAGCGCUGGUGCUAGCAAGUGAACUUUCAACGACAUCCUCCCUUGUAUUGACAAGCUUUUUCUUUAUCUUCAGCAACAGCUUUUUGGUUCUGAAAAGAAGCCAGAGCUCCGCCAGAGUGUAGCCAUGGAGGGGGUCAUCCUUCUUCCGUGGUUCACGCUUAGCCGACAAGAUGACGCACUCUUCCAAUGCGCCGAUAGCAUUGUACAGACAAUCCUUCGUUCUAAUCGGUGUUGAUGGCGUGAAGCGCUUAUCUUGCAACACAUCUCGAAUCUGUAGAAAACGAGAAUGGAGGGGAAUCUCAUUUUCUCCCGUGUGCUCCUCCUCGGCGUCUCGCAAAUCCUCCAUGAACUUGCUCUUCAAAAACUCUAAAUGGUCAGCAGACAUUUCGAUAUGCACAAUGACGAUCAGAUGAAUGAUUAGGUGAAUUUCAGUGCGAUAUGAGGGUUUAUGUUGUCAGUCUGACAUACAUAUAUAUUUUUAUAUUCAUCAACUUCUGCUUUUUUCUUUUUCUUGUAUGAAGAAAGGAAUUUCUUGUGUUUCCAACACGGGAAAAGAAUACAAAGAAUUUCUUUUACAAAGUUUUGAUGCUUCUGCAAACCUCUGCCUUAAGCAAAGAAUCCUCUUUAUGUAAAGAUUAAUUUAUCUACCUUUGCACUGCGCAUAAGAUCAUCUUGUCUCCUAUGUAAUCAAUUCCAGUGGCCGUGCUUUAUUAAUCUAGAUGAGAAUUCGACAGUAUAAAUAUAUUAAAUGUAUGUACUAUCUAUGGGUUUCAAAAAAUAUAAGGUGUUUAGGAAACUAAAUUAUUAAAAUUUUAAUUAUGGAGUAAAUUAUAUUAGUAAAUUAUCCUUAAAUAAAUCACUAUUUUAUUAAAAAGUAAUUCUUUCUAUUUGCAUUUUAUUUUUUUAUUUUGUGAACAAAGCAAUUUCAUUUUUCUAUUGUAAUGAAAUUCAGUUAAAUUUAUAUAUAAUAGUUUUUUUUUUUUUUAGGACAAGUAAUAUCCCAUAUAAAUUCUUAAAAAGUAUUAAUUCCACAUUAUCCAAAAAAAAAUGGACUAACAUUCUUUAAUACAUCUAAAUAGUGCAUUUAUUGUGACUAUCCGUAACAAAUAAAUUUUUUACUCCCAAAACCCUAUUAGGGAAAAAAAGAAGGAAAAAUCAUCUAACCAUACACCACCAGAUACAUAUACAAUUUUUCUUCAAGGAGGGGACUGCUUAGGAUGGGUGGUUGCAUGAGGCAAUGUUUAAUUUUUUCAAAAGCGCUCUAGCAACUGUCUAUCCAUCCGCUCGCUCCAGUUUUUCGUAUUGCCAAGAAGAAGGGUCGCAGUUCAUCCGUGAAGCGGGCUAUAAAGCAUCCCAGCGCAACGAGCUUGCCUGUGAGGCGCUAUAAUUCCUUUUUGCUCCUAGGGGGUGGUGUUUCCAUGACUGCCUUUACUUGAUCCAGGCUAACCUCUAUCCCCCUUUGGCUAACCAUAAAUCCCAGGAAUUUUCCAGCACUUACGCCAAAGGCGCAUUUAGAAGGAUUCAACUUCAUGUCAUACUUCCUUAAGAGGUGGAAGACUUCUUGCAAGUGGAGGACAUGUUCCUCUUGGGUUUUUCUUUUAACCACGAUAUCGUCAAUAUAUACCUCUACUGUGCGGCCGACCAGAGGUUUGAAGAUCUUCGUCAUUAGUCUCUGAUAAGUGGCGCCAACGUUUUUGAGUCCGAAUGGCAUGACUUUGUAACAAUAAAGACCGUGUGGCGUUAUGAAGGCUGUCUUUUCUUCGUCAACCGGGUACAUAGGGAUUUGGUGGUAUCCGGAGAAGGCGUCCAAGAAGGAGAGCAUCUCUUGCCCAGCAGUGGAAUCCACAAUUUGAUCUAUCCGUGGCAAAGGGAAACUGUCUUUUAGGCAUGCAUUAUUGAGGUUGGUGUAAUCGACGCACACCCGCCAUUUGCCUUCCUUUUUGGGUACCACCACUACAUUUUCCAGCCAGUCCGGGUACUCCACUUCUCUGAUGAAUCCGGCUUUCAGCAAUUUGUCAAUCUCAUCCCGAAUAAUUUUUUGUCUGUCCGGGUGAAAACGUCUAACCCUUUGUUGGACGGGUCUUGCUGUUGGCGAGACGUUAAGCCUAUGAGAGGCGAUGGAGAGAUGAAUUCCCUUCAUAUCAGAAUGCGCCCAUGCGAAAACGUCAUGGCUUUGUCGGAGGGCGUCUUGGAUGUUCCGGGUCUCUUCUGGCGUCAAGAGGGAACUAAUAUACGUGAGGUGAGUUCCUUCUUCCGAAAUUUGGAUCGUCUGCAAGGGAUCCGCUACCGGGGGAUCUUUGUCUGCCAGACUCAGUGAUUGCUAUUGGUCCCACGCAUGGGAGGAUUCAGGGAGAGGUUCAUCCUCUUGACUGGUUCUUGCCUCUCGUGCUAUCUGGUAGCAUUGGCGAGCGGCUAACUGGCUGCCAUAUAGGUCGAUUUGCCCAUCCUUGGUAAAGAAGCUUACCAUUUGAUGAUACGUAGAGGGGAUGACUUUCAUGUAGUGCAGCCAUGUGCGUCCGAAGAUAACAUUGAAGAGUGAUAAAUCUUGUACCACCGAAAAUUGUACGUGGAGAGUGACUGGGCCAGCUUGGACCGAUAGUACAAUAUCUCCCAAGGAAGUAGUUGACGCUCCGUUGAAUCCGGACAGAAUUCGCCUAGGGUUUUCAAGGCCUGUGAGACUAUGUCCCAUGUGGCUAAUGACCGACGCUUGCACAAGAUCGGCCGAGCUGCCCGGGUCAACUAGGAUGCGUCUCACGUCGAAGUCUCCUAUUUCUAGGGACAAGAUGAGGGCGUCGCGGUACGGCUGCAAUAUCCGUGUGGGGUCUACUAGUGGAAAAAUGAUUGUUCCAUCUAUAGGGUGAGGGCCCCCCCCCUAGCUAUCCCAGGCUGGAUGGAGUUGACAUGCUCAUGCACCGAUGCUACCCGUAACAACCUUUGUCUCUUUCGUUUGGAGUCGUACUCCUCGUCGGAUGGGCCUCCGUUAAUAUAGUUUAUAACGGCUUUGGGGGCGGUUGGGGCCCUAGGGGUUCCAGAGUUGUGAUUUCGGGAAGUAUCUCCACUUCUGGCAUCUGAGCGGAGGUAUUGCUUUAAAUGUCCCGCCUUUAUGAGCUUUUCGACCAAAUAAUGGAGGCACCUGCACGCCUCCGUUGUGUGACCAUGCUCCUUAUGGAAGACACAUUUUUUAUUAUGAUCCCUUUUGGAUGGGUCCGUUCCGAGGGGUCUAGGCCACCUGAAGUCGGACAUGUCUUGGAUCAUAGGGAGAAGCUUCUCAUAGGAUAUGGAAAAGGGUGUGAGGGGCGGCAUUUUCGAGCUACUUGGCCCUUCCUGCCUUCGAUUGGACGGCCUUGGCCGGUCCGGAAGUUUGGCACUUCUUUUCGCGCCACUUCUGGAUGCUUGUCCGACAACUAAGACUUGUUGGGUGGCUGCUCGCAUGUCAUCUUCGAGCAUUGAAUAUUUGCUUGCACGCCGGAACAAGUCGUCCAUCGUCGUAGGAGGCUUUUUAGCGAGUGAUUCGAAAAAUGGGGUGCCUAGACAAAUGCUUCGCUUGAAGAUCUGCAGGACAUCAUCCAUGUUGUAAGCCUCUACUUGUAGCACGGCCUGAUCAAACUGCUUCACAAACUCCCUCAAGGACUCGUUAUCUUGCAUUUUUAUGUUUUGCAGAGUGUUGAUGUUCUGCUUAUGUCGAGCAGAGCAUAAGUAUUGCCCCACGAAGGCUUCCGACAGGUCCUUGAAAUUAUCCAUAGAGUUGGGAGGUAGGCGGUGGAACCAUGAGAGGGCUUGUCCUUGUAGGCUGGCGGUGAAUACUUUACAUAGCAGUGGGUCGUUUCCUAUAUCGAGAGUCAUAAGUUGACAAUAAUGCAUGAUAUGGUCGAAGGGGUCGUUGGACCCAUCGUACGUGGAGAAUUUAGGCACGAGGAAUCCCCUUGAGGGCUCAUAAUGAAUAAUAUGAGAUCAGAAAGGCGUGGAGAGCAUGUCGUCCAGCCUUUUGCUGAUGGAGCCAAUAGGUGGCUCAUUUGAGAGGUUUCUCCCAGCUUGUCGUACCGUUAGGUGCGGUUGAACAUUCUGCACCAUAGGGUCAGGGUGCGCUCCCCAAGUUGUGGCUACUGGCGGCCUUGGCCUCCUAGGCUCCUGUGGACCUAGUCUCGCGCGCAUUGAGUCUGACAAUUGGGGUUUUUUGUCGUGUUGUCUUUUUGCUGAAAGAUGAGUAGAGUCUGAGCUUUCCUCAUGGGGAGCUCGGUACAUGGGCGUGUGUGGCUCAUGUGGCUUAACGUUGCAUGUUUCAGGGAUUGCUCCUACUGUCCCAGGGGUAUAUUGACUCUGAGUCAGGCCUUGAGUUUGCUACCUGGCCUUUUGAACAUUGACGACGGGGAGGCCCCGUCGAUAAAGCUUGUAUGCGCAACACAACAUUUUCUUCUCUUAAUCUUACUGUCUCCUGGAGGAGAGUUUGCAGUUGUCGCUCGCUUGCCAACUGUUUUCUUUCGAUGGCUCGGCGCCAUUCAGAGUUAUCUUCCUCUCCCCUACCAGAUGAGUGGCUUCUGGAAGGUGUGGUCAUCUUUGUCAGUGACUGAAUCAGUGAAGUUCCCACAGACGGCGCCAAUGUUGAGGCCUUGCGUCCCGAUGAUCCACGUAGCUGCCAAAUGGACGCACGCUUUCAACCAAGAUGGAGUUCUGGUUCAGUCGUCCCUGCAAAAGGUGUCCGGACAGGGUGUCUGGACACACCCUCCGAUGGUUUUUUCAGCCAUGGUUAGAGAGAUAAAGCAGUUGGCCUUUUACUAGGUAUAUCAAGCUUACCUUCCUCCUUGUGUGAAGGUCCUUAUAUAUAGUAUCAGAAGCUCUGUCUUCCUCUUUAAUGGUAGGGAGACUUUUUGGCUUGUCAUGAUGCCUCUAGGUGGUGGCAGAGCCAUCAUCACCCUACAGGCGGCUGUCAGAGAUCGUGGGAGGCGUCGCGGCUGUCAGAGCUCGUGGGAGAUGACUUGCCAUCAUUCCUGUCCUUUCGCUUUGCAGGUGGCGGAAUGUGGGUCGUGGCAGGCUGUCGGAAUGACGUAGUAAGACUUGCUUACUUUAAUCAACGAUCCGGACAAACAUAUCCGGAUAGGAUAUGUCGAUCGUCCGGAUGUGAUAUGGCAGUCGUCGGGAUGUAAUGUUUGCGAGUGUCGUGUGCUUCUCCCUGAAGGAGUCCGGAUAGGGGAAGCGCGCCACGUGUCCUCUUAGGGAAAUCCGGAUGGAGCUAAUCCGGAUAGAAAUGCGUGCCACGUGUCAUCAGGAGGAGGGGUCCCUACACCCGGGUGGUAAAAAAACAAAUGGAAAAAUCCAUUGGUCUUUUAAGGGGUUUACACAAGUAUAAAAGAUAAUCAUUGACUCUAUGUAGCCCAUUAUCUUUUAAGUAUUGUCCUUCCCCUCCUUUCAUAAAGCUUCCUAGAAAUUUCAAGUUUCUUUUUUAUAUAAAGUAUAGAAUAGAAUUAUUCCCCUCCUUUCAUAAAGUUUCCUAGAAAUUUUAAGUUUCUUUUUUAUAUAAAGUAUAGAAUAGAAUUAUUGACUCUGCAUAGCCCAUUAUCUUAAAAAUGUUGUCUCUCAUUUUUUAAAGGUUAUUGUCUUUGUAGUCAUUCACAUGUGUUUCAAGAAAAAUAAAGUUCUUUUGCCCCUAAAGAACUAUAGAAAUAAAAUUUUAUUAAGAAUUUUAAAAUGUAAAAAUAAAAUUUUUUAAAUAAGAGUAUUUUAAAUAAAUUUUUUUCAUAUUUUCUAAAAUUAAAUAUCCAAUUUUUAAUUAUUUGAAAAAGAUGAAGACGCUCCUAAAAAGAAAAACAAUGUUUUGCAUCAAUUAGAUAACUUUUAAUUAAAAAUAAUCUAAAUACUUCUUAAUCCACUUGUGGUUAACAUUCCAUUAAAACUAUACCAAAUUUAUUUAAAAUUAUUCAAAGCAUCUCAAUACAUUAUUCAUUUUUUUUUUUUGAAAAAUUUUUGUAUCACUUUUCUAGAAAAGAAUUAUUAACAUGUAUUGAUUUUCUUAUAAAUAAUUUUCAUUAAAUUUUAAAACUUGUAUUUACUUAAACUUCAAAUGUGUUUGUAUGCUUGUGUUGUUGUUGUUGCCUUUUUUUUUUUUAAUCAAAUACGUUCAUUUAUAAUAUGGGAAUGUAUACUUGAACUCAAUAUUUUAUUUAAUUCCUUUUUUUUUUAACUUUAUUUUAGUAAAUGCAUCCUUGAUCAACAACUUGAUGAUUUUUUUUAAAAUCAAAUAGUGGAGAUAAAAUUUUGAUGAUUAAAAAACAACCCACUUGCUACAUCACUUAUGUGAAAUAUUGAUUUAUUAUUUGAAGUAUUUUGGCAUUACAUUCAAUUCAUCAUAGUAAGAUUAUUUUUCACUCAAUAAUUUAUGUAGAAUAAUAAAUAAAUUAAGGAGCACUUUAUUAAAAACUGGUUUAAAUAGCAAAAUAUAAGUUGGAUAUUCAUUUUAAUUAAAAAUAAAAUUGUAGUUUGAUUUAACUAGAAAAUUAUUUUUUUGCUAAUUAAUUUAAUUUUAAUUUGUAAUUCAUGUUAAUAGGGAAAAGAAGAUAGUUUUCAUAUCUUUUUAAUCGAAAAAAAAAAUGAUGAUUUUGGUUUUAGUUUGUCAAUUUAUUUUUGUAAAAAGAAAAUAUUAUUCUAUAAUUAGUUAAAUCAAUUUUGAUAUGAAAAUUUAAUUUUAUGAAUAUAAUUAUAAUUGUUAAAGUAAGCUUGUAGGUACAAAUUUUAAAAAUCUUGUAAAAAAUAAACAAAAAGAUACGAAACUAUGCAAACAAAUAUGUAUUAGAACUUUUGUAGGGUACAAUUCUUUGGAGAAAUACUCAUUACAACAAAAAAAAAAAAAUUCCUUUUAUUCUAUCACUUUGAUCACAAUCCAAUGGAUAAUAUAUUUUCACUUGCAUUUGCUUUUAUACUAGGUUUUAUGUCAUGUGCUCAUGUGAACAACUCUUCAAAAGUGUAGAGUCGCUUGCCUUGGAGGAUAUAUAGAAGCUCUCAAUACAUACCUGUAAACCCCUCCUUGCAAGACCAAGGGGAUUAUUUUUUUAUUUUGGCUGCCACUACCCGAGAGAAGUGUGCUUUUCUUUUUUUGGUAGGAUGGGGGGACCCCUUUUCUAAAGAGGGAACAACUUCAUAGACACGGCAAGAGACGUGGGCAGCGAUGAGGGUGGUUGCAAGCCCAUGCUUGCUGACGUGAUGAACAGGAAAUGGAGGGUGGCUUGCUGAAGAAGACACCAACAGAGGAAUGAAAGAGGGGACAAAAAGAACAAAAAAAGAGGAGGUAGCGGGAAGAAAGUGGGGAGCUCAGAGGAUUUUCUGGGAGGAGAAGAAUUUUAUCAGGCGCAGGUAUGGUCAAUUUCUAGUUCAUUUUUCUUUCUACCAUAUUGUCUUUUCAUGUGUUUUUUUUUUUUCUGUUUGUUGAACUUUCAUCCACUGUUUGGGAAUGCUUGCUCUGCUAAUAUCUUGUUCUCUUGAGCUCCGUUCAAGAUUAUCGUGUGCACGGGUUUGCAUGAAUUGAUUUAAUCUUCUAUCUCACUACACCACACUUCUUACCCAUCAAACCCUCCAUCACCACAUCCGUUGCAUCUCAUGCUCACCAUCCACUCGAGCCUACCACCAUCUAACCCAUCAACUCGUUUUCAUGACCUCCAUGUGCAUGAAUUCCUAGCCUUCCUUGCAUAUCACCGCCUUUUAUCUCCCAAUACCAUGCCACUAUACACCCAUCUUCUUCACACCUAUUUCUUCUUCUUAUCACCUUUCUCUCUCUACACCACGUAUCUUCACACUCUUCAACCUCACCAUCCCUUUUCAUUCUUCAUAUCCAUUCCCUAACCUUCAUACCCGCAUUACACUCAUCCUCACACAUUCUUAGUCCCUUCCCACAAUUUUUCAUCAUGCAUGCACCCAUCCUUCACCUAUCCCCACCACCUUUGCAUGGCCACGCAUGGCCACUUCUACUCACUUUUCCAUACCCACCUUGCCACCAUCUUCUAAUGCCCAUGCAUAUACCCUUUCAAUCUUCACAUGUCCCUCACCACCUUCUCUCUAUCUACACCACACUACAUGUCCCUCACCACCUUCUCUCUCUCUACACCACAUCAUAUACCCAUCUUCGUUCAUGACCACUACCCAUCCCCGCACCAUGCAAGGAUCACCCCGAAUCCUCUCCCAACUCCUCCAUUAAGGUCCCAUUCCCAUCAUGCCUAAGUCCCCAUGAAGGAUCGCUCCACGCUUGAGACACCAUGCCACCCUCAUCCUCAUGUUCUUCACGCCCAUAACUCAUGCCACCCUCAUCCUCGUGCUCCCCAUACCCAUUGUACCCGACGUGCCCAUCCCCAAGCCCAAGCUGUGAUGAGGAAUGGGUCUUAGGCUUGCCCAUAGGUGGAGGUUUGAGCCCAAGCCCGAUGUUGUGGGAGGAUGUUUGUUUUGGAUUUGCCCAUGGCACGGAUUUGGGCUUGAGUUUAGAAGCCCAGCCCAGGCAUAUAAAUGGAAGGCUUGAGAAUAAGUGGUCUGUGAUGGAGUAUGUGUUGGUGAUGGGUUUGGGUUUGCCCAUGGUGACGGGUUUGGGCUUAAGUUGGAGCCCAGGCCCAAGCUUUUAUGGUGAUGGUGCCUUAGGUUUAAGUUGGAGCCCAGACCUAAGCUCUUGGUGACGGGUUUGGGCUUGAGUUGGAGCCCAACCCAAGCAUGUUGAUGAAAGGCCCCAUGCCCCCUAUGCUAGCCACCCUCAUUGGCCCAUGCCCACAUCCAUUUAGCCCUUUAGGUUGCCCAAAUCCAAAUAAUCCUCUUAAAAACCUCUCAUAUCCAUAAUUAAUUAAUUCAAUCAUUCCCUCUUAUUUGUUAUCUUAUUCUAUUUCUACCAAUUUAUUUAAUUCAUCUUAAAGACAAUUAAAAGACAAAUUAUUAUUGUUAAUUAUAUUUUUUAUCUUGAAAUUUAUACUAUUCAAUUUCACUAGUUUAGAUAUUAGGAUUGUUAAUUAUUAUUAUUACUUCGUACACAUCUAUUUAUCAUCUUUUAAAAUCCCACUCAUUAAAGUUAAAUUCUAAUCCUUCAAAAACCCCAUAUCUUAAUUUAAUUUUUCAAUAAUUAGUUCAAAUCUCAUCUUCAUCCAUCAGAGUUAUUAUCUCAUAUUCAUCUAGUUAUUUAAAAUCUAAUUCUUCAAAAACCUCAUGUCUUAAUUUAAUUUUUUUUUUAAUCCUAAAAAUUCCACUACUCAAUUUCUAUUCGUUUAAAAUAUUGUUUCCAUUAAGUAGCAUUAUUAUUCCAUAUUAUCUAUUUAAUCUAAUCGUUAAAGUUCAAUUCAUCAGAACUCGACUUCCAAAUCUAAUUUCCAACCUCAAAAGCUCUGUCGUCCAUAUAUCGCCGUUUAAUGAUUAUUCUCGAUAUUAAUGUUAUCUCAUCCACUCGCUUAUUCAGUUAUUCAUAUAUCAAAGAUCUCAUCUCUAAAUAAAUUCUUAAGUUUUCAAUCUCUAAAUUCACAUAUUCAAAUCUCUAAAAUUCCAUCCUUCGCAAUUAUUUACCUAAACUUUGUUACUUCAUUCACCAUCGUCAUUAUUCUAUCUCUUUACUUAUUUACUCAUCCACUUAUCCCCUCAUUUAAAAUCCCGAACUCUCAAAUCAUUUUCAAAGUUUCCAACCUCGUUCAAAUUUAAUUUCUAAAAAUUCUCAUUCCCACAUUUAAUUCCUGAAAGUCCGAUCUUCAAAUAAUUUCUAAAACUCCAACUUUCAAAUAAUCCCUAAGACUCCAAUUUUCAAAUAAAUUUCAAAAAUCCAAUUUUCUCUCAAAUAGUUUUAAUUCCAUUUUUCGAACAAUCUCAUGUUCCUCUUGAUUUCAAUGAGCACGAAUUUAACUUUGUGAUUCUAAUUAAUGGAAUUUACGAAAAUAAUUCAUGCAAAGAUUAAUUGGGCUUUGGUGGGGGCCCCACAUGAUCUUAUGAUCUAUUGAUUGAUCUGAUUGAUUGACUUGGUUAUCAUACAUGAUUUAUUUAUCCUGCUCUCCGACAUGCAUGCUAUUAUUUCUUAAUUAUGCACUAACCCCUCUCUUGAUAGCACAUGGUGGCUCGUCGCCCAGGUACGCAUCCACACCCGCUUGGGUCAUUUUCUGUACGCAUGUUUAGAUUCUCACAUGUGCAUGAUCACUCUGAGUAUUCAUUGAUUCCCUCAUCAAUUGCCAUGAUUGCUUCAUUUUAUUAGUAGAGACCCGACUUUAGGGACUUAGAAGGGUGCUACGGUUUUUACCGUACCUUCCCGAUAAGUAACCUGACCCCCGAACCCGAUCUGGUUUUUCGUAGGCCACCUUUUCCAAAUAAGGAGUCACACUUAGGGUUUUUCUUUCUUAUUUUGUUUACCCUUUUAAAAAAUAAAACAAAAAUAAGUGGCGACUCCAAGUCAUUUUUCUUAAUCAAAUAAAAAUCAAAUUUUCAAAAACUAAAAUCGAGCUCGCCAUCGAGUGGGAAACGCAUGAGCCGAAAUACGGGGUCCACAAUACCCUAUAUGCUCAUCUCCACUACGAACACAUUACAUAAUCUAUUCUUGCUAUCAAGGCUUAAAGAAUGCCAAGAGUUGAUGCAAUCAAUCAUAGACUCAUCUAUCUACUGCUUGGUAUUUGUGAACUCCAUUAUGCUUAUUAUUGGUUGGAAAAAAUAAUUGUCUUUGUGCUUCAUUUGAUUCCAACUAUCAAUAGACUCAUACUUAAGAUUCAUGUACCAAUCAAAAGCACAUAUUUGGAGGGAAUACACAAAUUGUUUAACUAAGAGGUCACCCUCGUGAUAGCAUUGUUGCAAGUUUGGAUGAAUUAGGCAUUGCAUUGCUUUGGAAUUCCUUUUUUAUCAAAUUAUUAAAAAUUUAGAGGUUAAUAACUCAUAAGUAUUUGUAAGUUAUUAAUCCUGAUAGUACUCCAUACUAUGUUCUCUAUGACAUUAGGUAUCAUGUUUUAAAUCAUUCAUUUCUAUUAGAAAACUAUUAAUUUUUUUACUGAUAAAAAUUUUAGUUUGGCUUUAAGUUAUUUCUCGAUUAUAUAUAGAUAUAUGCACAUGCACAAGGUUUUUUUUCUUUAAUAUUUAUUAUUUGAAUUUUAUUUUAUUCAUGAUCUUUUUAGAAUAUUAUUUGUUGAAAUUAAUUGCUAUGUGGUUAUUCUUCCAAAAAUAAUUAUUUUUUUGCUUAAAAACUAAAUUUCUUCCUACACUAAAUUCGCUACUUUAAAUUAAUAAAAUCAUUUCCUCUUUUCUGGUUUCUUUUAUUUAUUUAUUUUAGAUUAUAAUAUUUAUGAAUAAUAAGAUUUGUCUAUAAAAUAUUAAAAAAAAAUAAAUAUAUCAUUAAUUCUAAGUAUAUCAAUUCAUCCUCUCAUUGUUUAACUUAUUAUUAUUUUUUUUUUUGUAUUUAUAUUUUAAUUUAAGCUUUAUGUUUAUUUUUAAUAGACAUAUUUUUAUUUUUUAAAAAUAUAAAUAUUAUUUUUAUUAAGGAGAUUUUUUUUUAUUUUUUAUCCAGAAUGGAUAUUUUGUUGGUUGAAAAAGAGUGAAUGAUUAGUUUUAAAAAAUGGGAUGAUUUCAUUUUUUUUUAUUGAGAAUUGUGCCAACAGAUUUCGAGUCUUUUUAAAAAGGAAUAAACAACUAUGAGGAAAGGGUCGAUGGGUCCCUAGGAUUAUAAAAGGCUUCCGGCCCACAAGUGGACUUUUCUCAAUAGUACAGUAAUUUAAAAAAGUUAUGCUUAAAUUAUUGUAGUAGGAGAAGUUAUUACAAAUAUAUGGUAGUUUUUGCCACAUAGGAGAGAGGAGAGAGGAGAGAGGAGAGAGGGUGAACGGAUAAAUUUUUUUAAAAAAGGGAACUCGUCUCUUCAAGAGACGAGUUCCAUGAAAAAAAAUAUAUAUUUUUUUUUAAGAAAAUUCCCCAUUUACUCAAGGGAACUCGUCUUUUCAAGAGACGAGUUCCAUGAAAAAAAAUAUAUAUAUAUUUUAAAAAAAAUUCUCAAAUUAAAAAAAAAAAAAAACAAUUCUUCAAGGAAACUCGUCUCUUCAAGAGACGAGUUCCCAUUAAAAAAUAUAUAUAUAUUUUUAAAAAAUUCCCAAAUUAAAAAAAAAAAAAAAAACAACUAAAGGGAACUCGUCUCUUCAAAAGACGAGUUCCCAUGGGAAAUUUUUUUUUUUUUAAAAUAUAUUUUUUAUUUAAAAAAAACUCCCAAAUUAAAAAAAAUAAAUAAAUAAAAUUCCUAUACGGAACUCGUCUCUUCAAGACACGAGUUCCCAUGUAAAAAAAAUAUUUUUUUUAAAACAAUAUAUAUUUAAAAAAAAAAAAAAUUUCCUAAAGGGAACUCGUCUGCCAUGGGAAAAAAAAAUUUUUUUUUAAAUAUAUUUUUUAUUUUAAAAAAAUCCCAAAUUAAAAAAAAAAAAAAUCCUAAAGGGAACUCGUCUCUUGAAGAGACGAGUUCCCUUUGGGAAAAAAAUUAUUUUUUUCUUAAAAUAUAUUUUUUAUUUAAAAAAAUCUCAAAUUAAAAAAAAAAAAAAAAACAAUUCCUCAAAAUUCCUAAAGGGAACUCGUCUCUUCAAGAGACGAGUCCCCAUGUAAAAAAAAAUAUUUUUUUUUUAAAAUAUAUAUAUUUAAAAAAAAUAAAAAUUCCUCAAGGGAACUCGUCUUUUGAAGAGAUGAGUUCUCAUGGGAAAAAAAAAUAUUUUUUAUUUAAAAAAAAAAAUUCCUAAAGGGAACUCGUCUCUUCAAGAGACGAGUUCCCUUGGGAAAAAAAUAUUUUUUUUUAAAAUAUAUUUUUUAUUUAAAAAAAUCCCAAAUUUAAAAAAAAAAAAAAAAAAAACAAUUCCUCAAAAUUCCUAAAGGGAACUCGUCUCUUCAAGAGAGGAUUCUACGGGAAAAAAAAAUAUUUUUUUUUUAAAAAUAUAUUUUUUUAAAAAAAAAAAANNNNNNNNNNNNNNNNNNNNNNNNNNNNNNNNNNNNNNNNNNNNNNNNNNNNNNNNNNNNNNNNNNNNNNNNNNNNNNNNNNNNNNNNNNNNNNNNNNNNUUUUUUUUUAAAAAAUAUUUUUUUUUUAAAAAAAAAAAAUUCCUAAAGGGAACCCCAGGGAAGGGUUUCCAUGGGAAAAAAAAUUUUUUUUUUUAAAAAUAUUUUUUUUUUUUAAAAAAAAUCCCAAAUUAAAAAAAAAAAAAAAAAAAAAAAAACAAUUCCAAAGGGAACUCGUCUCUUCAAGAGACGAGUUCCCAUGUAAAAUUUUUUUAUUUUUAUUUUUAAAUAUAUAUAUUAAAAAAAAAAAAAAAAAAACAAUUCCUCAAAAUUCCUAAAGGGAACUCGCCUCUUAAAGAGACGAGUUCCCAUGUAAAAAAAAAAAAAAAAUUUAAAAAUAUAUAUAUUUAAAAAAAAAAAAAUUUCCUAAAGGGUACUCAAGAGACGAGUUCCCAUGGGAAAAAAAAAUAUUUUUUUUAAAAUAUAUUUUUUAUUUAAAAAAAANNNNNNNNNNNNNNNNNNNNNNNNNNNNNNNNNNNNNNNNNNNNNNNNNNNNNNNNNNNNNNNNNNNUUCCCUUGGGAAAAAAAAUAUUUUUUUAAAAAAAUAUAUAUUUUUUUUAAAAAAAUUUCAAAUUAAAAAAAAAAAAAAAAAACAAUUCCUCAAAAUUCCUAAAGGGAACUCGUCUCUUCAAGAGACGAGUUCCCAUGUAAAAAAAAUAUUUUUUUUAAAAAAUAUAUAUAUUUAAAAAAAAUAAAAAUUCCUCAAGGGAACUCGUCUUUUGAAGAGACGAGUUCUCAUGGGAAAAAAAAAUAUUUUUUUUAAAAUAUAUUUUUUAUUUAAAAAAAAAAUUCCUAAAGGGAACUCGUCUCUUCAAGAGACGAGUUCCCUUGGGAAAAAAAUAUUUUUUUUUAAAAUAUAUUUUUUAUUUAAAAAAAUCCCAAAUUUAAAAAAAAAAAAAAAAAAACAAUUCUUCAAAAUUCCUAAAGGGAACUCGUCUCUUCAAGAGACGAGUUCUCAUGUAAAAAUAAAUAUUUUUUUUUUAAAAAUAUAUAUAUUUAAAAAAAAAAAAUUCCUAAAGGGAACUCAAGAGAAGAGUUCCCAUGGGAAAAAAAAUAUUUUUUUUUAAAAUAUAUUUUUUAUUUAAAAAAAAUCCCAAAUUAAAAAAAAAAAAAAAAAAAAAACAAUUCCAAAGGGAACUCGUCUCUUCAAGAGACGAGUUCCCAUGUAAAAUUUUUUUUUUUUUUUUAAAUAUAUAUAUUAAAAAAAAAAAAAAAAACAAUUCCCCAAAAUUCCAAAAGGGAACCCGUUCCUUAAAGAGACGAGUCCCCAUGUAAAAAAAAAAAAAUUUUUAAAAAUAUAUAUAUUUAAAAAAAAAAAAAAUUUCCAAAAGGGUUCUCAAGAGACGACUCCCCAGGGAAAAAAAAAAAAUUUUUUUAAAAAAAUAUUUUUUAUUUAAAAAAAAAAAAAAAAAAAAAAAAAAAACAUUUCCAAGGGGACCNNNNNNNNNNNNNNNNNNNNNNNNNNNNNNNNNNNNNNNNNNNNNNNNNNNNNNNNNNNNNNNNNNNNNNNNNNNNNNNNNNNNNNNNNNNNNNNNNNNNUUUUUAAAUAAAAAAUAUAUUUAAAAAAAAAAUAUUUUUUUUUCCCAUGGGAACUCGUCUCUUCAAUUUUUUUUUUUUAAUUUGAGAUUUUUUUUAUGAAGAGACGAGUUCCCUUUAGGAAAUUUUUUUUUUUAAAUAUAUAUAUUUUUAAAAAAUAUAUAUUUUAAGAGACGAGUUCCCUUUAGGAAUUUUUUUUUUUUUAAUUUGGGAUUUUUUUUAAAUAAAAAAUAUAUUUUUAAAAAAAAAUUUCCCAAAGAAACGAGUUCCCUUUAGGAAAUUUUUUUUUUAAAUUUAAUUUAGGAUUUUUUUUAAAUAAAAAUAUAUUUAAAAAAAAAAUAUUUUUUUUCCCUGGGAACUCGUCUUUCCCUUGUCUUUUUUCAUGUGAGUAAAUAGGAAUUUUUUGAAAAAAAUAUAUAUAUUUUUUUUCAUGGAACUCGUCUCUUUAAGAGACAAGAUCUCUUUUUAAAAAAAAUUUAUCUAUUCACCCUCUCUCCUCUCUCCUAUCUCCUAUCUCCUCUUUCCUCUCUCCUCUCUCCUAUGUAGCAAAAACUACCACAUAUUUGUAAUAACUUCUUCUACUACAAUAAUUUAAGCAUAACUUUUUUAAAUUACUGUACUAUUGAGAAAAGUCCGCCCACAAGUUGCGUACAAAUUUAAGAAGAAAUCACUUCUGUUUUUUUAGCGCCUUGAAAUAGGAUGAAAUCAAUCGAUUGCGAUCAAUAUUCUAAUUUUGCAUUAAAUAAAAGGAUAACAGUUUAGUAAAUAUACAAAUAAAAUAAAAUAAAAUAAAAUAAUAGUAAUAACAAAACUCAUUCCUUUAGAGCCUCUUCUUCUUUUACUCCUUCCAUCCCUCAAACAAGUACUUAUGAUGUUUUCUUGAGUUUUAGAGGCGAAGACACCCGUUAUAAUUUCACUGAUCACCUCUACAAAGCUUUGGGUAGGAGAGGGAUUCGCACCUUCAGAGACGAUAAACUCAGGAGAGGAGAAGCGAUUGCUCCAGAACUCUUGAAAGCCAUUGAAGAAUCAAGGUCUUCCGUAAUUGUUUUCUCUGAAAACUAUGCUCGUUCGAGAUGGUGUUUGGAUGAGUUGGUGAAGAUCAUGGAGUGCCAGAAAGAUCUGGGACAUACUGUUUAUCCCAUUUUUNNNNNNNNNNNNNNNNNNNNNNNNNNNNNNNNNNNNNNNNNNNNNNNNNNNNNNNNNNNNNNNNAUGAGUUGGUGAAGAUCAUGGAGUGCCAGAAAGAUCUGGGACAUACUGUUAUCCCAAUUUUCUAUCAUGUGGAUCCAUCCCAUGUGCGAAAGCAAGAAGGAAGCUUUGGAGAGGCCUUUGCCGGUUAUGAAGAAAACUGGAAGGACAAGAUACCAAGGUGGAGGACGGCCUUGACGGAAGCAGCCAAUCUUUCUGGAUGGCAUCUACAAGAUGGGUAACUUUAAUUUCCUUUCAACUAUUUGUAAGUAUAGGAAUGAUUAGUUUUGCAUUUAGAGUGAUGAUGUUGAUUGAAAUAUUUAUAAGAAUACAAAAGCUCAAAUUUUUUAUUUGGAGGUCUACUCCUUAAGCACAAAUUUCUCCUCAAAAUGCUUUUAGUUGAAGUCUUUUAUGUGUAAAUGUAUUUGAUAUUCUUUUAUAAGGAAUCUUCUCAGUAUAGGUGUUUUUUUAGAAAAUCAGCUAUCUUUUCCACGAAUUUAUUUUUUCUAACCUUUUUUAAAGUAAUUUCUAAAUUUUGUUUAUUUUAUUUUAUUUUUCAAAAACAUUUUUUAGAUUAUAAGUACAUUUUAAAAGUAUUUUUAGCUGGCAAUUCUAUUUAAAUGUUUUUAGUAAAAGUUUUUUUAUAUAUAAAUAUUUUUGGGAAAAUUAUCAAGUAUUUCUCAAAGAAUCACUGUAAGUGUUUUUUUUUUUUUUUAACUUUUUAUCAGUAAUUCUAAAUUCUUUAUCAAACGUCUUAAUUUUUUUUUUUUUAUAAAGACACUUUUUAUACUUCCCAAACAAACUGUAACAUUACUUGAGGUUGUUAACAUAAUAGAACAACGGGCAUAUAUUUGUUUGCUCAAAAUAAAAAUAAACUAUUGCUUUCUAGGGCUUUCUUUAUAAGUUGGGUUUUAUUCAAGAAUAUCAUUUGGGCAGCCGAUGUGUCAUGAAUAAGGAGAAAAUAGGAAAUUCGAGUAUUGAUUUGACCAGAGAAGCAGUCAAUUUAUAUGGAUGACAUCUAUACUAAUUUAAUGGGCAUGCAAUUUAAGUUUCUUUCACUUUUCAUUCAUUAGUGGGUUUUAUUUACAAAUUAAAUUAUUAUUAUUAUUGUUAUUAUUGUUGUUUAUUAUUAAUACUAUUGUUUUUUGUUGUUGUUAAUAGUAGUUGCUUUGACAUUAGUAUAAAAAGAAUAGUAGAAUAACAAUUAUAUUGAGUUAGAAUUCAUGAUAAAUGGUAGAAUGAACUUAUUAAAACCCAAUUAAUGAGUUUUACUAUUUUAGAUCAAUUUAUGAGAAUCUAUAUCUAAAAUAAUUUAAUCAAAAUUUAUUACUAAUUUUUCAAUUUUCAAGAUUCAAUCCGCAUUAAUGUUACAAGAAUUAAUCAAUUUAUUUGAAAUUUUGUGUGGAUAAUUAUAUAACAAGUAACAAUAAAAUUAAUGACUAUUACUAUCUAUUAAUGAGCUUCAAAAUUUUCAAUUAACCAAUCUUUUGAGUAUCAACAGAACAACUUAAUCAAAUUCUAAAAAUAAUUUGAUUAAUUAUGCAACGAGUAAUAAGUAACAAUAACAAAAUUAUGUAACGUAAAUUGUUUAGUAGGAAUUCAACUUCCCAGAGAGUUUGUGUGUGUAUAUAUAUAGACAAUAAAGAACGUAGGUUAGGAAGUUAAUUCUUUAUAGAUGAUGCUAAAGGAAAUCAACUCAAAAUAAAAUACAAAUGAAUAACUUGUUUACAAGUCUUUAAUUUUUAAUUUUUAUCAUACAAAUGAAUAAUAAGGAGAUGAUGUUGUGGGAUAAAUGAGUUUUGAAGCUUGAGCAAUUGAACGUGGGGUUUUUAAACUAAAACUUCUUAUAUUAAGAGGUUAAGUACUAUAUCUACAAUGAGGCUUCAUGCAUUACAAGAUAUAAAACGAAUGUCAAAGAAUAAAAUAUUUGCUCCUACAAGGUUUCCAAUUGAUAUGAGUUGUUAAAGAGUUUUUGAAAUGUGCAUGAAUAAUAAAGUAAUAUCUCGAUUCAUAAUCAUUGUCCUCCAUUAUGGCACAAAAUUUCCAUUUGAAGCUAAUGCCACACAAGCAGCACAACUAACAAAAUUCAAAAUUCAUGUUUUAGUUUUUUUCUCAUGCAUACUUGAUACAAAGAAAAAUGUCCUAAAAAUGUAAAUGACCUAAUAUCUUUGAUAUAUUCUGUUCUACUUUAAUUUAUUUCUUGUAAAGAUGUCAAACUUAAUGUGUUUUAUUUACAAUUGUGCCUCAUUGCAUAACAUGUUGUCCAUUUAUAAUUGGCAGGUAUGAGUCCAAUCAAAUUAAAGCAAUAAUUGAUAGCAUAUUCCAUCAAUUGAAAUGUAAGAGGCUUGAUGUUGGUGCCAAUUUAGUUGGUAUAGAUUCCCAUGUAAAAGAGAUGAUUUUGCGGUUGCAUAUGGAAUCACGUGAUGUUAGUAUUGUUGGGAUAAGUGGAGUUGGUGGGAUAGGUAAGACAACCAUCGCAAAAGUUAUAUAUAAUAAACUUUCUUGCAAAUUUGAAUGUAUGAGCUUUCUUGAAAAUAUUAGAGAAAUUUUCAAUGCCCAAGGUUUAUCUCACUUACAAAAUCAACUUCUUGGUGAUAUCCUAGAGGGAGAGGGGAGUCAAAAUAUAAAUAGUGUUGCCCAUAGAGCAAGUAUAAUAAAGGACAUUCUCUCAUCUAAAAGAGUUUUUAUAGUUCUUGAUGAUGUUGAUGAUCCAAGUCAAUUAGAAUAUUUACUUGGACAUCGUGAAUGGCUUGGAGAAGGAAGUAGAGUCAUCAUAACAACUAGAAAUAAACAUGUGUUAGCUGUACAAGAAGUGGAUGACAUAUAUGAGGUUAAGGGAUUGAAUUUUAAAGAAGCUCGUGAACUUUUCAGUUUGUAUGCCUUUAAACAAGAGCUUCCCAAAUCAGAUUAUAGAAACAUCUCAUGUCGUGUUGUAAGCUAUUGUCAAGGGCUUCCAUUAGCUCUAAAAGUUUUAGGUUCUCUCUUAUUCAAGAAGACAAUACCUCAAUGGGAAAGUGAAUUGAAUAAAUUGGACAGAGAACCUGAAAUGAAAAUUCACAAUGUGCUUAAACGAAGCUAUGAUGGAUUAGAUCGUACAGAAAAAAAUAUAUUUCUUGAUGUUGCAUGUUUUUUUAAAGGUGAAGAUAGGGAUUUUGUGUCAAGAAUAUUGGAUGGUUGUGAUUUCCAUGCGGAAAGAGGAAUAAGAAAUCUAAAUGAUUUGUGUCUUAUAACUCUCCCAUACAACCAAAUACGUAUGCAUGAUUUGAUACAACAGAUGGGUUGGGAAAUUGUUCGUGAAAAAUUUCCUGAUGAGCCAAACCAAUGGAGCAGAUUGUGGGAUCCCCAUGAUAUUCAACAGGCACUUAGAACAUCUAAGGUAAGAGCCAAGUGCAUAAAUUCACUUAAAUCCACAUAAACUUCAAUAAUAUCAUUCUUGUAUAAGAACUUACAUAUCCAUACAAGUUGAGUUAGUUUGUAUUUAUGUUUGCCUUAUCCUUGUUAUUUUUCAGGAAAUACAAAAAGCUCAAACAAUAUCCUUGGACUUGUCUAAGUUAAAAAGAGUAUGCUUCAAUUCAAAUGUUUUUGCAAAGAUGACUAGUCUUCGAUUGCUCAAAGUUCAUUCAGGCGUCUAUUAUCAUCAUUUUGGAUGUAUUCACGAGAAGGAUUAUUAUGCUAUAAUAAAAAAUACUUCUAAAAUGCGACUUGACAUGAAAUUUGAAUUUCCUUAUGAGUUAAGGUAUCUUUAUUGGGAUGGAUAUCCUUUAGAUUUUUUACCAUCAAACUUUGAUGGAGAGAAGCUUGUUGAACUUCACUUGAAGUGUAGCAACAUAAAACAGUUGUGGCAAGGGCAUAAGGUAUUAUUAUCAUUUAAUAAUGACUUCUUUUUCUUUGUAUUGAUUUUGAAAUUUAUGAUUGUUAUGUCUUUAUUGAAACUAAUUUUCUUUUGGUACAGUAUCUUGAAAGGUUAAAGGUCAUUGAUCUAAGUUACUCAAGGAAGCUCAUUCAAAUGUCAGAAUUCUCAAGCAUGCCAAAUUUGGAGAGACUAAUUCUUAAAGGUUGUGUAAGCUUGAUUGAUAUUCACCCAUCUGUUGGAAAUAUGAAGAAGCUUACUACCUUAAGUUUGAGAUUCUGUGAUAAGCUUAAGAAUCUGCCAGAUAGCAUUGGAGACUUGGAAUCUCUUGAGAUUCUUGAUCUCUCUUAUUGCUCAAAGUUUGAGAAAUUUCUGGAGAAGGGAGGGAACAUGAAAAGUUUAAAGAAGCUUCGUUUAAGGAAUUCUGCUAUUAAGGAUCUGCCUGAUAGCAUUGGAGACUUGGAAUCUCUUGAGCUUCUUGAUCUCUCUAAUUGCUCAAAGUUUGAGAAAUUUCCGGAAAAGGGAGGGAACAUGAAAAGUUUAAUGGAGCUUGAUUUAAAAAAUACUGCUAUUAAGGAUCUGCCGGAUAGCAUUGGAGACUUGGAAUCUCUUGAGAUUCUUAAUCUCUCUAACUCAAAGUUUGAGAAAUUUUCGGAGAAGGGAAGGAACAUGAAAAGUUUAAUGGAGCUUGAUAGCAAUCAGCUUUGCAAUCUGCAAAAACUUAAUAUCAGUCAAAGCAAAAUGGCUGGGCAGAUUCCGGUGCUUUCUUUAAGUCUAAAAAGAAAUAGACGCACACCAUUGCACAAGCAAGGAAGAUUUAUCAGGUCUGCUCUGGCUUUGCCACCUCAACUGGUUGAAAUCCACAACAGAGGUAAUGUAAUAUUUUUUUUUUUUAAUUAAGCCACUUAAACCUUGUUUUAUAUAAAGUCAAUAUUUACAUAAUAAUUUGUGCAGGAGUUGAAAUGCUGGAAACUCAGUGCUCGUAUUCCAGAAAGUAGUGGAAUUCCAGAGUGGAUAAGGUAUCAAAACUUGGCAAGUGAAGCAACAGCAGAGCUUCCAAUUAAUUGGUAUGACGAUCCUGACUUCCCAGGAUUUGUUGUAUCAUGUGUUUAUCCUUCAAGUUAUGGCCAUUGUCAUGGUUUCUGGUGUGAAUUGAAUUUACAUGGCAAUGGACUUAGAUUCACGGAUCGAUGCUAUCAUUCAUCCUUGUGUGAGUGCCAUGGUAAUUUUAAAGAUGCGAGAGAUCAAGUAUGUGUUUGGUGGUAUCCUAAGAUUGCUAUUCCGAAAGAGCAUCACCAUAAAUACACACAUAUUAAUGCUUUAUUUGAGGGUACUGAGAUAGACAUAAAAAAAUGUGGCAUCAAUCUUAUAUUUGCGGGAGAUCAACAAAAUCAUAUGCCCAUGUUGGAGCAUCCUCAGAAUUCUGGUGACAAUGGAUCAGCAUUACAAGAUACCGAUGGUAAUGUUCAUGGGGCUAAUCAAGAUGAUGAACACCACCAUAUUCCCACGUUAGAUCUCCUCGGGAAUGUUGGUGACAAUGGAUCAGUAGUACUUGAAGACACUAAAACCGUAAGAGAAGACGUGAUGAUUAACUCCAUCACCAGGUGCAUUAUCAACCCUUUUUCAUAUAUUCCAACUUCUCUCCUUUUGAAAUUAUUUUUAAAGUCAAUAAACUAUUUUCAUAUGUUUUUUUAAACUCAUUUCACUUCUUUUCCUCAGUUAUAUAAAAAUUAAAUAAUUUAAAAAUACAUAAAAUUUUAAUCAAAUUUAACUACAUUUUAUUUUCUUUCAUAUUUUCUAUAGGAAAAUAUGAAAAAUAACUUCGGCUAACUUUGAAAGUCAUCUUUAGUUUAAAAACAUGUAUAGUUUUUUUUAGAUAUAGCAUAGAUAUGAUAGAGUAAAUAGCUUCUUUUUUUUCAUUAUUUAUUUAUUUAAUUAGAUAAAUGAAAACCUCUACAAAGUGAUUAUGAAGUUCUAGGGAUUCUUUAUUACCUUAUUAGACAUAAUAUUAAUUAAUUUUUUCUACUUGCUUUUAAGAUAAAAUUUCAAUAAGUUAUCAAAAUUAGUUAGAGAAGAUCAUGUAUACAAAUUAGAAGUUAAAUUUGAAUGUAUUAUGAGGUAGAUGUAUGUAGAAACUUGAUGGAAGUAAAUAAUAAAACUCCCAUAUAGUGAUUUUAAUAGUUUUAAGAGUCAAAUUGUUUAUGGUUUUUGUAUUUAACAAUUAAAUUUCUUUAAACAUGCAUACUUAUUGUCCCAAGAUGGAAGUUUUGGAUUAAUCUUAUAUUUACUUAUGAUUCUGAUAUGCUCAUGAAGUUUACCUAACAAUUGAUCAUACUAAUCUUAAGUGAAAUUUGUGAUAGUACCAAUCAGAACGAAAUCACAUGUGGUUGUUGGGGGUGGAGUUUAUGUUUUUUUCUAUCAACUUAUUGGUAAGUCAUUUUGUUCAUUUAUUCUUUUAGUACGUAUAGAAAAUUGAUUAUAGUUCUUCAAUUUCUUUACUAUUUUCUCUUUCCCUUGAUCCUUUUUUUGUUCUAUUAUGUUUGGUUUUUGAAAAACUUGAGGGUAAAUAUAAAGGAAAGAAAAUAGAGAAAAAAAAAAUUAAAAAGAAAUACAGAGUGAAAAAGAAUAAAAACUAGAUUUAAAGUUAAUUAAUUAUUUUAAUUCAUAUGUUGCUUCAAUCUUAUUUCAAUUAUUAUGCUUCAUUAUAUAAAAAUUAAAUAAUUUUAAAAUGUAUAUAGUUCUAACUAAUUUUAAUUAAAUUUAAUUUUUUUUUCCAUAUUUUUCACAAUGAAACCAAACAUUUAUCAUUUUCCUUGAUAUUUUUUAUAGUUUCCUUGGUACUCGAUGGGAACCAAACAUAAGUUGAAAACCACUAGGGUAGCUCAGUUGAUCAAGGCGAACAUUGAGAAGUGUGGUCCACUUACGGUUCAAAUUCUACCACCAAUGAUACCUUGAAUUUACCUAGUGCUACUUGUUGCGGGUGAUUAGCACUAUGAGGUUUGGGUCCCCAUAGAGUUCUAAGGGCUUGGUCAUGGAAGGUUCCUUGAUUAUUAAAAUAAAAAAAAACACUAGUUUUAUGUUUUAGGAGGUUAAAAAAAAAAAGUUGUAGCGCAAUCCACAAUUAACUAGGAUAUGUAUUUGUUCUCUUGGUAUAAGGCAAUUAUAAGUAUCAGUAUAUUAAAUUAAAUCCUCCGUCUACACCAUAAGAGUUAGUUAUAAAUUCCUUGCUAUUGAUAUAGGUAAACAACAAUUUAUAUAUGUUUGAAUUAAUUCUUAAGUUAAUGGUUUAACACCAUUAAAUAUGUUUUUAGUUCCUUUGACGAUUAUGUUAUAAUUCGAACAUUUUAAGGCUAUGAUUCUAGCUUCAUUAGCAUGAAAUGUAUCUAAUGAUAUGUGAUUCCCUAUCACUAUGUUUGGUUCCAAGAAAUUAUAAGGGAAGAAAAAUCCUCGUGAAAAUGAUUUUCUCAUGAAAAAAUCCAAGAAAGUAUGAAGGAACAUGAAAAUGAUUCUCGGAAAUCAAACGCAACCGUGUGAAAUAUACUUGGGUUAAUAAUUAUAAUGCGUGUUUGUUGUAGUAUGUUUAUGAAAUUGAAAUGUUGUAUUUUAUAAUUUUUUUGUAGGUGGAAACCUCAGGACAAUGAGGAGAAGUAAAUCUCAAGAUGCAAGUGAGAUUCCAAAUGUUGCUAAGGUGGUCUACUCUUGCAUAUGAUCAGUCUUGCUUACCAUCAUGACCAUCAAGAAAGAUGCUACAAUUUGUGUAUUGAAAGUGUGAAUUAGGAAUGUUAAAAAAUGAAAACUUGAAUUGACAUAUGUUUUUGCCUAUAAGAUGUGUGGUUAUAGGCCAUUCUUAUGGGUAUGUAAUUGACCUUGAUGUUGCAUAUCACCCUCUUUGUAUCUUCAAGCUAGUGGUUAGAGCUUCUCCGGAUAGUGAAAGACAAGUGUCAUGGAUUUAAGUAUUUUCAAAGCUCUCAUGUGGCACACAGACAAUUCAAGUCUCUUGAAGUUGUUAAUUCUUUCAUGUUGUGACAAAGGUCUGUAUCACAUUUCACACAUUAUAACCAUCACAUUUUAACUCAAGUGUUUAUUUUGAAAUACUUUUGUAUUAAACUCUUUUUCAAAAGUAUUAAAUUAAUACCAUUCUCUAGUCUUACUCGACUAGGUUCAUUAACUUUAGGGGUUUAUUACUCAAGAGCCAACUUUCAACUUAAUCAUUCCAUUAAUAAAUUCUCUAAUGUUAUGAUUGGUUUUUGAAAAAAUUGAGGAAAAUAAAAUAAAGAGAAAAAAUAGAAGGAAAAAAAUUUGAAGAAGCAUAAAAAAAAUUAUAUUUAAAAUUAAUAAAUUAUUUUUAUUUGUUAUUUCAAACCCAUUUUACACAUAAUUUUAAUAAUAUUUAUUUAUUUUCCCAUUUUUUCAUGAGAUAUCAAAUAUUAAAAAAUUAUUUUUUUUAAUACUUUUUGGGAACCAAACAUAACCUAAUACUUGUCUUUGUGAUUCAAGAUACCAAUGAUAAAAUCAUACCUAUUAAUGUGGCCUGUAUACAUGUAUGGAAUAUUCAUGGUUUAAUACUAUCACUACAUUACAACUGUGGGAUAGAUCCUAGUAUAUAGUAGAAGCAAAGAAGGAUUUUAUUCUAAAAUUAAUAGAAAAAAUAUAAUUUGAUAAUGUAAUUUUAAACAUUUUUGGAUGGUGUUUGGUAAACCAACUUAAUAAUUUAAUAUAACUUAAUAGGUUAAUUUAUUAUUAAGUAGAUUAACUAUGUUUGGUAAAAUAACUUAAUAUUAUAAUAUAAAUUUAGCGUUAAGUCAAAAUAGUUAUUAGGUAAAUCAACUUAAUAUUAUAAUAUAAUAUGAUUUAAUAAUUUAAUUUAAGUCAUUAAAGAGAUUAAGCAUACUUGAUAAAAUAACUUAAUACUACAACGUAAAGUUAUUUUUAACUUCAAAUAAUAAGUCAAAAGGGUCAAUUUCAUUGAAACCCCCUGAGGUUUGGUAUAAAUAUACUCGACCACCGUUGAUAUCAAAUUUCAUCAAUUAGCACACUUAUAAAUUUAUUCCGUUUAAAAAAAAUUAUUUUUUUAAGAGAUUUCAAAUAAAAAUAUUUUAGUUAGGAGUGUUUAACAAUUCACUAAAAUCUAAAUUUUAUUAUUUAAAAACUAAAAUUUAUAUAUAUAAUAUAUUUAUAGAGGUGCUAAUUGAUGAAAUUUGAAAUCUAUGGUGGCUUAAUGUACUUACACUAAACCCGAAGGGUUUCAAUAAAAUUAACUCUAAGUCAAAAUAGUUAACUUAUUCUUAAUUUCAAAUCCUUUUUAUGAUAUUUGCCUACAUUUAUAACUCAUUUUUUAUGAUAAAUAUUUUAUGAUUGUAUUUGUAUUUACGAUGCUUUAAAUAUGAAUAUUUAACAAAUAAAUCUAUUGUUUAAGAUUAGUGAAAAUAAAAUUAUUAGUUAAAAUUAAUAAGGAUAAAUAUGUCAAUUUGAUAAUUUAGAAUAAAUCUUAAAUUAACUUUACUAAAUAAUCUUAAUACUUAAAGUAAAAAAUAAUUAAUAAGUUUUAAAUUUACAACUUAAGAACCAUUUAACUUAAAACCAACUUAAAUAAUUAAGUAAUAAGUAAUAAGUUUUACCAUACACCCACUUAAACAUAGCUUUUAAAUGAAUUAUUUAAUCAAAAGACAAAAAUAAAAAUAUAAAAAAUAAAAAUAAGAGAACAUGCACAAUGCAAAUAGGCAUCAUAAAGUUUUUCACAUGAUUUUAUUCCUUUUUUUUCACCUUUUUAGAAAACAAUUUUAAUAUUUCCUAGGAAAAUUAUGAUAACACGAAAUUGGUGUUUCCAUAUUUUCUAUUUUUAAAACUCUAUUUUCUGAAAUAUUGAUUUAUGUUUUCUUCACAAAUGAAAACAAUUUAAACAAAAAGGUGCUUUAUAGUUUCCAUUUUUAAAAAUGAUUUUCACUUAUUUUGACUUAAGGCAUUUUCAAGAUAAGACAAAAAUAGGAAUAAAAGCUAUUUUUAGAGAAUAAAAAUAAAUGAAAAAUGAAAAACAUUUUCCAACCGAAACCCAUUGUUAAUGUUUUCAUCUCAUUGCACCUUUUUCUAAUCUCCAUCCCACUCUUUGAUGGGCCAACUCGGAAAAAUGGAAAGUUAUAUCUUGGCACUUGCUGUAAUUUAUAUUUGUUAAAUUGGUUUUGACAUACAUUUUUUAUAAUAAAAGCAAAACAAUAGCCCGAGUUACAAACAUGAUUUCCAUGGUUUUUUAGGUCUUUAAUCACAUAGAGUAUUGAUUCCCAAAUAAUAGAUGCUCUAAAUUUAGUGCAUAGGGCAUUCAGACUCUCAGUUCCAUAAUCCAUUUUCAUUUUCUCACCUGCCAAAACCCUAUUGAACAAAUUUCCAUUGAACCUUCAGAUCCAUCCCAUGCUCCAUUGUCAAUCCUAGGCUCAUCUUUAUACCAUUCUCAACCCAAGCCAAAUUGUUACCAUAGGGCAAGUUGCUAGUACCAAAUAUUUAAGACAAGUAUACAUACAAUACAAAUCAGUCCAUUACCCUAAAAGAAAAGGAAAAAGAAAAAGAACUUGUGUCGCAGAAAGGAAUAAUCUAUUGGGUCAGUGGCUUGUAUCCAAAGUGAUACCAAACUGUGCUGACAAGGAGCCUUUGUAAGAAUCUGAUACAGCUCCUGCUGUUUNNNNNNNNNNNNNNNNNNNNNNNNNNNNNNNNNNNNNNNNNNNNNNNNNNNNNNNNNNNNNNNNNNNNNNNNNNNNNNNNNNNNNNNNNNNNNNNNNNNNAUUAUGGGUUUCUAUCUCAACAUCCUCCACCAACUUCUUAGCUUCCAUUGCACAUCUGGAGGUGUAGUUUUGCGUUUCCUUCUUCAAAAAAUUUAAUUGAGCUUCCACCUGACAAAUUGAUCAUUCAUCCAUGGUUAACCUCAUACAACAAUAGUCUAAAAAGUAUUCAUUCUGAUUCCUUGUCAAAAAUCAACCAGAAGAUAAAUAUCCAUGAACGAAAAACAAUUAGAUUAAACAAUGUGUAACCCAAUAAUUUAUGUUGAAAAAUCAAGUUAAACAUCAGAUCCAUCAGAAACAAAGAGUGAUUCUGUGAUGGAUGAUACUAUUCAAUAGCUUAUUAAUAAAAUCACAUUAUUAGGAAGACACUACUCAAUAGCUCUUGACACUAAUAAUGAAGUUCUUUAAUAAUGGAAUAACCUUACAUGGCAUAGUUAUGCAAGCAUUGUUUAAGCUAAUGUCAAAUAUCGUCAAAACAUUAACAAUAAUUUCCAAUGAGCAAGUUGCAAAAUUACUUGCUAAAAAAUAUACUUGGAAAAAGAAUCAAAUGUAGUCAAUCCUUUGUAGGGACGAAUUAUCAUCCAAAAAUAUUUUUUUCUUAAGUGUUUUAUAGGCCAUCAAAGCUACUUUGAAAAUUUGGGGCCUGACAACCUAUGUGCAAUAACAAUUGACUUCUCCAGCAGAUUUUUUUUUUAAUUUUUUUUUAUCCAAAACAAAUCAUUCAUUGAUAUGAAUUUAAUUACAAACCAAGGAUAAGAAACCCUUUCAAAAUAUAAAGGAUGAUUAAAAGUUGACGAAAAACCUAACAAGAGUAGCAAGAUAGCUAUACUAAUCAAGGAUGAUACAAGAACCGGAGUCACUUGACUCACAAGACUCGGAGUCACUUGACUCACAAGACUCACUUAAGACCUCUUUCUUGAGUGGUUUGUCAUUGACACUUGCAGCAAAGGCUAUGAAGUUAGUGCAUUCUUCACUUCCAUUGGAUUAUUUUUUACUUGAUUGACAAGAUUCCGUAUCACUCCAAGUGACUUGCAUGACCUUCUUUUCCUUUUUCUUUGAGAGACAUUAGGCAGCAUAAUGCCCCUUUCCUCUACAUUUAAAGCACUCAAUCUCCAGUUUUUUUUUUUUUUUCACAUCGUUUUCCAUCUUCUUCUCUUUUCCAAUUGAGUUCCUCCAUUUUUUUACCAUCAUUUGAUUCUAUUUUAGAUUUUCUGAAUUUCAUGUACUUCUUGAAUUUUUUAGCAAACUUAGUAAGCUCACCCUCUGACAUUUUCUCAUCAUCCUCACUUUUGGAACUUAGGAACUCUUCUUUAAUAGUUUUUCAAGCAAUUCUCUUAGCUUUCUUAGGUUAUACAAGGGUCAUUUCAAAGGUUUGGAGGGAACCUACAAGUUCAUCUAUCUUCAAGGAAUCCACAUCCUUAAACUCUUUAAUGGCGGUGACCUUAGCUCUAAAUCUCUCUAGAAAAGAUGUUAAAAUUUUUCUAACCACCUUAGAGUUAGAGAUGGGUUCAUGUAGAUUGAAGCUAGAAUUCGCUAUAUCCAUCAAGUUUGCAUGAAAUUCUCCAAAAGUUCAAUGAUCAUCCAUCUUAAUGGUCUCAAACCUAGAUGUCAACAUUUGAAACUUGGACACUUUCACGACAUUAGUUUCUUCAUGAGUCAUUUAGAGGAUAUCCCAAGCCUCCUUAGCCGAAGUGCAUGUAGCAAUCCUACGGAAUUCAUCUGUACGAAUGGCAUUGAAGAUGGCGCACAUGGCUCUAGCAUUAUUCUCACUAGCUUCAUUUUCACCUCUAACCCAUUCCAACUUAGGCUUGAUAACAUUUGUUGGUCUACCUUCUCUAUCUAACACCUUAGGUGGAAACCAACCAAAUUCAAUGGCAUUCCAAACUUUUUCACUUUGUAUUUUGAGAAAAUAUUCCAUUCUCACUUUCUAAUGAGAAUAAUUUUCCCCGGUGAAGAAUGGUGGUCUCCCAAUGGAAGCUCCGUCUUGACGAGGUUCCAUAAUUGAGAUUCAAGGAUCGAAAAUGAUUUUUGCUUACCUGCUUUGAUACUAAUUGAAUAAUGGGCUACACCUAGAGGAGGGGGUGGGGGGUGAAUAGGUGUUGUUAAAUUAUAUAUAAAAAAAAAAUUUUAAAAGUCUCAACAAAGAUUACCAAACCUUAGAAUUUCUUAAGGUCAAUAAACUUCUCUUUCAACAAUUUUUCAACAAAACAUGAUAUUCAUAAUCAAAUAUAUAUACACCAACACUCUCCAAACAAUUUAUAAAUGCAAUUCACAUGCAAAUGUAAAUGCAAAGAGUAGAGUGAGAAAAAGAGACAAUUAACAUAGGAUUUUAACAUGAAAACCUUUCGAAGAAAUAAAAAACUAUGGGCCUAAAACCGAUCGAAAACAUCAACCAUGAAGAAUAAAAAAUUAAUACAAGGUUUUACCUAGCUCGAGUCUACCAAUCCUUCUCGGACCACUUGACUAGUACCUUCCACUUCCAACUUCUCACCUUCUUCUUUUGGAACACACUUGGAGUCCACACCAAGCUCAAUCUUGUCCUCUUCUUGAAUCCACACAAGAAGAGAUUGAGUUUUUACCCAAACCCAAAUAGAUUAGAAAUUGAGAGAUGAAUGAAUGAAAGAAUCAACCCAUUUUUUUCUCAAGAAUAUCAAUUGAAAAUAGUUUGGAAAACAAUAGGAAAGUUGGAUUUUCUUAGCAAACAAACACCCCAAAAUAGGAAAUAAGAAGAGAAUAAAAGGGGAUGGCUACUGUUAUGUGUCUCUCACUACAGCAUAGGAAGUAAGAUUUGGGUUUUUAAAUGAAAGAAGCCCUUAAUCCAAUGGAUGAGAUUUCGUCAAAAAAAUGUAAGAUGGAUUGAUCCUAGAACUGAGCAUUUUGAACACUUUGAAAAAAAAAAACUGCUUCCUAAACCUUUUUAACUGCUUAAAAAAAUAUUUGAAGUAAAACAACAUUUAAAUAAUAUGGUUGAUUCAAUUCCUUCCAACUCCAACCUCAACUACAAACCUUGGUCUCUUGACAAAUUCAACAAAUUGAUCUCCAUUAGCCAAGUAGUCUGUAGAAGGAUUGGAAAAAUCGAGUUAGGAUACAGUUAAGAAUUUUUGUCUGAAUUGCCAACUUAGCUAAACACUCACAAACACUAUGAUAUCUUAUGAUAUUGAAACGUAUCCCCUUGGGUGAUCUAAAAGACAUGUGAUAAUGAAAUCUAUGGUCGUAGUAAUUCCUUUAGUGGAAUUUAACAUAUGCUCCUUGAAGGUAGAGUAUGUCGGUUGAUCACAUAAUAGGAGAAUUUGUAACUCAAGGCUUAGAGAACUAAGCUUGAUGGGUUGAUAACAUGACCCUAUUAGAUUAUGGACAUUAGUUCAUGGGGAGUCUACAUGCAAUGAAUAGUAGGUCACAAACCUGAGCUUUGUCUCAUUAUAAUUUCAUAGAAUACUGGAGUGCAAUUGAUUCUCUUUAGUGGAGUGUUGAGUUAACUUCAAAAUUGGAUUAUGAGAGAGCCUAUAUUUUCUCAUAGGUCCUAGUGGUCCUCACUUGAGCUCCUAGUUCAUGUUGGCACAAGCUUUAAGGGUGUUUUGGUAAAAACACGAUAUUGCAAUAAAUUGUCUUUAUGGAUUGGGAUAAUUAAUUAAUUGGAGCCCAUUAGGGCUGAUUAAUUAAUUAGGACCUACGUAGACUGGAUUAGAUAAGCUAAGCCCAAUUCGAGCUUAGUAUAAACUCCCUUAGGGGUUAGGGCUUCAAUCUUCCACUUCAAUUUUAUGAAAUUCCAAAGAAAGGAACCCUAGUCAUCCUCUAGAGAGAGAAAGAGAGGCUCAUCCUUCUCUUGUGCCAAGACCCAUGAAUGGAGAGAUCGGGUGGAAGAUCGUUGGGUAGACAAGUUUUAUGAUGACCACCGUAGUUUGAGAGUCUUUGUCAAAUGGAAAAUCGAUCUAGGAACAUCAAGAUCAUAGGUAUGAGUUUUUUUUCUUUAGAUUUAUACUUUAAAAUAGUUUUUGGUGCCAUAUAUUUCCAUUGCUAUAGAUUUAGAGAGCCUAAAAAUAGAUGAAUACACCCUAUGAGAUCAGGGCCAGGGAAUGAAGCAAUCUAGGGUUCUCAGCACUAACUAUAUCAUUUUGUUACUUUAUGUUGAUGACAUGUUAAUAGCUGGCACAAAUUUAGAUGAAAUCAACAACUUGAAGAAAUAGUUGUCCAACGAGUUUGAGUUGAAGGACUUGGGUGUAAUAAAGCAGAUACUUGGGAUGACGAUUAGUAGGGACAAACAAACAAGCACCUUAUGGUUACCUUAGGCUGAGUAUAUUCAUAAGGUAUUGUAGAGGUUUAGUAUGAGUGAUGCUUAGGUAGUUAAAACACCUCUAGAAAAUCAUUUUAGGUUGUCUAAGAAACACUGCCCAUAGACAAAUAAAGAAAAAUAUUUCAUGGCUAAGGUCUAAUAGGCCUCAUCCAUUGGAAGUUUGAUGUAUGCUAUCAUGUGCAUGAGACUAGACAUUGCCUAUGCAAUUGAAGUUGUAAGUAGAUUUAUAUCAAAUCUAGGCAAGUAGGAUUGGAAAUAGUGAAAUGGAUAUUUAGGUACUUGCAAGGUACUACAAAAAAUGUUUAUGUUUCAAAAUGGACGAGUUGAAAUUGUAGGGAUAUGUGGAUGUUGAUUUUGUUGGCAAGAUGGAUAGUAGGAGAAGCAUUAUAAGGUAUGUGUUCACUUUGGGUACUAUGGCUAUUAAUUUGAUUUCUCAAUUGCAGAAGAUUGUUGCUUUAUCUAAAACUGAAGCAAAGUAUGUAACCUAGCAGAAGCCAACAAAGAGAUAAUCUGGUUACAAAGUUUGUUAGUAGAGUUAGGAUUCAAAUAGGUGAUAAAUGUUUUGCAUAAUGAUAGCUAAAGUGAAUCUAGCUAGUUGAAAUGUUGACUAAGAGUGAUAAUAGAGAAAUUGGAGCUAUGAGUAGCUUCAAUGGAUCAAAUGUGGGGACAGGUUGUUUGAGUGCAUCAUACUCAUUAAUCAUUGAGGGAAAGUGUUUACUUAUGCUUUAGUUUUCAAGUGGGAGAUUAUUGGAUUAUGAAGCUUAAAUCAAUUUUGUUGUGCUUUGCAAGGGAUGUUGGGAUUUGAGUUCCUCGUUGAACUCAUGGGGAUUGAGUUGGUGCACUCCGCAAACGUAGGGAUCACAUCGAUCACUAAACCACAUUAAAAAUCUCUUGUUUUUCUUUGUUUUCUACUUUUAUGUGUGUGUGGUUUGGUGAAAAUCAAUAUUUCUCUAAUGCUUUUUUGAUUAUUGAUUUAUUCUUCACAUGAGAUUGUAAAUAUCCAUUUUUUUAAAUAAAGAAAAACAUAUGAUUUUAUAAUGGAGUUUACAACCAAUCUAUCAAAACAAUAAAUUUUUAUAAUUCAUUUAUAAAAAAAUAUAGUAUUUAAAAAAUCAAAAUAAAAUUUAAAAUCAUAAAAUAAAAAAAAUAAAAAAAAUAAAAAACUCCUUUAUUUGUGGGAUUAAUUUCCUGCAAAACAAAUUUCAACAUAGACGACACAAAUUCUUAUACAUCUAGCACGCUUCACACCAACCAUGCCUUGUCAAGGGAUAAGCUCUUCACUCACUAGACUCUUACUACAAUUAUGAUGGAUAGAAUUGAUGUUAUAAAUAUUAUUUCAUUACAUUGAUUUUACUAAUGUAUAAUUAAUACUUUAGCCUCUUAAAUUUAUAGUCGUUUUUCUAACUAUUGAAAGAGAAUUAUUAUAGUAGGAAAAAUUAUUUAUUAACAUAAGUGAGUUAUUAUAACCAACUUCCUCAUUUAGAAACUCUUAACUUGUACUCAAAGAAGGCAAACCAAAAUGUUGUUCUUAAUAUACUUGUUGUUGAUUACCAUUUUUUUUUUUUAUUGCACAUUAACAUGCCAAGCUAAGCCACUACUAACUUCAGCACAAGCUUAAUAUUCUCUCAAGGUUGAGAGACAAUACAAUGAAGCAACUUGGUGGAAUUGCACUUGUCAUGUACAAUGCAAAAGGUUGAAGCACAAAUGCUCAUAGAGUAUAAUACAUGGAAUAAGGAUGGAUAAUAGUGAAACUGGAACAUCAUUAAAUAAAUAAUGAAUUCCAAAUUUAUAACAUCAUGUCAUGCUUUUAAGGGCUCUAUCCUAACACUAGAGCCCUUAGCUCACAACCUAAAAUAGUUCAUGUCAACUGCAAACCUGAGUUGUUCAUAUCAUCUAAAGCCUUGAGCUCACUACCAUGAAUCGUUCUUGUCAUCCAUAGCCCUGAGGUGUUCAUAAUGUUUAGAGCUUGGUGAUCAUGACCAACAAUCGUUCAUAUCUUCCAAAGCCCUGAGCCAUUCAUAGCAUCUAAAGACUUGAGCUCAUGACAUGGAGUUGUUCAUAUCAUCCAUAACUUUAAGUUAUUCAUAGCAUCUAGGGCCUUAAGCUCAUGACAUGGAGUUGUUCAUGUCAUCCACAUCCCUAAACUAUUCAUAGCAUCUAGAGCCUUGAUCUCACAGCAUGGAGUCAUUCAUGUCAUCCACAUCCCUAAACUGUUCAUAGCAUCUAAAGCCCUUAGCUCACAACCCAAAAUAGUUCAUGUCAACCACAACCUUGAGUUGUUCAUGGCAUCUAAAGCCUUGAAAUCACAACCCGGAGUUGUUCAUGUCAUCCACAGCCUUAAACUAUUCCUAACAUCUAAAGUUCUAAGCUUACGAGCUGGAGCCAUUCUUGUCAUCCAUAGCCUAAAGUGGUUUAUAGCAUCUAGAGCCCUAAUCUCAUGACAUGGAGUCGUUCAUAUCAUCCACAAACCUAAUCUAUUCAUAGGAGGCCUAAGCUUAUAGGAUCCCAAGUUAUUCAUAUCAUCCACAACUCUGAGUUGGUCAUAGAAUCUAGUACCCUGAUUUAUUCAUAGCAUUUAAAGCCUUGAGCUCACGACCUUUAGUCAUUCAUUUCAUCCAAAUUCCUGACUUGCUUAUGACCAAGAAUCAUUCAUAUCAUCUAUAACCUUGAGCGAUUGAUAACACUUAGAGGUUUGAACUCAUAGGAUCCCGAUUCAUUCAUAUUAUUUACAACCUCAAGUAGUUGAUAGCAUCCAAAACCAUGAGCUCAUGAUGUCGAGUAACUCAUGUCAUCCAUAGGCCUAAGCUAUUCAUAGCUUCUAAAGCCCUAAGCUCACAACCUAGAGUCGUUCAUAUCAACCAUAUACUUGAUCUUUUUAUAUCAUCUAGAGGUUUGAGAUCACAACCUUGAGUAGUUCAUGUCCUCUAUAGCCCUAAAUUGUUCAUAACAUUUAGUGCCUUGUGUUCAAAACUAAGAAUUGUUCAUAUUAUCCAAAGCUAUGAGUUGUUCAUAGCAUCUAGAGGCUUGAGCUCCAGGAUCAUGAGUCAUUCAUAUCAUCCAUAAAUUUGACUUGUUCAUAGUAUCUAGAGCCCUAAGCUCACAACACGAUGUCGUUUAUGUCAUCCACAUCCCUGAACUAUUCAUAACCUCUAGAGCCUUGAACUUAUGACUUGGAGUCAUUCAGGUUAUCCACAGCCUUCAGUUAUUACUAACAUUUAGAGCCCCGAGCUCAUGACCUUGAGACAUUCAUGUCAUUCAUAGUCAAGAGUUAUUCAUAGCAUCUAAAGCCCUAAGAUCAUGACCUUGAGUCAUUCAUGUCAUCCACAACCCUGAGUUAUUCAUAACAUUUGGAGUCUUCUCCUCACGACCAAGAAUCGUGCAUAUCACUCGAAGCCCUAAGCUAUUCAUAGCAUUUAAAGGCUUGAGCACAUGGGAACCCAAGUCAUUCAUAUCAUCCAUAACUCUGAGUUGUUCAUAGCAUUUGGAGCCCUAAGCUUACCACAUGGUGUCAUUCAUGUCAUCCACAUCCUUGAAUUGUUCAUAGCAUUUGCAGCCUUUAACUCACGAGCUAGAGUCAUUCAUGUAAACUAUAGCCCUGAGUUGUUCAUAACAUCUAGAGCAUUGAGCUCAUGACCCAGGGUUUUUCAUGUCAUCCAGAGUUCUGAGUUGUUCUCAACAUCUAGAGCCCAGAGCUCACGAUCUUGAGUUAUUCAUGUCAUCCACAGCCUUAACUUGUUCAUAGAGCUCACGACUUGGAGUCCUUCAUGUUUUGACAACCUUGAACUAUUCAUAGCAUCUAGAGGCCUAAGCUCAUAGGAUCCUAAGUCGUUCAUAUCAUCCACAACUCUAAUCUAUUCAUGGCUUCUAGAGCCCUGAGCUAUUCAUAGCAACCACAACCCUAAGCUCAUGAUCUUCAAUCAUUCAUGUCAUCCACAACCUUUAGCUGUUCAUAACAUUUAGAGCCUUGGGCUCAUGAACAAGAAUCGUUCAUAUCAUAAAAAACCAUGAGCUAUUCAUAGCACCUAGAAGCUUGAGCUUAUAGGAUCUCAAGUCAUUCAUAUUAUCCACAACCUUGAGUAGUUCAUAGCAUCCAAAAUCAUGAGCUCACAAUGUGCAUAUUAACCACUGCCUUGAGUUAUUCAUAACAUCUAGAGCCCUAAGCUCAUAACCAAGAGUCAUUCUUGUCAUCAAUAGGCUUAAGUUGGUCAUAACAUCUAGAGCCUUGUGCACUCACAUCCUUGGUCGUUCAUGUCAUCCACAAUCCCGAGUUGUUCAUAACAUUUAGUGUCACCGGCUCACGACCAAAAAUCAUUCAUAUCAUCCUCAGCCUUGAGCUAUUCAAAGCAUCUAGAGACCAUGGAUCAUAGGAUCCCAAGUUGUUCAUAUCAUCCAUAACUCUAAAUUGUUCAUAGCAUCUAAAGCCUUAAGAUAACAACGUAGAGUCAUUCAUGUCAAUCACAACCCUAAGUUGUUCAUAGCAUGAAGAACCCAGAGCUAACGACCUUGAGUCAUUCAUGUCGUUCAUAACUCUCACCAGUUCAUAACAUUUAGAGCCUUGAGCUUACGACUAAGAAUCGUUCAUAUCAUCCACAACCCUAAGCUAUUCAUAGGUUUUAAAGGCUUAAGCUCAUAGGAUUUUGAGUAAUUCAUAUUGUUCACAACCUUAAGCUAUUCAUAGAUUUUAGAGCCAUGAGCUCAAGAUGUAGAGCAAGUCAUAUAAUCCAUAGGCCUGAGAUGUUGAUAGCACUUAGAGCCUUGAGCUCUAGAUUUGGAGUUGUUCAUAUCGAUCAUUAACAUGAGUUGUUCAUAGCAUUUACUGCCCUGAGCUGAGAACGUUGAGUCGUUCAUGUCAUCUACAAUCUUAAGUUAUUCAUAGGAUUUAGAGCCUUAGGCUCAUGAGCAAGAAUCGUUCAUAUCAUCCACAAUCCUAACAUGUUCAUAGCAUCCAAAGCCCUUAGCUCAUGACUCGGAGUAGCUCAUGUCAUCCACAAGCCUAAGUUGUUCAUAGCAUCUAGAGUUGUGAGCUUACAACCUGGAGUUGUUCAUGUCAUUCACAACCCUGAGUUGUUCAUAGCAUCUAAAGCAUUGAGCUCAUAACCCAGAGUCAUUCAUAUCAACCACUACCUUGAGUUGUUCAUAGCAUUUAGAGCCCUAAGCUCAUGACCCAAAGUUGUUCAAGUCAUCUAUAACCCUGAGCUAUUAAUAACAUCGAGAACAUUGGGCUCAUGACCAAGAAUUGUUCAUAUCAUCCAUAACCUUGAGCUGUUCAUAGAACCUAGAGCCUAGAACUCAAGACCUAGAGUCGUUCAUUUCAACCUAGAGUCUUUCAUGUCAUUGACAACCUUAAGUUAUACAUAGCAUAAAGAGCCUUGAACUCAUGACUCAGAGUCUUUCAUGUCAACCACAACCUUGAGCUAUUCAUAAAAUCUAGAGGCCAGAGCUCAUGACCCAUAUUUAUUCAUGUCAUCCAUAACCAUGAGUUGUUAAUAGCAUCUAGAACCUUAAGCUCAUGACCCAGAGUCAUUCAUGACAAUUACAACUUUGAGUUGUUUCUAGUAUCUAGAGCCCUGAGCUGACGACCUGGAGUUGUUCAUGUCAACCAAAAACCUCUUUUUGAGUAGUAAUCAAUCUACAACCUUGUGUUAUCCAUGGCAUCUAAAGCCCUGAGCUCAUGAAACCUCGAGUCGUUGUCUUUUUUUUUAUAUAUAUAUAUAUAAAGGAUGAGAUUGUGGCCCUUUGUCUCUUUCUAGGACAAAAAGGAAGAGAAAAAUUAUAAUUAUUAUUUUGGUGAUUGGAUAUCUACAUGUUGAUGAUUAUUUUGGAUAUAGGAUAUUUUGAGAUAGAUGUUGAUAUGUGAUCUUGUCUCAUUUGGAUUUGAAUAUACAUUGGACUUUUUGGAUAUGUUUUUUGAUAUAUUAUGUAUAUUCAAUUACUUUACACAGGUGCUACUAAUUGCUUUGUUUGUGAGCUUUUAAUUAUAGGUUUUGUAGUACCUAGGUUGUGAGUUUGAGUGGGUAAGUAAGUGAUUACUACUCAAAAAGUGCUAUUUCAUAGUUUGUAAUUAACUCUUUUAAACACUUUUGAGUAGUAGUUAUCACCUUUUAACCCAAUUAACAUAUUAAAGACCCUUGCAAUCAAUUCUAAUCAAAUUGUGUUAAGUUUUGGUGUUUUGAUAGCUUUUUGAUCACCAAAGCAAUCAGAGAUUGAGGAGAGUUCUUUGGAAUCCUUGGCAAAGCAAUGGAAAGCUCAGAAACAUGUAGAACCGAAGCUUUGAAUUCCUUUGCCAUAAGCAAAUCCGGAAUGCAAGGAACAAAAGAUGUCCGGACAGGGCGUCCGGACACACCAUCGGAUGGCGGCGGAAGUCAAUGAUCCGGACAACAUAUCUGGACAGGAUAUGCUAUCGUCCGGGUGUGAUGUUCACGUCAAUGAUCCGGACAACAUAUCUGGAUAGGAUAUGCUAUCGUCCGGGUGUGAUGUUCACGAGUACAGUGUGCUUCUCACUGAGGGAGUCCGGAUAGGGGAGCGCGCCACAUUUCCGCUUGGGGAAUCCGGAUGGAGUUGAUCCGGAUAACCUUGCGGCGCAGGAUGUCUCACAGCUGGAUGGGAGAGGAGGACGUUUCAACUUCUCCGGUCAGACUUAUCCGGAUCCUCCAUGGCGCUUACUCGGAUGACUCAAGCUGAAGGCAGAAUGUGCACAGUGUCGCGGUGUUCUCCUGAAGCUUCCCGAUAUUUGCGACCGACACUUUGAGAUAUUUUGCUCUAGAUAUUUGUUGUCUAAAUUUCCAAAGUCUCCUUGUAAUCCACCUAUCAUAGGAUUCCUUAGUCUUUAAGUAAGAACAAAGGGUGAAUAACCCCUUAUAUAUAGUUUGUAAUUUUCUUUACAGAAGAGAGAAUUAUGUAACAAGAGGAAGAAAGAAAUAUAAUUCACAGAGCUUGCUAUGUUUUUCCUGCAUAUAAUUGUUUUCUCAUUAGUUUUAUUACUAGCCAAACAAGCUCUGAGGAAGUUUCCUCAGAGAAUGAGUGGCUAGACUUUUAGUUCCUUGGAGUUAAGGUUGCCCGGAAAGGUUCCAAGUGCAAGAAUUAGUAGCUUUGUGGUUUCAGUCAUUAAUGAAGAGAAAGUGUGAUCCUUUAAUGAUUUCUAUGUUUUUAGUUAACUUAAAACACCUUAAAGUCACUUGAGCUAACACUUGGUAAGGCACGUGAUCUCCGUCCAUGGAGAUGCACUUGUUUAUCUCUUGCCAGCUUUUGGGAAGUGACUUGGAGGUAGGAUUUUCUAGAAUUGCCAACACUUGGUAAGCUUUUGGACUCCAAGGAGGCAUCCAUUAGUUAUCUCUUGCGAGCUUGAGAAGGGAAGUCCAAAGUUAAAGAUCACCUUGAAUGGCAAAUGCUAGGUGAGAGGCACGAGCCAUUGCAAGUUGCAUCAGUAAGAGGGAAUUAAAGAUGAAAUCCAUUUAAAGGAUACAUCUGUACAACACCGGUUAGAGAAUUGACUAUAUGUUAAUUCUCUAAUGCAAGGAAAUGAACCAAAUGACCAGAGCUCUAUUUUUGCAUAAGGAACCUCCCCUGUGAACCUAAACCUCCAAGGAAUGUUUAAGUAAUUUCCAUUAUUUUUAAUUAGCUUUAAACAAAACCUCAUUUAAACAAAGUUUAUGUUUUAUUUCUUAAGCUAACCUUGAAAUGAAAAAACACCAAUUUAACUUUGAAUUGGUAUCAGUUGAGAGUUGAAAACCCUUUCCAGUGAACAAUCCUAGAGCCACUAUGCUAUAUUAGCUAAGUUAUCCUAAUGCAUGGUGAUAUAGGAUAUAAAUUUUGUUGAUUACUCUCUCAAUCAAAGAGCACUAGCUGGACAUGAAUUAGCUGAGACACCAAUUGAGAACGAAUCAGUAAGUGCCCUUGUAUGAGAGUGGGUGGGGCUUACUUGUACUUGUUCGUGUUGGUUUUGUCCUAGAAUUUCCAAAGUGGGAGAUUGUGAGUGUUUAGCUAAGUUGGCAAUUCUGAACAAAAAUUCUUAAGUGUCUCCUAACUCGAUUUUUCCAAUCCUUCUACGAACUACUUGGCUAAUGGAGAUCAAUUUGUUGAAUUCGUCAAGAGACCAAGGUUUGUAUUUGAGGUUGGAGUUUGAAGGAAUUGAAUCGACCAUAUUAUUUAAAUGUUGUUUUACUUAAAAUAUUUUUUUAAGAAGUUAGAAAGGUUUAGGAAGCAUUUUUUUUUAACAAAGUGUUCAAAAUGCUCUAUUCCAGGAUCGAUCUAGCUUUAGGUCGAAUCAAUCCAACUUACAUUUUUUUUUUUUUAUGAAAUCUCAUCCGUUGGAUUAAGGGCUUCUUUCAUUUAAAAACUCAAAUCUUGGUUCCUGUGCUGUAGUGAGAGACACACAACAACAUCCAUGUUCUUUAGUUCUCUUCUCAUUUUCUAUUUUUGGGUGUUUGGUUGCCAAGAAAAUGUAACUUUCCUAUUGUUUUCCAAAUUGUUUUCAAUGGAUAUUCUUAAGAAAAAAAAUGGGUUGAUUCUUUCUUCAUUCAUUUCUCAAUUUCUAAUCUAUUUGGGUUUGGGUAAAAACUCAAUUUCUUCUUGUGUGGAUUCAAGAAAAGGUUGAGAUCGAGCUUGGUGUGGACUCCAAGUGUGCUCUAGAAGAAGAAAGUGAGAAGCUGAAAGUGGAAGGUACUAGUCAAGUGAUCCAGGAAGGAUUAGUAGGCUUGAGAUAAGUAAAACCUUGUAUUCAAUUUUUAUUCUUCAUAGUGGAUGUUUUUGAUCAGUUGUAAGCCCAUGGUUUUUUAUCUCUUCGGAGUUUUUCCACGUUAAAAUCCUGUGUUAAUUGUCUCUCUCUCACUUUACUCUUUGCAUUUGCAUUUGCAUGUACAUUGCAUUUAUAAAUUGUUUAGAGAGUGUUGAUGCAUACAUACUUGAUUGUGGAUUAUCAUGUGUUGUUGAAAAAUUGUUGGAAGAGUAGUUUAUUGACCUUGAGAAAUUCUAAGGUUUGGUAAUCUUUGUUGGGAAUUUUUUUUUUUUAUAAUUCAACAACACCUAUUCACCCCCCUUCUAGGUGUAUUCCAUUAUUGAGAUUCACAUUUCAGUGCCUUUAUUGAGAAUACCUAUUGCCACCAGCUUUCAUUAACAAUGACCUAAUUCGUAGAGAAUAUAUGACCACUUUAGGGUCUUACCCAUAGGUCAAAGCCUCUUGUUGAUUUCAAUAUAGGCUCAAUAUCCUCUCAAGGUUAAGAGCCCAUGCAACAUACUAGCUUAAUGAAUCAUGAUAAUCUAAUAACCUUACUUCGUGAUUCAUUAUAGGUCCUAUUUAAUGUGUAACCAUACACACUAGUGUACUCACCAUGGCCAAGACAAGUCAUCCCUCUAAUUAGGAUGUGGUGCAUUAUAGUAUUUAUUGGUUUGCCCAAAUUCAUGAAUCGACCGUGAACAACUUAUCGUUUUGCAAGGAGCCAUGAUUUAUAUCAUUUGCCUAACUGCUAAUGCACUCAAGUAAUGUAUAAUGCAAGUGAUAUGAGUUAAAUGCUCAAAUCAAUGUCAAUGCAUAAAAGGGAUAACCUGAAGUAUAACUUUGAUACAUCAUGUCUUGUUUUUAGGGGCUCAAUCCCAAUACUUAGAACUAACCUUCUUGAAGUAACAACAAUGGUCUACAUUGCACCUGAGACACCCAUUCUUUUACAUGAAACCAUCACACCUUUUAUAAUGUCUCUAGGCUUAUUUUAAACCAUACAGGCUCUCUAUUAAUCUACAUACCAAAUUCUCUUCACCCUUCACUACAAAAUCUUGUGGUUGAUGGAUAUAUUUUCCCUCUCCAAAUCACCCUAGAGGAAAGUUAUCUUCACAUUUAGUUGCUCAAGAUGUAAACCAUUUGCUACUAUAAUACUCAAAACAAACUAAAUAGUAGUCAAUUUCACAACUAGAGAGAAAAUAUUUGUGUAGUCAACUCUUUCUUUCUGUUAAAAUCCUUUUACUACCAAUCUAGUUUUAUAUCUAUUGGAGCCAUCAUGCUCCUGUUUAACUUGAUGCAUGCACUUAUUAUGAACAUCUUUCUUACCCACUAGUAACUGUACUAGCUUCCGAGUUUGGUUAGAAAUAAGAGACUUCAUUUCAUCUUUCAUUGCAAGCUCCUAUUUGUAAUUUUCUUCCAAUCGACAUGUUCAUCAUAACAUUCAGGUUCACCCCUAUCUGUUAGUAGCAAAUAAGUCAAAUACUUCAUGUUUGGUACAUGUGGCUUGCUGGAUCACCUCAAUUUAGAGAUUGAAACUAGAUCUUGUGGUAUAUCAACAUCCUAUGUAGUGUUUUCCUCAAUCUGACAAUUUUGACUUAUCUUAUCUACCAGACUACUUUGUGGGACAUCAUUUGACUCAAAGUAAAUAGGUUCAAGCUAUACCGGACUAGUAGACUAUGUUGUAUCUUUAUUCUUAUACAAAAUUUUCUCCUUGAAUAUGACAUCCCUUAGUCGAAUCAAUUUCUUAUUCUAGUCAUCUCAAAACUUAUAACUAAAAUCAUCAUCAUCAUAACUAAUGAAACUACAUUUUAGUGAUUUAACAUCAAGUUUGUUUAUGCCAUUAUCACUAUUAUGUAUAUAUAAGACAUAACCAAAUACCUUCAAAUGAGAAAGCUUUACUUCUUUUCUAGUCCACACUGUUGGGUUUGAGCCUUUAAAAGCAAGACAUGAUAUAACAAAGUUAGACUUAACUGUUCCCUUGUUAUCUCUUUUAUGCAUUGACAUUUAUUUGAACAUUCAACUCAUAUCUCUUAUAUUGUAUAUAACUUGGGUGCAUUAGGAGUUGCAUAGAGGAUACAAGUCAUGGGUUCCUUAUAAGUAGAUAAGUUGUCCAUAGUCAAUUCAUGGAUUUAGGUAAUCUAGUAGAGACUGUAGUGCACUACUUCCUAAUUGGAGGCAUGACUUGUCUUAUCUGUUUUGAUGGAUUUCCUAUGGUGCGUGCAUUAGUGUAUGUGAUGCACACUGGACAUGACCUAUGACGAAUCAUGACAGAAGGUUAUCGAUUUUCAUGAUUCACCUAGCUACUAUACUGCAUGGACUCUCAACCUUGAGAGGAUAUUGAGUUUGUGCUUAAAUCAACAUGAGGCUUUGACCUAUGGGUAAGACCUUAAAAUGGUCAUAUAUCCCUAAGGAUUGGGUAACUACUAAUGAAGGCUCGUGGAAUUAUGUAUUCUCAAUAGAGGCACUAUGAUAUCUUAUGGGUUUGAGACAACGUGUCCUCUUGGGUGAUCCAUGAAAUCUAUGGUCGUAGUAAUUCCUUUAGUGGGAUUUGACAUAUGCUCCUUGGAGCUAAAGUAUGUCAGUUGAUCACAUUAUAAGUGAGAUUUGUAACUCAAGGAUUUGAGAGGUGAUCUUUAUAGGUGAUUGCACUACCUUGUUAGAUUACAAACACUAGUUCAUGGAGGGUCUACAUGCAGUAGAUAGUAGGUUACAAACCUGAAUUUUGCCUCAUUGUUAUUUACAUAAGGCAUUAGAGUGCAGUUGAUUAUCUGUAGUGGGAUAUUGAAUCAACUUUAAAAUUGGAUUCUAAGGGAGCCAAUGAUCUUAUGGGUCUUAGUUGUCCCUACUCUGAGCUCAAAUACCACGAUGACACAAUUUAUGAGGGUUAGAUAAGCUCUUGGUUCACUCUUGUGCAAAAGGGCAUUUUGGUAAUCACACAAGGUUGUACAAAGGAUAGUUAAUAAGAUCUUUGGAUUGAGCUAAUUGAUUAAUUAGAUAACCUUUUGUAGUUAAUUAAUUAAUUAAGACUCGUUUUGGGCUAGAUUAAAUGGCUUAAGCCCAGUAGGGGAACCUUAUAAAAUAUACUCAUAGUUUCCUCAAAUGAUCAUCAAUGAAAGUCAAAAUAACAUUUUCCACCAAUUGAUGAAACUGAAGUGAGUCCCCAACAUCUAUGUGAACUAACUCACGUUUUUCUUCUUUUAAAGUUCUUCUAACUUUCUUGAAGUCUCUAUUUCUCAAGUAUGUAGCUUUCACACAUGUUAAUGUCAACUAGCUUCAAACCUUAUAGUUUCCCAUUUAAGUGCAUAGUUUCUAGUCCUUUAUUACUCAUGUGGUCAAGUCUCUAGUGCCAUAAAUUUGAAUUUUCUUUGCUUUCAACAACUGCAAUAGACCCACAACUAUUGUUUUCCUGUAGCAAGUACCACUCUUCUUACCAGAGACAAGAGUCGUCGCUCCUUAAGAUUUUCCACUUGUCACAUAGCCAUAUUUUGCCACACUACAAGAAAAAUGGGAAACAAUGACGUUUUUUAAGCGUCAAGAAAGGUAACAGAUGACGCUUCUCUAAAGCGUUCUCUUCGCCUCUGUCAUUGUAUGUCUUAGGCAACAAUGACACUUUCAGGAAGCGUCAUCUUUGAUAAAAUAAAGGUUUUGUUUUUGGCUGAAAGAUGACUUUCCAAAACUCUAAAUCCGAUCUUCACCGUUCAAAUUUAAGAUUAAUGACUUAUAAACCUCUCCUCCAAAUUUCAGCUCAAUCAGACCAUGAAAAAAGCGGCAUUGGACCUUUGAUGAAAUCUGGGCAUGAUGUAAAAAAUCACUGUUUUUCUCUCUUCCCCCUCUAAUGACUGUCCAAAACUCCAAAUCCAAUCUCCACCGUUCAUAUUGAAGAUACAUGAGCCACGAACCUCUCCUUCAAAUUUCAACUCGAUCGGACCACGGACGAAGCGGGAUCGGAUAUUUGAUGAAAUCUGGGCAUGAUGAGAAAAACCUACGUUUUUCUCUCUUCUCCUCUUUCCCUCUAAUGACUGUACAAAACUCCAAAUCCGAUCUCCACCGUUCAUAUUGAAGAUACAUGAGCCACGAACCUCUCCUUCAAAUUUCAACUCGAUCGGACCACGGACGAAGCGGGAUCGGACAUUUGAUGAAAUCUGGGCAUGAUGAGAAAAACCUACGUUUUUCUCUCUUCUCCUCUUUCUUUCUAAUAACUUUCUGAAACUCCAAAUCCGAUCUUCACCGUUCAGAUUGAAGAUAAAUGAGUCACGAAACUCUCCUCCAAAUUUCAGCUCGAUCGGACCACGGACGAAGUGGGAUCAAACCUUUGAUGAAAUCUGGGCAUGAUGAGAAAAACUUGCAUUUUUCUCUCUUCUCUUCUUUCUCACUAAAAACGGUGGCUCUCUCCCUUCUUUCUUAUCUUCCAAAAGUUAGGGUUUUCAAGGGAGACUUUAUAACAAAUUCUAAAAUACCAUACAUGUCCUUUUUCAAUAAAUUAAAAUAGUAUUCUUUAUUUCAUCUUCCAAUAAUAAUUUUUAUAUAUUGAAUUCAUAAUGAAUUUAUAUUGUUUAAUUAUUUGAUAUUUUAGAUUGAUGUUGGUUUAAUUUGAAUAUUGAUAUUUUAAAAAAAAAAACUAAUUUAAUAGAAUGAGCUUAAUUCCCAUAAAUAUUAGAAAGUUUUUAUAAAUAUUCUUAUUGCAUUUAGUUUUAUUGUGAGUCUAAUCAUCAUUAAAUUAAUUUAAAUAUUAAUUUAUUUCAUUUUAGUUAAAUAAUUUCAAAUUUAUAUUCAUUAACUAUAAAACCUUCUCAAAUAAAAGGGUUAAACCCAAUAAAUGUGGCCCAAGGCUCGAACAAGUGCUCAAAAUAGGCCACUUUUUUGUGGUCCACAAAUAAAUUAACAAAUUAUUUUUAAAUGAAAUAUAAGAUAAUUUCUAAUUUAAUAAAAAUGAAAAAUAGUUUAUGAAAAUAGAUUGUAUUGAUACAAACUAUAAAAAAAUUAAUAUCAAACAAUAAAAAAAUAAUUUAUUAGGAUUUUAUUUUAUUUAUAUCCAAAUUUUUUUAAAAAAACCUUAAUGUAGCAACUUUAUGUCAUUAAUAUGAAUGUCAAUUUACCAUAAUUAAUUUAUAGAAUAAAAUUCUAAUAUCAAAAUUUGUAUAAGUUAACUUAAAAACAAAAAUUUUAAAAGUCAAUACAACUAUGACACUUCUCAGGAACGUCAUUACAUACCCAUCAAAUAAUGAUGCUUAUAAUAAGUGUCAAGGUAAAUAAUAAAACUAUGACGCUUCUUAUAAACGUCAUUAUAUACACAGUUAUAAGGAAAAAGAUGACAUCAAAUAAUGACACUUAUAAUAAGUAUCAAGAUAAAUAAUACAACUAUGACACUUCUUAUAAGCGUCAUUGUAUACCCUCAAUAAUGACGCUUUUAGAAAGCGUCAUAAAAUAAAGCGUCAUUAAUUUCAAUUUUUGUAGUAGUGCCAGUUGCCUAAUAGAAAAAAGAUUCUUCCUCAAGUUUGGAACGUAUCUUACAUUCUUCAGAUUCAAUACAAACUCAUUCAAUUUGAUUUGCAUUUCACCUUUGUCAAUAACAUCACACAGUUGGUCAUCACCUAGAUACACUUUCCUUUAUUUACUUGAGACAUAAUUCUUAAAUAAACCCCUACUUGAAGUAGCAUGGAACAAUGCCCCCGAAUCCAACACCCAUUAUUUUGUCUUGCCCUCUAAAGAGUAUAUAAGAGCAUCAUUUGAUUCUUCUAAUAGAACAUUUGCAUUGGUUUUGUUGUUACUAUCCUUAUCCUUUUUGAUAGCCUUGCACUCAUUUUGAUAGUAUCCCAUCUUUCAGCAAUACCAACAUUCAAUAUCUUUCUUACUCCCCUAAUUCUAGGAAUUCUUAAGAUUUCUAGAUUUUGACUUAUCAUUCCUCGACUUGGAUCUACUAUGCCCAAUACCUUUAUUUUUAUUUUUUUUGCCUUUGCUUCCCAUGUUUAAUGUUCAUCCUAAAUUGGAAAAUCCUUUUUCAUGUUUCCUGAUCUCCUUAGUCGAAAUCAUGUCCACUACCUUUGAAAACACCAAUUUCGAUUUCCCAAAUGAACCACUGAUCAAGGUGAUAUUACCUUUCCAACUCUUAAGUAAUUGACCAAGGAUUAAUAGGGUUUGAAUCUCAUCCAUAUAAUAUCAAUUGAAUUUAAUUGAUCUGUCAUCUCAUUAAAUUCAUUCUAGUGUUGUUUGAAAUUCCCAUCUCAAGCAUCUUCAAAUUAAACCACUUCUUAAUCAAGUGUACAUUUUUUGUUGUAGAGAGUUUGUUCCUACAUACUCGUUAGGGGCAACCAUGAGGGGCAUUGUUGUGUUCUUGUUUUUUAUGUUGAAAGCAAUUGAUUUGAACAGGGUUAACCCAAUCACACCAAGGGCUAGUAAAUUCUAUUCAUUUUCAUCUAUUCACUCCGGUUUCUCUUUCAAUGACAAAUACAGUUCUUUUUGGUAUAGAUAAUCCUUCACUAGCAUCUUCUAGAAACCAAUAUUCAUACUAUUGAAUUUCUUAAUUUUGUAUGAAUAUUUCUUUGAUCCCAUUACUUCUGCUCAAAUGGUGAUUGGUUGAACACGUCAAGCUUAGGAUUUAUGGACUUGGGCGUGUAGACCCUCAAUUUUGUCCCUCGACACUGGCAUUUAUCCUUCGGGUGUCACAUCCACCCAUCGUUCGCAUAUGGCACCACUUGGGCCCCUUUUGGGCUUAGUCGGUGUCCGAGCCUCGUGUGGGUUUGUGUGUGGUCCAUUGUGGUGCAUAUGUGGUUCAUUUCGGAGGGUCACCAUGGCCAUUUUCCUAGUCAUUCACAUCACGCUAUAGGAAGGAAGUGGGGUCAUCCCGAUGUUUUAGCUUAGUUGGGGUUUAUAGGGGCAUGUUGAGGUUCGGAGCACUUGGGAUUGUUUUGAUUGUAUCUCCCUCAUCCAAACUCGGAAUCAAGAACCGUUUAUUUUUAUGGAUUCCUUAUUCUUCCAGGAACAUUGUGUAAAAUUUCCAAAAUUUUUUGCAACCGGUCGGCUGGUUGGCAGCCGGUUCAGCCGGUUCAGCCGGUUCAUCGAGUCAGCCGGUGUAGAACACUGAUUUUUGGUAAUUGUUUUGAUCAUAUCUCCCUCUUCCGAACUUGGAAUCAUGCACCGUUUUUUUUAAUGGAUUCCUUACUCUACUAGGAACAUUCUGUCAAAUUUUCAGAAUUUUUUUCCAUCAGUUGGACCAGUUGGCAUCCGGUUCGGCCGGUUCAGCCGGUUCAUUGAGUCAGCUGAGGUAAAACACUAAUUCUAGUAAUUUUGAGGCCCAAAUCCUACAUGGCUCAGGCCCAUAAGCUCCAGAUCGGUUUUAGGAAAUGUUGUGGGUCCAUUUUGGGCCUUGGUUUGGGUUCCUUGAAGCCCACCACGAAUCCAUAUGGAUUCUUGGUGGUGAAGCAAGCUGAAAAAACUGAAGGGAGUGAGCUGGCCUUGUAAGUCUAAGAGAAGUAAUGAGCGGUGUGGUUCCCAUGCUGAUGAAGGGAAUUUCGGUGCUGAAGGGGAAGGAACCCAGGAGGCUCAAAUUCUAAGAGGGGUAUGAGUAUAAAAGGUGAGAGGAUAGGAGAGCAAAGGACCUUUGGACAUUUUGGAGAGGGGAAAUCUUGCUGGUGAGAAAAACAAAAGGUCAGCAGCAUCUUCUGAGUUGAGAGUGUGGGGGAAAGCUUCAGCACUGUGGUUUUUUUUGAAGAGGAGAGUGACAGCCUCUCAGUUUUGGAAGUCAUCAUCGGCAUGCACGGAUCAUAUUUGGUGGAGAUUCUGAGGUAAGCACGCUGAAUUUUCUUUACUUACAGUUUAUCUUCCUCGUCUUCAUAUGCUUUUUCUCCUUCCUCAUCAUCUUUUCUUCCCUUUGAUAUGAAGAUUGUAUUGCUUGGGUGUGGAUAAUAAAGGCCACACAUGAUUGUUGUUGUUUGCUUCCUUGAUCACUUAGGAACUUUCUGACCGAAUUAGGGAUUUUUUACGAACCGGAUGAACCGGUUUGGAACCGGUUCAACCGAUUCAGCACCAUAGCUGGCAGCCUCUGUCAGCCAUGAGGAACACCUGCCUUUCUUUGUCCGGUUCUCACUCAUCCGAGCUCGGAAUUGAGAACCGUUUCUUUUAUUUUCUUCCUUAAUCACUUAAGAACUUUCUGACCGAAUUUGGGAUUUUUUAUCAACCGGCUGAACCGGUUUGAAACCGGUUCAACCGGUUCAGUACCAUAGCUGGCAGCCUCUGUCAGCCAUAAGGAACACUUGCCUUUCUUUGUCUGGUUCUCACUCAUCCGGGAUCGGAAUUGAGAACCGUUUCUUUUUUUUUGCUUCCUUAAUCACUUAGGAACUUUCUGACUGAAUUUGGGAUUUUUUACCAACCGGAUGAACCGGUUUGAAACCGGUUCAACCGGUUCAGCACCAUAGCUGGCAGCCUCUGUCAGCCAUGAGGAACACCUGCCUUUCUUUGUCCGGUUCUCACUCAUCCGAGCUCGGAAUUGAGAACCGUUUCUUUUUUUUUCUUCCUUAAUCACUUAGAAACUUUCUGACUGAAUUUGGGAUUUCUUAUCAACCGGAUGAACCGGUUGGAAACCGGUUCAACCGGUUCAGCACCAUAGCUGGCAGCCUCUGUCAGCCAUGAGGAACACCUGCCUUUCUUUGUCCGGUUCUCACUCAUCCGAGCUCGGAAUUGAGAACCGUUUCUUUUGUUUUCUUCCUUAAUCACUUAGGAACUUUCUGACUGAAUUUGGGAUUUUUUACCAACCGGAUGAAUCGGUUUGGAACCAGUUCAACCGGUUCAGCACCAUAGCUGGCAGCCUCUGUCAGCCAUGAGGAACACCUGCCUUCCUUUGUCCAGUUCUCACUCAUCCAAGCUCAGAAUUGAAAACCGUUUCUUUUGUUUUCUUCCUUAAUCACUUAGGAACUUUCUGACCGAAUUUGGGAUUUUUUAUCAAUAGGUUGUACCAGUUGAGAACUAGUUCAACCUGUUCUGUUGGAGGACUUUAGGUAGCCUUUGAUUUUGGCAUUUUUCGAGCCCUUAUCCAUGGGGGGCUCAACCCAUUUGCUAUAGGGCACUUGUGAGCCAUCUUGAAGGUUUAAGUCAGUGUUUGAUUUCAGUUAGUAUGGGCAAUUUGGAAGUUAUGGGUGGUGUGGUCUAGAUGAGUCUAGUUCGAUUUGUAUGACAUUUGGGGAGUCCCUUACCUCAUUUCAACCAGUUAUCUUCCUUUUUUGGCACAAGCUUUGAUGCUUGAUUUUGAAUACAUGUUGCGUGAUUGACUCACCCUCUGCUGCAGCGCUUGGCUAGGGACCACAGGUACGCAUUGUUGGCUUUGGUUGUUGAAUUCAUAUGCAUGCAUGGUGCUUAAUCUUGAAUGUUUGUUAUGUGUUUAUCUGUGUUUGGCUGACCUUUUAUGCAGCGCUUGGCUAGGGACCACAGGUACGCACCCAUUGUUUUGUUUGGUUGAAUUCAUAUGCAUGCCAAAUACCAAUUAGGAUUGUGUGAUUCAUGACAUCUAUUUAGCUUAGGGUUUCAUUUGACCUUUGACCCAUAUGCUCCCACAUACCCAAUUCAUUAGUAGACACCGAGUUCCGGGCCUAGAGGGGUGCUACCUCGCAUGAGGUACCUUCCCAACGGGUAACCUGAUCCCCGGACCCAGAAUCUAGUUUUCAUAGACCGCUUUUUCUAUACUGGGGUCAUUAGGGGUUUUUGUUCUUACUUAAUUUUCCCCAUUUUAAAAACAAAAAUAAAAAGUAAGUGGCGACUCCAAACAACACCGUUACUCACCGGGGGCGGGUUUUUCAAAACUGGAAAACACCAACUUUUUCAUUUCUUUCUUUUCUUUUAAAAGCGAGUCGCGUCGGUCCGGUGGAUCGAGUGAGGGUCCACAAAUUGGCGACUCCACUGGGGAUCGAACCUAGAAUCUCUGGUUUCAUAAGAGGAUCAAGCUUGAACUUGAGUUGGGUAUAUCGGAGCACAUGGUUCAUUGAUAAGUAGACUCUUAGGCUACAUAGAUGACUGAUGAUCAUGUAGUUGGCUGGUAUGUGGCUUGCACCUGUGAUGUGUUGUUGCUUGUGUGUUCACCUGUUGGAUUCUAGCAUGCUUGCUCAUUGUUGAUUGGUAUCUAGCUAUGACAUUUGGGAUUAGACUUAGAUGAUUAGAUUGCGUGUAGAUGUGUGGUAGGCUAUCUCUUUGUGCAUGACUAUUUGCUGUAUGACUGCUCCUUCCCUUGCAUGACUGCUUGCUGCUUGUGUUUGUGGGGCACGUGUGUAUCCUCUUACUUCCGAAUCACUAGUCUUGGUCAACUAUUCCUCAUGGAUUGCUUGUGUUUCUUGGGAGUCAUUCCUAAUUGUUCACCUUUGACCAAGCUAGGGGUUUGGAAUAGGGUCUAGCAUAAGGGCUAUAUCAAUGUUUGGGAGCAUUAUGGAAAAGAUGGAUAUCUGAGCAAUGAAGACCUGUAUAGCCCUGAGCUGGAUUUCAUGGAUACAUGCGUGGCCAGGAUGUCACUUUGAUUGUUGAUUGAUUGUUAGUUAGGACCUUAGGUUGCGUAUCCCUGUGGGUACAGUCAUCUAGUCUUUUAGGACUUGCCUUUUUUUUUUUUUUUUUUGACUUUUGAGCCACAUUACCCCUGAGGUAUCACCAUGUCAGAAUCCCGUUCUUGCCUAUGGAACCGUAUAUCAGUUUAGCUAUUGACAUCACAUGUCAGUUCAUUCUCUCGGAAGAUUUUAGUUAUAGGUUCCUAGUUUGAUUUCAGGAUUGAUAGUCACGGGGACUGACGUACCCCUUUCCUUUUGUAGGAUUAUUGAUUGAGAUCGACCUGGGUUCCCGAGCUUGGAUCCGGAUUGGAGAUAGACUGGUUAGAGGAUCAGAUUCACCUAGCCAGUUAGAGCAGAUACCAGAUCAUAGAGAUAUGGACCCUCAAUACGCUACCGUUGACCAGUUGGCUGAGAUUACCGAUACCAUGGCGUCACUUAAGGACGCUAUCUUAGGACUGGGUCAGAGGAUUGAUGGGCACCAGGCCCAGCCAUUGCCGAUUCCAGGGAGCACCCAGCAUGACUCUACCACACCACCACCACCACCACCACCAUCUGGGCCAUCUGGACCUACUAUACAACAGGAUUACAUAGUUCCACCACUACCACCACCACCGGUUCAGUCAGCUCCCCAGGCUGGAGCAUUUGUGUUGCAUGGUCAGACUGAGACUACACCGCAUUCUGUUGUGGCACCGGCACAGAUUGUUGAUGAUACCUAGGCUCGUAUUGAUAAGAUUGAGUAGAGGAUGAGAUCACUACAUGUUUUUGAUAGGAUUAUGGGUUGGGAUGGAUAUGAUGAUAUGCCAGUAGCAGCUUUGCCUGUUGAGUUCCGCAUGCCAGACAUUGAGAGAUACACGGGGAUAGGGUGCCCUCGUAUUCACUUGCAGUUAUACAGCACUAUUAUGCGUGGGCAUAGACUGGAUGAGGCACAAAUGAUUAUGUUAUUCCCUCUGUCAUUGAGUGGUGCUGCUCAGCGUUGGUUUGCCUCAUUGGACCCUUCGAGACGUAGGACAUGGGCUGAUUUGGGACAGGAGUUUAUUAGACAGUAUUCUUUCAAUACUAUAGUGGAUGUAUCCCGGAGGGAGUUAGAGGCCCUUAGGCAGGGGCCGGAUGAGACAGUCACUUCAUUCAUCUCCCAUUGGAGGGAGAAGAUAGCACAAAUUAUUGAUAGACCUUCAGAGUGCAAUCAGAUCAGUAUGAUUAUGCGCAGCCUUCAGCCCCGCUUUGCUAGGCAUCUCAUGGGCUUCCCUCAGACAGACUUUGGCUCAUUAGUGCAGGCCCUCUAUGGCAUUGAGGAGGGUAUAUCUAGAGGUUUAUGGGCAGAUUCUUCCCCUUCAGACUCAAAGGGGAAGAAGUCGGGAUCAGGCCCCAGGCCCUCAGAUGUUGGUACUAUUGGCAUGAUAGGACAUCGGUUUUCACGUUGUCCUCCGUUUCAGAGUCAGUUUUUAGGCACUCCUUAUCAGAUGAUACAACAUGAUCAGUACAGACCAGUUGCUCCCAUUAGGCCAGUAGGGCCUACUUAUCUACAUCCGCCACCACAACCGGUAUAUGCUACACAGGCACCGCAGAGGCCGCCUAUGCAGUUCCAUCAUCAGUAUAGAGCACCGCCUCCACCGAGGCCAGUUAGACAGUUCACACAGCUUGGGAUGCCACUGAGCCGAGCUUUUCAGAGAUUGGUUGAGGGGGGACUGAUUGCCCCACUACCGCCUAGACCACCACUACAGCCUACCCCCCCUGGAUUUAGGACAGAUCUUCACUGUGCCUACCAAUAGAGAGCAGGCCAUGAUACAGACAGUUGUUCAGCACUGAGACAUGCCAUUCAGGAUUUGAUUGAUCAAGGCUUGGUUGAUUUGGGGCGCCCGGGUGUAGCCACAGACCCGCUACCUACUCAUGACACUAGAGCAGUACCUCCACUCCCGGAAGGGGUACAUUUGAUUGAGUUUGCAGGGGAUGAGAUAUUUAUGAUGGGUUGGGAUGGGGAGGCUCCUCAGCCGAUCAGUCUAUAUGAGGAGUCAGAUUUUGUUGGAUAUAUACCUAGACAGCACAUCCCCAGGCCAUUCAGUUUGACCCCGGACAGGAUUUAUGGGCUGCCUCCAGUAUCACCAGUAUACUUAUAGCAUGUGCCACCUAUGACACCCUUCAUUCUGUUCCCAGAGGAAUAUAGGUCCCCUCAUAGAGAUGUUCAGAUAGUUACACGGAGUGGAAGGGUAGCACAACCUCCACCCGUUGACAGGCCAUUUGCUGGUAUAGCUGCUAAAGAGGAGGUUCAGAGAGAAGAUGAUGAGAUAUUACGACAGCUACGCACUACUCAGGCUCGCAUAUCCAUUUGGAGCCUUUNNNNNNNNNNNNNNNNNNNNNNNNNNNNNNNNNNNNNNNNNNNNNNNNNNNNNNNNNNNNNNNNNNNNNNNNNNNNNNNNNNNNNNNNNNNNNNNNNNNNNNNNNNNNNNNNNNNNNNNNNNNNNNNNNNNNNNNNNNNNNNNNNNNNNNNNNNNNNNNNNNNNNNNNNNNNNNNNNNNNNNNNNNNNNNNNNNNNNNNNNNNNNNNNNNNNNNNNNNNNNNNNNNNNNNNNNNNNNNNNNNNNNNNNNNNNNNNNNNNNNNNNNNNNNNNNNNNNNNNNNNNNNNNNNNNNNNNNNNNNNNNNNNNNNNNNNNNNNNNNNNNNNNNNNNNNNNNNNNNNNNNNNNNNNNNNNNNNNNNNNNNNNNNNNNNNNNNNNNNNNNNNNNNNNNNNNNNNNNNNNNNNNNNNNNNNNNNNNNNNNNNNNNNNNNNNNNNNNNNNNNNNNNNNNNNNNNNNNNNNNNNNNNNNNNNNNNNNNNNNNNNNNNNNNNNNNNNNNNNNNNNNNNNNNNNNNNNNNNNNNNNNNNNNNNNNNNNNNNNNNNNNNNNNNNNNNNNNNNNNNNNNNNNNNNNNNNNNNNNNNNNNNNNNNNNNNNNNNNNNNNNNNNNNNNNNNNNNNNNNNNNNNNNNNNNNNNNNNNNNNNNNNNNNNNNNNNNNNNNNNNNNNNNNNNNNNNNNNNNNNNNNNNNNNNNNNNNNNNNNNNNNNNNNNNNNNNNNNNNNNNNNNNNNNNNNNNNNNNNNNNNNNNNNNNNNNNNNNNNNNNNNNNNNNNNNNNNNNNNNNNNNNNNNNNNNNNNNNNNNNNNNNNNNNNNNNNNNNNNNNNNNNNNNNNNNNNNNNNNNNNNNNNNNNNNNNNNNNNNNNNNNNNNNNNNNNNNNNNNNNNNNNNNNNNNNNNNNNNNNNNNNNNNNNNNNNNNNNNNNNNNNNNNNNNNNNNNNNNNNNNNNNNNNNNNNNNNNNNNNNNNNNNNNNNNNNNNNNNNNNNNNNNNNNNNNNNNNNNNNNNNNNNNNNNNNNNNNNNNNNNNNNNNNNNNNNNNNNNNNNNNNNNNNNNNNNNNNNNNNNNNNNNNNNNNNNNNNNNNNNNNNNNNNNNNNNNNNNNNNNNNNNNNNNNNNNNNNNNNNNNNNNNNNNNNNNNNNNNNNNNNNNNNNNNNNNNNNNNNNNNNNNNNNNNNNNNNNNNNNNNNNNNNNNNNNNNNNNNNNNNNNNNNNNNNNNNNNNNNNNNNNNNNNNNNNNNNNNNNNNNNNNNNNNNNNNNNNNNNNNNNNNNNNNNNNNNNNNNNNNNNNNNNNNNNNNNNNNNNNNNNNNNNNNNNNNNNNNNNNNNNNNNNNNNNNNNNNNNNNNNNNNNNNNNNNNNNNNNNNNNNNNNNNNNNNNNNNNNNNNNNNNNNNNNNNNNNNNNNNNNNNNNNNNNNNNNNNNNNNNNNNNNNNNNNNNNNNNNNNNNNNNNNNNNNNNNNNNNNNNNNNNNNNNNNNNNNNNNNNNNNNNNNNNNNNNNNNNNNNNNNNNNNNNNNNNNNNNNNNNNNNNNNNNNNNNNNNNNNNNNNNNNNNNNNNNNNNNNNNNNNNNNNNNNNNNNNNNNNNNNNNNNNNNNNNNNNNNNNNNNNNNNNNNNNNNNNNNNNNNNNNNNNNNNNNNNNNNNNNNNNNNNNNNNNNNNNNNNNNNNNNNNNNNNNNNNNNNNNNNNNNNNNNNNNNNNNNNNNNNNNNNNNNNNNNNNNNNNNNNNNNNNNNNNNNNNNNNNNNNNNNNNNNNNNNNNNNNNNNNNNNNNNNNNNNNNNNNNNNNNNNNNNNNNNNNNNNNNNNNNNNNNNNNNNNNNNNNNNNNNNNNNNNNNNNNNNNNNNNNNNNNNNNNNNNNNNNNNNNNNNNNNNNNNNNNNNNNNNNNNNNNNNNNNNNNNNNNNNNNNNNNNNNNNNNNNNNNNNNNNNNNNNNNNNNNNNNNNNNNNNNNNNNNNNNNNNNNNNNNNNNNNNNNNNNNNNNNNNNNNNNNNNNNNNNNNNNNNNNNNNNNNNNNNNNNNNNNNNNNNNNNNNNNNNNNNNNNNNNNNNNNNNNNNNNNNNNNNNNNNNNNNNNNNNNNNNNNNNNNNNNNNNNNNNNNNNNNNNNNNNNNNNNNNNNNNNNNNNNNNNNNNNNNNNNNNNNNNNNNNNNNNNNNNNNNNNNNNNNNNNNNNNNNNNNNNNNNNNNNNNNNNNNNNNNNNNNNNNNNNNNNNNNNNNNNNNNNNNNNNNNNNNNNNNNNNNNNNNNNNNNNNNNNNNNNNNNNNNNNNNNNNNNNNNNNNNNNNNNNNNNNNNNNNNNNNNNNNNNNNNNNNNNNNNNNNNNNNNNNNNNNNNNNNNNNNNNNNNNNNNNNNNNNNNNNNNNNNNNNNNNNNNNNNNNNNNNNNNNNNNNNNNNNNNNNNNNNNNNNNNNNNNNNNNNNNNNNNNNNNNNNNNNNNNNNNNNNNNNNNNNNNNNNNNNNNNNNNNNNNNNNNNNNNNNNNNNNNNNNNNNNNNNNNNNNNNNNNNNNNNNNNNNNNNNNNNNNNNNNNNNNNNNNNNNNNNNNNNNNNNNNNNNNNNNNNNNNNNNNNNNNNNNNNNNNNNNNNNNNNNNNNNNNNNNNNNNNNNNNNNNNNNNNNNNNNNNNNNNNNNNNNNNNNNNNNNNNNNNNNNNNNNNNNNNNNNNNNNNNNNNNNNNNNNNNNNNNNNNNNNNNNNNNNNNNNNNNNNNNNNNNNNNNNNNNNNNNNNNNNNNNNNNNNNNNNNNNNNNNNNNNNNNNNNNNNNNNNNNNNNNNNNNNNNNNNNNNNNNNNNNNNNNNNNNNNNNNNNNNNNNNNNNNNNNNNNNNNNNNNNNNNNNNNNNNNNNNNNNNNNNNNNNNNNNNNNNNNNNNNNNNNNNNNNNNNNNNNNNNNNNNNNNNNNNNNNNNNNNNNNNNNNNNNNNNNNNNNNNNNNNNNNNNNNNNNNNNNNNNNNNNNNNNNNNNNNNNNNNNNNNNNNNNNNNNNNNNNNNNNNNNNNNNNNNNNNNNNNNNNNNNNNNNNNNNNNNNNNNNNNNNNNNNNNNNNNNNNNNNNNNNNNNNNNNNNNNNNNNNNNNNNNNNNNNNNNNNNNNNNNNNNNNNNNNNNNNNNNNNNNNNNNNNNNNNNNNNNNNNNNNNNNNNNNNNNNNNNNNNNNNNNNNNNNNNNNNNNNNNNNNNNNNNNNNNNNNNNNNNNNNNNNNNNNNNNNNNNNNNNNNNNNNNNNNNNNNNNNNNNNNNNNNNNNNNNNNNNNNNNNNNNNNNNNNNNNNNNNNNNNNNNNNNNNNNNNNNNNNNNNNNNNNNNNNNNNNNNNNNNNNNNNNNNNNNNNNNNNNNNNNNNNNNNNNNNNNNNNNNNNNNNNNNNNNNNNNNNNNNNNNNNNNNNNNNNNNNNNNNNNNNNNNNNNNNNNNNNNNNNNNNNNNNNNNNNNNNNNNNNNNNNNNNNNNNNNNNNNNNNNNNNNNNNNNNNNNNNNNNNNNNNNNNNNNNNNNNNNNNNNNNNNNNNNNNNNNNNNNNNNNNNNNNNNNNNNNNNNNNNNNNNNNNNNNNNNNNNNNNNNNNNNNNNNNNNNNNNNNNNNNNNNNNNNNNNNNNNNNNNNNNNNNNNNNNNNNNNNNNNNNNNNNNNNNNNNNNNNNNNNNNNNNNNNNNNNNNNNNNNNNNNNNNNNNNNNNNNNNNNNNNNNNNNNNNNNNNNNNNNNNNNNNNNNNNNNNNNNNNNNNNNNNNNNNNNNNNNNNNNNNNNNNNNNNNNNNNNNNNNNNNNNNNNNNNNNNNNNNNNNNNNNNNNNNNNNNNNNNNNNNNNNNNNNNNNNNNNNNNNNNNNNNNNNNNNNNNNNNNNNNNNNNNNNNNNNNNNNNNNNNNNNNNNNNNNNNNNNNNNNNNNNNNNNNNNNNNNNNNNNNNNNNNNNNNNNNNNNNNNNNNNNNNNNNNNNNNNNNNNNNNNNNNNNNNNNNNNNNNNNNNNNNNNNNNNNNNNNNNNNNNNNNNNNNNNNNNNNNNNNNNNNNNNNNNNNNNNNNNNNNNNNNNNNNNNNNNNNNNNNNNNNNNNNNNNNNNNNNNNNNNNNNNNNNNNNNNNNNNNNNNNNNNNNNNNNNNNNNNNNNNNNNNNNNNNNNNNNNNNNNNNNNNNNNNNNNNNNNNNNNNNNNNNNNNNNNNNNNNNNNNNNNNNNNNNNNNNNNNNNNNNNNNNNNNNNNNNNNNNNNNNNNNNNNNNNNNNNNNNNNNNNNNNNNNNNNNNNNNNNNNNNNNNNNNNNNNNNNNNNNNNNNNNNNNNNNNNNNNNNNNNNNNNNNNNNNNNNNNNNNNNNNNNNNNNNNNNNNNNNNNNNNNNNNNNNNNNNNNNNNNNNNNNNNNNNNNNNNNNNNNNNNNNNNNNNNNNNNNNNNNNNNNNNNNNNNNNNNNNNNNNNNNNNNNNNNNNNNNNNNNNNNNNNNNNNNNNNNNNNNNNNNNNNNNNNNNNNNNNNNNNNNNNNNNNNNNNNNNNNNNNNNNNNNNNNNNNNNNNNNNNNNNNNNNNNNNNNNNNNNNNNNNNNNNNNNNNNNNNNNNNNNNNNNNNNNNNNNNNNNNNNNNNNNNNNNNNNNNNNNNNNNNNNNNNNNNNNNNNNNNNNNNNNNNNNNNNNNNNNNNNNNNNNNNNNNNNNNNNNNNNNNNNNNNNNNNNNNNNNNNNNNNNNNNNNNNNNNNNNNNNNNNNNNNNNNNNNNNNNNNNNNNNNNNNNNNNNNNNNNNNNNNNNNNNNNNNNNNNNNNNNNNNNNNNNNNNNNNNNNNNNNNNNNNNNNNNNNNNNNNNNNNNNNNNNNNNNNNNNNNNNNNNNNNNNNNNNNNNNNNNNNNNNNNNNNNNNNNNNNNNNNNNNNNNNNNNNNNNNNNNNNNNNNNNNNNNNNNNNNNNNNNNNNNNNNNNNNNNNNNNNNNNNNNNNNNNNNNNNNNNNNNNNNNNNNNNNNNNNNNNNNNNNNNNNNNNNNNNNNNNNNNNNNNNNNNNNNNNNNNNNNNNNNNNNNNNNNNNNNNNNNNNNNNNNNNNNNNNNNNNNNNNNNNNNNNNNNNNNNNNNNNNNNNNNNNNNNNNNNNNNNNNNNNNNNNNNNNNNNNNNNNNNNNNNNNNNNNNNNNNNNNNNNNNNNNNNNNNNNNNNNNNNNNNNNNNNNNNNNNNNNNNNNNNNNNNNNNNNNNNNNNNNNNNNNNNNNNNNNNNNNNNNNNNNNNNNNNNNNNNNNNNNNNNNNNNNNNNNNNNNNNNNNNNNNNNNNNNNNNNNNNNNNNNNNNNNNNNNNNNNNNNNNNNNNNNNNNNNNNNNNNNNNNNNNNNNNNNNNNNNNNNNNNNNNNNNNNNNNNNNNNNNNNNNNNNNNNNNNNNNNNNNNNNNNNNNNNNNNNNNNNNNNNNNNNNNNNNNNNNNNNNNNNNNNNNNNNNNNNNNNNNNNNNNNNNNNNNNNNNNNNNNNNNNNNNNNNNNNNNNNNNNNNNNNNNNNNNNNNNNNNNNNNNNNNNNNNNNNNNNNNNNNNNNNNNNNNNNNNNNNNNNNNNNNNNNNNNNNNNNNNNNNNNNNNNNNNNNNNNNNNNNNNNNNNNNNNNNNNNNNNNNNNNNNNNNNNNNNNNNNNNNNNNNNNNNNNNNNNNNNNNNNNNNNNNNNNNNNNNNNNNNNNNNNNNNNNNNNNNNNNNNNNNNNNNNNNNNNNNNNNNNNNNNNNNNNNNNNNNNNNNNNNNNNNNNNNNNNNNNNNNNNNNNNNNNNNNNNNNNNNNNNNNNNNNNNNNNNNNNNNNNNNNNNNNNNNNNNNNNNNNNNNNNNNNNNNNNNNNNNNNNNNNNNNNNNNNNNNNNNNNNNNNNNNNNNNNNNNNNNNNNNNNNNNNNNNNNNNNNNNNNNNNNNNNNNNNNNNNNNNNNNNNNNNNNNNNNNNNNNNNNNNNNNNNNNNNNNNNNNNNNNNNNNNNNNNNNNNNNNNNNNNNNNNNNNNNNNNNNNNNNNNNNNNNNNNNNNNNNNNNNNNNNNNNNNNNNNNNNNNNNNNNNNNNNNNNNNNNNNNNNNNNNNNNNNNNNNNNNNNNNNNNNNNNNNNNNNNNNNNNNNNNNNNNNNNNNNNNNNNNNNNNNNNNNNNNNNNNNNNNNNNNNNNNNNNNNNNNNNNNNNNNNNNNNNNNNNNNNNNNNNNNNNNNNNNNNNNNNNNNNNNNNNNNNNNNNNNNNNNNNNNNNNNNNNNNNNNNNNNNNNNNNNNNNNNNNNNNNNNNNNNNNNNNNNNNNNNNNNNNNNNNNNNNNNNNNNNNNNNNNNNNNNNNNNNNNNNNNNNNNNNNNNNNNNNNNNNNNNNNNNNNNNNNNNNNNNNNNNNNNNNNNNNNNNNNNNNNNNNNNNNNNNNNNNNNNNNNNNNNNNNNNNNNNNNNNNNNNNNNNNNNNNNNNNNNNNNNNNNNNNNNNNNNNNNNNNNNNNNNNNNNNNNNNNNNNNNNNNNNNNNNNNNNNNNNNNNNNNNNNNNNNNNNNNNNNNNNNNNNNNNNNNNNNNNNNNNNNNNNNNNNNNNNNNNNNNNNNNNNNNNNNNNNNNNNNNNNNNNNNNNNNNNNNNNNNNNNNNNNNNNNNNNNNNNNNNNNNNNNNNNNNNNNNNNNNNNNNNNNNNNNNNNNNNNNNNNNNNNNNNNNNNNNNNNNGUAUUCGUUGAUAUACUUGGGAUCAUCAGAUGUGGUUUUGGGUUUGAGAGAUUUCUUUUUCCUUUAAGAGUCAGAUGAGAGCAUUGUACGAUCCUUCUCACCAUGGAUCUGGGCGACACAUUGGGAGUGAGGUUUGGGUUUCCUUGGCACUAGGCCCUUGGAUCAUUGUCUACAUCACCAUUCCCAUCAUAUAGUGACUUGAUUUGAUUUGGCGUUCUUAGGAUGAGUUGUUCUUCGUUGUCACAUAUUGCUAUAUUUGUAUCCCAGUUGGUUUCUCCAUUUUCUUCUACACCCAUUCAUCAUUCACUUUGUCCCUUUUCGUCUGCUUCUAUCCUCGUCGAUCGUCGUUUCACUUCAUGAACGAUGAGUUCUUUGGUGCGUAUCACCUAUUGUUUGUUUUUUAUUUAGAUGCAGGGUUGAGUCACCUUGCUCACAUGGUUCUGCGAUAUUUGACAUUGCGCACACAGGGGUUUGGCAUUAUCUAUUGGGAGAUUUGGGCCUUUGUUUCCUAUCGUUUCAUUCACCUUUUACCCCUGGCCUACAUUACGGUCCGAGUCGUAAGACCACCCUGAGGCCAUGAGAUCUCGUGUUUGCUUCGAUGCGGUUCAUUAGGAUAGGCUUCGUCUACUGAUUAAGUAUGGGAUGUUGACAGGUCUCCAUUACUUCGGGGGAUAUCGAGGGUCACAUAUUGUCUUUCCAUUCAGUUUACUUGCCUCAGGUCCAUGAUCAGAGAUAGAUGAUACAGAGAGUUGGGACCGUUGAGGGCACCUUUACCUGAUGUUUUGACACGUUUAUACUAGGGCAUGCUCCCAUCCUUGCAUGCUGGCUUUGGCUCUUUAUACAUGUACGCAGGCAUUCCGUUUCGCCUAGCAAUGUUAUGGACAUCAAAGUUUGAGUAAGCCCCGCAUUCAGCCCAAUUUCUUCAUAUAGCAGAGUGCUUUUGAGGUCUGACCCGAGAUCAGAUUCACGGUAUUCAUCGACCCAGCAGGGGUGCAUACCCCAUUCAUUGUCUUGUUUGUUAGUUCAAAUGAGUGGGUCUUCAGUGAUGUAUUCCAAAGUUUUCAUUAACAUAUUUGAGUUUCAGAUGUACACACUGGGGCAUAUCCCCUAUCAGUUUUUGUGGAUAUUGGAUGUUGUGGAUUAGAGUGGAGGGUUUUUUUCCCUUAGAAAUGGAUGAUUGUGAUAUUUUCAGCUCUCUGACUUUAACCAUAUGUGCGGUUAUAGGAUUCUGACAUGAUAUUGAUAUCUUAGACUGGGGCAUAACUCCUUUCUUUCACCCUUGGUCACAUUUGUGAGUUUGUCCUAUAGGGGCAUACCCUCUUCUUUCCAUUUGUUAGUGGUGAUUGUGAUUUCUCGCUUGUCAUUUAUCAACGUUUUCUGGUGUUACACCGGGGCAUACCCCUUUCUUUUUUCAUGAUGAAGGUGUUUGAUUUCUGGCUUCUUCGAGUCAUCUGUUGGCAGUCCUUGGACGUCAUACUAGGGCAUACCCCUUUUGUUAUCAAGGUUAGCAUGUCAGCGGUUGCAUCUUGAGUCCCCCUAUUUUGCUCUGAGUUUUGUUUUAAGGCAUCCCCUGUCUGUUUAGGUGUUUUGAGCCUUAGUAAUGGCAUCCCUACCUCCUUUUAGUUCGAUGGUUCCUCGGUAUCAUGCCCGAGUUCGAUCCCCUAUUCUACCAUUUCUCGGUACUUGCCCGAACCCUUCUCCGGUACUUGCCCGGAUUCCAUCAUUUUCCGGUACUCGCCCGGACCCUUCUCCGAUACUCGCCCGGAUUUCAAACUUUUCCGGCACUCGCCCGGAUUCCACCAUUUUUUCGGUACUUGCCCGAACCCUUCUCUGGUACUCGCCCAGAUUCCACCAUUUUCCGAUACUCUCCCGGACCCUUCUCCGGUACUUGCCCAGAUUCCACCCUUUUCCGGUACUCGCCCGGACCCUUCUCCGGUACUCGCCCGGAUUCCACCAUUUUCCGGUACCCGCCUGGACCCUUCUCCGGUACUCGCCCGGAUUUCACACUUUUCCGGUACUCGCCCGGAUUCCACCCUUUCCCAGUACUUGCCCGAACCCUUCUCCGGUACUCGCCCGGAUUCCACCAUUUUCCGGUACUCGCCCGGAUCCUUCUCCGGUACUAGCCCGGAUUCCACCAUUUUCCAAUACCUGCCUGGACCCUUCUCCGGUACUCGCCCGGAUUCCACCCUUUCCCGGUACUUGCCCGAACCCUUCUCCGGUACUUGCCCGAAUUCCACCCUUUUUCGGUACUCGCCCGGACUCUUCUCCGGUACUCGCCCGGAUUUCACACUUUUCCGGCACUCGCCCGGAUUCCACCCUUUUUUCGGUACUUGCUCGAACCCUUCUCUGGUACUCACCCAGAUUCCACCAUUUUCUGAUACUCUCCUGGACCCUUCUCCGGUACUCGCCCGGAUUCCACCAUUUUCCGGUACUCGCCCGGACCCUUCUCCGGUACUCGCCCGGAUUCCACCAUUUUCCGAUACUCGCCCGGAUUUCAUACUUUUCUGGUACUCGCCCGGAUUCAACCCUUUCCCGGUACUUGCCCGAACCCUUCUCUGGUACUCGCCCAGAUUCCACCAUUUUCCGAUACUCUCCCGGACCCUUUUCCGGUACUUGCCCGGAUUCCACCCUUUUCCGGUACUCGCCCGGACCCUUCUCCGGUACUCGCCCGGAUUCCACCAUUUUCCGGUACCCGCUUGGACCCUUCUCCGGUACUCGCCCGGAUUUCACACUUUUCCGGUACUCGCCCGGAUUCCACCCUUUCCCAGUACUUGCCCGAACCCUUCUCCGGUACUCGCCCGGAUUCCACCCUUUUCCGGUACUCGCCUGGAUCCUUCUCCGGUACUAGCCCGGAUUCCACCAUUUUCCAAUACCUGCCUGGACCCUUCUCCGGUACUCGCCCGGAUUCCACCCUUUCUCUGUACUUGCCCGAACCCUUCUCCGGUACUUGCCCGGAUUCCACCCUUUUUCGGUACUCGCCCAGACCCUUCUCCGGUACUCGCCCGGAUUUCACACUUUUCCGGCACUCGCCCGGAUUCCACCCUUUCCCAGUACUUGCCCGAACCCUUCUCCGGUACUCGCCCGGAUUCCACCCUUUUCCGGUACUCGCCUGGAUCCUUCUCCGGUACUAGCCUGGAUUCCACCAUUUUCCAAUACCUGCCUGGACCCUUCUCCGGUACUCGCCCGGAUUCCACCCUUUCCCGGUACUUGCCCGAACCCUUCUCCGGUACUCGCCCGGAUUCCACCCUUUUCCGGUACUUGCCCGGACCCUUCUCCGGUACUCGCCGGCUCGGUACUCGCCCGGAUUUCACACUUUUUCGGCACUCGCCCGAAUUUUACCCGUUUCCUGUACUUGCCCGAACCCUUCUCCGGUACUCACCCAAAGCUUUUUCGGUACUUGCCCGGACCCUUCUCCGGUACUCGCCCAGACCUUUCUCGGUACUUGCCCGGAACCUUCUCCGGUACUUGCCCGGAACCUUCUCCGGUACUCGCCCGGACUUUUCUCUGGUACUCGCCCGGAUUCCACCAUUUUUCGGUACUUGCCCUAACCCUUUUCCGGUACUCGCCCGGAUUCCACCAUUUUUCGGUACUUGCCCGAACCCUUCUCCAAUACUUGCUUGGAUCAAAUCCCUAAUCUUUCCCAGCAUCAUGAUCGGGUCUCCUUUUAUCUUUCUCCGACAUCGUGCCUAGAUCCCAUAGUCCAUUCAGUCAGCAUGACUUAUUUCCCUUAACCUUCUUUAUUGUUGGGUGGGAACAAAAUUGUUGGUCAUUUGGGUUCUUCACUAGAGUUCAUUUCACUCUUGCAUUACAUGCACUUUGCACUCACAAUUCACUCGUUCAUUCACUCUACUGAAGAGGGGCAUAUUUGUAGACCCUCAAUUUUGUCCCUCGACACUGGCAUUUAUCCUUCGGGUGUCACAUCCACCCAUCGUUCGCAUAUGGCACCACUUGGGCCCCUUUUGGGCUUAGUCGGUGUCCGAGCCUCGUGUGGGUUUGUGUGUGGUCCAUUGUGGUGCAUAUGUGGUUCAUUUCGGAGGGUCACCAUGGCCAUUUUACUAGUCAUUCACAUCACGCUAUAGGAAGGAAGUGGGGUCAUCCCGAUGUUUUAGCUUAGUUGGGGUUUAUAGGGGCAUGUUGAGGUUCGGAGCACUUGGGAUUGUUUUGAUUGUAUCUCCCUCAUACAAACUCUGAAUCAAGAACCGUUUAUUUUUAUGGAUUACUUAUUCUUCCAGGAACAUUGUGUAAAAUUUCCAAAAUUUUUUGCAACCGAUCGGCUGGUUGGCAGCCGGUUCAGCCGGUUCAUCGAGUCAGCCGGUGUAGAACACUGAUUUUUGGUAAUUGUUUUGAUCAUAUCUCCCUCUUCCGAACUUGGAAUCAUGCACCGUUUUUUUUAAUGGAUUCCUUACUCUACUAGGAACAUUAUGUCAAAUUUUCAGAAUUUUUUUCCAUCAGUUCGACCAGUUGGCAUCCGGUACAGCCGGUUCAGCCGGUUCAUUGAGUCAGCUGAGGUAAAACACUAAUUCUAGUAAUUUUGAGGCCCAAAUCCUACAUGGCUCAGGCCCAUAAGCUCUAGAUCGGUUUUGGGCAAUGUUGUGGGUCCAUUUUGGGCCUUGGUUUGGGUUCCUUGCAGCCCACCACGAAUCCAUAUGGAUUCUUGGUGGUGAAGCAAGCUGAAAAAACUGAAGGGAGUGAGCUGGCCUUGUAAGUCUAAGAAAAGUAAUGAGGGGUGUGGUUCCCAUGCUGAUGAAGGGAAUUUCGGUGCUGAAGGGGAAGGAACCCAGGAGGCUCAAAUGCUAAGAGGGUUAUGAGUAUAAAAGGUGAGAGGAUAGGAGAGCAAAGGACCUUUGGACAUUUUGGAGAGGGGAAAUCUUGCUGGUGAGAAAAACAAAAGGUCAGCAGCAUCUUCUGAGUUGAGAGUGUGGGGGAAAGCUUCAGCACUGUGGUUUUUUUUGAAGAGGAGAGUGACAGCCUCUCAGUUUUGGAAGUCAUCAUCAGCAUGCACGGAUCAUAUUUGGUGGAGAUUCUGAGGUAAGCAUGCUGAAUUUUCUUUACUUACAGUUUAUCUUCCUCGUCUUCAUAUGCUUUUUCUCCUUCCUCAUCAUCUUUUCUUCCCUUUGAUAUGAAGAUUGUAUUGCUUGGGUGUGGAUAAUAAAGGCCACACAUGAUUGUUGUUGUUUGCUUCCUUGAUCACUUAGGAACUUUCUGACCGAAUUAGGGAUUUUUUACUAACCGGAUGAACCGGUUCAACCGAUUCAGCACCAUAGCUGGCAGCCUCUGUCAGCCAUGAGGAACACCUGCCUUUCUUUGUCCGGUUCUCACUCAUCCGGGAUCAGAAUUGAGAACCAUUUCUUUUUUUUGCUUCCUUAAUCACUUAGGAACUUUCUGACCGAAUUUGAGAUUUUUUACCAACCGGAUGAACCGGUUUGAAACCGGUUCAACCGAUUCAGCACCAUAGCUGGCAGCCUCUGUCAGCCAUGAGGAACACCUGCCUUUCUUUGUCUGGUUCUCACUCAUCCGAGCUCGGAAUUGAGAACCGUUUCUUUUUGUUUCUUCCUUAAUCACUUAGGAACUUUCUGACCGAAUUUGGGAUUUUUUAUCAACCGGCUGAACCGGUUUGAAACCGGUUCAACCGGUUCAGUACCAUAGCUGGCAGCCUCUGUCAGCCAUAAGGAACACUUGCCUUUCUUUGUCUGGUUCUCACUCAUCCGGAAUUGGAAUUGAGAACCGUUUCUUUUUUUUGCUUCCUUAAUCACUUAAGAACUUUCUGACCAAAUUUGGGAUUUUUUACCAACCGGAUGAACCGGUUUGAAACCGGUUCAACCGGUUCAGCACCAUAGCUGGCAGCCUCUGUCAGCCAUGAGGAACACCUGCCUUUCUUUGUCCGGUUCUCACUCAUCCGAGCUNNNNNNNNNNNNNNNNNNNNNNNNNNNNNNNNNNNNNNNNNNNNNNNNNNNNNNNNNNNNNNNNNNNNNNNNNNNNNNNNNNNNNNNNNNNNNNNNNNNNAAAUUUGGGAUUUUUUAUCAACCGGCUGAACCGGUUGAAACCGGUUCAACNGUUCAGUACCAUAGCUGGCAGCUCUGUCAGCCAUAAGGAACACUUGCCUUUCUUUGUCUGGUUCUCACUCAUCCGGGAUCGGAAUUAAGAACCGUUUCUUUUUUUUGCUUCCUUAAUCACUUAAGAACUUUCUGACCAAAUUUGGGAUUUUUUACCAACCGGAUGAACCGGUUUGAAACCGGUUCAACCGGUUCAGCACCAUAGCUGGCAGCCUCUGUCAGCCAUGAGGAACACCUGCCUUUCUUUGUCCGGUUCUCACUCAUCCGAGCUCGGAAUUGAGAACCGUUUCUUUUUUUUUUCUUCCUUAAUCACUUAGGAACUUUCUGACCAAAUUUGGGAUUUUUUAUCAACCGGCUGAACCGGUUUGAAACCGGUUCAACCGGUUCAGUACCAUAGCUGGCAGCCUCUGUCAGCCAUAAGGAACACUUGCCUUUCUUUGUCUGGUUCUCACUCAUCCGGGAUCGGAAUUAAGAACCGUUUCUUUUUUUUGCUUCCUUAAUCACUUAGGAACUUUCUGACCAAAUUUGAGAUUUUUUACCAACCGGAUGAACCGGUUCAACCGGUUCAGCACCAUAGCUGGCAGCCUCUGUCAGCCAUGAGGAACACCUGCCUUUCUUUGUCCGGUUCUCACUCAUCCAAGCUCGGAAUUGAGAACCGUUUCUUUUUUUUUCUUCCUUAAUAACUUAGGAACUUUCUGACCGAAUUUGGGAUUUUUUAUCAACCGGAUGAACCGGUUUGAAACCGGUUCAACCGGUUCAGCACCAUAGCUGGCAGCCUCUGUCAGCCAUGAGGAACACCUGCCUUUCUUUGUCCGGUUCUCACUCAUCCGAGCUCGGAAUUGAGAACCGUUUCUUUUUUUUUCUUCCUUAAUCACUUAGGAACUUUCUGACUGAAUUUGGGAUUUUUUAUCAACCGGCUGAACCGGUUGGAAACCGGUUCAACCGGUUCAGCACCAUAGCUGGCAGCCUCUGUCAGCCAUGAGGAACACCUGCCUUUCUUUGUCCAGUUCUCACUCAUCCGAGCUCGGAAUUGAGAACCGUUUCUUUUGUUUUCUUCCUUAAUCACUUAGGAACUUUCUGACUGAAUUUGGGAUUUUUUACCAACCGGAUGAACCGGUUUGGAACCGGUUCAACCGGUUCAUCACCAUAGCUGGCAGCCUCUGUCAGCCAUGAGGAACACCUGCCUUCCUUUGUCCGGUUCUCACUCAUCCAAGCUCAGAAUUGAGAACCGUUUCUUUUGUUUUCUUCCUUAAUCACUUAGGAACUUUUUGACCAAAUUUGGGAUUUUUUAUCAAUAGGUUGUACCAGUUGAGAACUAGUUCAACCUGUUCUAUUGGAGGACUUUAGGUAGCCUUUGAUUUUGGCAUUUUUCGAGCCCUUAUCCAUGGGGGGCUCAAACCCAUUUGCUAUAGGGCACUUGUGAGCCAUCUUGAAGGUUUAAGUCAGUGUUUGAUUUCAGUUAGUAUGGGCAAUUUGGAAGUUAUGGUUGGUGUGGUCUAGAUGAGUCUAGUUCGAUUUGUAUGACAUUUGGGGAGUCCCUUACCUCAUUUCAACCAGUUAUCUUCCUUUUUUGGCACAAGCUUUGAUGCUUGAUUUUGAAUACAUGUUGCGUGAUUGACUCACCCUCUGCUGCAGCGCUUGGCUAGGGACCACAGGUACGCAUCGUUGGCUUUGGUUGUUGAAUUCAUAUGCAUGCAUGGUGCUUAAUCUUGAAUGUUUGUUAUGUGUUUAUCUGUGUUUGGCUGACCUUUUAUGCAGCGCUUGGCUAGGGACCACAGGUACGCACCCAUUGUUUUGUUUGGUUGAAUUCAUAUGCAUGCCAAAUACCAAUUAGGAUUGUGUGAUUCAUGACUUCUAUUUAGCUUAGGGUUUCAUUUGACCUUUGACCCAUAUGCUCCCACAUACCCAAUUCAUUAGUAGAGACCGAGUUCCGGGCCUAGAGGGGUGCUACCUCGCAUGAGGUACCUUCCCAACGGGUAACCUGAUCCCCGGACCCAGAAUCUAGUUUUCAUAGACCGCUUUUUCCAUACUGGGGUCAUUAGGGGUUUUUGUUCUUACUUAAUUUUCCCCAUUUUAAAAACAAAAAUAAAAAGUAAGUGGCGACUCCAAACAACACUGUUCCUCACUGGGGACGGGUUUUUCAAAACUGGAAAACACCAACUUUUUCAUUUCUUUCUUUUCUUUUAAAAGCGAGUCGCGUCGGUCCGGUGGAUCGGGUGAGGGUCCACAGGGCGCUUUGUGUUGAGAUAUUAGGAAUGCUUUCCUUAUAUCAUUCUUUCCUUAUAUCAUUUAGUGUUGAAAUAUUAGGAAUGUUUAGAUAUUAGGAAAGUUGAGAUAUUAUAAAUAUUGAGAUAUUAGGAAUAUUGAGAUACUAGGAGUAUUGAGAUAUUAGGAAAGUUGAGAUAUUAGGAUAUUAGUUGUUAUUUCCUUAUAUCAUUCUUUCCUUGUAUCAUUCUUUCCCAUUCUUAGAAUGAUGAUUACCCUCUAUAUAUACUCUGUACAUGAACGAAUGAAAGUAUGAAUGAAAAAAACUACCAUUUAUCAAUUUGAAGAUGGUAUCAGAGCCAUGGAACUAAAAUCGUGGAUAUUUUGUCGCUAUGGUAGUCCGACAGCGAUCAACCAUCCUAAGACAAGCCCUAAUAUUGAUAAGUCAACCUUCAAAUGCACUCACUUCAAUAAGACUGGUCCCACCAGUUUGGAUAUCCCACAAUUUCAAAGCAACGACUCUUGGUAUAACCAGGAAAACAAUAAGGAACCGAGGGUUUGAACCAUGGACCUUUAGAUCAUGUUUAGGCUAUCAACACUUUGUUAUUAAUUAUAAUAAUCGUGAUCAACGAAAGAAGGAUCCCAAGAAAACCUCGAUUGCAACUGUUGCCGAAAUAAAAACAGAGGCUAAUGUUGCUGAGAAAGCCUCUGCAUUAGUAGCCGCUACUGAUCAUGGUGGUAAGUUUUUAAAUACUUUUACACCUGUUAUUAAUAGUGCAUGGAUAAUUUAUUCUGGUACUACAGAUCAUAUGACUUUUGAUUCUAGACAGGUUUCACCCCUUAGACCUUCCUCACAAAAAAUUGUUUCCACAGCCAAUGGUAACACAACCCCAGUCAUUGAGGAAGGAUCCUUAACUCUUACUGAUACUUUGAAUUUGGAUUCUGUUUUAGUUGUUCCAUCUUUAGAUUACAAUCUUUUGUCAGUUUCUCGAAUCACUACAAUCUUAUCUUGUAUUGUCAUUUUUUGGCCUGAAUUUUGUGUGAUUAAGGACAUCCAAACAAGACAGACGAUUGGUUGUGGUAUUAAACGGGGAAAACUCUAUUACUUGGACUUGCAAUCAAAGGAUUCAAAUAAGUUGCAACAAGCCUUGAUGGUAGAUGGAUCUGAGGGGGAGAAGAAAAAGUCUGAAAUUUGGUUGUGGCAUCGACGUCUAGGACAUGCUUCCUUUGGUUAUUUAAAAAAAUUGUUUCCUAGUUUGUUUGCAAAGAGUGAUAUUUCUAAUUUCCGUUGUGAUAUUUGUGAAUUGGCUAAAAGCCAUCGUGCUUCGUUUCCGUUAAUUUUGAAUAAAAGUCCGUUUCCUUUUAUGGUUAUACAUUCUGAUGUUUGGGGCCCAUCCAAAGUCCCAACUUUGAGUGGCUCACAUUGGUUUGUUACUUUUAUUGAUGAUUGUACCAGAAUGACUUGGUUAUGCUUGAUGAAGACCAAAGAUGAAGUGAACUUGUUGUUUCAAAAAUUUCAUAAAAUGAUUGAAACUCAGUACAAUGCAAAGGUUCGGGUUCUGCGUAGUGAUAAUGGUGGAGAAUAUCAAAGUUCUGAUCUUCAAAAGUAUUUGGAAGGACAUGGCAUCAUUCAUCAGACUACUUGUUCCAAUACACCCCAACAAAAUGGAGUCGCUGAACGAAAAAAUCGACACUUGUUAGAGGUUGUUCGUGCUUCCUUGAUAGCAGCAAAAACACCGAUAUCUUAUUGGGGAGAAGCAAUCACAUCUGCCGCAUACUUGAUCAAUUGGGUACCUUCUAGCUCAAUUAACUUUCAAACACCUCUCCAAGCUCUUACUAAUGCCGUAGUUGCCCCAACCGUCCCAAAUCUACCUCCUCGUGUUUUUGGUUGCGUGGCAUUUGUGCAUCUACAUAAGCACCAACGCACCAAGUUAACUUCCCAUGCAUUGCAAUGUGUGUUUGUUGGAUAUGCAUUGCACAAAAAGGGAUAUCGAUGUUACCAUCCUCCAACUCGACAAAUGUACAUUACAAUGGAUGUGGUGUGUCAUGAAGAUUCAAUGUAUUUUUCAUCUGAGUCUGAACUUCAGGGGGAGUACCAUAAGGAAAUUCAGACUCUCAAUUAUGAUUAUCAUAUCUCUGAGGAAGAUGAAUCUGGACAAUCUGAACUAGUGAACCAGGAAGUGGGUGAGUUGGAUAUGAGUGGUCAACAAUUUGGGUUCGAAGAUGUCUUCACUGAAAUACCAAACCAAUCGUCGUCUGUUGAGGGUGUUCUUAAUUUGGAACCUGAUCCAUUCAUGAAACGGUUACCACAUCGUCAUAAUAGAGGUAUUCCUAAACCCACAUAUGAACCUGAAUUGUCUACUAAAGUCAAAUAUCCCAUGAGCAACUAUGUGUCUACCCAUCGUUUAUCUGAAUCAAAUAAGUCAUUUGUAAAUCAAUUAUCUACUGUAUCUAUUCCUAACAGUGUGCAGGAAGCCUUAGUUGAUCCAAGGUGGAAAGCAACCAUGAAUGAAGAGAUGAAAUCAUUGCAUAAGAAUGAAACAUGGGANNNNNNNNNNNNNNNNNNNNNNNNNNNNNNNNNNNNNNNNNNNNNNNNNNNNNNNNNNNNNNNNNNNNNNNNNNNNNNNNNNNNNNNNNNNNNNNNNNNNAAGGAUCCUGAAGAAAGAAAAGCUCUGCAAAAUUAUCUAUCUAGAGAAUUCGAAAUGAAAGAUCUAGGUCCUCUGAAAUACUUUCUUGGGAUUGAAGUUUCUCGAUCAAGUGAAGGAAUUUUUCUGUCUCAAAGAAAGUAUACCUUAGAUCUUUUACAAGGGACUGGAAUGUCGGGAUGUCAACCUGUUAAUACACCAAUAGAAGAAGGUCUGAAAUUGUGUGUUGAGCCUAAUCAAGUAUCAACCGAUAAGGGAAGAUACCAGAGACUUGUGGGGAGAUUAAUGUACUUAACUCAUACAAGACCAUAUCUUGCUUAUGCAUUGAGUGUAGUGAGUCAAUGCAUGCAUAAUCCUGGAGAGCAACAUAUGAAUGCAGUCAUGCGUAUUUUGAGGUAUUUGAAGAAUGCUCCUGGGAAGGGAAUUUUGUUCGCUAAAAAUGUUGAUCAUCAGAGUAUAGAAGUAUAUACUGAUGCUGAUUGGGCUGGUGCAGUGGAUGAUAGGCGAUCUACAUUUGGUUACUUUACCUUUGUAGGUGGUAAUCUUAUGACAUGGAAAAGUAAGAAGCAGAAUGUCAUCGCUCAUUCAAGUGCAAAAGCGGAAUUUAAAGGUAUGACUCUAGGACUUUGUGAGGCAUUAUGGCUAAGACUCCUCUUACAGGAUUUAGGUUACCUAUCUAGGUAACCAAUCCGAUUGUUUUGUGACAAUAAAUUCGCAUGUGACAUUGCUCAUAAUCCAGUACAACAUGAUCGUACAAAGCAUGUCGAGGUGGAUAGAUUCUUUAUUAAGGAAAAGUUGGAUGAUAAGAUUGUGGAAUUGCCUAAGAUUCGAUCAGAAGAUCAAUUGGCCGAUAUCCUUACCAAAGCUGUCUCAAGUCAAGUGUUCUCAAAAUUUUUAGACAAGUUGGGCAUGUGUGACAUCUAUGCACCAACUUGAGGGGGAGUGUUGAGAUAUUAGGAAUGCUUUCCUUAUAUCAUUUAGUGUUGAGAUAUUAGGAAUGCUUUCCUUAUAUCAUUUAGUGUUGAGAUAUUAGGAAUGUUUAGAUAUUAGGAAAGUUGAGAUAUUAUAAAUAUUGAGAUAUUAGGAAUAUUGAGAUACUAGGAAUAUUGAGAUAUUAGGAAAGUUGAGAUAUUAGGAUAUUAGUUGUUAUUUCCUUAUAUCAUUCUUUCCUUGUAUCAUUCUUUCACAUUCUUAGAAUGAUGAUUACCCUCUAUAUAUACUCUGUACAUCAACGAAUGAAAGUAUGAAUGAAAAAAACUACCAUUUAUCAAUUUGAAGACUUUGAUAUCAGUUGUUAACCAAACCACACACAUACAUCAGUAGAAAAUAAAGAAAAAUAAGAGUUUUUUAAUGUGCAUGGUUCGACGAUCAAUGUAAUCCCUACGUCUAUAGAAUGCACCAACACUCAUGAAUCCACUAACCAAACGAAAGAGAAGAGGUACAAAGAUGAAGGCUCCCACUCUCCUCUCGAUUGCGGUCUUUUCUCUCUCUAAAACAAAACCCUAAAUCAUAGAGUUAAAAUACAAUGGACAAACUUGUCAUUCAGAUACAUAAAAAAAAUAAAAAUUUCAAAGGGUGCUAUCUUCUUCAACCCCUGCGAGCUGACUAAACACCUCAAUCCUGGUGAACUCAGCGGGGAGUUCAACCCCCCAACAUUUCCUACAAAGCACAACAAAAUUGAUUUAGACUUCACAAUCCAACAAAUUUUAAUUUCAUCAAUAUCAUGUCCAAACCGCAACUAUGGUGAUCUUGGACUCAUUUUUUGUCUAAGGAAGGAAGAAAGAAGUGGCCAAGCAUGAAGGAUUCAAGCUAGUAUGGCUGGAGCACGAAUGGGGCGGCUAUGCAGCAAUAUCUGAGCCAUGUGGGCUGCCUUGUACGCCACACCCGGCUGCACGCAAGCAUGCAAGCGCAUGGGUUUAGCUGCACCACUACCAACCUUGUGCUAGUGUGUGUCGUGACCCAAAGGGUGCUCCAUGGCCUGGCCUGAGCUUCUGGAACUUUGAGCCUUUUUCUGGUCCAUUUUGGGCCAUUAUGGAUGCCGUGUGAUGGCUGAAAAAUCGGCUCCAAGUAUUGAAUCCUUUUGCUGAAAAAAUUGACCCAAACCAUGGAUGAAAGGUUGCUAUAUUUCGAGGCUGCAAGUUGCUGGAUUUUUGUAGUUGAUACACGAAAUUCGAAUGGUUUUUAAUUUUUUAUUAAUCUCAAAAUGGUUUCCAACUCAUGGCAGGCCGAAAGAUGGAGGAUAGUUUGGAAGCUUCAUGGAAAUUGAAUCCUACAUUUGAAAGGAUUCAGAUUUCCUUCCAUAUAGGAACUCCUUGGCCAUUGGAAAUUUCUAUCUUGCCUUUAUUAUUAUUAUUAGUUUUACUUUCUAUAUUUAUAUUACAUGAUUAUUUAAUUUAUAUUGUAAAAUCUCCCAUAAUUUUAAAUUUGGUAAGUUAAAAUUUAGAAAAUUUUGAAGAUUACAUCAUGCCAUAAACAAGCUGAUUUAAAAUUUUACAGUUAGAUAUAAAAUUUCCUUAAUGAAAAGGAACUCUAAGAUUUGGAAUUUUAAGGGUCCAAUUGAUCAUAUUUACUAAUACUUGUUUUUAAAAAACCAUUUUUAAGUUAAAGAUAGAAAAAGUUUUUAAUAUUUUAUAAAAAUAAGGGUGUUUGAUAACUUGCUUUUAAAAACAUUUUUUUUUAAAUAAAAACAAAAAACUUGUUAAGUUGUUUUUAAAAAUAAGUUUUUCAUUUUGUUUUUAUAAAAAACAUUAUAAACUCAAUUUAAGUAAUAUAAAUAAACUUAAUUCAAGUCUUAUUAAAAAUAAAAAAUAGUAAUUAUUAGUAAUAUGUUAUUUAAAAUAAAAUUUAUUUUUUAAUAUGUAACAUGCAUAUAUUAAGUACUCAAUUACAAACAGGGUAUUUUAGAAUAUUUUGAUUUAAUCUAGAAUAAAUUUGAUUUGCUUUUAGAGUUUUAAAUUAUUUCUAAAAAUUAUUAAACUUAUUAAUAAAUUCAAUACAAAGUGUCACAUGAUUUUAUAUUCAUUUCUUUAAUGAAAAAAAAAUUAUAAAAAUAUAAUUAUAUGCAGAAAAUAAAUAAUAGUCAUUGUAUAUCCGUUUUUAUUCAUAAUUUUUUUAUAUUAAUUGGGUCAUUAUUUGAGUUUCAAAUUAUUUUUAAAAUUUACUAAACUCGUUAAUGAAUCCAAUGCAUUAAGUUUUACUUGAUUUGAGAUUUAUUUCUAUAGUGAAAAAAAUGCAAUUGUGGAGAGAGAAAAAAAAAUGAUACUAUGUUCAACUUUUUUGCUUUCUUAUAGUUUUUUUUUUCCUAAUUUCUUUGUGUUUUCCUUUGUUUUUAAAAUUGGUGAAAAAAAAAUUAUACUUAUUCUCUGAAAAUUAUUCUCAAUAUCACUUUGUUUUUAAAAACUUGAAAUAGAAAUUAACAAUCAAACAAUAUUAUGAAUCUUUAAACAAAUUGGAAGUUUUCAUGUCAGUUCCAUAUGGAAUUAGAGUUUCUAAAUUGAAGUAGGUUCCAGGAAUGAGAAAGAUAGAAACAUACAAAAUUUUAAGAAUUAAUGAUUUAUUUUGAAAUAGAAUAUCUUUAUAUUAUGUUUUUUAAUUUCCUUAGAUACCGUGGAAUUGAUAGAUUAGUAAAAUCCAAAAUUUGAUUAGAAAGAAAAAAAAAAUAUUAAUUUGGUUAAAUUUCUAUUUGAGUUAAUAUAGAAAAAUAAUUAAGGAAUUUCUUCCUCUUGAAAUUAGAAUUGUUAAAUUAAAGAGAUUUUCAUAAUCAACUAAGUCUUGGAAAUUUUUGAAAAUCGAAAGUAAUUUGUAUCAAGAUAGUUUUUCAUUGCAUAAUCAAGUAAUCAUUUGGUUUUGUAAUUGAUAUCACUAUGAACUAGGAUGAAAAUCAAAAGUAUAUUUUAAGAAGUAAUUAUAUAAGCUAUGAUAACAAAUAUAACUAUGGUUUUCAUAAUUUUUUUGACAAAUUUUGGAAAGGCUUUUAGAUGACAAAUUUGAUUUGUAAUUGAACCAAGCAUUACAUAAAAGCUAUCUUGUGGUUCAAAAACCAAUAAGGUUGAAUCCAAGUUAAUAUUGUUAGAAGUUAUUAAUAUAUUUACUUACUAUAUUAGAAUUAUAUGUUUAGUUACUAUAUAUCUAUUUAUUUCCUUACUACAUCUCUUUUUUAAUUUAGUUAGUAUAUUAUAAUUAUAUUCUUUCUUCUUAAAAGUAAGGGUAAAUUAGUCUUUAUAUUCUUUUAUUAGACCUACUAAUUGUGUUAUACCUAUUUUCAAGAGAAUUUAUAAUGAGAAAUCCUAAAUUUUCUUUUCUCUCCAUUUUUCUAUGAAUCUUUUUUAGAUUUCAACAAAUAUUACAAAAUGUUAAUUGUAUUUAGGUUAGUUUGAUCGACCUUUAAAACCAAAUUAUAAGCAAUCAUAUUUUUUCAAAAUUACAUGAUAUGAUAUUUGAAUCAAUCACAAAGUAAUCUAAAAAAUUGUUUGAGAAUUUUAUAUGUUUUUAACCUCUUUUAUUUUUGUUUUUAAAUUAAGUUUAAAAAUAACUUCUAUAUUUGUAUUUUACUUUUAAUCAUUUUUAUAUUUAUAUAAUUAUUUUAAAAACAUUUCUAAGAAAACAAAUGAAAACAAUUAAACAACUCAAAAAUAUUAUUUUAAAAUGCUAUUUUUAUAUUUUUAAGAAUGAAAAGAUUGUUUUAUGUUGUCUAGUUGUCUUAGCAUGGGUUUUUAUUUAUUUAUUUAUUUUUAAUUUUUUUAAGCUAAGAAUAGAAAUUAAAAAUAGUUACCAAAUAGGAUUUAGUGUUUAAAUUCUUAGAAUCACCGGUUGCUUCCUCAAAUCAACUUCUGUUUUUCACAUGUAUUUGCUUAUUGACACUGGCCUUCUGUGCAUAAAUAUUCCAGAACUACUCAUGUUGAAAAUUUAAUGCUCACAAUGCUGAUAAGGUAGUGAAAAGGAAGGGUAAUAAAAUUAAGGAGAAUGGCGACAAGACAUACCUGAAGAUCAAGACCCAUUACAUGGCGACAGGAGAAUGCCAAUUUUGGAAAGGCAUGCACAUUGGUCUGACCCAUUACACGGCGACAGGAGGAUGCCAACUUUGGAUAGGCAUAUUGGUAGUUGGGAGAGUGAUUAUAGAUGGUCUCUCUUGCCUCGGUGGGUGAUGAGUGGUUGGUGGUCCGUGAUUCCGUGGGGGUGAACGGUGGUCGGACAAAUUUUAUAUUUAUAUUUAUUUUAUUCUAACCACCUUUUUUAGCUGCAAUAUCGACCUAACAAAAUAAAAUAAAUAUAAAUAAUAUUUUAUUAUUACAUGUAUACAUUUACUACUGGACCAUCAAUAUAAUAUUUUAAAAUGUUUUGAUUUAAUUUGUAAUUUAUUGGAUUGGUUAUUUAACUCUAAAUUAUUUUUAAAAAUUAAAAGAUUCAUUAAAGAGUUUGAAUUAUUAAUUAUAUCUUAAUUUAUAAUCUAUUUACUUAGGGAACAAAUUUAAAAAUUAGUUUUAAUUUAUUAUUUUUUCGGUGAUUAGAUCUAUUUUUUACUAUAAUUUUUUUGUGUUAAUGAGUUUAUUAUUUGAUUUUAAAAUUAUUUUUAAAAAAUACUAGACUUGUCAACAAAUCUAAUGCCUUAAGUCUUAUUUAAUUUAGAAUUCAUUUGCCUAGUAAAAAAAUAAAAAUUGGAAACUAAUCAUUCUAUAUAGAAGAGAAACAAUAGAGUCAUUCUAAAUCAAUUUUUGUCUAUAAUUUAUGGUAUUAAUUGGAUCACUAUUUGAGUUUUAAGUUAUUUUUAAAAAUUAUUAAACCCGUUAAUAAAUUCAACGCAUUAAAUCUUGUUUAAUUUGGAGUUCAUUUGUCUAGUGAAAAAUAUCGGAAAAUAAUGAUUCUAUGUAGAUGAGAAAUAAUAGAGUUGAUCUAGAUCAAUUUUUGUUCAUAAAUUUAUGAUAUUAAAUGGAUAAUUAUUUGAGCUUUAGAUUAUUUUUUAAAAUUACUAAACUUGUUAAUGAAUCCAACACAUUAAGUCUCGCUUAAUUUGGAUUUUAUUUAGCUAGUGAAAAAUUUGUAAAAAUAUGAUAUAUGUAAAGAAGAAACUAACCAAGUUAAUAGAGAAACUAGAUAAUUUAAAUAUUUAUCCUUAAUUUAUUUAUUAAUAUUUAUCUAUUUAUUAUUGGUUUGAAUUAAAGUAGAAUAUAGAGUUUAAAUUAGAUUAGAAGUUUAGUACUAGUUUGAAUUAGAGUAGGAGAUAAAGUUUGAAUUAUAGUAGAACUCAAAUGUAUUUGUAUAUGAAUAUUCCUCAUCAUCAAUAAGAAUGUUAGACCAUAAUUUCCAAAAUUCUCUUUACUUCAUUAUGGUAUCAAAGUAGUAUCCUCCCAUGAUUGUCUCUCUCUUCCUCUCCUGUUCAUAAGCCAAUCAAUCCUACAUAAUCAAGCUCAAUGGUCGCAAUAAACACCGUGAGUCUGACGAACCUGCAACCCAAUUCCAGACAUCCUUAUAAUGAAUCUUGGCAACCUCCACCACUAGCAAACUCUUCAUUCCCCGUGUUCCACAACAUUGGGCCACAAUCAUCUGCCCUAUGUAGUGAUCGACCACCUCUUAAGUCCUAUCUUAGCUACUAUCAAUCUUGCAGUAUACAAGGUCACAUUGCCAAACGCUACCCCACCUAUUGUAUGAUGCUGACAACAUUAACUCUAACUUUGGCCACAUAAUUGUCACCAUAAUGGUAACCUCAUACCAACUUUGCUUCUACAAACAACUCUAGUACUCCAAAUUGGCUUCUUUAUCAUGGAGCAUCACACCAUGUCACCUUUGACUUGAGUAAUCUUUCCAUUUUACUCCUUAUGAUGGCUCUAAUGACAUUAUGAUUGAUGAUGGCAUGGGUCUUCCCAUCACCUAUACUAGUUCCACAUCUCUCUCUAUACCUUCUCAUAUCUUUUAUUUAAAUAUUAUCCUUUGUGUUCCUACUAUGAAAAAAAAAUCUUAUUUCUAUCUUCUAAUUCUGUAAAUAUAAUAAUACGUCAAUUACAUUCUCACUUUUUAUUUUUCAUGUGAAGGAUCUAUGUGUUGGGAUUGAGCCCCUAAAAUCAAGACAUGAUAUAACAAAGUUAGACUUCACCAUUAUCUUGCUAUCCUUUUGGUGUGUUGACAUUGAUUUAAGCAUUCAACCCAUAUCUCUUACAUUUACAUGACUUGGGUGCAUUAGGAGUUGCAUAGAAAAUACAAGUCAUGGGUUCUUUGUAAGUAGAUAAGUUGUCCACAAUCAAUUCAUGGAUUUGGGCAAUCUAGUAAAGAUUGUAAUGCGCUACCUCCUAUUUGGAGAGAUGACUUGUCUUGGCCGUUGGGAUGGGUUUUUUCAGGGUGAGUGCACUAGUGUACGUAUGUGAUACAUACUAGAUAGGACCUACAGUGAAUCAUGACAUAAGACUAUCAAUUGUCAUAAUUCACCAAGUUAUUAACCACAUGGACUUUUAACCUUGAGAGGAUAUUGAGUCUGUGCCAAAAUCAACAGAAGGCUUUAGUCUAUGGGUGAGACCCUAAAGUGGUCAUAUAUCCCUAUGGAUUAGGUCACCGUUAAUGAAGGCUGGUAGCAAUAAGUAUUCUCAAUAGAAACACCAUGAUAUCUCAUAGGAUUGAGACAAUGUGUCCCCUUGGGUGAUCCAAAGGACAUGUGAUCAAGAAACCUAUGACCACAAUAAUUCCUUUAGUGGAGUUUGGCAUAUGUUAGCUCGUUGGAGUUAGAGUAUGUUAGUAGAUCACAUAAUAUGUGGGAUCUAUUACUUAAGGAUUCGAGAGGCAAACUUAAUAGGUGAUAGGACUACCUUGUUAGAUUACGAACACUAGUUCAUGAGGAGUUUGCAUAUAGUGGAUAGUAGGUCACAAACUUGAACUUUGUCUUGUUGUUAUUUACAUAGGGUACUCGAGUGUAGUUGAAUCUCUUUAGUAGAAUGUUGAAUCAACUUUAGAAUUUGAUUUUAUGGGUGCUAAUGGUCCCUACUCUGAGCUCAUAUAUCAUGAUGACACGAUUUAUGAGGGUUGGAUUGACUCUAGCUUCAUUAUUAUGCAUAAGAGUAUUUUGGUAAUUACAUAAGGUUGCAUAGGGGGGAUAAGAAAUAAGGUCUUUGGAUUGGGCUAAUUGAUUAAUUAGAUAGCCUUAUGUGGUUAAUUUAAAGAAAAGUAUUAAGCAACACAUCAUUUGAAAUCCUUAGGGUCCGUUUCGCCAUGUUUUCUUAAACUUAUUUUUAAAAACUAAUUUUAAGUUAAAGAACAAAAAACAAUUUUCUAGUGUGUUAUAAAAAUAAUUGUGUUAGGCAAGUUGUUUUUAAAAAUAAAAAACAAAAAACUUGUUUGGAUAACUUAUUUUUCACAUACACACACAUAUAGAUAAAUUAAAUUUAGUUCAAGUCUUAUUAAAUAUGAAAAUAGUUUUGUAGUUACAAAUCAAUUUAAAAUAAAUAUUUUUUAAUAAAAUAUAAAAUAAUAUUAUAGUAAAAUCAGAAAUUAUAUAUUUUAUAUAUAUAAAAAAAAUGUAUUGUUUAAGUAUAUAUUAGAAACACAAGGACAUUAACAUCUUUAUAAAUGUUUUUGGUUAAAAUUGAAUAGUAAUAAUUUAAAAUAAUAUUUUUUUUAACAAUAUUUUAUUUAAAAUAGAUAAUGAAUAAAGUUUUGAUUUAAUAUUAAAUUACGAACAUAAUAAUCUAAAAUGUUUUGAUUUAAUAUGCAAUUAAUUAGAUGGGCUUUUUGAAUUCAAAAUUAUUCUUAAAAAUCUAAAAUUCAUUAAAUAAUUUAAAUUAUUAAUUAUGUCUUACUUAAUUUAUAAUUUCUUUACCUAAAUUCAAAAAAUAUAUUUGUGAGUAUAGGAGAAAUAAUAAAGUGACUCAUAAUAUAUUGGUUUUGACCUAUUAUUUUUUUUAAUGAUUAGAUCUAUUUUUUUAUUUCCAAAUUAUUUUUAAAAAUGAUUAAAACCAUUAAUAAAUUCAACACAAAGUGUCACUUUAUUUGAAGUGCAAUUUUAUAGUGAGAAAAUUUAUAAAAAUAUAAUUAUGUAUAGAAAAAAUAGAGCUAUUAUGGAGCAAUUUUUAUCCUUAAAUUUACUGUAUCAAUAAGUUUAUUUUUUGAGUUUCAAAUCACUUUAAAAAGCUACUUAACUUUUAAUGAAUCCAACACAUUAAGUCUUAUUUAAUUUGGAUCUUAUUUUCCUAAUUAAAAAAAUUAGAAAAUAAUGAUCGCAUGUUGAAGGGAAAUAAUAGAGUUAUUUUGGACCAAUUUUUGUUCAUAAAUUUCUAGUAUUGAUUGGAUCAUUGUUUGAGUUUUAAGUUAUUAAAAAUUACUAGACUCACUAAUAAUCUAACACAUUAAGUCUUAUUUAAUUUGAAGUUCAUUGGUCUAGUAAAAUAAAUAAAUAAAUAAGGAUUCUAUGUAAAGAACCUAAAAUUACUUAUUGUUAUUUGCAUUUUUCUCUCCAUUAGAUUUUAUAUGGUAAUAUUUUGAAAUUUAAUAUAAUUUUAAUGAAUUUCUUUAAUUUCUCAAAUUCAAUAUGCAAUAAAAUAAAGAUCAAUCGGGUAAAUACAUAUGGAUAUGUAAGCCAAAAUCCUUAAUAUUGGUAAUAAUUUUAUAGAUCUUAUCUAGAACUAAAAUGCAAAAUAUUUACAAGUGUUUACCCCAAUAAGUUAAUCUCAGGUUUAAAAGUUACCAAAUAAUGUGCAACAUCAAAUUGCACAAGGUUACACUAAUUAUAUAAUUAAAUGAGUCUAAAGUUUUAUUUGGAUUAUUUAAUUAAUUGGAGUCUAUCUUAUUAGUUAAUUAAUUAAAUAGGAUCUAAUGAAUAAGAUUUAAGUGCCUUAUGUCCAAGCCCUAACCACUAAAGCUCAUCAUUUGUUUAUAAAAACAUAUAUAUAUAUUAAGAUUUAGGACUAAAAUUCUGAGAUCUUCUUGCAAAACCUUAGCCUCAAUCUUACUCAAGGGAGAAGACUACUUUUCGCUUGGUGUGAGGAUCUUUGAAGCAACCAUCAAGUGGAAGACACACGAGGUCUUCAAGAGCAUACCACACACACACACACAAAAAAAAAGGGGGUUUGGGAACAUCCAAACCCAAAAGGUAUUAUUUUGAACCCUAAAGUACCAAAUUUUCAUUUUGAUAUCACUUCUACUAUGCAUGAUUUAAGAUGACAACAUUUUCACAUAGCAGAAGGACUUGUCUUGGUUAUUAGAAUUGGAUUCUAGAUUUGAUGUGCUAGCAUAUAUGUGUUAUACAUAGAUUUGACUUAUAGAAAUGCACAUCAUAGAUAGUAUUAGUUGGACAUGUAUAUUCUCAAAGAUACUAUGUUGCAUGUGCUAUCAAUUUUAAUAGAUAAUCAAGGUAAUGUAGAAUUAAUAAUUUCUUUCAAUUGAUAUAUGAGUAAGAUGCUAAAGUGAUUACAUAUCCUUGUUAACUUGGGUAAUUAUUUUGUUCCACAUGUAGCAAAAUUGAUCUUCAAUAUAAUAACCCAUGAUAACUUGGCAUUGGAGACAAAUUCCUAUAUAUGGUUAAUGAGGUAAUCAAUUUCUUGUCUAGUUUAAUGUGCAUGGGCACUAAUUUCAAAUUAUUUCACUAGAUAAAUGGAACAAUCCUAUCAAGAGGAUAGGAAGCUAUUUUAUAGAUCCAAACCCUUCAAACCUAGAGGUUGAUAAUGAAAACUUAGCUUUGCUCGCCAAAGAUUUCCUUACUAGGUUGUAAGGUGAGAUUAUGGAGAUAACUAAUCAUGCAUCCAUGAUAGACAUCUAGCCAAAUGUUAGAUCUUCUUAGUUGGGAGCAAGCUUCUACAACAUAAUAAUUCCAUCUUGAUGAACUUAAUACUCAAUCUUGAGGAUAUAAAUGGCUGCAAGGAAGCCACAUCAUAGAAUGCCUAGUAGCCAAUUUAAGUCAAAAUAAGGUGAUUCUAAGCAGCAUGAUUGUUAUUUCAAUUAUUGAGAAAGGCCAAUGACAUUACAUUAUUUAAAACCAAUAUGUCCUUAUUAAACCAAGUACUAGAACUUGUAAUAGGGAUGGCAACGGGGCGGGUAUGGGACGGGCGACCCCUACCCCAUUUCCCUCCUGGUUAUAUAAUUUUUUUCCCAUCCCAGUCCCAAACCCAGGGUAGGGCGAGUUGGUGUCCCCCAUGCCCAUUUACAAAAGAGAUGAUAAUCCCAUCCCUGUGCCAAAUGUGUUUUUGAGGAUUAUGUUUUUACAGAACAUGAGUCUCUAGAAUUUCAAUAAACACUACUUGGGUUCUCAUAUUUAAGCUACAAAAAACCUCUUUCCAAAUGAUUCAUACUUUGACGACACCCAUGUUGUGUUGUCUCCUCAUCCACAUUUAAUCAAGCAUUUGUUGUGCAACAAAACUACAAACUGCACAUAUGAGAACAAAAUGCACAGAUCUACAAAUAAACAACCCAAAAAAUCUCAAAUCCAUCAACUAAAACAAGAAAAAUAUGAAAAACAAGACAUUUCUAACAAAGCCUCAAAACUUAGGGUUUUCUUACUUGGAAAUGAGGAAUCCAUAGAAACCCUAAUAAUUUGUUGUCUACGAAAUUGGUAUUCUGUUUUUUAGAGCAAAAACUAUGCUUUGAGGGUGAAACAAGAAGAAGCAAUUUAGGAAGAAAUGAGAAAACAAGAAGAAAUGAGAAAACGAAAGCUCUCUUAUUGUCUUACGAGCGAAAGAACCUUGGAUCUUUAGGAAGAAAUGAUUAUAUAUAUGGAAGACUUUUUGGGUAUUUUGUAAUGCUAUAAGGGUAAAUUGGUAAUUCAUAUACGGGGUGGGGGCGAUAACUACAAAACCUAUCCCUCCCUGAACCCAAUUCAGGUUUUUAUAUACUCCCCAAACCACUAGUUGAAUUUGUCAAUAUUUUAGCAAUAAGAGGAUUUGCACCACUCACUACAAGGAAAAUGUCAAAAUGACGCUUUUUAAGUGUCAAGAUAGAUAUAAGAUGACGCUUUUUAAAAGCGUCAUAUAUUAGACUGUCAUCUUUUUAAAUCGCAUACGUUGACACUUUUUAGAAGCGUCAUCUUCUUUGCACGUCAACCAUGACGCUCAUAGUAAGUGUCAUUAUUUGAAACAUUGACGCUUUAUAAGUGUCAUCAUAUGUUAAUAAUUUCAUUCAUGUCAAUAUUGACACUCAAUGAAGCGUAAUUGUAUAGGUAGAAGCAACAUUGACACUCAAUAUAAGUGUCAUCUUAUAACUUUUUAUUUGUAGGAGCAAUGUUGACACUUAUUAAAGCGUCAUUGUAUAAGUAGAAGCAACAUUGACACUCAAUAUAAGUGUCAUCUUAUAGCUUUUUUAUUUGUAGGAGCAACAUUGACACUCAUAAUAAGUGUCAUCGUACAACAUUUUAUACCUUGACAUAACAUCAACCUUGACGCUUUUGAGAAGUGUCAUCUUCUGUUUAUUCAAGUAAAGCAUGACGCUUUAAAAAAACGUCAUCUUAUCUCAUAUAAAAUUUUAAUAGCCCAGAAAUUAAAAUGUCCUAAUUAUGCCCUGUUUUAUAAUUUUCUAUCAACAAUUAAAUUAAUAAUGAAAACUUAAUUUAAGAAUCUCCAUUGACAAAAAGUAUCAAAUAUGGUCUUCCUUUUUCACUAUUACAAUUUAUCCAUAAACAUCAUACAUAAUCAAUAACUAAAACCAACAAUUUUACAACUUCUUCUUCAACUUUGAAUUGUUCAUAACCUUCACUACAUCUAGUUUUACAUCAUUUUUCUUCCAAGUGCAAAAGGAUGGUUGUAACUCACUUUCUAGAUGCUCAAUCUGCAAAAUAAUUGAGAGGGUUACAUAUUUAUUAGUAUUAACAAAUAGUUAAGAAGCAACUUUGUAAAUGAAAUGUGUAUAUGCCAAUUUUUAAAUUUCCAAAAUAUCUUUCUUCCAUUGCAAUAAAUUUCAAAAUAUCAAAAGAACUCAACAAACUCCAAUAAUUUUAUUACACCAAAUUUCUAAAUAUUUUAGAACUCUUAUUCUAUUUUUUUUUAAAAACAGAAAAAAAAAAGUUUUUAUCUCAUUGACUAUUUUGGUAUGAUUUUUAUCUUAUUUAUGAAAUUCAACCAUUAACAUCUUCUCAUUCUUCUUAUAGGUUGUACAAGACAUUAGAUGUUUUGCAUGAGAAGGAACUAAGGAAUGAAAAAAAAAACAAAAAAAAACUAGAAGUCCGAAAAAUUAUAAAAUUGUAAAUUAACAUAUUUAUGUAAAAUUAUAAAAUUGUGUUAAAAUAUCUAUGUUCUUCUUAUUGUAUUAGUAUAUCAACAUUUAAUAAUAUGAGGAUAUCUAUUAUCUAAAUAUGGAACUUGCAUGAAAUGAUCUCUAAACAUGGAAUUGAUUCAUAAAACUUACAAUAACCACAACAUGUUACCUCAAAAUUCUUUUGAUGAUAUAUUUUGAAUUGUUUGUGGGUGUCCUUCAUCAAGAGUAGUAGUGACGUUGUUAAUAGAAUGACCUAUGCCUUUUUGUACAACCUGAAGAAUAUAUAAUAAACAAUUUAACAACCAAUUAGUAAGAGGUGCUAUUUCCUUCCAUAGGCUUAUUUGUAAGAAGUCUUAAACUAACUUCCUAUUUUUUAUGUAAAAGAAAAUGGAAGUACAAGAUAUUAUAGACUUUAAGCCCAUUAGUAUAGUAGGAGACCUUUAUAAAUUUGGAUUAAAGAAGUUUAUAAAGCUAGUAAUCUUAAAGACCAAAAAUGCUUUUGUAGAGAAUAGACAAAUUCCUAAUUCAUGCACAUGUAAUGAAACUAAAGGCUCUACGAAAAUGAGCUUGGACAUGCAGGAAUUUUUGUAGCUAUGCUAUUGUAGGAUUUCUCCAAAUCUAACUGAUAAUAAUUUGUAGAGGAAAUAUACAAAAGUUGUUACACCUACCAUGUCUACUUGGCUUCACCUCUCAAUAUGCCAACUAUACAUCAAUCAUAAUAGAGCAACCCCCAAAAUGAUCCAUAUUAAAAACACUGCCAACUAGGAGUACAAAGAUAUACAUUAACAAAUUAUCAUUGUGAAUAAAUCCAUUAUAAAAUUAACAUUAACAAAAUAUUGACCACAUCUUUAAAAGAAUAUGAAGUUGUAUUAGACUAUAAGUUAGAAGAGGUACUUUCAAACAUGAGUAAUGAUUAACUGAGUCACUAACAUAACCCAAUCUGAUCGAACUUCAUUAAUUUCCAUUUCUUCUAUAUGAUUUCUUCUCGCAAAACUGAAUUGGAGUGACAUAUACAAUUCACUAAGUUCAAUUGACCAAAAAAAAAAAGUGCUAUAGUAAAAUGACCAACCAUAUGAAUUGAAUUGAGUGCAAACCUUUGAUGUUAGUUGGUUUGGAUUAGCAAUGAUUUCCUUCAUAUAUCUCAUCAUGUAAUACCCACAUUCCACACUACCUGGUUGUCUUGGGCACUAUGGGAAAAGUAUCAACAAUUGCAAUAAACACUAGAAUGAUGUUCUUACUUCUUUAGCAUCUUAUUGAUGAUCAUAUUAAUAACCAUUCAUUUUCUAAUUUUGUCAUAAAUUAAGUGGUGAAGCAAUAUAUUUUAAUCUAAACAAAUAAGUACUUACAACCACUUUCACCCAAGUUGGCUCCCUCUUUGAUGUUUUCUGUUUUUCCGGUGGGUUGAUUCUCAUUGCCCUACAAAAAGAAUUAAAAAGAUGUUAUUUAGACACUAUCAAUUGUAUUAAAAUAGGAGAAAAUAUAUACUUACAUGUUAACUAUGUCCUUAAGAUCAUCACAUGGUUGACAGGCCAUUGGAUCAAGGUAAUAUGCAAUCAUUUUCUUCAUCUCCAAUGCCACUAACACCCAAUGGAAACUAAAGAAAAGAAAUGAAAAUUGUAAUAUAGUAUCCACAAAUUCAAACAUCACAAACUAACUUACAAACACCAUAUUGAUAUUUAGGAUAAAAGGUUACUCUGGGUUGUAUGGAAUAAGCAUAUAUUCAGCAUGCUUUGUAUUCUUUAGUCGAUUUGCAAUAACCCUUGACCUGUUUUCCUUGCUUCCUUCUCCCAUUCCAGCUUUUGAGACCAAUGCUGGAUUGAAAAAAACAUAUCGUUCGGCCUGCUUUGCAUCAAUCAACUUUCUAUGCAAAUGCCUGAUUAUAACCCACAUGACAAGUUAUCAACAAUCAUUAUAGGUCAUUAGAAAAUAACCUUUUAUCUCAUAAUCUUGUGAAAAGUCAUUCAAAAAUUAUAAAAUCUCUUACCAGAUGUAGUAUAAAAUACAAUUGGAUGACACUUCUUUUGAUGAUAUUAUCAUUUCCAUAUCUUCUUUCAUCAUGAAGGUCUUGAAACUCUCACCAAAAACAUCAUCUAGGAAGUUUACAGGGUGUGUUCUUGAUGUACUCAGCAUGAGGCCAACCAAUGUCUCAAAAUUUUUCAUAUCUUGUGGUUUUUCACCCUUGGAUUUGACUUUAACUUCAUUUACUUUUUGUUUCUUUGCUUUCUUAGAUGCCUGUACAAUUAAGAACCAUGGUACAAAUCAAAUUAACUAGUUUAUAUAUAUAUAUAAAGUCACUAUAAAGUUUGGUAAUUAAAUUUACUUACUAAGAUGGGAGUACGGAUGAUGACCAAUCAGUUGGCCACAAAACUUGGUAACCAAUUGCAGCCCCAACAGUAGUAGUUUGUCCAGGAAUAGGAAUGGGAAGGGGUGCACUUGAAUCAUAAGGAGCAUCAACAACUACUAAAUAGUUGGGACCACAUUCAAGUAUAAUUGUUCCACCUGCCACUAUAUUUUCCUUGGUGCCUAUGGCCAGCUCACAUUUUCUAACCUACAAAACUUAAUUCACAAUAAUCACUUCAAUAUUAGUGGGUUUAUACAAAACUAACAUAAAUGGAUUAUCAUCAUCAAUCACCUUAUAGCUCCUAUUACAAUGAUAAAUGCAAUUUCAUUUACAUUCAAUUGCAACAAACUUGCAUGAUAACAUUUCAGUCCAUUGCAUAUAACUCAACCCAUAAUUUAGACAUAUCCUAUUAUAUGUUGCCACAUCAAAGAAGACCAUAUAUGUUGCCACCAACAUUUGAAGUCAAUUCAAACAACAAAAUUAAAUUAAAUUAUUUCUCGUAUUAGAGGAAACUUUGUCAUCAAAUUAGCUUAACUGAAUAAAUACCUUCUUCUGUGGUUCUAUUGCUUCUGGUGGGGUCACAUCUUCAACUUUACGGAUUGGCUUAUCCACUACUUCUGGUGAGAGAAGUUGUUUUUGCUUCAUGUUUGAACUGCUAACAUCAGAUUAGGGAGUAACAGCUCCUACUUGAGACAGUUUUGCUAGCACUUCUGCUUGAAAUAUUCUUUGUUCUUCUUUAGAUGCUGCUAUGAAAUCCCUGACAGCAUGAUUUGCAGCACUAUUGAAAUAUUGGCGAGGUGUGUAGUGUUUCCCUUUGGCCCUAACUCGACCACUAUACUCAGGAGUACCCAAUGCUUCCACAAGUAUAUCAUUACUUCCACUAACACUUCUACCGUUCUCUUGAGACUCUUUCAAUAGCUUGUCCUUAAAAAAUAUUAAUUAUAAAGUUAAAUUGCAAAUUUGUUAUUGUAAAUAACUUAUUAUAAAUAUAUGUAAUUAAAAUUGAAAAAUAUUCACUUACUACUUUCUCAAUUACUGGUAUGGCCACUUCAUCAAAGGUGCCGUCCUUUUUUUCCCUUGCUUUCUUCCACAAUAUGCUUCGAUCAAUAGUUUCAGUUGAUCCACUUGCAACCAUCUUUCAAAAUAGGACAAUGUAUAAUAUAAUUAUCAUAUAACCCUAUUAUGUAUUAUGCAUAAAAUAAAUAAAAAACAAUUAAUAGGAUUACACUUACCAUUUCUUCCUCAAGACCGGCAUAUCCUUUCCUACUUAGAUGGUGAUUAUAAAUGUUUCUCUUUCUUCUUUCUUUUUGAAUUUCUCGAUAUUCCUAUAAAUUAAAAUUUUAUAAUUAAUGAAUGUGAAUAAGAGGUAUGUAAAGAGUCUUAAUUAUACCUUAAAGUUGUCAGACAAUCUAUCUUUGACAAAUAUUGUCCAAUCUUCAUCCUCAAUAAAAGUAUAUUGAAUUGGUGGUCUUUUGAGGAGCUUCGGUUGGUCUUCGAAAGGAAUAAUGUACUUCACUGUUAGCAAGUUUUUAAAGGACCGAAAGCAUUUUCCCAUUGUUAACAUACAAUUCCUCCUGCUUUUAUGAUUUAAUGAAAAAGCAGUCUGCAGUUUAAUACCAAACUUUAGUAAUUUCAAGAGAUUAAGAAUGAUAGACAUUUUACAUCAAAGUGAUUUAAAUAAGAAAUGGUUACCUCAAUGUUGUCCCAUAACUUAUCCUUCAACUGUUUAGGUACAACAUGCCAAGUUUUAUAUCUUAUUGGCACCAUAGUGCAUGCUAACAUGCCUAAGUAGCUUGUUAGAUGAACUGCUGAUUCUCUUAUGAAAAUGCCAUCAAGAUUGUACUUAACCGGCAGCUUAACCCCCUUGCUUCUAUUUUUUAUAAUCAUAUGCUUCCGUGUCAUCCCUCUGUACUUCCUUUUUAUGGGUUUUUCUCCUUCCUUUGUCUCCAUUCUUGUAAGAAAAAAAAUAAAAAAUGAUAAAGAUUAGUUAAAAUUAUAUUGCAUAUAACCUAGUCAAAGAAUAAUUGUAAAACAUAACUUUUCAAAGAAACAAAUCCAUAAUCAUUGCACAAUGAAAUGCAAUAGAUCAUUAAUUCAAUAGAUCUUUUUAGAAUUGUUCAUCAUAUAACAAGGAUAACACUUCAUUUAAACUUUUUUUUUCCGCUUUGUUUAACAUUUCAUUUAUUUUAAGCAACCCAAGGGCCUUUGUAUAAGAAAGCUAAAUUUGCAGUAGGAAUUUCCUAUAAGAAUCAACAUGGAAGGAGCACGUGGUUUCAACAAGUUCAUCAAGUCUAUAAGAACUUAUGAAAGCUUUUAGACUAUCGGUUUGUGUUACAUUAAGUUUGGAAAACACAACAUGCAUAUUGAUAAUAAAAAAUUUCAUAAUUUUUUUACUCACAAACAUAACUAAUUUAGUAUCUUCCAUGCACAAUUUAGGGAAAAGGUUUUAGUAAAUAUGUUAUUGGGAGAUGUUAAAGAAUGGUCAAUAUUUUGUGCAAAAAAAUAAAGAAAGGAUAAAAAUUACCUAUUUUGUGGCUGUUGCAACCCAUUCCAUGGCCUUUAUUCAUACAUUAGCAUUAAAAUAUAGCUACAUAGAGGAUUUGUUCUCAAUCCAAAUCCCCUCACAAUCGCCUCUCAUACAUGUUGCAUCUGAGUCAUCCAUUACAUCAAACGCUUCAAUUUGUGGCAAUGACCCUAUAAAGGGAUGGUGUUCAAUCGAAUUGUCAACAAAGUCUUCACCUCCUUCCAUAUCCAAGAAAUCUUUUUGAGGAGUUGACAAAACAACCGACCAUCUUGGAUCAAGUUGGUCUUGCACAUAAAAUACUUGCUUAGCUUGGGAUGCCAAAAUGAAAGGAUCUGAUUUAUGAGCAAUUUUGCUAAAGUCAACUAAUGUAAAGCCAAGAUCAUCAACUUUUAUGCCAUUUUUAUUAUCAACCCAAUCACACUUGAAAACCGGUAUCCUAAACAUGGUAUAAUCAAGGUCCUAGAUCUCGGUAAUAAUGCCAUAGAAACAAAGCUCACCAAACACUGGAUUUUGAUCCUUUGCACUUGCGAUUUGCAUUGUUGAAGCUACAAUACUAACUCCACUGUUUUGGGUAGCUCGUAAGUCAUCUCGUUCCUUGGUAUGGUAUCGACACCCAUUAAUGACAUAUCCAUGAUAUUUAGAGACAUAAUGGCUAGGACCAUGAGCUAUCCACUUAAGGGUUUCAGAUAUAGGUUCAUUAUUACCAAUUGCAGCUUCAAUCUGUUAUUAUAAAUAAUAGUUAUUAUGUAUGUUAAACAUUAGUAAAAAGAAUACUUCACAUUUUAACACCAUUCCAAUACCUUUUUUCUCAACCAAUAAGUAAAAGUCCGUAGGUGUUCAUCCUGGAGCCACUUUUGUCUUUUUGAUUGACGAGGAUUUUUCAAUUUCAACCAUUCCAUGUGCUCUCUAUGUAAUUAUUUAUAAGAAAUUCAAAGUUAAUGUCUUAAAGUUAUUUUAAGUAUCAGACACAAAUAUUAAGUGUUAGUGGUUCUUACUCAAUAUAAGGUUGAACAAUAGUUGUAUUCUCUAAAACAUAAUGAUGUGCAUGUAACCACAAAUUGGAAUCAAUUGUCACAACUUGACCUCCAGGUAUUGGUGCCCCAACUUUUUGGUCAAUGUUUGCACUAAUAGGAAUCCCAAUCACAUCUACAUUUGAUAAAUACUCUGUACAAAAUUCAAUAGCUUCCUCUGCAAUAUAGCAUUCAGCGAUACAACCUUCGGGCCGAUUACGGUUUCGUACAUACCCUUUCAAAACUUUCAUGAAUCUUUCAAAUGGGUACAUCCACCUUAGGUAAACUGGUCCACAAAGUCUCACCUCCCUUACAAGAUGUCAGUAAGAUGAAGCAUGAUAUCAAAGAAGGAAGGUGAAAAGUACUUCUCAAGCAAGCAUAAUGUCACCACCAAAUCAUUUUGUAACUUAUCCAGUGCAGACACAUCAACCACUUUGCUACACAAAGCAUUGAAAAAAAAACUCAAUAUGCAAAUAGCAUGCCUUACAUGCUUUGGCAAAAGGGAUCGUAAUGACAUUGGCAAUAACUGUUGCAUUAAUGUAUGAUAGUCAUGUGAUUUAAGACCAUAAAGCUUCAAGUCUUCCAUUGACACAAGGUUUCUCAUGUUAUAGCAAUAACCUUUAGGAACCUUUAAUUGUGAUAAAGUUUGGCAAAAAACCUUUUUCUCCACUUUAGAUAACGUAUAACAUGCAGGUGGGAGAUAAGUUCGAUUUGAUUCAAACCUUGGCCCCAAUUCACACCUUAAGCCCAUCUCUAGUAGGUCUAGGCGAGAAUUAAGUCCAUCUUUCGUCUUACUUGGAAUGUUGAGUAAGGUACCAAUGAUGCUUUCACAAACAUUCUUCUCUAUGUGUAUUACAUCCAAGCUAUGAUGAACAUGUAGGUAUUUCCAAUACUCAAGAUCAAAGAAUAUGGACUUCUUUUUCCAACAAUUUGUAGUAUUGACAUUCAACUUGCCUCGGGAGUUUUUAUUUUUUCCCCAUGAAUUAGAAAUGACAUCAAUUUUCCUUAGGAUUUCCUCUCCACUCAAUGGUUGCGGAGGUGAGCUAAACUCUUGUUUACCAUUAAAUGCCUUCUUUUGUUUCCUAAAAGGAUGGUUGCAAGGAAGAACUCUUCUGUGACCUGUAUAUGAGUUAUUUUUCCCAUGCUUCAAUCUGUGAGAGAAUGUAUCUUCCCCACUUAUGGGACAUGCAAAAUAUCCUUUAACUACACAACCAGAUAAGUUUCCAUAUGUAGGAAAAUCAUUGAUUGUCCAUAGUAGAACAACUCUUAAUGUAAAGACCUCUUGCUGAUGCAGAUCAUAACAUUCAACCCCUACAUCCCACAACAUUUUUAAGUCAUCCAAUAAUGGUGCUAAAUAAACAUCAAUGUCAUUUCUAGGUUGUCGUGGACCUGAUAUUAAUAAAGAUAGCAUCAUAAACUUCCUUUUCAUGCACAACCAAGGAGGAAGGUUGUAAAUGACCAUUAUAAUAGGCCAACAACUAUGUCUACUGCUUAUUGAACUAUGAGGAUUUAUACCAUCUGCUGAAAUGACAAGUCAAAGGUUUCUAGGUUCUGAAGCAAAAUCAGGCCAUCUGUGGUCAACUAGCUUCCAUGAUGGGGGAGUCAGAUGGAUGACGCAUUUUACCAUCAAUUCUCUUUCUUGAGCAUGCCAUAUGAGUCUUUUGCAUUUUGGGGACUANNNNNNNNNNNNNNNNNNNNNNNNNNNNNNNNNNNNNNNNNNNNNNNNNNNNNNNNNNNNNNNNNNNNNNNNNNNNNNNNNNNNNNNNNNNNNNNNNNNNUCAGGCCAUCUGUGGUCAACUAGCUUCCAUGAUGGGGAGUCAGAUGGAUGACGCAUUUUUACCAUCAAAUUCUCUUUCUUGAGCAUGCCAUAUGAGGUCUUUUGCAAUUUUUGGGGACUAAAACAAUCUUCUAAAUCUUGGAAUAGGAGGAAAAUACCACAUUACUUUUGCAGGGACUCCCUUCCUCUUUUUAAAACCUGUUCCAUCUAACUUCCACCUUGAAGUUCCACAAGUAGGACAAGAAGUUGCAUCCUUCAACUCAUUUCUAUACAAUAUGCAAUCAUUGGGACAUGCAUGUAUUUUCUCAUAUUCUACUCCCAAUGUAUUCAAUGUUUUUUUUGCUUCAUACAUAGACAGAGGCAACUCAUUGUUUAGAGGCAACAUAUCUCCAAGAAUACUUAAAAGCUCUGAAAAGCUUUUAUCAGACCAUCCAUAUCGUGCUUUCAGGUUGUAUAAUUUGACCAAUGCAGAUAACUUUGUAAAGUUUCUACAACCAGGAUAUAAAGGCUUUUGAGCAUCUUCAAGUAAUGUUUCAAACAAUUUUGGGUCAUUCUUACGAUCAUCAUAUGCAACUUGAACCAUUUCUAUUGUACUAUCCACAUCGUUAAAUUCAACUGUAUGAUGCCAUUCUGCCCUACUAGUUGGUGGUCCACUUGGAGCAGCGUCUCCAUGCCAAUACCAUGUAUGGUAACUCUGAUCAAUUCCAUAGAAGAAUAAAUGUUCUCUAAUUUUUUGAGGAGUGUGGAAUAUCACAUUACCACACUGAAGGCAUAAACAUUUAAUGGAGUUUUUAUAUGUGGAAUAUUGUAAUGCAAAUGCGAUAAAGCUUUCUACCCCAUCUGCAUAAUCCUUUGAUCUCCUAUCCUUUGACAUCCAAGAACGAUCCAUUUGAUGUACAAGAGAUAAACACAACUCCUAGAUACCACCAACAACUAAAGUUAUUAAUAAAAUCCUAUUAAUAGGCUUAAAAUAUAUAAUCUACCAAAUUAAAAUUUCCCACAUUGUCACAAAACUUAGACCAAUCCAAAAAAUGACAAUGUGCAAGUCAUUUAAAAAUAAGCAAUAUGACAAGAAACAUAAUUAGUAUAUUAGGUUAUUCAAUAUUAGCAUAAAAAAUGGAUCUUAGUUCAUUCAUGAUGUUUGCUUUAUUCAUGAAUAGGAAUGAAAAGCAAGAUCUAACUUUUAGUCUUCUCUUAUAUUAUUGAAUACACCAAGUUUGAAAAUUUUAAAAACACAUAACCACAUGAGACAAUGAUACCAUGAACUAAAAAAAAUUAACGAAUGGAACUAAGAUUCGAAUGAAUAGAAGCAAGUGAUUUAUACAUGAUUUAGGCAUUCUAACAUCUCCAACAUCCUUAAUUAAGUGGUGGCUCCUAUCCCAUAUAGGAAUACAUAAUCCCUAUGUGUCAAUUGCCAAUAUACUUAAAUUCAUUUUAAAGAAAUUUCAGCAGCAUUUUCCUAUAGUUCUUCAAGUACACAAAAUGGAUAAGGCACAAUAUGUGACCUUGUCCAAAUAUGCACCCAGAGAACAAAAAGAAAGACUACCAAAUUUUCUAAAAAUUGAAUUAAGAACAAGCAAUUAACUUGAUAGAUAUCAUGUUUUCCUAUACUGUCCAACUGGACAAUUCAAACAUCAUUUGCAGAGAAAAAAUCUUUAUCACAUGGAAGACAAAUUUAGUAGUUGUCAACUUGAAACUGGCUUAAAUAUACCCUCAUUUCACAUUUUGACAACUUAUUGUCUUAGUAUGUACUAGUUGAAUUUGUCAAUAUUAAUUAGUUUUGUCAACGCAUCUGCUAGAUUGUCCUUCAUAUAGAUUUUUUGCAUAUUCACAAUUCCUUUUUAGGCUUUGUACGUGUAAAUAUAAUAUAUAUAUAUAUAUAUAUACAUAUAUAUUUGAAAAGUAAAAUAAGCAUGCACCACAUGACUCCCCCAAUCAAGCAUGUGAUUAAUCCUUCGCUUGGCAUCCUGAAUCUGACCUUUUGUUCCUGUUAUUAUGGCUUUUGAAGUACGUCUAGUAAUAAUUUGAAGAAAGUAAAGACCCUAUGAAUAUUUUCUAUACAUAUAAUUAUUUUGAUGGAUACAACUUUUGAAGGAGAAAAAUCUUUUGUGGUUCAAUCACAAACCUUAAUAUCAGCUUUAGAAAAGCUUCGUAUUUUCUUAAUGCAUUCGCCAUCCCUUCCAAUGACAUAACCAACUUGGAAGCAUUGGUAGUGCAAUUUGGAAUUAUGAAGGUUUUGUUGAAGUAUAAAUUAAUUAAGAAGAUAUAUAAUUAUACUGUACUUAAUUCACCUUAUCCGUUGGAAUCUUCAUUGCACUGGUCCAAAUCCAACUCGAUCUUGCAUUUCUAGAUGGUUCAGCUUCACUCUAUUCAACCAAUUUACAACAAAGCAUUAUUGAUCGAGAAGGUGAAACCUUGUCUUGUACAAUUUGUUAGUACUGGGUCCACUUUCAAACUCUGGAAAGAAACUUAAAAGCACAACUAGAAAGAAAUAAAUCCUUAUGAAAAUGAACAAAAAUUAGAUAACAUAGACUGGACAACAACAUGGCCUGUCCAGUCCCAAUUUAAAGAAUUCAAGAAAGAGAAUCAUGAGGAGAAAUAUGGCAUGGAAUGGUUCUAAAAUCAUCCCUACCUAAUAAAACAAUGAGAUUAAUAGCUCAAUAAAAAUUAAUUUCCAAUAUAAGAAGAAAUCAGUUAAAGACAAAAAUCUUAUGCAGGUAUAGGUAUUCUAUUAAUUGAGAUAACUAAAAGAGGAAAGCUGGAAGUGGGGUUGAUAAUGGAUGCUCCAAACCUUUAAGAAAAGAAAAAAGAAAAGAAAAGAAAGGAAGAAGUAAUAAAGAAAGGAGAAAGAAAUAGAUUGUUCAAACAAAUCUUGAUCUUGGGCAACUGGCAUUUGGCAACACCAUCUCAUUUCUUUCUUCCUCGAUUCCAUUUUACUUCAAAACAAACACACACAUGAAGAAGGAAAGUAAAGGCUAGACAAGAAAUCAUUUAAAAUAAAGAAUGUAGAGGAUUGAGGAUAACUGUAGAAGGGCAAGAGCACUUGGGAAAUUGUUCUUGGGAUUUCGGAACGUCUUCUUCCUCCACCUUUCUCUUUCUGCCACGAUCAAUAGUUUUUGGAAGGGAGUCGUCCAUGUUUCCUUCGUCCCUUUCAUUCAUUUUCAUGGUCCGAAAAGAAAUUUACAGAAAUUCUUGUAGAAGAAAGGCCGAGAAAAUCAAGGAACUUUCUUGAGAAGGAUAGAGAGGAACGGUAUAAACAUUUAAAGGAAUAAAUGGAGGGAAACGCGAACCAUGCCGGUGAAAUGGACUUUAUGUUAUGAAACCCCUGCUAAACGGUGCUGUUUUGGAUUCUUCAGGGAAAUUCCUUUUUCACAUAAAAGAAUAAAAUGGGAUUAUUAAUAAAACAAUUUAAAAUUCCCUUUUUUGUUUUUGAUUUUUUCAUCAUUAAAUUUGGAAAAAUAAAAGUGCAUUUGAUAGUGAUUCUAGACAAUACUUAUAAUAUUUUUAACAUUUGAAUGAUCAAAUUUUUUAAGUGUUAAAAAUAUUAGAAACAUUUAUUAAAAUUACUCUCAAAUGGUUCUAAGAACCGCCUUUUAAUUCCAUUAUUCAUUUCCAUGCUAUGGAUGAUGGGUUUGAUAAAUUUCUUCUGAUCAAACAUAAAUUAAUAUAAAUAUAACUUUAACCUUUUCCUUUUUAUUAUUGGUCCUUCUUUACCUAACAACUUAAAUUAAGUUAAUUAAAUUAUUAACUUAAGCUUAAUUAUGAGUGCUUUAGCCAGCUAACAGACUUAACGCCUUAAGAUACCACCAUAUUGUCUACGGUUGAUAUGAUGAAGCCUGGACCCCAAUCCAAUGGAAUGCAAGUUUCUUUGACAAUAGUACUGUUUAGAACAGACUGAAAACCUCAAAUUAAAAAUGAUCCCCAGUUUGAAAUUUAUAGCCAAAAGCUAGGAUAUUCUCUGAACCCAGUAGCAUCUUCUUCCCAUUUUAUACAGAAAUUUGUCCACAUAUCUCAUUUACUUCAAACCCUAGUUCCUCACCCAACAAUGAUAGGAUUAUUUAUCUUUUCUACAAAAGGGAGAUGAACAAAAAGGGUGCCUGAGAAAAAAAUUCCUUCAAUUUGCAAGACAAAUAGUUCCCAGCAGGACAGGAACUUUUAACUGUUACUGGCUGCUGAAUUCUUGAUUAAUGGAAGUAGUAUUUGAUUGAAGCUGACCCUCUCUAAGCCGCCCUAUCAUUCAGUAAUUUUCUGUGCUUUCUGAGGCUUGCGGAUGCAUGGCUGAUGAGUCUUCCGGAUCCUUAGCUUGAUAUUGAGUAGGAUUGGUAUCAAGUGAUGGUGGCGGUGCAUAGUAAGUUUCCAGCUGGGGUGAAGGAAUCAAGCCAGCUUGUGAUUGGAUAGGAUUGCUAUCAAACAACGGUGGUGGUGCAUAGUAAGUUUCCAGCUGAGGUGUAGGAAGUAAGCCAGCUUGUGAUUGGAAAGGAUGGUUAUAAAGUAAUGGUGGUGGUGGUGGUGGUGCAUAGUAAAUUUCCAGCCGGGGUGCAGGAGGUUUGCCCCAUGGGCUUGUCUGAUAUUGAGUGUUCAAAUCGGAAGGAUGGUUACCAAUAGUAUUGUUUGGAGGGCGAACAUAGUUGUGGUAGCUUGGAUAAGGAAUAGGAGUUGCAAGCAUGGCUGAUGAGUUUUCUGGAUGGGGGGAUGAAGCACCAACUUCAGGCACAGCAGAGAUAACAGAUUUAGAUCCUGGCAAAGGUGGUGGAUGCAUGGCUGGUGGGUUUGGCUGGUAUUGAGCAGCUGGUUGGAUAUGAUAGAAACCGGCUUUUAAAGGGAGUAGAAAAGAAGAUCCUGGCUCAUGUGCUGGAAUCAUAACUGGUGGGUUUGGCUGCUGGUACUGGGCAGCUGUCCGGAUAUAAUACAAACCGGCUUCUAAAGGGUGUUGAGAAGAAGAUCCAGCUGGCCCAAGUGGUGGAUGCAUGGCUAGUGGGUUUGGCUGGUACAGAGCAGCUGUCCGGAUAUAAUACAAACCGGCUUCUAAAGGGUGUUGAGAAGAAGAUCCAGCUGGCCCAGGUGGUGGAUGCAUGGCUAGUGGGUUUGGCUGGUACAGAGCAGCUGUCUGGAUAUCAUAGCAACCGGCUUCUAAAGGGCAUAUGAAAAAAGAUCCUGGCCCAAGUGCUGAAUUCAUGGCUGGUAGGUUUGGCUCCUGGUAAUGGGCAGCAUACAAACCAGCUUCUAAAGGGAGUUGAGAAGAAGAUCCGGCUGGUCCAAUUGGUGGACGCACGGCUAUUGGGUUUGGCUGGUACUGAGCAGCUGGUUCUGGACGCAUGCCCGAUUGGCUUGCUGGGGUAGAACUGCUAGCAUCGGGCAGUAAGUCUGGAUGCACACCUGAAUGGUCUGGGCACUGCAGUAAAAUUAAGAAACCCAGAUAAAAUGAGCAUCAGAAACAAGGCACUUCAAAAACCCACAACAGACAUUUCCAAUAAAUUAAGAGCACCCGUCCUUUGGCCCUCCUGUCAAAAAGCUUCCCAUAUACAGAUUUGAAAAGAAAAAUAAGCACUGCAUGACUCACCUGAGCGAGCAGGUCAUCAAUACUUUGCUGGGCGUCCUCAAUCUGAUCUUGUGUUCCUCUUAUUAUCGCAAGUCCUAAGGGUGGCAGAUCUAUAAUCUGAUGAAAGUACGUAGACAAUUAUUAUCAUAAUUAACAUACAUAAUAAUGCCAUUCAACACACACACACACGUGUGUGUAUAUAUAUAUAUAUAUAGUUUAAGUACAAAAAUUAAAUAUAAUUCUUGAAUGAGUCUAUAUAUAUCUAACUAGCAUGAAUGGAAACAACUUUUAAAGGAGAUUUUGUAAGCAGAAAUGACAAAAUUGUAUAUGCAAUGCAAAUUAUCGGUUUUAACAUAAUCUUUUGUGGUUAAAUCACAAACCUGAAUCGAAGCUUUAGAAAGGGAUUGUAUUUCGCGAAUGCAUUGGCCUCUCGUUCCAGUGAUAUAACCAACCUGAGAGCAUUGGCAGUGCAAUUUGGAAAUAGAUAUUAAGGUUUUUAUUCAACUACAAAGAAGAUAAUUAAUUCACCUUAUCCACUGGAAUCUCCUUUAUUCUGGUCCGAAUCAUACUGGAUCCCGCAUAUGUAGGUGGUCCAGCUUCGCUCUACUCAACCAUUAAUAUACAGCAAAGCAUUAUUAAGAACUAUUUUCAGAAACUGUUCUUGAAAACAUUUCCCAAACAAAACCGAAACUAACUUGUAAGUAGCAGUCAAAGAAGUCUUGGAUAUUAAUCAAUUAACCAAUGAAUUCUGAUUAGAGAGUACACUAUUCAUUGCUUUAUACUUCAUUAGAACUGGGUCCAUAAAGAAACUUUAAAGAACAAGAAAGAAGUAAGAAGAAACCUGUUAAAAGACAAAAAUCACAUGCAGGUAUAUGUAAUCUCUUAGCUGAGAUAACUAAAAGAGGAAAGCUUGGAAGUGGGGUUGCUAAUGGAUUCUCCGAAACUUUAGAAUGAAAACAGAAAAAGAAAAAAAGAAAAAAAGAAAGAAAGAAAAGAAAGAAAAAGAUUGUUCAAACAAAGCUUGAUCGCAACUUUCAAUUGGCCGCACCACCUCAUUUCUUUCUUCCCCGAUUCCAUUUUCCAUCAAAACAAACACUUGAAGGAGGAAAGAGAAGGGUAGACAAGAAAUCAUUUAAAAUAAAGAAGGUAAAGAAUUGAGGAUAACCGUAGAAGCACAAGAGCGGUGGAGAGAUUGCUCUCUGGAAUUCGGGGCCUCUUCUUCCUCCUCCAUCUUUCUCUUGCCAUGAUCAAUGGUUUCUGGAAGGACGCCCUUGUUUGCUUCGUUUCCUUGAUUUUGUUCAUUCAUUUCCCUAGUCCGAAGGGAAAUCCAGAGAAUUUCUUGCAGGGGAAAAACCGAGAAAAUCUUGAGAGGGAUAGAGAGGAGCGUGAUGAACAUUCGACGGAAGAAAUGAAGGGAAAAGCGAACCAUGAUGGUUAAAUAGAAGUUAUGUUGUGAAACCCGGCCAAACGGUGUCGUUUUUGACUCUCAUACAAUUACAUUCUAACAACUUCAGUUACGUUAAUUACGAGUGCUUUAGCUCUGCUCCAACAGCCUAUUUCACAAUUUUUUAGAAAACGUUUUUAAUAUAUAUAUAUAUAUAUAUAUAUAUAUAAUUAUUUUAAAAAAAAUUAAAUAUUUGAUAAAAUUUAAAAACUAUUUCUAAAAAUUAAAAAUUCACUUUGUUGGAGAGAAAACAUUUUCCUAAAGUAUUUUAAAUAAAAAUAAGUUCCAUACACAAAAGAAAUGUAAAAAGAUUAAUGGUUUAACCAACAAAGAUCUUAGAAAAUUUAGAGGAAAAUAGAAAGAGAAAAAACAUUAGGGAAGAAGAAGUGAAGAAAAUAAAAUAAAAUUCAAUAAUUUAUUUUUAUUUAUCACUUUAAACUUAUUUUUCUUAUUUUAGCUCAUUAAUAUAAAUAUUAAAUAAUUUAAAAAUACUAACUAAUUUUAAUAUUAAUAUAAGAACCAAUUUUUUUUAUUUUUUUUACUUGGUACUUUCCAGAAUGAAACAGGAUCUAAUAAUUGUUAUUAGCUGCUGAAUUCUAGACCCGGGAUUUGGUUGAGCUGACCAUUAAACGUUCAGUCAUUUACUCUGGUGCUGUCUUGAGGUGGAUGCAUGCAUGUCUGAUGAGUGUGCCUCAUCCCCAGCUUCUGAUUGGAAAGGAUUGUUAUGAUGUAACGGUUGUGCCGGAUAAAUUUCUUGCAAGGAUUCUGGAGGCAUGCCCGAUGUGGUUGCAUGGGUAGGAGGGUUAUCAGUGGUAUCGAACAAAGGUAUGGGGUAAGUUCCUGGCUGAGAUGCUGGACGCAUGAAACUUCGCCUGAUAAUAAAAGCCUGGACUGAUAGGGUACUUGUGAUGGACUAUAUGUGGAGCAUAGUGUAAAGGUGCGCGACAUGUCCCUAGCUGAGAUGUUGCAGCUAUGGCCGAUGGAUUUGGUUGAUACCCGUAGUUAGCAGAGCUAGAAGAUGGAAGAUCAGAUCCUGGCCGAUGCAUGCCUGCCUGAUGGACUCGGCGCCGGACCCCAUAUGGACGGUUGGGUAGAGGAGUCGGAAAAGUAUGAAGGCUCUGGAAGAUGAUAAUCUGGUAUUGAUUCGAUCCAUGUACUGGGGUCCUGCAGUAAGAUUAAGAAACUGAUCAGAUGUAAUGAGCAUAAAAAAAGGGCACUUAAACAGAAAAGAGAACUUCCAGAUGACUAGUAAGUGCAUUGCUUAUAUUGCUAAUGACAUUGAAAGAAACUUCCAAUAAAUUAAGAGCACCAAUUCUGCCUCCUGCCAAAAACCAUCCCAUAAAUUAUAGGCUUCAUGAAAAUGUGUGUUUGUUUAUGUCAGACUCCUAAAGUAAAUGGAGAUUUAAAUGUUUAUAGUAUAAAUAUAAACCACAUGGGACAACAUAGUGUAGGAUUUUCUUGUGCUUUUCUUGUGCCCUAUUAAGUGCUUUUUCAAUACUCAACAGUAGUUUCCAAUGACCCAUUGCUACUCGUGUAGCUUAUCCCCUUGAGCCACUCUGAAGACUCUAGUUGAGGGAUUUAUGUGGUUCUUUACUAUGACCAUUAACAACCUUAAGUUAGAUCUAGGAUUUUUUUUUUUCCCGUCAUAUACUUAAUCCCACCCAAAUAUGUUUGCAAGUGAGAUAAUUGUCUCUUCAACAUAGUUGCAUCUCUUUUCGGAAGACGAUUGAGUCUUCCCGUCUUUUGAUCCGUUCUCAAGUCCCUAAAUUUAUGAAGUCUCAUUUCUAUAGUGGACCGAUUCGUUGACAUACCACCGAGACAUUUUUUAUUAACAGAAUGACACCGAGCCUUUAUUGCAGUCCGUGCUACUAAAUCCGCUUUAUUUUUGGUACCAACAAUUAAGAAUUGUUUUCCCCUACUUGCUGCAUCAAAAACUAAAUCACAAGCUUCUGAUAAAAAGCAAACAAUUCUAGUAAGAUUUAUAAUAUGAAUUCUUUUUUUUAGGAUAACUCAUUCAUGUAAACCUUUAGGAUAGCAUACUUAGGCAUCUUUAGGUACACUUUUAAGACACUUAAACACACCCUAGGUCAUUUAGGCACACUAGGUACACUAGGUGCCCAGACCCACUAAGUACCCUACCUACUUAGAUUCAUCCAGCUUAUUUGGGUUCAUCUAAGCCCAUUUAGAUUCAUCUAGGCCCACUUAGGUUCACUUAGGCCCACUUAGGUUCAUUUAAGCCCACUUAGAUUCACUAAAUCACACUUUGGCCCAUCUUGACGCACCUAGACCCAUUUAGGUCACCUUUAGGUAAUUCUUACAUGUCUAACGUAGUUCACAUGAUUUGCAUUUUUAACACUUCCAUGUACUUGAUUUAUUAUUUGUUUAUCUAUUUAUUUAUUUAUUUGUUUUUAUUUAGUAUUAUUUGUUUAGUUUUUUUUUAUUUCUUUAUCUAUUUAUUUAUUUAUUUUUAUAAAAUUGCAUGUGAUUGGUUAUCUUAUCUCUUAUUAUUAUUAUUAUUAUUAAAUUUGGAUGAAUUAAUACUUUAAUUUUCUCAUAUAUAUAUAUAUAUAUAUAUAUAUAUAUAUAUAUAUAUAUAUAAAUUUGCAUGAUUUUGUUUUUGUUAUUAUAGUACAAGAUUUCUAAAACAUAUUUUUCAUAUUCUUUGGCAUGAGAAUCAUAGGCCACAUCUUGACAUAAAGGAGAUUACAACAUAUGGAAAAUUUUUGGAGAAUCAUGAGGACUUUAUUGGAAAGAUGCCAGGCAUGAAGAAAGAUUCUCCUAGGACUCUUUGGGAAAAGAGUAUUAACAUGCAUUGAGAGAAGAAUGAAAGAGUCGGGGAUGUUAAUGGAUUUGUUUUGGAAGAUAUAUGCAAGCUACCACCUAUGGGGCCCUCUCUGCAAGGUCGUCCAUCACCCAUUCGCGUUACGGCUGUUUGCUAGAAAGACCUAAGGUCAUGUGGAUGGUUCGUCUAUCCCCAGAACCAGAAUUAAGACGACGAUCCUUAAGCGGAAACAACAUCAGAAUGGUGCUCGACUAACCUCCAAGCAUUUACUCACCUUCAAACGUAGAUUGUGCACCAGACACUCUCCAUAAUUAAUGCAACCAUUGCAAGGAGACAUUCCAUUAUUAGUGGCUUAUCAAGGCAAGACAGUUGUUAUGCUUCGGUAGUCAAUGUCAUAAUAUCGCAUAAUCAAGCACAAUUAAGGUGUUAUUAAUACGCUUAAAAGGAUGUUACACUUGAGCAAGGAUAAAUAGCCACACACAAUCCAAGAAAGGUAUGCUUAUUUUUUUUUCUAUAAACACCCUUUACUUGCUCAAGCCAAUUGUUGACUUAAGCAUGAAAGGAAUGUGCCCAGACAAUCAGUCUAGACAUCCUUUUAUGUAGAGAACAAAUCCAUCUAUGUCUCGAGCAGGUUAGACAAAGAAACACAGUUGAUCAUUUCAUCUAGCCCGUGAGAGUUAGACGACCACCUCCAUUUGGACUGUGCACCAACAUUUGGCAUUGUCUAUGGGAAGCAAAACACAAAAGCCACCAGAAGCAAGAUGGCUAACACUUCUCCUACAUCACAAUCAACCAAUGCCACCGAGCGAUUUCAGGCUUGGCAAGCGAAAAUGGAAAUAAAACAAAAAGAGAGUGAGCGACGGAUGCAGUCCUUGCUCUAAUAGGUCGAGCAGUUGAAGUAGGGAAACCAAGAGUUGCGUGCUUAAAUGGAAUCAAAGGUAGGAUGUUUGGAUGUCCAACAAAGGUAAGUGGGUAGCCAAAUCAAACCAGGUGAGCUGAGAAGACUGAUCCCAAAAAUAUCAUCAUCUAUAUAAUCCAUCAAAAGCAGCAAUCAUAAAUAAAAGGUUAAGUCUCAAUGUCAAAAUUAGUAAGGUGGUUAUGCCCUAGUAUGAAUGCAUCCUCUCAAAAUGGGUAAGCCCUAAGUGCAAGAUAAUCUCUAGGAAGUAUGUGUCUAUCAUAAACUGUCAUCUCACAAAAUCCAUCACCGAUGAGUGGGCUAUGCCCCAAUGUAAGCAUCUCCAAAGCAAACAUUGAUGAGAGAAGUACAACCAGUCAUACAUUAUCUAAUCAAAAUGAAUCUUCACUCCUCAAAGUCAUCGUGGUAACGUGAAGAAAGUCUCUGACCUUCUCUAAAGAAAGAGCAUGCCCUAAUGUGAAAAAGAUCAAACGAAGUGGUAUGCCUCAACAAAAAUGCACUUUGACAUGAUCAUGGCUCGAUGUAAGCUGGUAUCUCUAAGAUCAAUCGCCAAUGAAAGAGUUAUGCCCCAGUAUAGGGCAAUCUCUAAAAUGACUAAACUCCGUUGCAUUCUCUCAAAAGUGUCUGUGUCCUAAUCCAAUCAUCUCAAAAAUCUGUUAAUACCAAUGAGAGGGCUAUGCUCCCGUAUAAACACAUCUAAUCAAAUCACUCAGUCAUAUCUCAUACUCCAAUGUGAAAGGAAUCUAAUCACCUCCAAGGAACAACUAUGCCUCAAAUUAAUUUUUUUAUUAUUUUUAUUGAUCAUUUUCUUAAAUUAAUAAAUUAGUUUAUCAAUUAAAAAAAAUUUAAUAUUUUCUUACAUUCAAUGAGUAAUAUUCUUUAACAAAAGAAAUAUUGAAAACAUUUUUAAAAUGUCCAUCUUUAUGACUAUUUUUGCUAGAUAACCAAAUUAAUGGAACAAUGGGAUUUUUUUUUUCUUUUUUGAAAAAAAAUAUUAUUAAAAAUGUUAUUUUAAAAAUAUAAAAAUACAACAUGUUUUAUUACCUAUUUUGUUUAUAUAUUGAACUCCUCAUUUUGAAAAGACGAGAUCACUUACAACUCAUUUUUUAAAAGACGACUUCCACUUUUUAGAUUGACAGUGAGACACAUACCAAUAAUAACAAUAAGAUAAUAAAAAAGUUUGUGUUAUUUGAUGUAUCAAGAAAGUUUUGCUUUUAUUUCGUUAUUCUCCCCUUUCCUUAGAUAAAUAUUCUAUUAAAAAUCCUUGCAAUUGCAUCUUAAUUGACUUUAAUAAUUUUGAAAACACAUUAUGUGUUGUGCAAGAUUCUGAGGAAUGGCAAGUACAAGAGUGUUAUACAUCGUGUUGUGGUCAACAACAAAGCGACACGAAUAUCCCUGGCUAUUGCAAAUGGACCAUCGUUGGACACGGUUAUUACUCCAACACCCAUGUUGAUCAAUCCUGAAAACCAUCCACUGGCAUAUGUUGGGAUGGGAUAUGAAGAAUACUUGAAACUUCAACAAAGCAACAAACUUGAUGGGAAAACUAGCUUGGAUAGAGUCAGGGUUUAAACAGUUUAAAGUAGGCCUCUAUCAUGGACAUGCAUUCCAAAUAAAUCCCUUAGUCUUUCACUUGCCAUUGUAUCAAGUAUAUACAUGUACGUACUUCUCUGCCAUGCAAAAAUAUUGAUAGUAUUGAAGCUGAAAUAACUUAGUAAUUUUCUUGAUAAUAUUAUGCAAAGCUUUUGUUGGCAACUGUGAGAAAUCUAAAGAUAGGAGCUACAUACUUUUAUGUGUUGAUAAUUUUGGUGCCUAUGUAUGAAUUGUAUCUCUUAUCUAACAAUUAUAAAGUUGUAGAAAGCUCAUAGUUAAACUAUAAUUUUCCAGGAGAUAUUCCAAAACUUUAUUGGCUUAUACAACUUCAUCCCCAUUUCGUUGUUGACAUUUUGAACAGGAAGAUGUUGUUUUUGCCAUCUUGUGCUUUUAUCAUCCAUUGAGAAUGUAAUAAAAAUGUUUCUUUAAGUUCAAGGAGCACAGGGGCAAGGAAUGAAGAGGUAGGAAUAAGGAUAGUAUUUUCGUUUAUAUAUUAGGUAUUUCUAUUAGACAACAAAAAAUGUAAAUUUGGUUUGUGUUACAAAAGGUUAGUAGUUGAUAGAGAUAUUUCUUAAGAAGAUACUUCCCAUCAAUUUUUUUUUCUUGAAUAAAAAACUAUAUUUAUUUUCUUAUCCUUUUUUUUCAUAUAUCUUUUUUAAACAUUUUUUAGGAACCAAAUAUAGUAAAAAGGUUGUAUCAAAUAAAGAUAGCUCCACACCAAUUAAGUCUACAAAUUCACCACAUAUGAAACAUUCAAAAGAAUUCAAAAAAUGAGAACUAAAAUGUUGGUUCUCAAACUUUUGGAUUUGGGUAUGUCAGCAUGGCUUGAUCCAACAAUGCUCUAGUGGUUGGUUAGUUAGUUUGAUCUCGCUAUUGGAUACUUACAACAAGGUGUAGUGGGAACAAACAUUGUCUACACCCCUCUGAUGAUGGCAAGUCAAAGUGGAGCAAUAAUGAGUGACUGCCUUUAGGGAUGGCAAUGGGCCAUUUUUUUCAAGUACCUGCCCUGCCCCAUUUGGCCCUAAUGGGACGGAUUUAAAAUUUAAAUAAAUGGGUUAAGGGUGAACUUAGGAUUUUUUUUUUAAAAAAAUCGGAACGAGUUUGGAUAUUGCCUUGUCCCAUCCCAAUUAUAUAUAAAAUUAAUUUAAUUUAUUUUUUAUUUUUCUAUUUUUAAUAUAUAGUAAUAAUAAUAUACUUUUCAAUAAAAUGAGUUAUAAAAAAUUAUACUAUUUUAAUUAUUUAUAAAAUAUAUUUAUUUUAAUGUAAUUAAAAAAAUUAAAAAUAAAAUUUAAAAAAUUUCAAAAAAAAAAAAAAGUUAAGUGGGGUAAGGCGAGGUUGAGAUGGGAGCAACCGUCUCAAACCUACCCCAUUACCAUCCCUAAUUGGCUUAAGAAGAGAUUGGGAUGGGAGUGACCGUCUUGAACCUAUCCCAUUAUCAUCCCUAAUUGGCUUCAGGCUUAGGGGAUAAGAUGGAGGAAUAUAGAGGAAGAAUGUAGGUAAGCGUUGGCUAAUGCUUGAGUGUGGGGGAACAAACUUCUCCUCUUUGGACGUUGGGACUUGUUUGUAUAGUUUUGAUCCAUUAUAUUAUGAUUGGUUGGAUGAAAUGAUCAAAGUCCACUUUUUCCUCAUGAAGGAGCUGACAAUUGGGCAAGUGUCCUUGCCAUGGUAAGCAAUGCUUCCGAUGUAGUGUUGAGCUUGUUAUUAGUUGUUCAAAGCUUUGUCAAGUGAUGCUCAAUGAAUUUUCAAGAAUGUCUUCCAUUAAUGGGAUGUGUCUCUAACCAAGCAUUGAUCUUUCCACACCUAGUCAUGGGUGGUUUUGGAAUUAAUUACUAGAUAUCUUUGGCUUAUAUUAGUUAGAAAUCAAUGUCACGUGCUUACGAUUGGCCAUCUAAACACAGUUUGCAUUUGGACGUUGGGACUUGUUUAUAUAGUUUUGAUCCAUUACAUUCAAAUUAGUUGGAUGAAAUAAUCAAAGUCAACUUUUUCCUCAUGAAGGAGUCAACAAUUGGGUAGAUGUCCUUUCCAUGGCAAGUGGUGCUUGAGAUGUAGUGUUGAGGUUGUUAUUGGUUGCUCAAAGCUUUGUCAAAUGGUGCUCAAUGAAUUAUCAAAAAUCUCUUCUAUUAAUGGGAUGUGUCUCUAAUCGAGCGCGCAUUAAUCUUGCCAUACCUAGUCACGGGUGGUUUUACAAUUAAUUAUUAGACAUCUUUGGCUUAUAUCAGUUAGAAAUCAAUGUCACAUGCUUACAAUUGGCCAUUCGAACACAUUUUGCAGGCCUACUAGUUAUUUUUUUUGGAACCCAUAUAAUUGGGUAUUGAUAAUACUUUUGCUAAAAAUAAAAAUUUAUUCCAUUCUAUUUUUCAACAUAAUAACAAGCUUAUUUAUAAUAAACUAAUCAUAUUUAUACUAGGACUCCAAUUUCUAUUAGACCAAAAGUCCUAAUUAAUAUACGAAACCUAAAUAAAUAACAAUUUCUAAUAUUUCUCAAAUUCCUAAAAUUUUUCUAAUUUGACUUUAAGGCGGAUUAUAAUUUCAACAAUUUUUAGGGGUGUUGUCUAGGUAAUUAAGGAAAUGGUCCCUGUAAUGCGUCACAAAAUCUAAGUGUCCAACCCAUAAUGAAAAAUGUAAUAGGUUUUUAAUGGCUUCCAUAACUAGGAAGCCUUCUUAUGCAUAAGGUGGUUGUGCAUGACCGAACUCAAAUGAUCAUACUUUGUCUUUAGAGUGAUGUAGGUGCCUAGGCUUACCCAAUUAGAGAGCCUAUGCUUAGUUAUACCGAUUUGGGUUAGACCAUCUGGGUUCUAUGGGCUCGAUAACUCCAUAAACCAAAAGAAACUAAAAACUUUUAAGUCAUAUUUUAUUGGUUGGAUGUAACAUGAGAUAGGAUAAGAGAUGAGACAUUAUAUCUUCUCCCAUGUUUAGUUGGUUAUGAGAUAGGAUAAAUUAUCCCAUGAUCUACCCAAUCUUAUAUUCAACCAAAUAUGAGAUAAGAUAAGUGGUGGGAUAUAAUAUCCACUUUCUUUUUUAUAUCCUUUCUAUAUGGAAUAUGUUAAUCCUAUAGUAAGAUGUAGAAUAUACAUUCUUAUGUAUCAUAAAUUUAUUUAUUUUUAUCAAUUUUUAUUUUUUUAUAUUACUUAUUUUGCAAAAUAAAAUGUGUUUGUUAUAAAAUUAAAUUUGAGGUUAAAAAGAAAAACUAAAAAAAGAUUUACAAAAUAUAUUGUAAAAUAAUAUUAAUAUAUGUAUAAUUUAUAUACGUGUGUGUGUUUUAUUUUUAUAUAUUGGAUAACAUUGUAUAUAAUUUUUAUUUAUAAAGUUUAAAUAUUUCGAUUAUAAAUAUUGUUAAACAUAAGAAAAUUUUCAUUUUUUAAUAGCAAAUAUUGAAAUAUAAUAUAAUUUUUAUUUUAAGCACUCAAAAAUAAUAUACAUUUCAUAUUAUUUAUUUAUUCAUUUCACAUGCUAAAUAUAAACAUAACAUAACACAACAUAACACAUUGUAUAUGUUACCAUAGAAUAUAAUGUCAAUUGGAUAUAAUAUCUAAGGAUAUCAUAUCCCAUUGGAAAUUAAUCAUAUCCUUUAAUAUGCAUUUCCUAUCCAAUGGAAUAUGAUAUCCUAGGAUAUACAUAUCAUAUUUUAUCUUAUCUCGCUAACUAAACGUAGCUUUAAGGCUUAGGGAGUUUAAGGAAAAUUGGAAGAAAAAGCAAAUAAAGGAGUAAAGAUAAAAAAUAGAUGAAAAAAAAAGGUGAAAAUCAACAUGAAAAGAUAUUUAAACAUAAUGAAUUUUUUUCACACAUGCUUCCUUUAGGUGUAUUUCUCUUUUCUUGUUUAUUUAAAAUGAAAAUGUAUUUUUAGAUUAUGAAACUAACUGAGGUCAAUAGGUAGACCAUUAGAAUUUUGGAUUCUAUUGCCAACCUAAUUCUCUCAUAAACAAAUAGUUCUUCAUCCAAUUUACCUAAUGAAAAAUUAACGCACAACCAAAUCAAACCAUAAUUGCAUAAGAAAACACCAUCAUACAUAAUUUGAACCCCUUGGAAAAAUUAUUUACUUUAGGUAAAACCAUUGGCCUUGGCUUGCAAAGAUAAUCUACUAAGUAAUAACAAGAAUUACCAAAUUUUAUAGACUUCUGUGAUGUUCACAACUUUUGUGAGACCUAGAUUGAUUUGCACUUAUAUAUAUGCUAGCUUUUUAUGUUUUUAAGUGCUGCAACCUCUAGUUGCUCCUUGGAGGAAUGUUAUUUUGAACUUGCUGAGACACACAAUAAUCCUCUACCAUGGUUUAACACAACCUUAUUUAUCAUUUACAUACAUGCAUAAACAAAUAAACGUCAGUACUACAAAAAUUAAAAAUAUUGAUAGUCAAUAUUUAGGAUAUUAGGAGAAUAUUUUUUAAAAUUGGCGCUUCUUAUUCAUAUAAGUUGACACUUUUAAUGUCGAAUUAAUUUAUUAACAUUGAUGUUUUCUUGAAGGCUCCAAAAUCAUAAGACCUUGACCAAGCCGUCAAGAAUGGGGCUUCUUCAUGGUAAUUACUAACUGCUACACAAAAUUCAAUUUUAUUUAUUUAUUUUUAUUUUUAUUUUUUGUAUAUAAGAAUAGAUGCAUGUGUAUUAAUGUUGAUGAUUGUCAAUUAAUCAAUUAUGGUAGGCAUGAGAGUUUGAUUAGGGCAAAGAUUAACGUGUAUAUAGGGUUUUUUUAUUCAAUGAAGCAAGAGAAGCAUGAAUUUCAAGGGGCCUAUGUGCUAGCUCUGAUCAAGUGUAGCACCAACUUUUAUGUUAUGAUGGAUUCUUACAAGACUUUCCUAUGGUCUUUUUAUGUCGAUCCUAUUUCUCAAGUUUCACUUCUAUUUAAAACAUCAAAAUUGGCUUAUAUUGAGCAUCCAAAUUGACUUCUAUUUAAAUUUUUUAGUGUGGCCGAUCAAAGGGGCUCAAAUUUUUUUAGGCGUAUCAGGGGCUUGAACUUGGUUUUUCGAGGUGCAAAAGAGUGCCUCCAUCCACUUUGACAGACAUGCCCUUAUAUGUAUUAUAUUUGCACAUAAAUUUUUUUAUAUUUAGAAAAAAUAAAAUAUUAAAUUAAAAUUUUAAUAAAUUAAUCAAUUUUAAUUAUUUUAUUUUCAAAUUCCAUUUAAUAUAUAUAUAUAUAUAUAUAUUAAUUUGUAAAUAAAAUUAUGAAUAUUUUUAAUUAAGCAGAUAUAGAUAAACUAUUAUUUAAAUAUUAAAUGUAAUUUCAAAUUCUACCUAUUAUUAUCGAUUGUCAAAAAUUAUGAAUUCAUAUAUUGAUUUCUUGGAUAAAACAACGUUAACAUAUGCAUUGUUGUUUCUUUUUUCAUGUUUAUUAUCAAUAUUGUCUCCGUUAAGAUGAGAUUUAUUUAUCUAAUAGUGUCAUGAAACCACAUAAAUCUUUAUUUUAGUGCUAAAGAAAAUCAUUACAAUGUUAUAAAUAUAAAUUAUUGAUAUAACAUUUAAUUAAAUCAACUACUUAAUGUAGAUUAAUAUUGAGUGCACUCUUAGAAAAUUCAUAUUUCUUAUCGUAUAAUUAUUAUCGAAUAUUAUACAUUAUAUCAUACAUAUAUAAAUUCUUCAUCAAAAUUAACAACUUUAAUAUAUGUAUUAUUACUACUUCUAUCAUCUUUUGGAGUUUUCUCCAAUAUUUUUACAAGUUUUGACUAAUUUCUAUCUCACAUAAUUUUUCAUUGAAUUUUUUUAUGAUAUUUCCCUAUAUAUCUCAAUAUAUCCAUAUAAUUAAAUUAUCAAUGUUUUCAUCUAUGCACUUCCCUACAAACCCAUCGACUACGGGUACCACUUCAACCCAAUAGAAUUAAUAUACAUUUUUCAAUUAUAUAGAAAAUAUUAUUUUGUUAAGUUGAAAAUAAUACUUUUAAAAAAAUAGGUUAUAUUGUAAAUAUCUAAAAGUUUGAAUUAUUUUACAUGUUAAAAUGAUCUAAGGUAAGAAAAAAUUAAUCCAAUACUAAAAAGAGAGGUAGCAUUCUCAUAUGAUUUAAACAAAAUUGACUUCUUGUAAUUAUAUGAAUGAAAUCACAAUAUUGUGAAUGGUGGGUUGGAUUUAUAAAGAUAUUGGAUGUUAAUUAUUUGAAACCAUUCGUCUAGGGAUGACAACAAGACGGGUUUAGUUAUGUAAUUAUUUCCCAUUCUCAUCCCAAACCUGGGAUGGGGCAAGUUGAUGUCCCCCAUUCCCUUUUACAAUAUAUAUAUUAUAUAAUAAAAGAAAAGAAAAAAAAGAAAAAAAGAAAAAGUGAUAAUCCCAUCCCUUUCCUAGAUGUGUUUUUUUGCCAAGUCGAAGUGGGUUAGUUAUCAUAAAAACAUGAAUCCUUUAAGCACAAAAACCAUUAGCAAGGUGAAGGUACCUACGGUGUUUGCAACAACUUGUGUCCCUUAUACCACAAUAUUGAACUGAAAGAGGGAAAGAGCCAUCCAAAGUAUACCAAAUAAUGCUAGUAACUGCUAGAAAAAACCUAAAAUGAUGGAUAUGUCAUAUCAGCAAAAGGAACUCUGGGGUAUCAUUUAGUAGUAAAUCUUAAUGACCACUAAAAAUAUAUAAUGCCAAGAAAUGGAAUGCACUAAAAAAGAGAAACAUCUGGCCUUUUGAAAGUAGCAUAAUGUCAUCAAAGAGAUCAUAUGUCUCAAGUGCAUGCUAUAGAAAAGAAAUGAUCUUAGUUACAUCCAUAAUAUGAACCAUUUGCCUCAUGAACUUGACAAUCAGGGCACUAGUGUAACUAUCCAACCCUGUAGAUAUUUCAUCCAUUAAAAGAGCUUUUGUUGGUCCAACCAACAUUUCCCAUGCAUUCGAUUAAAUGAAACACUAUUAAGUUGUAAUGAGCAUCUAAAAAUAUUAACAAACAAAUUACAAAAUCUAGGACAAAACAGAUAACCAAUCAAUCACUAAAUUGAUGGGGUAAGAGAUUAGUGUUUCUAUGCCAUUAAAAUUAGGAAUAGAGAGCACUUGACUUUCCAAAAGUAUUUAGUGAUUAUUUCAACCAUUAGCUACACUACAAGGAGAAGGGUCUAUAGUUGCAGUUGUUGGCCAUGACUAAAGUUAGUGAAAACCAUGACCAUAACAUGUAGUGUCAUAAUAGAUAGACAGCAACAUAGUGUGACUAUGGGUAGUGUAACCAUAUCCUUUUGUAGCGGUCACUGACUUUUCUGCAACUAUAAGUCUAAAGAUUUGGUAGUGAUCAUAGGCAUUGUACAACAAAUUACGUCUUAUAGCUGGGGUUGGUUAUUGCCUGCAACCAAAAGUUUGGUAUGAGAUAUAAUGGGAGUAAAUAGUUGGUUGCAGCUAUAACAGAUAUAAAUGCAACUUACCUCAUCCACAGGGCUAUAUGAAUGUUUGUUUUUUGUUUUGUUUUUAUUUUUUUUUUAGAAAUUAUCAAACAUAAAUUUUAGUUUCUUUUUUUAAUUUUCUCAAACAUUAAAUUGCAUAUUUUGUAUAUUACUAUAAAAUCUCAUAAUUUUGGAUAUCAUCUUUAAUGAAAUUUCUUAAGGUUUAUCCUUCACAUAUUACAAUUUACAAAGGCUUUAUCUUUUGUCUAAUAAAAAAAAUAUAUAUACAAAAUUACACCUACAAGUUUAAAAAUUAAGCAUUCAACAACCAAUUUCCUUUCCAAAUAAAUGUUGACUAGAUAUUUCUUUACAAUUGAAAUGAUAAGAAUCUAGCUCAUUGUCUUUUGCAAUACAAUCUACACUUCCAUGUAUCAAAUCCAUGCAUUUGAAACAUCUAUCAAAUUUGCUUGAGAGCAACCGAAUGAUAACCAUUAUGGUGAGGUGCCCCUUUAGAUCCCAAUCCAAGUGUCUAUCCUACAAGUAGUUUAUCAGAUGCUCUCUAUUGAGUAAACUAGUUGAACAAAAUAGAAACUACAAAAAUCUUAAAGAAAACAAGAAAAUAGAAAUACCUUCUCUUACACUCCCAAGCCUGAAAGGUUCCUUGUCAAAUUUAAAACAUUCUUCAUGCUUCCUUAUUUCCUUGUUGCUCAGAUUAGAUGUGCUCCUAAAUAUUUUUCCAAGUAAGACAUUAUAAUCCAUGAAGCCAUGUCAUCCUAAUACAAGAAAAGAAGUUUUCUUCAACUAGAUUUGAUUUUAAAAAGAUAAGGUGAAAAUUCUAAACAUGUUUAAAACCUUACCAUAGCUUAUGCGCAUUUUCUUUUCUUUUUCAUCGAAACAAAACUCGAUUUGGAUGAUAACUUUACAUUCAAACAUCCAAAAAGGAAAUAAUUAAAAGAUAUUUUACGUCCACAUAAAUUGUUCAAUACUUAUAUUCUUUAUGGUUCUCAAAAAGCAAGACAAUUUUAAUUUUAUUCAUUUCUUUUAGUAUAUAAUUCAACUUUUUUACUUCGUAAAAGUGUUGACUUAAUAGGGUAAUUUAAUAUCAGUAAUCCAUCUUGUAACACACAAAGGAGAAGUUAACAUGGAGGUGUCAUCAUAAUACCAAAAAUAAACUGAUGAGAUUAAACCAUUUAUUGACAUUUCAAAUGCCCUUAUUAUAAUAUACAAAAGGAGUGAAUGAUAAAGAAUACAAGCAUCUAAAUGAUUUCUACAUAAACAAAAUUGAUCCAAUCAAAUUUCAUAAGUACUUUAACAAAUUAUCAUGUAAAUAAGCAAAUGAUCAUAAUCCAUGAGUAGUUGCCUCAUUACAUUUUAUUUUAUUUUAUUUUUAAUUUAUUUUUUGUAAGGGUUUGCCUAGGACUUAUCACCAAAUGCAAUAAGAAAAUUAUCUUUCAAACAUCUAUAGUGAACUUUUGAUUUAUUUAUUCAUCUAAACAUAAAAAGCUAUGAAAAUUUUAAUAGAAUUACCUUGGAAAUUGGCAUCUUUCCUUUUUAAGAAUCAAUCAAUGAGAAAUCCAUAUCACCUACAACAAUGCUUGUUGAAGGUUGAUCUAAAACACCAAAACAGAAGAACUAAAUGUGGGUGUAUUAUUUUUGUAUUUGUUAGUACACUGUACACCUAUUAACAACAUUAAAGACUUUUUUCAUUUAAUUAAACUCGGAUUAAAUUAAAAAAGUAUGCCAUUUUUAAACAAAACUCACCAGCCAACCUCAUGACUAUAUAAAGUGACAUAAUAAAAGAUCUCCAAACUAGAGAUUCCAUAAGGAAGGAGGAACUCUUAGAGAAACCACCAAUGAUAAGCUAGAAACUAAGUCACACCCACCAAUAAUAAGAUGAUGUGAAUUUUCCAUUUAUGACACCAAAAAUGUCUCUACCCAAAUGGAAACAGAAAAAAUAAUAUUAAUGACCACAUCUCCUUAUACUUGGCAAUAUCAGAAUGUCAAUGACCUAUAAUCUACUACCAAGUUGGAAGGUUAAUAUCAAUCUCAUUUGUUUUUGUUUGUUCAUAUCCAUGAAAAGUAGCUGACCAUAGAAGGUAUAGCCUUUCAGUCAACUAAUUCUAUCAUUAAAAGUGUAUGGCUUUCUACAAUUCUAUGAUUGAAUGCAAAAUGCACAAAUGAACAAGGAAUGUUUAGGUGCUUUAAUGCAAUAAAAGCUGAAUUGGUUUUGCACGGUUACUAUCCCUUGAUUCAAUGAUCAUUUUAACGGACACAUGAUGAACAAUUAAUGAAUAUUUGGAGUAGAGGUUUUGCUUUUUAAUUUUUCAAGCCAAGGGGAAUGUCUAAGAAUCUUAAAAAUCCAUAUAAUUAGACAUAUAUUUGGAUAAUUCAUUAUGGGAUAGUUCAAAUGGUAUUCAUCUAUACCUAGUAUUCAUAAUUUAUAUAAUUAGUGCUCAUAAUCGAGUGGACUAAUUUCAUUCUUUGAUGUAUUUCCUGAAUCCUUAAUUCAGAAACCUAUUACUCUAACCAAAAGGAUAUUCAACUUAAGAGAAUAGAUAUCUUUCUCUCUAUAUAUACUUAUAUGCUCCAUUGGUUCCUCUUAUUACAAAUCUAACUAGUUGAACAAUUAUAACAUUUAAUGGAACAAAAAUAUGUCUUUUAUCUCUAUGACCAAUUUUUCUCAAAAAAAAAAAAAAAAAAAGAAUUCUACAAAUUCACAAUAUUUUAAUUUCUAGAAAAACAAAAGAAUUACCCAUGGUAGAUUCACUGACAUCCACCGAAUCAUUAUCAAAAAAUUAUUCAAAUUGGCUCUUUAAGUCUCAUUUUCCUAUGAAUCCAAAAGAAAAUGUUAGAACUCUUUAAGUCUCUCAACAUCAUUAUGAUAGGGAUGUGCAAGACUUAGAAGAAUGCUACAAAGAAUAUAAGGAUGUGCAACUGAUGUAAUCCAUUGGUAAAUAUAUUGGCUCAUAUGCCCAUUGAAAAAAUUAAAUUAGGUUAUGAGUUGAGGAAGACAAAAAUUCCUUUUCAUAGAAAAUUUAGAGAUUUAAAACAAUUAGAAAAAAUCUUCCUUUCUCAAGCACUAAACAAUAGGAAAAUGGGAAGAGACUUUGUUUGUAUUUCCUAAGUUUUCACAAGAAACAAAUGGAGGAGAAUUGAACAAACAGGAAGUAGAUUGAAGGAGUUCUUCAUGGAGAAGGGAAGAGCAAAGAGACUUACUAGAUGACUCAUAGCUGAAGGUUGUUGAAGAUCUCCCUCAACUGAAGACUCAUCAAAGCUAGUACCAAUAUUAGAGAAUGAAGAUUGCAAAUUCGAGAAUGGAGAUUGCACGUUAGAGAUAAGAUAUUUCAUCAUCUACAAAGGUGUAGGGUUAUCGAAAGAAAUGAAACCGUGCAUAUUAGGUUUAUUAUAUAUGGAGCUUAUGGUUAAGGCUUAAUCUACCAUAGCUGCAUUGGGUCUGUUUUCGCGGCCCACAACAUGCCACAUCCAAAAGCCUUUUGUGGCCUAUAGGACUGAAACAAAUAUUUCCCACCACUAUAGGCCCACAUUAUUUACACUUCUUGCACCGAAAGUCCCCUAUACACGUGGGAUCUUCAUUUGUAGAGACUGUAAUUUUUGCACUAGAAUUUGGUUCCACUCAAAACUGCCAUGAAUGGGCCUUACUAAUGCAUUAUCACUAUACCUUCAUUUUCUUAUAAUGCUAUUGAAAUAAACAAAUAAACCAUAUUUUUAAACAAUCUAAUUAAAGAAAGAGUAAACCACAACACACACACUCCACAACAAAAGAGUAUUACCCAAUAGUAUUGUGCACAAAAAGAAGUGAUAUUCAUAAAUUGAUUCACCAAUUGGAAAAUAUUCAUAAAGCAACAAGAAUUGAUAUGCAUUUAAACUAAAAGAAUAAUUAGAAAUAGGAAAAAAAUAAUAAAAUUACAACUCUUACAUCAACAAGAAACAACAAGAAACAUAAGAGAAUUCAAAGUGAGUCAAAAUUCCAUAUGGAUAAAUUUAUAGUUUUACUUUACAAACAAAAAAUGAAGUUAAAACAUUGUUUCAUGUGUGAAGAAAAUAAAUUUCUUGAAACUGAACAAUAAUGACACUUCUUUUAUCCACUGGAAAUACCCUUUUUUAUGUCAUCACCAAUCAUGAUAUCAGUAUAGAUGUCCAAUUCAAGUAUCUAUUAGAAAGAUCAUGGAAUAAAAGCUCUUCUAACCUAUAUUAAGAUUCAAAGAGACAAUAGUUUCAAACACCAGAAUUCAAAAGUUGCUAUUAUUUUUGCACUCCUUUAUGAAGAUAACCAGAUCAUAUCUCCCUUUGAAAUUGUGUUCAAGCCCUAACAAGUGAUAAAAAUUAAGUACAAUUUAAGAGACCAAAAAAAAAAAAGACCAAAUAUACAAGGAGCGCAACACUUCAAAUUUAUCAAAAACUAAAACUACGACACAUAAAAAUACAAAAUCUCCAUAUAUAUAACAACAUUAAAAUAAAAAAGAGCUUUAAACAUAAAUUCUUCCAUCAUAUUCAUAAAUAUAACAAUAUUAAUAUAAACAAGAGCAUUACAAAAAAAAAAAUUGUUCACAUCCCAAAAUAGAUCUCCAAUACUAACUUUAUCUCAAGAAAAGAACCAAUAGUAGGAGUGAUUCAUCAUCUUCAUCCAUAAUUGUGAGUUUGACCCCUGAGUAAUCAAAGAAUCACCUAUAAGAGUAAGAAUGACAAAAAUAUAAGCAACUUUAUUGAAAAAUUUGAUGGGAAAAUCCCAGAUUUCUCCAUUUCCCAAGCCUAGAUCAAGUUAGGAACAUGCUUAACUAUCCUAGGUUUUUUAAAAUCCUAUGCACAAUAGAAAAAUAACAUUUUUAAACUUUAAAGGGAUUUAAAAAGUGCUAACGAAAUCCAUACCUCAUAUUCAAAUGUUCUUGAAUCAAAUCCACAUGGUGAAGAUGAAGAACAAAAUCGCAGAAGUCUCAUAAACUCAAAGUCUUUCGCUCAAUGAUUCGAACCUUAAUCUUGACACACUUCCGGUGGGGAUGGAAAUGAGGGUGGAGGUUAAGACUCUCUCUCUCUCUAGAGAUGGAAAAUGACUCUCUAGAAAAAAGCUAUGGGAACCCUAAACCCUAAGGAGGUAUUUGUAGGGCUCCUUAUUAGGCUUAAGUGACUUGAGCCCACUAAGGGUUUGGGUCACUUAAUCUAACCCAAAAUAGGUCAUAAUUGAUUAAUUAACCCAAUAGGGCUUACUAAUUAAUCAAUUAUCCCAAUCCAUAGACCUUGUUCAUCCUAUGCAACCUUUCAUAAUUAUCAAAACACCCUUAUGCACAAAAAUGAACCCAGAGUCAAUCUAACCCUCAUAACCUGUGCCAACAAAGUAUAUAAGCUCAGAGUAGGGACCACUAGGACUCAUACGAAUAUUGGUUCCCUCAAAAUCCAAUUCUAAAGUUGAUUCAACGUUCCACUAUAGUUAAUCAACUAAACUCUAGUAUCCUAUGUAAAUAACAACGAGACAUCAAGUGCUCGGGUCCAUGACCUACUAUCCAUUGUGUUCAAUCUUCCCAUGAAUUGAUGUCUGUAGUCUAACAAGGUGAAAGCUAGCAUCGUUUCGAGACCACCUCUACUAUCCUUGAGUUACAGAUUCUCCUAUUGUGUGUUCAAUGGACAUGUCUAAACUCUCAAAGAGCUUAUGUCAAGUUCCACUUAAGGAACUACUAUGCCAUAGUUUCCAUGAACACACCUCCUUAGGAUCACCCAAGGGGACACACUGUCUCAAUCCCAAGAGUUAUCAUGGUGCCUCUAUUGAGAAUAUCUAUUGCUAUCGGCUUCCAUCAAUAGUGGCACAAUCCAUAGGAAAUAUAUGACCAACUUACGAUCUCACAUGUAGGUUAAAGCCACUACUAACUUCAGCACAAACUCAAUAUUCUCUCAAGGUUGAGAGAUAACACAAUGAAGCAACUUAGUGAAGUUACGAUUACUUGAUAGCCUUAAGUCAUGACUUACCAUAGAUCAUAUCCAAUGUGUAACCAUACACACUAGUGCACUCAUCAUAGGAAACCCAUCCGUGGACCCACGUUUUUCAUGUGCAUCCCCACUUAAUCGACGAGACUCACUUCCUAAGGGUGAAAAAUUAGUUUUGGAAAAGUUGGAGUUGCCACUUAUUUUAUUUUAUUUUAAAAGGGAAAAUAAAACAAGAAAGAAAACUCUAAAAAAGUGACUCCAUAGUUUUGGAAAAACAAGUCUUAAGAAAACCGAGUCUUGGUCCGGGGAUUAGGUUACCUAUUGGGAAGGUACCUUUAAGAGGUAGCACCCUUCUAAGCCCUAAAGAGGUUUCUACUGGUCUAGUCAAGGGAAAUGUGACAAUUAAUUGAUUGAUUUGAAAGUACCUGGGUAAACUAAAGUGAUUUCGAGAUUUCUAUUUAUACUAGCAUGCCAAAUAAGAAAUCAAAUCACAAUCAUAAAGAAGAGUUAAGGUGAGUACCCGGACCGCUUCUCAAGCACUAUCAUAAGACUGUCAAGGUCAGUUCAAGAAUAUUGGCACACAACAUGCAUUUUUAUAUAAAAAAAACAAUCAAAUAAUGCAUCAUGGCAAUCAAAGACAACAUCAAUCAUGGAUAUAGCUCACAAUGUCUUACAUACUCGUGGAUUUUGGAAAAUGAGUGAUAGAGAGCGUACCUGGAUGGCCAGCCAAGUGCUUUAAUGGGAAACAUGGCUUGCUCAACAAUAGAUACAAAACAAAUUCAUUUAUAUCACAAAGAGGAAUCGAAAUCAAUUAAUCACCAAGCAAUCAUCUCACUUGAAUCAAUAUCAAAGAUGAUGUCAAAAGUGUUGGACCCUCUCACCAAGGUCCGACCUAUUUUUGCAUAAAUUGGUUCAAUGAGUUCCAUUAUUUGGAACCAUGAAGUUUAAUCAUGCUUAUGAAGGAAGUUAGCUGAAAAUAGUGAAGAUGUAUGCUAGGUAGAAAAUUGGUAGCAAAGGGUUUGUUAAAAUUUGGAUUUCAUGCCUAGAAACUCUUAAGGAUGGGAUUUUAAAGAAAACUAAAGUCAUUCAAAGGAAAAGAUUUUGAAAUCCAGAUUUAAAAUGUGUAAGUUCACAAGCAAGAGAAGAAGUAAUAAGAGGAGGACGGUGUGCAUCAAGGUGGCAACUGUAGGAGUAGAGCCUAGAAGUGUACUUGAGACUAUACAACUGGUGGUUGUAGCUGUUGUCCAUGAACUGCUCAUCAUGGGCACCAUUAGAUUGAACACCAAAUGCAAAAAUAAGAAGGCAAAUCCUAUUGCACAUUUUGCCAGUUUUGAGAGGAAGGUACGAGCAUGUCUGAUUUUGGUCAGACGUAAGUUUGUGCUCUUCGCAAUCCUCCUAGUUGUCAAAUCAUGUCUUGAUGAUUGCCUAUCAUGUAGGUUCCUAGUUUAUUGUUGCCUUUAGGGAUCACAAGGUUUAUAUUUCUGUAAAGCCUGGGCAAAUCUAGAAUCUUCCUUACCAACCCAUUACAAUAUCUUAGAGUCGACCAUCCAGUAUCAGGGCUUUACUCCAUUAUCAUAGAACCUUAUAGAACUGGACAAACUGCAAUGGGAUUCAUGGAGACAUAGAAAUAGAACCACCAGAAGUACACUGAACAUAUUGCAAUUGUCAUACACCUUAUCCCUUAUACCAACACUUCUAUCAUUCUCCUAAUGUAUACCCAAAUACGUAGAUAAGGAUUGGGUAGUUUCAUGUAAGAAAAUGGACAGAGAAUGUAGGUAAAAACAUAAUAAAACCUGGAGAAAGAAAUAGCAAAAGAGGCCAAUUAACGAUAGUGAAUAGCCUCAUUUCAAGUGUUAAUCCAUGGGCUAAGAAUAGUGCAAUGAUUCAAAAUAAGAUUUGGGACAUAAAUAGGGCAUGAUUUUUCUUUUGCAACAAACUCAAAGAUGGGUCCAUACACAAAUUAUUUUAGAUGGAAAUCAAGGGCAUUAAAAUAAUAAUAAUAAUAAUAAUAAUAAACAGAGUAAACAAGCAAACCACCAAUCUCAAUAAAACAACUUGUAGCCCUUACCCUCCACACCAAUCAAUAAGACAUCGAAUUUUCAAAAACAACCAGAAUGAGAAAUUGAAUACAAAUGAGAAUCCAAGGAGUAGCAAUAAGCAUACUUGGACAAUUUGGACUGCAAUCGUUUGGCUUCUAGCUAUCGUUCUUCUCCAAUCCUUUAAAAAAACCAGUGAACCCUUCAUUCUCCUUCUUCACGUGAAAGUAAUAAAAAACCUUCCUACUCCCUCCAUCGUGUGCCCAUAAUCUUCUAUUUUUUUUUACGUAUCUAUAUUAGUCUCUAGAAAUCCAAUCUACUGAAGGAAAAUCAUCUUUUCUUUCUUCCAUUUUCCUUCUUUUUCCCCCAAACCUGGGCUAAAUCUCUUGCUACCCUCCAACAAAAAAAAAAUCCGUAGCCCUCUUUUAAAAAAAAAAAAUUAGAAUAUCUCUCUUUUUCCUUUGAAGAAUCAUUUCCUUCCAUAUGUAUACAGCCAAGUUGAUCUUUUCCCUCCAAAAAUAUUUUGCUUUCCUUUUGAGUGUACAUGCCUUUGUGAGGGGAUCAAUAGAAAAAUGGAAUUUCCUUGAAAAAUAAUAAAAUGAAAAUAAAAUAUAAGUUAGAGAUCUUGCAAUAUAUAAAAUAGAAUAAAGUAAAACAAAAUAUAUAUAUAAAAUAGAUAAAUAAAGUAAAACUAUUAAUCCUAUGUAAUUUUUAAAAAGGGAUAGGUAAAUGUGUGAAUAUAUAUUUGAUGUCAAAGUCAUGUGGUAAACAACCAACAAUGAUCAUCCAUCUAUGUACUGCUGCCCGAACACAAUCUCAUCAAGGAGAAGGAAAUAUGCCCCGGUAUGGAUAUCUGAUGUAUCAUAAAGAAUUUGUCAAAAUCAAUCAAACAUCUCUAUAACCAUGAAUAGGGAUAACCAUACAACCCAACAACAACUAGGAAUCUCGAAGGAAGAGGGAAAUAUGCCCCAGUAUGGAUAUCUAAUGCAUAACAAAAAGAUGAAUCCAACAGCAUUAAUCAACUAUCUCUAGCUCGACAAUAAUUCACUAAGAAAUUAAAAUGAAGUAUUGGCCAAUGCCUCAGGGGAGACACUCUAAAUCUAAUCUCAAAGGAAUAACCAAAAUGAUGAGGGAUGUGAUAAUCUCAAGAGUAAAAACAUGUCUCUGAUGAAUCCUUAACUGAAUUUGAUAGGAAUCUGGUAACCUCAAAAAAGGGAAAUGUGCCCCAAUGUGGAUAUUUGAUGCACAAUCAAAAUGAUGAAUCUGAUAUCAUCAAUGAACUGUCUCCAAACUAAAAGAUCCAUCAACCAUCAAUACGCCAAGCAAGAGAGAGAAACCAAAUGCUUCCAAAAGUAUCUUCCAUAAGAGAAAACAUAGUAACAACUAUACUUCAACCAACCUGCAAACGUCUGUCCAAAUGAAGACUGUCAAAGAUAACGUCUAAUCUCAUGGCGUCAGGGUGGUCUUAAGACACGGGAUGUAACGUAGGCCAGGGUGAAAAGGUAAAGAAACAAAAAAAAAAAAAAAAAAACGAGGCUCAAAUGCCCAAUGAUCAAACCCAUACCCUCGUGUAUAGUGUACAACGCAUAAGAUAAUCUAUGAGCAUGUGAACUUAAAAGGAGUUAAUGGAAAUAUUGAUGGUGAAAAAAAAAAAAAAAAAAAAGAAAUGGUCAAGCCAUUAGUGGAUCAUGUAAAUGAUGUGAAGAAAGGUAUUGGAUCAGGAAUGUGUAUGGGUGUUGGAAUGGGGGGAAAAAGAGAAUAAAUAGUAGGAAAGAAAUGAUGGGAAAUCAAAUAAAGGUAGUGAGAAAGUGAAAAGAAUGAUGAUCAACGCAUAUCAAUACAACAAAGGAAAAUCAUAUCACUCAUGAUGGAAUGAUGGAGAAAACACUGAUUUGGAGACCUUAAUGAAAGGUUACUCAACUCUCAUACCUACAAUGUAUGCCAACUUUGAUCCAAGAGAAAAAUGAUCUGAAAAAAUCCUCACAAAACUCUCACCACUCUAACUCCAUAACGAAAGUGAGUCAAUGAGUGAAAAUCUCUCAUGGAAAACUCGCACAAACCCUUAAUGAUAAACCCAAUAAACAGCCCUCAAAUAACAACACAUGCUCAAUGGAGUAGAAUAUCAAGUACAAACAUAUCACUACGAUUUUUUUUUUUUUUUUUUAAUGAAUUUGCAUACCCUAGUCAUCAAUAAAUCAUACUCCACUGAGAAACUACAAGGAAUGAAUAAGCACUCUCAAAUCAUUGAUGAACACAUGAACCUCACCCAUGAGAUAACCUCUCAAAUUGAAAUCUUCGAAUCAAUGUCGAAUGAUGGAGUGAAAGGGGUGAUAUGAUUGUUCUCUAUGCACCAAGUUGUGAAGAAUCACCAAUCUAAGUAAAAGAAAAAAUAAAUAAAAAGAAUGAAAUGAAGCAAGCAAUGACAAACAUGAAGAAGAGUAUGGAAAAGUGAAAAAAGAAAUGUAAUAGAAUGGGGUAAUGGGGUGAUAAUAUCAUAGAUGAGGAAAAAAAUGCUUAUAAGUCCAAAGCUCAUGAGACUUUCCUAGCAAAGCAUACCUAUACAUCAAAGGGCCUCAACCCAGGUGUAGAAAUGAUAAGCAGGGCUAUAUGAAAGAAAAUGCUAUAGCAUACCAUAUAAGGCUUAAUGGGCUAGCAACGGUCUAAUAUAUCAAUAAAGGUGAUAAGGUAUAAGGAUAACUGAUAUGAUGGCCACUCAUCCUGUGACCAUAGUCUCAAACGUAAUACUUCUUCAGCUAAUCCACAUUGGUCGGCUCUGAAAACUAAUUUCCAUCUAAGUCUGUCAACCAUGCAGCCCCCUCUGGAGUCAACUCUUGAAAAACAUAAGGCCCACCCCAACUAAGUCUAAACUUCCCUCUAUGAUCUCCAACCAAACCUCUGGGAAUUUUCAAAACCAAAUCCCCUUUCUAUAAUGGUCUAGGCUUGGCCCGUUUCUUGAAGACAUGAGCCAUUUUCUUCUGAUAAUCCUGAACAUGAUCCGCUGGCCUCAAUCUCUUCUCAUCUAAAUGGUUAAGCUGAUCAAAUCGAGCUUAAGCCCACUCUGUCUUAGAAAUUUGCUGCUCAAGAGCUACUCUCAAUGAACCCAUCUCUAUCUCAACUGGCAAAACCAUCUCCAUGCCAUACACCAGAGAGUAAGGUGUAGCUCAUGUAAAGGUGCGAAAAAAAGGUACGGUAUGCCCACAAUGCAAAAGGGAUUUUCUUUAACUAGUCUUAAGAAGUUUCAACCAUUUUUCUCAAAAUCCUCUUAAUAUUCUUAUUUGCAACAUCUACUGCCCCAUUAGUUUGUGGCCUAUAUGCAGAUGAUUUGGUAUGUUGGAUGCCAUACCUCUAUAACAAAGUAUCUACCUCAGCUCGAAAGUACACCCCUUUAUCUGAAAUCAACUCAUGAGGAACCUUAUAAUGGCAAAUGAUGUGUGACCUGAUGAAACUGACAACUUUAGCAGAUGUCAACCUUGCAUAUGAUGCAGCUUCCACCCACUUGGUGAAAUAAUCUAUGGUGACUAGGAUGAGCUCAUGACCAUUGGAAGAUUUUUGUGAGAUCUUCCCAAUAAUAUCAAUACAUCAUACUAAAAAUGGUCACGGCGAGGUCAAAACGUGUAACUCUGAUGGGUGCAUGAAUGAGAUCACCAUGAAUCUGACACUCUAGGCAUCUCUGAACAAACUGAAAAUAAUAUGUCUCCAUAUUCAACCGAAAAUAACUUAUCCUCAUAAUCUUACGAGCUAGCAUGUGUCCUCUCAUGUGCGGACCGAAAACUCCUGUGUGAACCUCUCUCAUCACACGGUCUGUGAAAUCUCGAUCUAAACACAAUAAAGGAUACCAUCAAUUGAUCGCCUAUAUAGAGUCUCUCCACAAAUCACAAAUCUAGCAACCAACUACCUUAAUGCUCUCCAAUCCUUGGUUGUGGCUGGCUCAGGAUAUAUGCCAGAUCUAACAAACUAAUAAAUGUCAUGAUGCUAAGGUAGAUUAUUCUAGGCCUCUAUCUCUCCAAUCAAACAAUAGUAGGCGGGUGUAGACCUCAACUAAAUCAGAAAUGGACGUAUAACCACAUUAGUCGGAAUGUCCACAGAAGAAGCUAGAGUAGCUAAAGCGUCAGUAAAUUGAUUCGUAUUUCAUCGAAUCUCCUAACCAAUAACUCUAAAUAGGUGUGAUACGACCUAAGCUUUGUAUCCCUAGUCCUCCAAUCUCCUUUAAUGUGUCUGAGUACUAGAUUGGAGUCACCAAACACCUCCAUCUGUCUAAUGCCAAGCUCCAAUGUAGUCUCUAAAUCAAGGAUACAAGCCUCAUAUUCAACAACAUUGUUCGUGGUGGGAUGUCAAUUUGAAAAUGACAAAUGAACAAAUAUGGGAAUAUGAUCAUCCUGAAGGGAUACCAACAAAACACUUAUCCCAUACCUUAAGUGAUUGGUUGCACCAUCGAAGUACAUGCUCCAACUUGAUAAGUUAGUCAUAGCAACAAACUCUUCAUCUAGAAAGUCAUCAUCAAUUGGCCUAUCCUCGGAUGUUGCUAAUGAGGUUAAGUGAUGGGUGACAAUGCUUCCUUAAUAGACUUCUGAGAAACAUACUGAAUAACGAACUUUGUCAAAAGUACAAGCCAUCUUAUCAGUCUACCAAUCAAUGUGGGUUUGUUAAACAAGUAUCUCAACGGAUCUAGGUAAGAUAUCAAAUGUACUGAAUACUCUAACAUGUAAUGCCUCAAUUUUCUAGUAGCCCAAACUAAUGCUAAAUCAUAACAUAUCUCAUCUUAUACUCCGCAUCCUUUUACUCAAAUAGUAAAUAACCCGCUCUUUCUCUGGGUUAUCAAGCUGAGCUAACAUAUAUCGCAAUGCCAUGUCUGAAACUAAUAGGUAUAGAAGAAGUGGACAUCCCAAUAUAGGAGGCACCAAAAAAGAUGAGAAAGAAAAUACUCCUUAAUCCUCUCAAAAGCGAGCUAGCAAUCAUCAUUCCAAACUAUAGGCUAGUUCUUCCUCAAAAGAUGAAAAAUGGGCUCACAUAUGUCUAUCAAUCUAGAUAUGAAACGACUAAUGUACUGUAACUUGCCCAGAAAACCCCUGAUCUCUUUCUCAAUCCUUGGCACAGUCAUGUCAAGUAUGGCUCUGAUCUUAUUUGGGUCGGCCUCUAUGCCCCGCUCACUAACCAUAUGCCCCAACAAUUUCCUAGAAGUCACUCCAUUGGUGCACUUCUUGGGGUUUAGCCUAAAUCUAAAUUUUUAAAUCCUCUCAAAGAACCUCUUUAAAGCUGCUAGGUGAUCUGUUAUGUCUUGGGAUUUCACAAUCAUAUCAUCCACAUAAACCUCAACAUCCUUAUGCAUCAUGUCAUGAAACAAAGUAGUAGUAGCCCUCUGAUAAGUGGCUCCUACAUUCUUCAACCCAAAUUACAUAACCCUGUAACAGUAGGUACCUCACUCAGUAAUGAAGGUUUUCUUCUUCAUAUCCUCUGAAGCCAUCAAAAUCUGAUUAUACCCAGAAAACCCAUCCAUGAAAGACAACAUCGAAUGGCAUGCAGUGUUAUCGACCAAUAAAUCAAUAUGUGGGAGAGGAAAGUCAUAUUUAGGUUUAGCUUUAUUAAGGUCUUUAAAGUCAACACAAACUCUAACUCUGCCAUCCUUUUUGGGAACAGGGAUGACAUUAGCUAACCACUUUGGAUACUCAACCAUUGACUCUAACGUGGGUACAACUACCUCAAUUUCUAUUUAACUGAUCUAGCAUGUGGCAAAAUAGGCAAGUGGUGUUGGAUUAUAGAGGGAUUGAGACCAUACAUGUCCUCAUAAGACCAUACAAAGACAUCCAAGUAUGACCUGAGUAAAUGAAUAAGUCUAUUUAUCUCAUCUGUGGAUAGGGGUGAACUAAUCUUCAACUCUCUAGGCUGAUCCUUUGUACCAAAAUCAACAGUCUCAAUGUCCCUUAUAGCAGGUGAAACUCUCUCAUCUAUAGGAUCUAAGUCAUGAUCAAAAGAGUUUUUAUCCAAAUUAGGCUGUGAAAUCUCAUCAAUAUCAUAUAUCUGUGGAAUGGAUGAGUGGGGUGUAGAUAUAGAGAUACUAUCACAAGAGACAAGUAAAUACUAAAAAAUACUCAAAUCCAUAAAUGAAGCAAUAUGAACAUUGUUAGAGCGAGAUAAAAUGUCAAAGGAAAGAGGUGGGUCCACAAGGCCAUACGCUCCCUCAAUUAGACUAAUAGUGCCCUCAAACAAACUACCAUCAUCCUUUGAAAACUUUGGAAUAGGAAUAGUCUGGAUCUUCUCAGCAACCUCAAUAGUAGAUGCCCCAAAAGAAUCAAAUGGUGAAAUAGGCUCAAACUGAAUAAUAUUGGUAAUCUGACUCAUGCUCAUCAUGUCCAUCUCAUUUCAGUACUCAUCAUGGGGGACAACUCCGUCAAUCAUCUCAGUGGGAUCAACGACAUCUCCAUCAUCAAUGAUCUCCUCUAAGAAGCAUAGGGACAACAAACUAGCUCGAUUUGGAGACGGUGGAGCAAAAACCAUGGAAAUAAAUGUGUCGGGAGUCCCAUCACCCAACUAUAACAGAUGAAAAAGAUGUUAAAGCUCAAUCUCUCUAUCUGUAUCAAACAUACUAUCAAUUUCCUUUUAGACGAGGUCAAAUCUCUGAGCCUCUAACAAAGUAAUAUGUCAAACUCAUCCUAUAGGGGCGAAUAGGAUAAUCAAAUGGUAUGUGAGACAAUCGGGCCCUCAUCCUCUCCUUGUGUAGUCGUGCCAUGUAUUGAUAAUUAGCCUCAGUAGGAAUGAACCCAAGUCCAAAUGUCGUAUCAUGAUCAAUGGCAGCUAUAAACUCAAUGGGCCCAUGUUGAUGUCGUCCUAAUCCCAUAUUAGGUAGAAAAGACAUACCCCUCAUCAUGUCAAGAACCGUUGUACUGCUAUGUUGAUAAAAUGACAUAGCUACAAAAUCUCUACAAAAAUCCCCAAUCUCAAGAGUCUGUACCUCAUCAAAUGUAAAUCCAGUCAACAAUAGGUCAUCCUCACUAUGAUUGAUUUGAAGCACUACCUUAGAAAAGGCAAAUGUAUCUCUGGUAGACUAUACCAUGAUGACCUACCCAUCAUGGAUGAACUUCACCUUCUGAUAAAGGGAAGAUGGAAUAGCUUCAACUCUAUGAAUCCAUGGUUAGCCUAGUAGUAAGUUAAAGGAUGUAAGUGAUUCGUCCCUAGCAGCGGAAGUGGCAAUGGCACCAUCUGAUUUGGGGUUCGAUCCCCGGCAACGGCGCCAUUUGAUUCGUGCCCAAUUGGUGUCUCAGCUGAUUCGUGUCCAGCUGGUGCUCCUUGAUUGAGGGAGUAAUCAACAAAAUUUAUAACCUAUUACACCAUUUACUAGGGUAGCAAAGACAAAGCUACUAUAGCAUAGUGGCUCUAGGAUCGUUCACUGGGAUGGGUUUUCACUUUGCAAAUGAUAUUAAUUCAAAGCUGAAUUGGUGUCUUUUCAUUUCAAGGUUAGCUUUAAAAGAAAACAUAAAGAUGAGUUGGAAAAGGUUUGGUUUUAAACUAACCACAAAUAGUAACUGAUUUUACUUACAAAGAAAAGUGUUUCUUGGAGUUUCAGAUCACUAGGCUCAGAUUCCUCAUACAAAAAGGGAGUUUCGGUCACUUGUUUCUUUUCCUCGCAUUAGAGAAUUAACAUAUAGUUAAUUCUCUAACCGGUGUUGUACAGAUGCUUCCCAUUAAUGGGUUCAAACACUAAAUCCCUCUCACUGAUGCACCUUGCAAUGGCUCAUACCUCUCACCUAGCACUUGCCAUUCAAGGUGAUCUUUAACCUUGGAUUACCCAUCAAAAGCUCGCAAGAGAUAACUAAUGGAUGUCUCCUUGGAGUCCAAAAGCUUACCAAGUGUUGGCUAUUCUAGAAAAUCCUACCUUCAAACCACCUACCAAAGGCUCGCAAGAGAUAAACUAGUGAAUCUCCAUGGACGGAGAUCACUUGCCUUACCAAGUGUUGGCCCAAGUGAUUUAAAGGCGUUUUAAGUUAACUAAAAAGAUAAAAACCAUUAACGGGUCACACUUUCUCUUCAUUAAAAACUAAAACAACAAAACUUCCAAAUUAUGCAUGUGGAAACUUACCCGGCUUUCUUCACUCCAAGAGACAAAAAGCUUAGCUUCUCAUCCUCUGAGGAAAAAUCCUCAGAGUUUGGUUGGCUAGAAAGAAAACUAACGAGAAAACAAGAAUAUAUAUGAAAAACAGAGCAAGUGCUCUGUUCGUUGAUUCUAUAUUACAUACAUCUCUCUGAGAGUCUUCUUUUUAGUGUUUACAAGAGAGUUUAUAUAGGAAGGUAAUUUACCCUUCCUUGGAUACUUCCUAGCUAAGGAAUUACAUGAGUGGUUGAAUACAAGGAGAAAAUGAAAAUUUAGACACAAAAAUCUGAAGAAAAAUAUCCCAAAGUGUCGGUCACAAAUAUCGGGAAGCACUAAGGACCAUUUCGCAGGUGAAAACGAGGUCUGCGAGAUUUCGCAGACAUCCAAAAAGGGCUGCGAAAUUACUUCGCAGCAAAAGGCUGGUUCCACACCGCUGCGAAGUUGGCUUCCACCUUGAGGUUCUCAGCUUCCAGCGCGUCACAUAUAUCGGGUAACUUUAGGAGGAAAUCCACAACACUGUGCAAAAAGGCUGCGAAAUUCUCGCAACAAAAGGCUGAUUCCGCAACACUUUGUAAAAUGCUUCCUUCAGCUUGGAGUGAUCGUCUUGCAAUGGCUGUAACUACUUCAUUUCAACUCCGAAUUGCACACCGUUUGAAGAAUUGGAUUCUUGACUUCCUGAGCUUUGAAAUGGUAUAUAGCAUGUACAAAAUGGACUUCAGGAAGUGCUCCAAAAGUGUGCAAGAAGACUGCAGCUGCUGUCCUCUGUUUGCUUCACUCUGUUUUUCCUCUCUCCUUUGUUCUUUCCUUGCAUACUUUGAACGACUUUGGCAAAGGGCUAUGGAGCUCCAAAGCUUGGUUCUUCAUGAAUUUGAGCUCUUCAUUGCUUUGCCAUGGAUUCCAAAUAACUCUCCUCAAUCUUGGAUUGUUUUGGUGAUCAAAUUACUAACAAAAACACCAAAACUUACACAAUUUGAUUAGAAAUGAUUGCAAGGGUCCUUAACAUGUUAAUUGGGUUAAAAGGCAAUAACUACUACUCAAAAGUGUUUAAAAGGAUUAAUUACAAGCUACAAAAUAGCACUUUUUGAGUAGUAAUCAGUAAGAAUCCUCAAAACCUAGAAUAAAGUAGAAAAUGUGGCUAGACCAAUCAGUAAAUCAAUCACUAAGGUACCCAUAACCUCCCUUUUAGUGUUAUCAUACACUUUGACUGUCUGAAUAGAAAGACCAAAAUCUGAAGGUGCGAAACCAAAGGCUAUAGCAGUGGCUUAGGGGCAAAUGUUUAGGGUCGAGGCACUGUCCAAUAGGACAGAUGGAACUCUAUGGCCUGAACAACCAACUUAAAUAUAUAAAGGGUAUGUGUGGUUUAAACCCUCGGGCGGCAAAUCGUCAUAUGAAAACACAAUACAAGUGGCUCUACCAACUGUCAUCAUAUGAAUCAACCCCUCUGGAGUGGUGGUAGUCUCUACCCUAAUCUAACUCAAGGCUCGAAUCAAAGCAUCUCUAUGAGUACUGGAUGAUGCUAAUAAACUCCAAAUAGAAAUACUAGCCUAGGUGCUCUGCAAAUGUCUCAAAACCUCAUCAUCAUCUCUCCUAACCUCCUCAUGAGAGGUUGCACCCUCAAAUGACCUAACUGGUGGUGGUGGUGGUGGUUGAGCUAUCCUCCCAUUACGAGUCACAAUCUGUAUAUCUUCCCCCUCUAAAUCAUUAUCCUCUGGCCAUAAAGUGAACGAGACAAAAGUAUCCUGACAUCCAAUAACCAAAGGUGUAGAAUGAAUCAACUGGAAUGACGCCUCAUCUGGAAUCAAACUGAAUGGUGUGAAAACUUGAGGACCCAAUGAAACCCUAUCAACCUCGUAAUUUUCAUGCAAAACAAUCGGCUUGGGUAAUCCAUCAUUCCAACUCAACAUAUGUAUAUUGUCAUCCUCUAUAAGGUCUAUGUGAUGGAUAUCUCCUAGAGGUGGAGACACUGCCUGUGUAGUAGAAUGGGCAGGAAGAGGGUUAGUGGUUACACUUGGUUGUCCUAAGUUAAACAAACCCUGGUCUAUAAAGUCCUGAAUAGCAUGUCUCAGAGCAUUGCAGUAGUCCAUGUCAUGCCCUGAUUCUUGAUGAUAAGAGUAGUGUAGAUCUAAUCUAAGGCGAUGUGGCACUGGCUGAGGUACUGGCUUAGAAGCUAAUGGAGUCAAAAAUCCUCCCUUCAUGAGCUUCUAAAAAGCUUAACUCAAAGGCAUACCCAACUAAGAAAAUUGACGUGGUGGUCUCUACACAUAGGGAGUAGUCUACGAAUCUCGGGGUCGAGUGUAUGGAGUAGGAGGUCUCUUUAUGACAUGUACAACAAAAACAAGUUGCGAGACUAGAUAUAGGUAAGUAAGAGUCAUGGGCCUGGAGAGAGCGGGUUGCCUAUACUGCACAUGAGGUGAUGGUGGGUAGUAGAAUCUAGAAGUCUGUCCAACUGUCUAAUAGUGUCAAAGAGGUAUCAACCUUGCUGAACUGAUAACACUAACACUUCCUGAUCUUUGUCCUCCUAAAGGCUUCUUCCCCUUAGAGUCAGUAGGGGAAGACUCGGGCCAUAAUCUUCUAGCUAUGCCCUUUUCUACACCAUAUAAAGCCUAUACCAAAGAUCCAAAAUCUGUAUGAGGAAAUUCCAUCAAGUGCCUAGCAAACUUAGGAUGUAAGCUCCUCAUGAUCAUACUAAUUUGCUCAUUCUCUGAAGGAAGAUCAAUAAUCUGUGAAAUCUUUUCCCUCUAGCGGGAGAUAAAUGAGGUGACUAACUCCUGUGGCCUCUGUCUCAAAGCCUCUAACUCUCUCCUCGAAACAUCAAUGACAAAUUUAAAUGCAAACUGUAUUAAAAACUCCUGGGCCAGAUCAUCCCAAGUCCUAUGGCAUGAUACAUCCAAUGAAGUAAACCAACGUUGUGUCGUACCGUUCAGGGACAUGGGGAAAAACAUAACCAUUUGGGCCUCAUCCAGUCCACAGGCCCUAAUAACCGUACUAUAGAGCCUCAAAUGGAUGCUUGGACAAUCUAUUCCCGUGUACAUCUCAAUCUUAGGCAUCCUAAACUUGGCUAGUAAACUGGUCAUUGGUGCUCCAGCAAAAUCCUCCCAAGUAAUAGCUCCAUUUGAAGUCCUCAUCGGCCUCAUCCUCUACUCAAGUCUAUCCAUACAAGCAUAUGGGUCAUCUAAGAUUAGGGUAGGCAAUGUGAUAGGAGGUGGGACAACCUUAGUUUAACUAUACAAAUUGAAAGGUAUAGGCUGCAGGGCCAACUGAUUGGGUGGAGGGGGUGGUGAGACUGUAGGAUCAAACUAGUCACCCUUCUAAACUAGGACAUGUUGGGCCUGCUGGCCAUCUAUCCUCUAGCCAAGGCUAGCUAAAGCCUCGUAGAUCGAAGCCAUGGCCGCAACAAAUUGGUCAACGGUAACUAUCUAUGAGUCCAUAUCCCUCUGAUUUGAUCUCUAGUCUAACUGGUUUGAUACUCUGAUCAAUCUACCUUCAACUCUAAUCCACAAAGGUGAAUCUAGCUUGGUCACAGUAACUCCCAUACAAAUACAGAAACAUUGGAUAAGGAGCAGUACAAAAGUAGCUUUGUAGGAAGCAAUUGAUAAGUGCACAGAAAUAUAGUCCAAAUGUACUUAAUUUGAUACCCAUCUCUAAUCACACCAAAAAAAGACUAUAAAGAAAAUAAUUGAACCCAACUGUGACCAAGGCAAUUCUUAAGGUCCAUAGAUGCACCCACGUGUAGGAAUGAAAUCUUAAUUGGGUCUAGAUUAGCUUACUAGGCUAAGGUGGAUCCAUAAGACAAAAUGGGUGGGUUAAAGGAUCCCUAGUAGAAGCAAUCAUACCCUCCAACGGUACGCAACCUGAUUCGUUCCCAAUUGGUGUCUCAGUUGAUUCAUGUCCUCUCAAUGGUACCUGACAGUGGUGCCAUUUGAUACGUGUCCAGCUGGUGUCCCUUGAUUGUGGUCCUCAAGGAGUAAUCAACAAAAUUUAUAACCUAUUACACCAUGUACCAGGAUAGCCUUAGCUAGCAUAGCAUAGUGGCUCUAGGGUCGUUCACUAGGAUGGGUUUUCACUUCACAAUUGAUAUUAAUUCAAAGAUGAAUUGGUGUCUUUUCAUUUCAAGAUUAUCUUUAAAAGAAAACAUAAAGAUGUUUAAAUGAAAAAGGUUUGGUUUUAAACUAACCAAAAAUAGUAAUUGAUUUUACUUACAAAGAAAAGUGUUUCUUGGAGUUUAGAUCACUAGGCUCAGGUUCCUCAUACAAAAAGGAGAGUUCCGGUCACUUGUUUCUUUUCCUCGCAUUAGAGAAUUAACAUAUAGUUAAUUCUCUAACCGGUGUGGUACAGAUGCUUCCCUUUAAUGGGUUCAAACACUAAAUCCCUCUCACUGAUGCAACUUGCAAUGGCUCGUGCUUCUCACCUAGCAUUUGCCAUUCAAGGUGAUCUUUAACCUUGGAUUACCCAUCAAAAGCUCGCAAGAGAUAACUAAUGGGUGUCUCCUUGGAGUCCAAAAGCUUACCAAGUGUUGGCUAUUCUAGAAAAUCCUACCUCUAAACCACCUCCCAAAGGCUCGCAAGAGAUAAACAAGUGCAUCUCAAUGGAUGGAGAUCACUUGCCUUACCAAGUGUUGGCCCAGGUGAUUUAAAGGCGUUUUAAGUUAACUAAAAAGAUAGAAACCAUUAACGGGUCACACUUUCUCUUCAUUAAAAACUAAAACAACAAAACUUCCAAUUUAUGCAUAUGGAAACUUACCCGACAUUCUUCACUCCAAGAGACAAAGAGCCUAGCCUCUCAUCCUCUGAGGAAAAAUCCUUAGAGUUUGGUUGGCUAGAAAGAAAACUAACGAGAAAACAAAUAUAUAUGAAAAGCAGAGCAAGUGCUCUAUAUUUUACUUCCUUCCAAAACUGUACAAAGGAUCCAUUCUAAGAACAAGCUCCCGAGAUCUAUAUAUAUAAGAGGUUAUUCACUCCUUUGUUCUUACUUAAAGACUAAGGAAUCCUAUGAUAGGUGGGUUACAAGGAGACUUUGGGGAUUUACACAACAAAUAUCUAAAGAUGUCGGUCGAAAAUAUCUCAAGAUGUCGGUCGGAAAUAUCAGGAAGCUUCAGGAGAACACCGCGGCACUGUAUACUAAGAGAAAAACUCUCCGGGUAAGCGCUAUCAAAGGAUCCGGAUAUGUCUGACCGGAGAAGUUGAAACGUCAUCCUCUCCCAUCCGGUUGUGAGAUAUCCGGAUGUAAAAUGUCGGUGCACGGAAUUCUGGAUAUGAAAUGUCGGCGCAUGGAAUUUCGGAUAUGAAAUAUCCGGAGAAGGUGGAAAGUUGGCUGGAUAGAAUUCUUCCCCAGGUGGAAUGAGCUAUGCUACGCAAGGGGGACCGUCCGCAUGUGCAAGGUGUAGAGACCCCUCUCCCGGAUGACACGGAGUGUGCAAGGCUAUCCGGAUCAACUCCAUCCGGAUUUCCCAAGAGGACAUGUGGCGCGCUCCCCCUAUCUGGACUCCCUCAGGGAGAGGCACACGGCACUUGUGAACAUCACACCCGGACGAUAGCAUAUCCUAUCCGGAUAUGUUGUCCGGAUCAUUGACUAAAAGUGAGCAAGUCUUACUACGUCAUUCGGACAGCCUGCCACAGACCAUGUUCCGCCGCCAUCCUGUCCGGACAUCUUUUACUCCUUGCAUUCUGGAUCUACUUAUGGAAAAGGACUUUAAAGCUUCGGUUCUUCAUGUUUCUGAGCUUUCCAUUGCUUUGCCAUGGAUUCUAAAGAACUCUCCUCAAUCUCUGAUUGCUUUGGUGAUCAAAAAGCUAUCAAAACACCAAAACUUAACACAAUUUGAUUAGAAUUGAUUGCAAGGGUCCUUAAUAUGUUAAUAGGGUUAAAAUGUGAUAACUACUACUCAAAAGUGUUUAUAAGAGUUAAUUACAAGCUAUGAAAUAGCACUUUUUGAGUAGUAAUCACAACCCUCUGUACAUCUCUGAGGAGACGGGGUGCUUCCAUGCAAGGUGGUCAUCACCUCCACACAUUCACUUCUUUGCUUUCCCAAGGUGUUUCUUAAUGGUGAAAGCUCUCUCAUAUCUCAACACUCAGGGUAUAAUCUAAAUUGCAUAGUGAACAAUGUGGGUGCAUCCAAAAAAUCUAAGAUCUAUAGCGAGAUAGUAAACAGAGACAAACAAUCAUACAAUCAUGCAGAAGGAAGGAUUGUCAUGCAAUAAGCAGUCAUACCAAGUAAAUAGGUAUCAUACAAACAAAGUCCUAUCUAACAUAUGUGAGAGUGAAUCAUGUUGAAGUGAACAAAAAUCAUGUGAUCAUGCAAAAUAAACAAGUAUAAAGACAUGUUAAGAUAGCAAACUAAUCAAACAAGCAAACUGAAUCACCAUGCCUAAAAAAAUGAGGUACCCUCUAAUCAUCCAAUUAAACGCCAUAUUUUCCUCAACUAGUGUUCAAGCUUAAUCUUCAAAGAUCCCUAGUGGAGUCGCUAAUUUGUGGACUCAUGUUUUUCAUGAGCGUCUCCACUCAAUCGGCAAGACUCAUUUCCUAAGGAUGAAAAAUUAGUUUUGGAAAAGUUGGAGCCGCCAUUUAUUUUAUUUUAAAAGGGAAAAUAAAAUAAGAAAGAAAACCCCUAAUUACUACUCAAAACAUGUUAUUUUGUAGCUUGUAAUUAGCUCUUUUAAACACCCUUGAGUAGUAAUUAUUACCUUUUAACUCAAUUGGCAUGUUAGGGACCCUUGCAAUCAUUUCUAAUCAAAUUGUGUUAAGUUUUGGUGUUUUUGAUAGCUUUUUGCUCACCAAAGCAAUUUAAGAAUGAGAGAGAGCUGUAUAUAGUUCAUGGCAAAGAUUUUGGAAGCUCAAAUUCAUGAAGAAACCAAGCUUUGGAGCCUCAUAGUCCUUUGCCUUAGUCGUUCAAAGUAUGCAAGGAAAGAGCAAUGGAGAGAGGAAAACAGAGUGAAGAAAACAGAGAACAGAAGCUGCAGUCUUCUUUCGCACUUUUGGAGCACUUCCCGAAGUCCAUUUUCUACAUGCUAUAUACCAUUUCAAAGCUCAGGAAGUCAAGAAUCCAACGCUUCAAAUGGUGUACGAAUUGGAGCUGAAAUGAGGAAGAUAUGGCUAUCGUAAGACAACUACAUCCAAUUGAAGGACAAAUUCGCAUCUUGCGAAUUUGGAACUCCAACGUGCGAAAUUAAAGCCUACCUUGCGAAAUGGAAAUGGAAUACAGCCGCACAGUCACAGAGAAGCCCAACUUGCAAAAGUGAUUUUGCAACUUGCGAACUUGGAGCUCAACGUGCAAAAAUGGAUUCCAAGUUGCAAAAUCAACUUGCGAGAUUUUCGCAAGUCACCAUGCAACGUGUGAAAUCUACGUGCGAACUGGGAUAUUUGUGCACCAACUCUUUUAGAUCUUUUCUUUAGAUAUUUUUGUAUAAAUUUUCAUUCUUCUCCUUGUAAUCCACCAACCAUAAGAUUUCUUAGCUAGGAAGGUUGGAAAAACUUCUCUAUAAAUAUUCCCUUGCAUCCACUGUAAAAUAUAUAGAUAUAUAAAUAUAUAGAAUAUACAGAGCCUUGCUCUGUUUUUUUCUUCUCUUUCAAUUUCAUUUUCUUGCUAGCCAAACAUUCUCUGAGGAUUUUUCCUCAGAGGGUGAGAGGCUAGGCUUUUUGUCUCUUGGAGUGAGGAAAGCCGGGUAAGUUUCCGCAUGCAUAAAUUAGAAGUUUUGUUGUUUUAGUUUUUAAUGAAGAGAAAGUGUGACCCGUUAAUGGUUUUUAUCUUUUUAGUUAACUUAAAACGCCUUCAAUUCACCUGAGCCAACACUUGGUAAGGCAAGUGAUCUCCGUCCAUGGAGAUGCACUAGUUUAUCUCUUGCGAGCUUUUGGUAGGUGGUUUGAAGGUAGGAUUUUCUAGAAUAGCCAAUAUUUGGUAAGCUUUCGGAUUCCAUGGAUUCUUAUUGCUUGCAAUCUUGCUCCAUGGAGGUCUAAUUGUUAUCUUUUGUUCGCUUUUGACGGGUAAUCCAAGGUUAAAGAUCACCUUGAAUGGCAAGUGCUAGGUGAGAGGUAUGAGCCAUUGCAAGGUGCAUCAGUGAGAGGGAUUUAGUGUUUGAACCCAUUAAUGGGAAGCAUCUGUACCACACCGGUUAGAGAAUUAACUAUAUGUUAAUUCUCUAAUGCGAGGAAAAGAAGCAAGUGACCGGAACUCCCUUUUUGUAUGAGGAAUCUGAGCCUAGUGAUCUGAAACUUCAAGAAACACUUUUCUUUGUAAGUAAAAUCAGUUACUUUAUGUUAGGUUAGCUUCAUACCAUCCGUUUUCAUUCAAACUCUUGUCUUCUUUUAAAGUGAUUACUACCCAAAGAGUGCUAUUUUAUACCUUUAAUUCAAUAUCUUUUAAGCACUUUUGUGUAGUAAUUCUCCAUCUUUAUUCCAAUUGGCAUGUUAAGGACCUAGCAAUGACUUCUAAUCAUAUUUGUGGCUAGUUUUAGUGUUUUGACAGCCUUUUGGAUCAUUAAGACAAGCCAAGUAAAGGAGAGAAGCAAAGAGAAGCAAAGAGGACAGCAGCUGCAGUCUUUUUUUGCACUUUUGGAGCACUUGCCGAAGUCCAUUUUUUGUAUACUAUAUACCAUUUCAAAGUUUAGGAAGUCAAGAAUCCAACGCUUCAAACUGUGUAUGAUUUGGAGCUGAAAUGAGGAAGAUAUGGCCUUCGUAAGCCAACCGCUCCAGGUUGUGUGAAAAUUUCGCACGACACCUUGUGUUGUGCGAAAUUCGCACAACACCUUCAAAAUUCGCACAACCCAUGCGUGGUACGAAUUUUGCUCUGCUUUUGCCGACUCCACUUUAGAUAUUUCUUAUGUAUUUUUUGAUGUAAUUUCCUUUCUUAUCCUUGUAAGUAACCAAUCACAAGCUUUUGCUUUUGUAAAGACUAUAUAAGGGGUGGAAAUCACCUCUUGGAAGAUAUAAUACAUAUUACGUUUGACACUUAGAAUAUUUUACAGAGCUCUCUCGUUUCCCUUUUCUCUUUACCAUUUUCUUUUUCUUGGAAGCCAAACAACCUCUGAGGAUGUUUUCCCGGAGGAUGGGAGGCUAAACUUUUGGUUUCUUGGAGUGAAGAAAGCUAGGUGAAAAGUCCAGAUGCAAAGGUGGAAAGCUCCCGUGCAUUAAAUUCAGGUAGUUGGAGUUCAUAAAUGGCUUCUAAAUCCAAAGUUUUGCUUUAAAUCCCUUAGAAUCACUUUGAAUAGCCAAUACAUGGUAAGCUUCAGGUCUUUGUGGAUGCUUAUUGCUAGAUCCAUAUCAGUCCAUUAGUUAUCAUGUAUGAGUCAUUGGAAAGUGAUUCAAGGUGAAGACCCAUAGUGUCUAAAGCCAUUAAUGGACCUUAACUACCAUUUCUAUUGACUUUUUAUGGAUUAAAUCUUCAUUGUUAAACCUAUACCGGUUCGGGAAAUAACUAUAGGUUAAAUCCCCAAUGCGAGGAGAAAAAUCCGGAAUUUUCCACUUUGCAUUCUGAACUUGAACCUAGCAACCCUUAGCUCCAGGAGACUUUCUUUAUUCCAUUUUCACUUAGUUUAUGUUAGUUUAGUUUCAAACACUUUCAAAACAAAAUUUAUUUUCUUUUUAAACUUUAAAUUUUUGAUAAAGGAAAUCAUUAAAUUCAAUUUCUAAUCUUGAGUAUAUCACUGGUAGAAUGAAAACCCAUCCCAGAGUUCGACCCUAGAGCCACUAUACUAUAGUAGCUUUGCUACGCUAGUAUGAGGUCAUAGGUUUUAUAAAUGUUUUUUAUUAAAUGACCCAACUGGAGUUUCACGCGAAUCAUAAAGCUAACAAAGAAAAGAAAAAGCACCAAUUCAGUUUUUGAACUAAUAUCAAUUGCGAAGUGAAAACCCAUCUCUGUGGACGAUCCUAGAGCCACUAUACUAUGCUAGCUAAAUGCUACCCCGGUAUAUGGUGAAAUAGGUUUAUAAAUUUUGUUGAUUACUCCCGUUUGAGGAUUGAGAUCAAAGCACAUCAAUUGAGUUGAAUCAAUUGGAACACCAAUUGGGCAUGAAUCAAAUGGCGCCGUUACCGGGGAUGGUGCCACUUUGCAGUGAAAUGAUCUUUUGAGAACACUUGUGAUCUUCAUCACAAGUUUGGUGAUUUUUCUUUUCUUUUACUAACUCUUUUUAAUUGUUCUUUUUCUUUAUUUAUGUUUUAGUUUACCUUUCAGCUAGUUUUAGUUAGUUUAAUUUUUUUUAGAAUUGUUUUUCUUUUGUUUUCUUUUGUUUUCUCUGUUUUUAAUUCACAAAUUGCUAGUUGUGCAUGUCAUAUUGAAUACGAGAUAGCAGAGGAAGCCAUGAACUUCUUGAGUUAUGUGGCUGAACUUUCAAGAGGAUGGGAUGAACCAAAUGCUAGAGAUAUGGGAAGAAUGACAUCUCAACCUAAUGCUAAGGCUGAGAUGUAUAUUUUGAAGGAAGAAAUCGACAUGAAGGCAAAGAUUGCAGCUAUGGCAAAGAGAUUGAAAGAGCUAGAAAUGAAAAAAAAUGCAAGAAAUGCAAGCCAUCUCUCAGACACCAUUGCAAGCUAUGCCUUGGGCCAUUUGUCUAUCUUAUGAGCACUUGGUGGAAGAGUGUCCUACCAUUCCAGUGGUGAGGGAAAUGUUUGGUGAUUGCAACACCUACAAUUCCAAUUGGAGGGACCAUCCAAAUUUCUCUUGGAAACCACUGCCACCUCAAUACCAGCAACCUGCUCAAGCACCUCAGCAAGCCUCAAACCUUGAACAAGCUAUAAUGAAUCUUAGCAAGGUCGGGGGAGACUUUGUUGGAGCUCAGAAAUCCAUCAAUGCUCAACUCAGUCAAAGAAUUGACAGUGUAGAGAGUUCAUUGAAUAAAAGGAUGGAUGAAAUACAAAAUGAUCUAUCUCAAAAGAUAGAUAAUCUCCAAUACUCAAUCUCAAGGCUCACCAAUCUCAAGGCUCAUAAAAGAGAAUCUUCACAAGUGAGAGACGUUAAAGCCGUGAUCACUCUAAGGAGUGGUAAAGAGGUUGAUUUGGCCACAUCCAAACAAGAGCAUGAAACAGAGAAAAAGAAGAGGGAGGAAAUUAAAGGAAAGAGAAAGGGAAUUGUUUCCAUUGUCAUCAUACAAUGCAAAUCUCUAAUGAAGGAUGUUAACUUCAUAUGGGAUCCGGGCAAGCUAAAACAGGACAACAUUUUUUUGAUGGACUUAGUCUUUCUAAAGACUAGCUAGUCCAUAUCUUUUUGCUUUAUUACUUGUUUUAAUUUUGAUUUCAAUGCUUUAAUUUUAAUUAGUUUUGAUUUAACAUAAGUUUUUGGAUGAUCAUUGUAGGAGGGACUGUAAAACAGUUGGGUGUACUGUCAAAAAAAAAAAUGAUGAAAGAAAAGGAAGAGAAGAGAGAAUUCUGGCCAUUGGUUCUAUUGCCACUUCGGGACAUAUUUACAGCACUUCCUCAAAUCCAUUUUAUACAUACUAUAUACCAUUUCGAAGCUCGGGAAGUCAGGAGUUCAAGGCUUCAAACGGUGUCCAAAUCGGAAUUGAAAUGAAAAUGUUAUGGUCAUUGCAAGAAAACUGCGCCGAGCUCAAAGGAAACUUUCGCACACCUCAAUCCAAGGUGCGAAAAUUUUCGCACUGUGCGAAACACUCUCCUGGCACAUGAGUGGCAUUUCACACAGCCCAAACCAAUUUUCGCACAGUGCAAAUCAAGGUGCGAAAAUUUCGCACACCACAAUCCAAGGUGCGAAAUUCAUUCCAACAUGCGAAAAUCACAGUUCAAGGUGCGAAUUCUCUAAACGUCACUUUCGCACACCACUAUUCAAGGUGCGAAAAUUUUCGCACCGUGCGAAAAACCUCUUUGACACACGAGUGCCACCACCUUAAGUAUCGAAAUGGUUUCACACCGUGCGAAACAAGGUGCGAAAAUUUCGCAUAGUGCGAAAAUUUCUCUAUUGUUGGACACAUUUUUGAAGCACUUCCUGGAGCUCAUAUUAUGUAUACCAUAUGUUGUUUUUAAUAUUGGGAAGUCAGGAGUCCAGCGCUUCAAACGGUACAUGAUUUGGAGGUGAAACGAAGAAGUUAUGGCCGUUUGAAGACGACUAUGCAAAGCUGAACGGAAAUGUUGCAGCCACACCCCAUUUCACUACUGUUGGACACGUUUUUGGAGCACUUUAUGGAGCUCAAAUUAUUCAUACCAUAUGUCGUUUUGUAGCUUGUGAAGUCAGGAAUCCAGCACUUCAAACGGUGCAUGAUUUGGAUUUGAAACGAAGAAGUUAUGGCCGUUUGAAGAUAGACUGCGCAAAGUUGAGCGGGAAUUUCACACCUUGAAAUCCAGAGUGCGAAAAUCAAAACAUGGUGCGAAAAUUUUGCACCUUGAAAUCCAAAGUGCGAAAAAUCCUUUCCAAGGUGCGAAAUUUUUUUAAAAGUGCGAAAAUGACCAACUGUCUUUUAAACCCAUUUUUAAACACCCAAGACUCUGUUUUUCAUUCCUAAAAGCCAUUUCGACUUUCGAAAGAGUUUUUAAACGUGUGACCAUCCAAAUUCCGCCCCUCCCUCUCUAUUUGAAGCCUCAGGAACAUGCAUUAGAGGAGAGAACACCCCCGUGCACCAUUUGAGAACUCUCUGGAAAUCAAGAACCCCCACCUUUCUCCAUUUCAGCCAUGGCCAAGAUUAGAGGAGAGAACACCCCCGUGCACCCUGGGAUCACACACAUGAAGCCUCUCACUCUAUUUCUGACCUCCCUAAACCAUCACAGCCCAUAGCUCCAGUUGAGAGCUCCAGUUGAGAGCUCCAGUUGAGAAGACUACGCCACCUAAGGAGACUACCAGAGCAGAGGUCAAUGUCCUGACCCAACCCACUCAGAAGGCCACCACAGAGCCAUUGUCUCCACAGGACCCUACCACUACUUGAUCAUCUCUUUAAUUUUUGUAUUUACUUAUUAUAUUAGUAUAGAUAAUUCCAUGUUUUGAUGUUUUAUAUUCUGGGAUUGGAUGUAUUGCAUGAUCAUAUAUUAUAUUCUAUUUUCUCAGAUUAAUAUAUAGACAUCAUUUUUGUUUAAACUUGGCAUUUUUCUAUUUCCUCUACUCACUGAAUCUUUUGUUUUUUUUUUGAAACAUGUGGUUUCUCCUAUACGACUCAGACUCCAUGCCACUCAAGAGGUACCACUUCCUCCCUUUAUUUUUUUUAAUCGCUCUUGAAACAUUGAGGACAAUGUUCAGCUUGGUUGGGGGGAGAGUUGAGGAAGGAAGUUUUGUUAUUAAUGCUAAGUUAUUUUGGUAAUUUAGUUGCUUUUUGCUUAAUUUUUAAAAUUUUUUAAAGUUUUUUUAAUACUCUCCAUGGUUAUUAAGGAAAAAAUUUCAAAAUGAAAUGGGAGAAAUUAAAUUUUUGUCUUUUUUACUUGAAACUUAGAGUUUGUAUUAUGUUUAUUAAAGUUGAUGAAUUAUUGAACUCCUAUUGAUUUUAACUUUGUUUCUUCCACUUUAAGCUUAUCACACACUGUGCACACUAGGUUCCGUUUAUAAGAUGAAAACUAUUUUCCCCCUUUACUUAGGAAAAUUUAGACUUGGUACCUUUGACCGCAUUUUAAUAGUGUUGAGACACCUUAUAAAAGGCCAAUGAGCCUUUGGAAAAAGAAAAAAAAAUGUUUUACUUGCCUUGAAACUCGAGCAAGGUCUAAGGGGUAUAUGGUGAAAAUCUUUAAAACCUGGUGCCCUAAGCCUUCAAUGGUUGGGAGUCGCCGACCUCAAUGCUCGUUACAUGGGUGAAUAGGUGGAGUUUAACAUAUUGUAGGUGCUUGGGUAUUAAAAAUUCGUUCUCAAAAGUCCAGGGUGAAAUCCGAGGAGUUAGUGGUUGAAAAAUCCUUAAAGCUUGAUGCCCUAAACCUUGAUUGGUUGGGAGUCAUCGAUGGACCCCUGUUACAUGGACAAUUUAGAAAAGAAUGCCUUUAAGCUUUGCACUCCUACAAGAAAAAAUUGUGAAAGAAAAGAGGUGCGUUCUUAGCCUAUUGGAGGUUGAUUAGUUUACUAAGCUUUGAACAGAACUAGGUUGAGGGGAGAGAUUAGUUUGAUAUACUAUAUCCGAAAACUAAUAAAUAACACAGAUUUUUGUGGAAGAGUAAGGAUUGGACCUUUGGGAGUGAAAAUUAUUUUGAAGCUUAAAUUUGCAUAAUGCCUACUCUUUAUGAAUUGUGACUAGGCAAAUUAUUUGAUAGCUCCUAUUGAAGUUUGAGUUUUAUUUCUUUCAUGUUCCAUGUGAGAGUUUGAUCAGUCAUGCCACUUAAACAUUUUUUGGAGUGAUCAACAUGAUUUUGUAAAUUUAUUAUUUUUAUUUUUAUUUUUUCUCUCCUUCAUUGCUAAGGGACUAGCAAUAUGUCGGUUGGGGGGAGCCCCAAAGAAGCAACUCCAUAAUUUUGGAAAAACAGGUCUUGAGAAAAUCAAGUCUUAGUCCAAGGAUCAGGUUACCUAUUGAGAAGGUACCUCUAAGAGGUAUCACCCCUCUAAGCCCUAAAGAGGUCUCUACUGGUCUAGUAGAGGGAAAUAUGGCAAUUAAUUGAUUGAUUUGAAAGUACUUGGGUAGACUACAGUAAUUUCGAGAUUUCUAUUAAUACUUGCAUGCUAAAUAAGAAAUCAAAUCACAAUCGUAAACGAGAGUUAAGGUGUGUACCUAGACCGUUUCUUAAGCACUAUCAUAAGACAAUCAAGGUUAGUUCAAGAAUAUUGGCACACAACAUGCAUUUUUAUCAAAAAUAAUCAAACAAUGCAUCAUGGCAAUCAAGGAUAACAUCAAUCAUGGAUAUAGCUCACAAUGUCUUACAGACUCAUAGAUUUUGGAAAAUGGGUGAUAAAGAGCUUACCUGGAUGGCCAACCAAGCGCUUUAACGGGAAACAUGGCUCAUGUAUAUCACCAAGAGGAAUCAUAAUAAAUUAAUCACCAAGCAAUCAUUUCAUUUGAAUCAAUAUCAAAGACGAUGUCAAAAGUGUUGGACCCUCCCACCAAGGUUCGAACUAUUUUUGCAUAAAUUGGUUCAAUGAGUUCCAUUAUUUGGAACCAUGAAGUUUACUCAUGCUUAUGAAGAAAGUUAGCUGAAAAUAGUGAAGAUGUAUACUAGGUAGAAAAUUGGUAGCAAAGGGUUUGUUAAAAUUUGGAUUUCAUGCCUAGAAACUCUUAAGGAUGGGAUUUUAAAGAAAAUUGGAGUCAUUCAAGGGAAAAGAUUUUGAAAUCUAGAUUUAAAAUGUGUAAGUUCACAAGAAAGAGAAGAAGUAAUAAGAGUAGGACGGUAUGCAUCAAGGUGGCAACUAAAUGAGUAGAGUCUGGGAGUGUACUUGAGGUUGUACAAUUGGUGGUUGUAGCUGUUGCCCAUGAGCUGCUCAUCAUAGGCACCAUUAGAUUGAACAGUAAAUGCAAAAAUAAGAAGGUGAGUCCUGUUUCACAGUCUGCAAGUUUUGAGAUGAAGGUAUGAGCAUGUUUAAUUCUGGUUAGACAUAAGUUUGUGCUCUUCAUAGUCUUCCUAGUCGUCAAAUCAUGUCUUGACGAUUACCUAUCAUGUAGGUUCCCAAUUUAUUGUUGCCUUUAGGGAUCACAAGGUUUAUAUUUCCAUAAAGCCUUUGCAAAUUUGAAAUCUUCUUCACCAACCCACUGUAACAUUUUAAAGUCGACCAUCCAGUAUCAGGGUUUUAGUCCAUUAUCAUAAAACCUUAUAGGACUGGACAAGCUACAAUGAGAGUCAUGGAGACAUAGAAAUAGAACCACCAGAAGUACACUAAACAUACUGUGAUUUCCAUACAUCUUAUCCCUUAUACAAACACUUCUGUCAUUCCCCAAACGUAUACCUAAAUAUGCUGACAAGGAUUGGGUAGUUUCGUGUAAGAAAAGGGACAGAGAAAGUAGGUAAAAACAUUAUAAAACCCAGGGAAAGAAAGAGCAGAAAAGGCUGAUUAACAAUAGUGAAUAGCCUCAUUUCAAGUGUUAUUAAUCCAUGGGCUAAGAAUAUGGAAAAUAUUCAAAAGAAGAUUUGGGACAUAAACAAGGUGUGAUUUUUCUUUUGCAACUAACUCAAAGAUAGGUCCAUACACAAAUUAUUUUAGAUGGAAAUCAAGGGCAUUAAAAGAAUAAAAAAAAACCAAAACACACAUUAAAAGAACAAAAACUUAAAAAGAGUAAACAAGCGAACCACCAAUCUCAAUAGAACAACUUAUGGCCCUUACUCUCCACACCAAUCAAAUUUUCAAAAAUAUCAAGAAUGAGAAAUCAAAUACAAGUGAGAAAGAAUAUCAAGAAGCAUACCUGGACAAUUUCGACUGCAAUUGCUUGGCUUCCAGCUAUCGUUCCUCUCUAAUCCUUAAAAAAAAAAACCAAUGAACCCUCCGUUCUCCUUCUUCGCAUGAGAGCAAUAAAAGAUCUUCCUACUCCUUCCACUGUGUGCCCAAAAUCCUUCUUUUUAUGUAUCUAUAUCAGCCUCUAGAAACCCAAUCUAUUGAAGGAAAAUCUCAUUUCCUUUAUUCAUUUUUCUUUUUUUUUUCCCCAAAACGUGGGCUGAAUCUCUUGUCCCCCUCUAAAAAAAAAUAUGCGUACCCCUCUCCUUUUUUGAAAAUCAAAAUACCUCUCUAUUUCCUUUGGAGAAUCCUCUCCUUCCAUAUGUAUGCAUCUAAGUUGAUUUAUUCUCUCCAAAAAUAUUUUGCUUGCCUUCUUUGAGUGUACAUGCCUUUGUGAGGGGUCAAUAGACAACUAGAAUUUCUUUGCAAAAUAAUAAAACAAAAAUAAAAAUAAAAUAAAAUAUAAGUUAGAGAUCUUGCAAUACAUAAAAUAUAAUAAAGAAAAACAAAAUGUAUAAAAAAAAUAGAUAAAUAAAGCAAAACUAUCAAUCCCAUGCAAUUUUUAAAAAAUGAUAGGUAAAUGUGUGAAUAUAUAAAAAAAUAGAUCAGACACAUGCACACUAUACAAAUUAUGUAGGACAUGCAACCAUACAAGAAAGUGAGUCAAAAGUGCCUAAGUGAUCUAGGGCGAACUAAGUGGGCCUAGAUAUAUCUAAGUGGGCUUAGGUGGGCCUAAAUGAGUCUAACCUAAAGUGCACGUAGGUGAGGCCUAAUCUAAACUCGAAAGCAGCCAAGGUCACAAUAAGGGGUCAGGUAAAUCCCUUAAUCAAAGUCUCCAAGGUGGCUUAGAGAAGGCAGGUUAUAUAAGUAGUAAUGAGCCACCAGGAAGUUGCUAUGAAGUAUCGAAAGAACUCCUAGUAGGACAUGUGCUAAGAGGACAAAAUGAAGGGUCUAUACUAUCCCAAUAGCUAAGUCCAACCAUCUAUCCAAUUAGGAGGUGGUGAACUAUAACCUCUAAUAGGUUGCCAAGACCCAUGAACUGACUGUGAAUAAGUCAUCCAUUUGCAAGGAACCCAUGACUUGGAUCUUCUAUGCAACUCCUAAUGCACCCAAGUCACGUACAAUGCAAAAGAUGUAGGACAGAGUGUUUACAAAACAUAAUGAAUGGAAAUAGGAUAAAUAAAAGUGAACUAGAUCUUUAUUAAAUAAAUAGUAAAAUCCAAGAGUUUAUUACAUCAUGUCAUGCUUUUAAAGGCUUUAUCCCAACAAAAUUUUAUUAGGAUCGAGUCCUAAUAAGCAUGACAUUAUGUAAUAGAUUGAGAUUCGGUUAUAAAUUUAUUUAUUUAUGUUUCUUGGUUUCCCUUUAUUAUUCCAUAUGCAUAAAUCGAUUAUCUAAGCAUACACAACCACAUCACUUGCACUGUACAUGACUUAGAUGCAUUAAAAGUUUCAUAGAAGAUCCUAGUCAUGGGUUUCUUGCAGAGUGAUGAGUAGUUCACAGUUAGUUCAUGGAUUUGGGCAAUCAAUCUGAGACUGUAAUGCACUACCUUCUAAUUGGAAGGAUGACUUGUUUUGGUCAUCAAGGUGGUUUUUCCAUGGUAAGUGCACUAAUGUAUGUGAUGUAUAUUGGAUAGGAUCUAUGGUGAAUCAUGACGUAAGACUAUCAGUUGUCAUGAUUCACCAAGUUACUAUACUACAUGGACUCUCAACCUUGACAGGGUAUUGAGCCUACGCUAAAAUCAACAUAAGGCUUUCACUUAUGGGUGACACCCUAAAGUGGUCAUAUAUCCCUAUGGAUUGGGUCAUUGUGGAUGGAGGUUGGUGGCAACAAAUAUUCUCAAUAGAAACACCAUGAUGUCUCCUUAGGUGAUCCAAAGGACAUCUGAUCUAGAAAACUAUGGCUAUAACAAUUUCUUUAGUGGAAUUUUGACAUAUGCUCCUUGUAGUUAGAGCAUGUCAAUUUAUCACAUAAUACGGAGGAUUUAUAACUCAGGGAUUGGAGAGGUAAUCUUAAUAGGUGAUAGCACUACCUUGCUUAAUUAUAGGCACUAGUUCAUAGGGGGGGGGGGGGGGGGCAACAUUUAAUGGAAAAAAAAAAACAAACCCCAACUAUGCUUGUUUUAAUUUUUAAGGAAACGGGGGGGGAAUUUAUUUUUUUAAAUAAAAAGUUGAAACCACUUCAAAAUUAAAUUAAAAAAAAACUUGUUUUUUUUUAAAAAUCCCCGGGGCCUUGCCCAACCCCCCAUUAAAGGGAAAAAAAUUUUUUUUGGUUUAAAAAAAAAGGUCCUGGGAAGGGGCCCCAAAAAGCCGGGGUUGAAAAAAAAAAUNNNNNNNNNNNNNNNNNNNNNNNNNNNNNNNNNNNNNNNNNNNNNNNNNNNNNNNNNNNNNNNNNNNNNNNNNNNNNNNNNNNNNNNNNNNNNNNNNNNNUUUUUAAUCCCGGGGGGGGCCCCCCCCCCCCCAACUAUGAACUCCCCCCUCUAAUUAAUCAAGGUAGUGCUAUCACCUGGGGGGGGGGGGGGGGGCAACAUGUAAUGGAUAGUAAGACACAGACCCGAGCUAUGCUUGUUGUAAUUUUAUAGGAUACUGGAGUGCAAUUGAUUAUCUUAAGUAAAAUGUUGAAUCAACUUCAGAAUUAGAUUAUGAGAGAGCUUGUAUUUUCUUAUAAGUCCCAUGGUCCUUGCUCAAGCCCCUAUUACAUGGAGACAUAUUUGUUUUGGUUUAUAAUUAAGUGUCUUGGGAUGGAGCCCUAGAAAGCAUGAGUUGAAGUAAUAAAUUGAGAUUCAUUUAUAAAAUUAUUUAUCUAUGUUUCUUGGUUUCUUUUUUAUUAUUCCAAGUAAAUUAAUUGGUUAUUCGAGCAUGCACGCCCACACAACUUGCCUUGCAAAUUACUUGGGUGCAUUAAGAGUUGCAUAAAAGAUCCAAGUCAUGGGUUCCUUGGAGAAUGAUGAGUGGUUCAAAAUUGAUUAAUGGAUUUGGGCAAUCCAUCUGAGACUGUAGUGCCCUAUAGUCUCUACUUAGAGGGAUUACUUAUCUUAGUCAAUGGAUGGUUUUCCUAUAGUGAGUGCACUAGUGUAUGUGAUGCACACUGAAUAGGACUUAUGGUGAAUCAUGACGUAAGACUAUUAAUUGUCAUGAUUCACUACACUACUAUACUACAUGGACUCUCGUCCUUGGAAAGGUAUUGAGUUUAUUCCAAAAUCAGCAAGAGGCUUUAGUCUAUGAAUGAGACCCUAAAGUGGUCAUAUAUCUCUAUGGAUUACAUCACUAUUGAUGAAGGCUGGUGGCAAUAGGUAAUCUCAAUAGAGGCACCAUGAUAUCUCAUUGGAUUGAGACAAUGUAUCCCCUUGGGUGAUUGAUUGAGACAAUGUGUCCCCUUGGGUGAUCCAAAGAACAUGUGAUCUAGAAGACUAUGGUCGUAGCAUUUCCUUUAAUGAAAAAUUAAAAUAUGCUCCUUGGAGUUAGGUAUGUUAAUUGAUCACAUAAUAAAGAGGAUAUGUAACUCAAGGAUUAGAGAGGUAAUAUUGAAAGGUAAUGGUACUACUUUGUUAGAUUACAUACACCGAUUCAUGGAAAGUCUACAUGUAGUCGAUAGUAGGGCAUGAACCCGGGCUAUGCUCGUUAUAAUUUGAUAGGCUACUAUAGUGUAGUUUAUUCUCUUAAAGUGAUGUAUUAACUUCAAAAUUGGAUUCUAAGGGAUCCAAUAUUUUAUUAUGGGUCCUAGUGGUCCAUGCUUGAGCUCUUAUUUCAUAAAGGCACAUUUAUUUUAAGGGAUUUGGGUUCCUAGUUCAUAAGUGUGCAUAAGGGUGUUUUGAACAAAACACAAGGUUCACUAGAUCUUGUGAAUCUUCUUUCUAUUAUGAGCUAAUUAAUUAAUUACAAUAUGUUAGGGCUAAUUAAUUAAUUAGAACCCAUUUAGGCUAGAUUAAAUGAUCCAAACCUAUUUUGGGCUCAAAUCACUUAAGCCCACAGAGAGCCUAUAAAUACUCAUGGUAAGGGUUAGUGUUUCAAUUCUUUCUGUCAUCUUCUAGAGAGCCUCUAGAGAGAGAAACCCUAGCCACCCUCUAGAGAGAAAAGCUUACUUUUUUCUCUUGCUUAAACCUUUUUUUUUUAGAGAUCGGGUGAAAGACUAUUAAAUAGACGGGAUCUACGACACCUUCUGCAAUUUGAAAUUGACAUGGGAACAUGCAAAUCUAGGUAUGCUUUCGUUAUUCUCUAAAUUUGACAUCAUAUUGAUGUUUUGAAUGCCUUUAUUUUGCUUUGAUUUAGAUUUAGAGAAGCCUAGGGUAGGCACAUGAACCCUAUGAGAUAUAAGGCUAGGAAAAAGAGUAAUUCGAGAUUCCUAGCAAAGUGUGUAUGAGUGUUUUGGUAAAAACACAAGAUUGUACUAGAUCUUAUAAAUUGUCUUUCUAGUAUGGGACAAUUAACUAAUUGGAGCCUAUUAAGGCUAAUUAAUUAAUUAUGACACUAUUGGGCUAGAUUAAGUGACCCAAACUCGAUUUAAGCUCAAGCCACUUAAGCCCAUAGGGAGCCCUAUAAAUACCCAUGUUAGGGGUUAGUGUUUAAGUGUUGCCUAUCAUUUUCCAAAGAAGGCCUUCGGAGAGAAACCAUGGCUAGAGAGAAAAGCUCACACCUUUCUCAUGCAUAGCUCCGUAAGAGGAAAGACCAAGUGGAAGAACACCCGGUAGGCAAGCUUUACUACUUUUUCGACAACCUCUAUGGUUUAAAAUUGAUUUGGGAACGUCUAGAUCUAGGUAUGUUUACUUUCUUCUCUAAAUUAUUGUUCUAAAUGAUUUUUAUUACCAUUGUUUCCUCUAAAAUAGUUUCUAAAGAAGCCUAGGGUAGAUUGCAUGCUCCCUAUACAAUCUAAGGCUAAGGAAUAGAGUAAACAUUCAUAACAUUGAAAUUUUUUUAAAUUGGUUACCUUCCAUUUCAUUCCCCAACGAACUUUGAGCACACAUUAAGGCCUACAAAGUAUCUAGAUGAAGCAUACUAUGAUGUUUUAAUACCAUCCCACCACCUUACUAAAGGCAAAUUCUAAUGCAAUUGUAAAUACCAGAAUAACGUAGAUGUCUCAAACAAUCAUCUGUAAAGUCAAAUAUUUAAUACCAUUUGUUUUCCACCAAGUCAAAACAUCUAAAUCUAAAAUCCUAGGUAAAAAAAAAACUCCUUUAAGUAAUUGUCUAACUCUGACUUUAUAUAACAUUUUCCAAUGGUACUAUGAACAAAUAAGUCAAACUUAGAAAGAUAAUCUUAUUUGUCAUAGUUGAACUCCAAGAGAAUUGAACUUGAUGAAACACUAUAGGAUGAAGUUUGUUGACCCAUCUUAGACUUUGAUUGGUACUUAGAAAGUAAAUCAUAACAUAUUUGGCAAAUUUUCCCAAUCUCACUUGAAACUUCAAACCCAUACAUUAUUGAAAAAUAAAACUCUAAAAUCUUCAUCUGAUAUCUUGGGUUCAAUAUAGUUGUUAUUGUCAUUACAAUAUUAGACCCAAUCCAAAAUACUUAUCAAAAUUUUUUAACAUACUUGGUACCAUCGUGCGUAUAACAUCAUUUGAGCAAAUAAACCAAUCAUACAAUGUUUGUUUAGUCUCACACACUUUGAUGAAAAGUAUUCAUAGUGAGAUGAUUUUGCCUUGAGAAAUUUUUUGUUAUAUUAUAAAAAACAAUUUCAACAUUUCACAUAUUUCUUUUGUUAUAUUGUAUUCUUCCUCUAAUGGUACUACAAUGUAGAGUGUGAAACCAAGGUUUGGUUAAUCUUGAUUUUGAUGAUAACAAAACAAGGUUUAGAACUAAUGAUCAUAUUUCAAGUGUGAUUAGGCAAGACGAUUUCCAAAGUGGCAAUCACAAAGACAAAUCAAGCCAAGGAGAAAUCAUGAAGAAUAAGACCACCUCAAAGAGAAGAGUAUUUCAAGACCAAAGCUUCAUAAGAUCUCUUUGUAAGGUUGUUGGUGCACUAGGACUUUCAUGCAUUUCAUUCUUUAUUUAUGCACCAAAAUCAUCCAAGAGUAAUAUUGUUUUAAAUAUCUUAAGAAUUGGAUGAUUUCAUGUUUUCAACUAAAACCUUGUGUUAAAUGAUUUUCAAACUUGUGUUAAAAGGUUUUAAGUUGAAAAAGGUUGGGUGUUGAGCCAAAAAAAAUGGCUAAACCGGUUCACCCGAUAGACCGGUUGUGCUCGUCUGGUCGAGGACCAGUUGAGGGAGGCCAAAUGUUUCUCUCUCUCCAGUGGUCUUCUCUUNNNNNNNNNNNNNNNNNNNNNNNNNNNNNNNNNNNNNNNNNNNNNNNNNNNNNNNNNNNNNNNNNNNNNNNNNNNNNNNNNNNNNNNNNNNNNNNNNNNNCUAGUUUGGCUUUUUUCUUCUAUAAAAAAGGCUCCAAACUUCAUUGUUUCAAGAGCUUAACCUUCCCAAAUCAUUCUUGAUUAUAUUUGAGUCUUGGAAGAGUGUUUUUUGAGUGCACCAUUGUUUCAUAACUUGCAUAUCUUUAGUGCACCAUUCAAUCCUAGUUUUUCUUGUAUCUUUGAGCCUAAAGUUCUAUUACUAGGAUUUUGAGAUAUCAUUAUUUGUAUAUCUUUGUGAGGAAUUUUCUCAAGUGUGGGGUAUCACUUGAGGGGUUGUUCAAGAGUGGGAUAUCUCUUGAGAAGUGUAAAGGGUGCUUGGAGCCAAAAGUCCAAGAGGGUGAAUUGGAACCAUAAUCCAAUUGUAAAGAGAUUGGAAGCUUGGUUGAAGCUUCAAGAUAGUGGAACCCUCACUCGGUUAGGAGGUUGAGGAGAGUGGACGUAGGCAAGGAAGUGCCGAACCACUAUAAACUCUCGUGUUUGCACUCUCUCUUCCCUAACUCUUUUAAUUUAUAUGCAAUUGUCUUUAUAUUGCUUAUUAUAUACUUGCAUAUAAUUGUCUCUUAUUUUUGCAUAGUUUAAAUUUUUGUGGAAAAGAGAUCAUCAUCCUAUUCACCCCCCCUCUAAGGUGAUUACCAUAGGUUGGAUUAGCCUAAAAUUCCUAACAUAGAGUUUUCCACAUUGCUUUAAACAAGGGAACACAUCUUUAUAAGUUAUAGUUUUUUAUCAUAGCAUCAAGUAUGUAAAAUUCCACCAUGUUUCAUAAUCAAAACAUAAUUUCUUAUUGCAUGAAGAUGCAAUUGGCAAGCUGCAUCCUCAAACUUUUCCACUUUUUAUAGUGUUGUGAACCAAUAUGCAACACUUUCACCGAUUUUUUCAAUUUCUACUCUUCUGGCAUCUAGACCUUUCUUCACAAUUAUUUUCAAGACAUGUGUUUACAUCAUAUAUGAAAGACUUUUCCAUUCAAUAAAAGUGAGUUGCUCAAAGAUAAUUUCUCUAAGAGGAUAUCAAUCCUUUCAUCAUCAUUUGCAUAAUUAUCCACAGUGAUUGUAGAUAUUUUUAUAUUCAUAUUCCAAUCCAAUAACAAAUCUAGUAACACAUCAUAAAGAACUUCUUUCAUAUGUGGAGGAGUGAUAUUAUUAAAAGAUAAAAAAAUGAAAAAAAAAUUAUAAAGUUAAACAAAUAGUAUAUUUAACCUUACAAUAUGAUGUUAUAGUAACUAAGCUCAUCAACAUAAUGUAUAGUGACAGCCAUAUAGUCUUUCUUUUGAUUGGAUGUUCACAUAUCAUUUGUAAUAGCAGUUCUACUUUAAAGUUUUUCCAAGUAGCCACUCAUUUUCUCUUUCUCAACUUCUUAAAUCUUCAUUAUGUCAUCCUUAAUUGUAUUUCCAGAGACCAUCUUAAACAAAGGUUAGAGGCUAAUAGUGAUUACUACUAAAAAAGUGCUAUUUCAUAGCUUAUAAUUAACUCUUUUAAAAACUUUUGAGUAGUAGUUAUUGCCUUUUAACCCAAUUAACAUAUUAAGGACCUUUGCAAGCACUUCUAAUCAAUUUGUGUUAAGUUUUGGGGUUUUGAUAGCUUUUUAAUCACCAAAGCAAUAUGAGAUUGAGGAGAGUUAUUUGGAAUCCAUGGAAAAACAAUGGAAAGCUCAGAAACAUGAAGAACCAAAGCUUUGAAGUCCUUUGCCAUAAGUAAAUCUGGAAUGCAAGGAGGGGAAGCAAAGAGAAAUCUGCCAUGAAGCAUUCUUGAUGUUAGUCAUGUCAGCCACUUUUGGAGUACUUCCUGGAGUUCAAUUUAUGCAUUCUAUAUGUCGUUUCGAAGCUCAGGAAGUCAACAAUCCAAUGCUUUAAAUGGUGUGUGAUUCGGAGUUGAAAUGAAGGAGUUACAGCCAUUGGAAGCCAAUCACUCCAAGCUGAAGGAAGAACUUUGCACGGCUGCGAAAUCACCCUUUUGUUGCGAAAUGAUUUCGCAGCCAUUUUGCACAGUGCUGUGGAAUUCCUCCUGAAGUUUCCCGAUAUUUGUGACACGUUGGAAGCCAAACACCGCAAGCUGAAAGCCAACUUCGCAGCGCUACGAAAUCAGCCUUUUGCUGCGAAGUGAUUUUGCAACCCUUUUUGUGCAUCUGCGAAAUCUCGCAGACCUCGUUUUCACCUGCGAAAUUGUCCUUAGUGCUUCCCGAUAUUUUUGUACCAACUUUUUUAGAUCUUUUCUUCAGAUAUUUUUGUAUAAAUUUCCAUUCUUCUCCUUGUAAUCCACCAACCAUAAGAUUUCUUAGUUAGGAAGGUUGGAAAAACGUCGCUAUAUAUAUUCCUUUGCAUCCACUGUAAAAUAUAUAGAUAUAUAAAUAUAUAGAAUAUAUAGAGCCUUGCUCUGUUUUUUCCUUCUCUUUCAUUUUUAUUUUCUUGCUAACCAAACUCUGAGGAUUUUUCCUCAGAGGAUGAGAGGCUAGGCUUUUCGUCUCUUGGAGUGAAGAAAGUCGGGUAAGUUUCCACAUGCAUAAUUUGGAAGUUUUGUUGUUUUAGUUUUUAAUGAAGAGAAAGUGUGACCCAUUAAUGGUUUUUAUCUUUUUAGUUAACUUAAAACGCCUUUAAAUCACCUGGGCCAACACUUGGUAAGGCAAGUGAUCUCCGUCCAUGGAGAUGCACUAGUUUAUCUCUUGCGAGCUUUUGGUAGGUGGUUUGAAGGUAGGAUUUUCUAGAAUAGCCAACACUUGGUAAGCUUUUGGACUCCAAGGAGACAUCCAUUAGUUAUCUCUUGCGAGCUUUUGACGGGUAAUCCAAGGUUAAAGAUCGCCUUGAAUGGCAAAUGCUAGGUGAGAAGCACGAGCCAUUGCAAGAUGCAUCAGUGAGAGGGAUUUAGUGUUUGAACCCAUUAAUGGGAAGCAUCUGUACAACACCGGUUAGAGAAUUAACUAUAUGUUAAUUCUCUAAUGCGAGGAAAAGAAACAAGUGACCGGAACUCCCUUUUUGUAUGAGGAAUCUGAGCCUAGUGAUCUGAAACUCCAAGAAACACUUUUCUUUGUAAGUAAAAUCAGUUACUAUUUGUGGUUAGUUUAAAACCAAACCUUUUCCAACUCAAGUUUAUGUUUUCUUUUAAAGCUAACCUUGAAAUGAAAAGGCACCAAUUCAACUUUGAAUUAAUAUCAUUUGUGAAGUGAAAACCCAUCCCAGUGAACGAUCCUAGAGCCACUAUGCUAUAGUAGCUUUGUCUUUGCUACCCUAGUUCAUGGUGUAAUAGGUUAUAAAUUUUGUUGAUUACUUCCUCAAUCAAUAAGCACCAGCUGGACAUGAAUCAGCUGAUACACCAAGUGGGCACGAAUCAAAUGGCGCCGUUGCCGGGGAUGGUGCCACUUUACAGUGAUAUCACCUUUUCAGAAUACUUGUGAUCUUCAUCACAAGUUUGGUGACUUUUCUUUUCCUUUUACUAACUCUUUUUAUUUCUUUAUUGUUCAUAUUUUAGUAUACCUUUUAUUUAGUUUUUAGUUUACCUUAAUUUUUUUUUCUUUGAAUUGUUUUUUCUUUUGUUUUCUUUUGUUUUCUCUGUUUUUAAUUCACAAAUUGCUAGUUGUGCAUGCCAUAUUGAAUAAGAGAUAGUAGAGGAAGCCAUGAACUUCAUGAGUUAUGUGGUUGAAGUCUCAAGAGGAUGGGAUGAACCAAAUGCUCGAGAUAUGGGAAGAAUGACGUCUCAACCUAAUGCUAAGGAUGAGAUGUAUAUUUUGAAUGACGGCAUAGACAUGAAGGUAAAGAUUGCAGCUAUGGAAAGGAGAUUGGAAGAGCUAGAAAUGAAGAAGAUGCAAGAAGUGCAAACCAUCUCUCAGACACCAUUGCAAGCUAUGCCUUGUGUCAUUUGUCUAUCUUAUGAGCACUUGGUGGAUGAGUGUCCUACCAUUUCAGCCGUGAGGGAAAUGUUUGGUGAUUGCAACACCUACAAUUCCAAUUGGAGGAACCAUCCAAAUUUCUCUUGGAAACCACAGCCACCUCAGUACGAGCAACCUGCUCAAGCACCAGAGCAAGCCUCAAACCUUGAACAAGCUAUGAUGAAUCUUAACAAGGUCAUGGAAGACUUUGUUGAAGCUAAAAAAUCCAUCAAUGCUCAGUUCAGUCAAAGAAUUGACAGUGUAGAGAGUUCAUUGAACAAAAAGAUGGAUGAAGUGCAAAAUGAUCUAUCUCAGAAGAUAGAUAAUCUCCAAGAUUCAAUCUCAAGGUUUGCCAACCUCAACACAGUGCAAGAGAAAGAAAACUCUCCUUCUCAACCUUAUCAAAAUUCCAUGAGUAUCCAUGAAAUGGAGGCUAAGGAGGGAGAACCUUCACAAAAGAGGGAAGUCAAAGAAGUGAUCACUCUGAGGAGUGGUAAAGAGGUUGAUCUGCCCACAUGCAAGCUAGAGCAUAAGGUAGAGAGUGAAACAGAGAAAGAAAAUAGGGAUGAAAUCAAAGGAAAGAAAAAGGGGAAAAUCAUAGAGAAAGAUGACUAUAUAAAUGAAGAACCACAGAGGAUAGUCAUCAAGGAAGAAUUGAUGAAGAAACACAUGCCUCCACCUUUCCCCCAAGGGAAAAUCAUACAAAGCAAGCCCCAAGUGAGAGAUGCAAACUUCAUAUGGGAUCCGGGCAAGCUAAAUCAGGAGCAAAUUUUAUGAUGGACUUAGUCUUUUUAAAGACUAGCUAGUCCAUAUCUUUUUGUUUUACUUAUUACUUGUUUUAAUUUUUAUUUCAAUGCUUUAAUUUUGAUUUCAAUGCUUUAAUUUUGAUUUCAAUGUCUUAAUUCUAAUUUGUUUUGAUGUAAUUUAGUCUUUUUGAAUGAUCUCAGGUAGAAGAAAAUGCAAAGAAAUUGAAAGGAAGUCUUUCAGAGCGAGAAAAAUGCAAAAACAAGGCAAAAAUAAGGGAAAAACAGGGGUCUGCGAGAUUUCGCAGCCUCUACGAAAUCGGCACUUCGCUGCGAAACCAAUUCGUAGCCUCAGGCCCCUCUCUGCGAAAAUUUUCGCAGUUGCGAAACCAAGUUUGGCACACGAGUGCCACUUCGCAGCACAGGAGCCCCCAUUUCGCAGCUGCGAAACGGCUGCGAAGCUCCAAAACGUGAAAAAUCCCAAUUUUACAGCCAAAGCUCCAUUUCGCAGGGUAUUUCGCAGCUGCGAAACCAACUUUUGGCACACGAGUGCCAUUUCGCAGCACAGUGAACCUCAUUUUGCAGCUGCGCAAUGGUUGCGAAAUCCAAAAAAAAAAAAGAAAAAAAAAAUCGCAGCCAAAGCCCUAUUUCGCAGGGUGUUUCGCAGCUGCGAAACCAACUUUUGGCACACAAGUGCCAUUUCACAGCAUAAUGACCCUCAUUUCGCAGUUGCGAAAUGCCAAAGCGUAAAAACUCCCAAUUUUCGCAACCAAAGCCCCAUUCCACAGGGAGUUUCUCAACUGCGAAACCACUUUUUGGCACACGCGUACCAUUUUGAAGCCCCAUACACUCAUUUCGCAGUUGCGAAAUCAUCUUUAGGUUGCAAAAUGGUCUGCGAAAAUGCCACUUUGUUGCGAAAUGAUCUCCAAGCUUUGAAAUGGCUGCGAAAUGACCUCCAAGCUUAGAAAUAGCCUUCAAAUUGCGAAAUUGACUUACGAAAUGGAGGGAGGUUUGAAAAAACACCUUGCAAAGCCAAGGGAAGUUGCUAAAAUGCCAUCAGAGCCCCGCGACCAUGCAUUUGAAGAGGAGAGCCCCGCGUACCCUGGGAUCACACACACUAAGCCUCUCACUCCAUUUCUAACCUCCUAAAACCAUCAGAGCCCAUAGCUCCAGCUGAGAGCUCCAGCUAAGGAGACUAUGCCACCUAAGGAGACUAUCAGAACAGAGGCCAAAGUCCUGAUCCAACCCAUUCAAGAGGCCACCACAGAUGCAUCAGCUCCACAAGACCUUACCAUUACUUGAUCAUCUCUUUACUUUUUGUCUUUACAUAUUAUAUUAGUAUAGAUAAUUCCAUAUUUUGAUGUCUUAUAUUCUGGGAUUGGAUGUAUUACUGAUGAUGCAUCAUAUAUAGACAUCAAUUUUUGUUUAAACUUAGCAUUUUUCUAUUUCCUCUACUCACUAACUCUUAUGUUUUAUUUGAAACAUGUGGUUUCUCCUAUACGACUUAGACUCCAUGCCACUCAGGAGGUACCACUUCCUCCCUAUUUUUCAAUCGUUUUUGUCACAUUAAGGACAAUGUUUAGCUUGGUUGGGGGGAGAGUUAAGGAAAUAAGUAUUGUUAAUAAUGCUAAGUUAUUUUGGUAAUUUAGUUGCUUUUUGCUUAAUUUAAAAUUUUUUAAAGUUUUUAUUCUACUCUCCAUGGUUAUUAAGGAAAAAUUUUCAAAAUGAAAAGGGAGAAAUUGAAUUUUUGUCUUUUUACUUGACUUAGAUUUUGUAUUAUGCUUACUAAAGUUGAUGAAUUGUUGAAACUUCUUUUGAAUUCAACCUUAGUUCUUCCACUUUAAGCUAUCCACACAUUGUGCACAAUAGAUUCUGAUUAUAAGAUGAGAAACUAUUUCCCUCUUGACUUAGGAAAAUUUUGGGACUUGGUACCUUUGACCUCAUUUAAUAAUAUGAGACACCUUAUGAAAGGCCAAUGAGCCUUUAGGAAAAGAAAAAAGAGAAAGAAAGCAAAAUGUUUGCUUGCCUUGAAACCCGAGCAAGGUCUGAGGGGUAUAUGGUGAAAAUCUUUAAAACCUGGUGCCCUAAGCCUUAAUUGGUUGGGAGUCACCGACCUCAAUGCUCGUUACAAGGGUGGAUAGGUGGAGUUAGCAUAUGGUAGGUGCUUGGUUAUUAAAAAUUCAUUCUCAAAAGUCCGGGGUGAAAUCCUAGGAGUUAGUGGUUGAAAAAUCCUUAAAGCUUGAUGCCCUAAACCUUAAUUGGUUGGGAGUCAUCGAUGGACCCCCGUUACAUGGACAAUUCAAAAAAGAAUACCCCUUAAGCCUUGUACCUUUUCAAAAAAAAAAAAAAAAGUGUGUUCUCUGCCUAUUGAAUUUGGUCAGUUUGCUAAGUGUUGAAAAGAGAUAGGUUGGGGGGAGAGAUUAGUUUAACAUGCUAUAUUCGGAAGCUAUCAGCUUACACUUAGAUUUUUGUGGAAGAAUAAACUUUGGCUCUUUGGAAGUGAAAAUGAUUUUAAAACUUCAAUUUGCAUAAUGCAUUCCCUUGAUCAAUAGUGUUUAGCAAAGUUUUUGAUAACUCUUGUUGAAUUUGAGUUUAUAUUUCUUCAAUGUUCCAUGUGGGAGUUAGAUCAUCAUGCCACUUAAAAUUUUUUGAAGUAAUCAGCAUGAUGUUGUAAAUUAUAGUAAUGCUUAUCUUUAUUUUUAUUUUUCUCUCCUUCAUUGCUAAGGGACUAGCAAUAUGUCGGUUGGGGGAGUGAUUACUACUCAAAAAGUGCUAUUUCAUAGCUUGUAAUUAACUCUUUUAAACACUUUUUAGUAGUAGUUAUUGCCUUUUAACCCAAUUAACAUAUUAAGGACCUUUGCAAGCACUUCUAAUCAAUUUGUGUUAAGUUUUGGUGUUUGAUAGCUUUUUAAUCACCAAAGCAAUAUGAGAUCGAGGAGAGUUAUUUGGAAUCCAUGGAAAGCAAUGGAAAGCUCGGAAACAUGAAUAACCAAAGCUUUGAAGUCCUUUUCCAUAAGCAAAUCCGGAAUGCAAGGAGGGGAAGCAAAGAGAAAUCUGCCAUGAAGCAUUCUUGAUAUCAGUCAUGUCAGCCACUUUUGGAGCACUUACUAGAGUUCAAUUUAUGCAUGCUAUAUUUCGUUUCGAAGAUCAGGAAGUCAACAAUCCAAUGCUUCAAACGGUGUGUGAUUCGGAGUUGAAAUGAAGGAGUUACAGCCAUUGGAAACCAAUCAUUCCAAGUUGAAGGAAGAAUUUUGCACAGCUGCGAAAUCACCCUUUUGCUGUGAAAUGAUUUCGCAGCCAUUUUGCACAGUGCUGUGGAAUUCCUCCUGAAGUUUCCCAAUAUUUGUGACACGUUGGAAGCCGAACACUGCAAGCUGAAAGCCAACUUCGCAGCGCUGCGAAAUCAGCCUUUUGCUGCGAAGUGAUUUCGCAGCCCUUUUUGUGCAUUUGCGAAAUCUCGCAGACCUCGUUUUCACCUGCGAAAUGGUCCUUAGUGCUUCCCGAUAUUUGUGCACCGACUCUUUUAGAUCUUUUCUUCAGAUAUUUUUGUAUAAAUUUCCAUUCUUCUCCUUGUAAUCCACCAACCAUAAGAUUUCUUAGUUAGGAAGGUUGGAAAAACGUCGCUAUAUAUAUUCCCUUGCAUCCACUGUAAAAUAUAUAGAUAUAUAAAUAUAUAGAAUAUACAGAGCCUUGCUCUAUUUUUUCCUUCUCUUUCAUUUUCAUUUUCUUGCUAACCAAACUCUGAGGAUUUUUCCUCAGAGGAUGAGAGGCUAGGCUUUUCGUCUCUUGGAGUGAAGAAAGCCGGGUAAGUUUCCACAUGCAUAAUUUGGAAGUUUUGUUGUUUUAGUUUUUAAUGAAGAAAAAGUGUGACCCAUUAAUGGUUUUUAUCUUUUUAGUUAACUUAAAAUGCCUUUAAAUCACUUGGGCCAACACUUGGUAAGGCAAGUGAUCACCGUUCAUGGAGAUGUACUAGUUUAUCUCUUGCGAGCUUUUGGUAGGUGGUUUGAAGGUAGGAUUUUCUAGAAUAGCCAACACUUGGUAAGCUUUUGGACUCCAAGGAGACAUCCAUUAGUUAUCUCUUGCGAGCUUUUGACGGGUAAUCCAAGGUUAAAGAUCACCUUGAAUGGCAAAUGCUAGGUGAGAGGCACGAGCCAUUGCAAGAUUCAUCAGUGAGAGGGAUUUAGUGUUUGAACCCAUUAAUGGGAAGCAUCUGUACAACACCGGUUAGAGAAUUAACUAUAUGUUAAUUCUCUAAUGCGAGGAAAAGAAACAAGUGACCCGAACUCCCUUUUUGUAUGAGGAAUCUGAGCCUAGUGAUCUGAAACUCCAAGAAACACUUUUCUUUGUAAGUAAAAUCAGUUACUAUUUGUGGUUAAUUUAAAACCAAACCUUUUCCAACUCAAGUUUAUGUUUUCUUUUAAAGCUAACCUUGAAAUGAAAAGGCACCAAUUCAACUUUGAAUUAAUAUCAUUUGUGAAGUGAAAACCCAUCCCAGUGAACGAUCCUAGAGCCACUAUGCUAUAGUAGCUUUGUCUUUGCUACCCUAGUUCAUGGUAUAAUAGGUUAUAAAUUUUGUUGAUUACUUCCUCAAUCAAGGAGCACCAGCUGGACAUAAAUCAGCUGAUACACCAAGUGGGCAUGAAUCAAAUAGCAAAAUCUCUAAAGCCUACAUAGUCAACAAUUGAAAAAGGGUACUCAUGCAAUAUAAUUGCAUGGACAAGAUUCUUUCUUGGGAUAUCUUAAUCAAAUGUAAAACCACCAAUUUGCACUUUUUCAUAACCUUUUCUCUCUACUGCUACAAUUGUUGCUUAAUAUCAACAUUUCUCCAUUUCAUGCACCUAUUCAUAUGUAUAUGCAAAUGUUUAGUCACAUUAUUAGUAUCAGCCUUGAGCUUUGAUUUAUAAUGCUUACAAAUAGCAUAAUCUUAUCCAUUUACUAUGACUUUCUCAAAAUCAUUCCAAACAAUCGAUGUUAGCUUUCUUUUUCUAGUUUUCUUUGUUCCAUGAAUAGUUGAAGUCCUACCUGUAGUUGGAUUAGAACCCUUACUUGGUAUGAAAAAAAUUUCCCUUUGCUUGAUGUCAUUUUGUUGAACCCUUAGAAUAUUUUGAAAUAGUUUAACAACACUUUAAUCAUGAUAAAAUUCUAUUUGCUAAAUGCUUAAAAUUUAAGUACAAAAAUAAGGUUAUGUUUCUUUGACAACAUUUCUUCAUGGGCCUUAGAAAAAUAUUUCAAUAUGUAAACUUAUUUUUAUCAUUUAUUAUUUUUAGGAGAUAUGUCAUUUGAUGCCUAUGACAAAACUUUAGUUCUAGUACUAUGAGAAAAGGGAAAAAUAAAAAGAGAAAUAAAAUUACUAUAGCCUAAUUUCUAGUAUUAAAGUGCUAGCCUACCAAAGAAACCUUGUAACUUUUUCAACUAAAUGGAUAGAAAGUUGAGGAAGUAAGUAACCAAAAAUUUUGUAGAACCUAGAACCAAGAUGUGAUAUUUCUAUGUUAAUAGAUCUUUUUAAAAAAAUUGAUAGCUUCUUAUAAUCUCUUAUUUUAGUUUUCAAACAUCUCAAUUGAAAAUCAUAUGAUGAUUAAUAAGAAUAAGUUAGAUCUUUUUUAGGUUUUUUUUCUUUUUUUUUUCUCCUAUAAAUGGUUAUUUGCAUGACUCAUUUAAGACUUAAAGAAUGAUGUUAUUGUUGGAAACCCUAGAUUACUCCAUUCCCAUGCCCUGGAUCUUGUAUGGUGUAUGUAUCUAUCCCUAAGGAUCUCUAGGUCCAACACAAUAGAAAUAAAUGACUUCAAAAACCAUAAAAUAAUAAAAAUCUAGAGAUUAAAACUUACACCUAUGAUCUAAAUGUUCCCAGAUCAAAAUCCAUCCGAUGAAGAACAUGCUUGAAUAGUCUGGAGGUCUCAUUCACUCAAGAUCUUUUUCUCGAUGACUCAAACCAUGAUCUUGGCACUACAAAGUGUGGGCUUUGGAAGGAGGAAGCUUUGGCUCUAUUUGUAUGUGUGUGUGUGUGUUUGUGUGUGGAUAUAGAAGACAAUAAUCAAAAGGCCAUUAGGAAACCCUAACCCUAUAAAGAGAUAUUGAUUACUACCCAAAAAGUGCUAUUUUACACCUUUAAUUCAUUAUGUUUUAAGCACUUUUGUGUAGUAGUUCUCCAUCUUUAGUCCAAUUGGCAUGUUAAGGACCUAGCAAUGACUUCUAAUCAUAUUUGUGGCUAGUUUUAGUGUUUUGACAACCUUUUGGAUCAUUAAGACAAGCCAAGUAAAGGAGAGAAGCAAAGAGGACAGCAGCUGCAGUCUUCUUUCGCACUUUUGGAGCACUUAACGAAGUCCAUUUUAUACAUGCUAUAUACCAUUUCAAAGCUCAGGAAGUCAAGAAUCCAACGCUUCAAACCUUGUACGAUUUGGAGCUGAAAUGAGGAAGAUAUGGCCUUCGGAAGACAACUGCUCCAGGCUUGUGCGAAAUUUUCGCACAACACCUUCAAAAUUCGCACAACCCAUGCGUGGUGCGAAUUUUCCUCUGUUUUUUCCGACUCCACUUUAGAUAUUUUCUUAUGUAUUUUUUGAUGUAAUUUCCUUUCUUAUCCUUGUAACUAACCAAUCACAAGCUUUUGCUUUUGUAAAGACUAUAUAAGGGGUGGAAAUCACCUCUUAGAAGAUAUAAUAUAUGUUACGUUUUACACUUAGAAAAUAUACAGAGCUCUCUCAUUUCUCUUUGCUCUUUACUAUUUUAUUUUUCUUGGAAGCCAAACAACCUCUGAGGAUGUUUUCCAGGAGGAUGAUUGGCUAAAACUUUUAGUUUCUCAAAGUAUGGAUGUUAUGUGAUGGCUUGGAUGCAAUCCCAUGGAAAUUUCUCGCACCUGGAAGGUAAGGUAGUCGUUUUUCAUUAAAGGUUCAUUAAUGCAAAGUUUGGUUUUUAUUUCCUUUGGACAACUUCCAACGGCCAAUACUUGAUAAGCUUUUGGAUUUCUAUCCAUUAGUUAUCUCCUACGAGCUAUUGGAAGGUGAGGUUUUCAAUUCCAAGUUUUGCAUUAAUCCAUUAGAACCAAUUUCAAUGGCCAUUGAAAGGUGAGUUUAUCACUUGGAAUGACUUUGAGUUGCCAAUAUUUGGUAAGCUUUUGGCUUUAGACCAUUAGUUAUCUCUUACGAGCCAUUCAAAGGAAGUCUAAGGUGAAUAACCAUUGAUGAAAUUCACUACCAUCUGUUUUGCCAUUUUAAAGGAUUAAAACUUGAUUUGCUAAAUCCAUACCGGUUCGGGAAGCAAGCAUCACCAUAGUUGCAACCCCAACGCGAGGAGCCUAUCCUGAGAUUUCCAAUUUGCAUAAGAGCCAGAGCAUAGCUAUCCUAUCUUUGAGAAACUUGUUUUUACACCCUUUCAUUUUAGUCUUUAAUGUUAGCUUAGAUUAGUUUAAAUCUUUCUAAAACAUUUACAUCUUGUUUUAAAGCUAACAUCCAUAAGAAAAUCACCUAUUUUCCUAAUUUGAAUAUCACUAGUGUUUGUGAAAACCCUUCCCAGUGAACGAUCCUAGAACCACUAUGCUAUAGUAGCUUGGCUGCUUUAGUAAUAGUAUUUAAGGUAUAAAUUUUGUUGAUACGCCUUUAAAGCUAAGCUACCAUGAGUCGAAUAAGAUAUUUAUAGGGUUCCCCUACUAGGCUUAAGUGACUUAAGCCUACAUAAGCUUGGGUCAUUUAAUCUAGCCCAAAACAAGUCCUAAUUAAUUAAUUAAUGAACAACAUAGAACUAUCUAAUUAAUUAGCAUAAUCCAGAUAACUUGUUCACUAUCCCCUAUGCAAAUUUGCAUAGUUAUUAAAAUCCCCUUAUAUGCAAGAGUGAACUAAGAGCCUAUCCAAUCAUAAACUAUGUCAUCAUGGUAUAUGAGCUUAAAGCGGGGACCAUUAGGACCCAUAAGAGUAAUGACUCCCUCAAAAUCCAAUUUUGAACUUGAUUCAACAUCCCACCAUAUAGAAUCAAUUGCACUCCAAUAUCCUAUCUAAAUAAUAUAAUAAGGCAACAUUAUCACCUAUCAAGAUUACCUCUCCAAUCCUUGAGUUAUAAAUCCUGCUUAUUAUGUGAUCAACUCACAUACUUUAGCUCUCAGGAGUAUAUGUCAAAUUCCACUAAAGCAAUUACUAUGACCACAUAUUUCAUGAUCACAUGUCCUUUUGAUCACCUAAGGGGACACACUAUCUCAAUCCCAUGAGAUGUCAUGGUGUCUCCAUUGAGAAUACCUAUUGUCACCAACCUUCAUUUAAUAGUGACCCAAUCCAUGAGGAUAUAUGACCACUUUAGGAUCUUACUCAUAGGUCAAAGCCUCUUGUUGAUUUCAGUGUAGACUAUAUAUCCUCUCAAGAUUAAGAGUCCAUGCAAUAUAAUAACUUGGUGAAUCAUGACUACUAAUAGUCUUACAUUAUGAUUCACCCUAGGUCAUGUUCAGUGUUCAUCACAUACACUACUAAACUCACCAUGGGAAACUCAUUCCAAUGGCCAAGACAAGUCAUCCCUCCAAUUAGGGGGUUGUGCACUAUAGUCUCUAUUAGUACCCAAAUCCAUCAAUGAACCAUGGACAACUUAUCUACUUACAAGGAACCCAUGACUUGUAUCCUUGGUGCAACUCUAAUGCACCCAAGUCAUGUACAAUGUAAGAGAUUUGACUGAAUGCUUAAAUUAAUGUCAAUGUGUAAAAGGGAUAGCAAGGGGAUAGUGAAGUUUAACUUUGUUACAUCAUGUCUUGCUUUUAGGGGCUUAAUCCUAAUAGUUAUUGUACCUAAACACAAAUUUGAAAUUAAUAUUUUAAUAUGAUAGUAAAUUUUGUUCAUAUUUAUAGUUCAUUUUGUUAAGUUUCUUUUUUGGGCAACUCAUAAAAUUUAGCCAAAUAAGUUGAAAAUUAUUGGACUAUAGUAACAGAAAUACUUUAUUUACAAAGAGAUUUUCAAUAUCCAUUCAGCACUCAAAAUCACUAUUUUUUUUUUUGUUUAUUGUUGUUUAAGUUUUAGAGAAAUAAAAUUAAGAAAAUGAGUCAUAUGGGGGAAGCUUUGAUAGUGGCAACAAAGGGUCAAACUAACAGGCCAACUAACUAGUUACAUUCAACAAAUCUACUCUCUCUUGGGAAACCUCAAAUCCCCUCAAAAUAUGAAUAAAUAAACACACCACGAACAAUAUGCAAAGUAGAUAAAAUGCACAUAAGAAACAAAUAUACAUGUAAACAACCCCCUCCCCUCCCCCUUCCUCUCCCACCUAAAAAAAAAACCUUAAACCCAUCAACUAAAACCACAAAUAUGAAAACUAAGUCAAAAUUUAGAGUUUUCUUAUCUGGAAAGGAGAAAUCUACACGAACCUUAAAAAUUUGUUGUCUAUAAUCUACUUUUAGAGCAAGAAGUGUGAUUUUAGGGCAAAAGAAAUGAGAGAUAGAAGUCUUCUUACAAGUAGUCAAAGGAACCCUGAAAAUAUAGGAAGAAGCAAUUAUUUAUAAGAAGAUUUUUGGUAUUUUAUGAUAUUAUAAGGGUGAAUUGGUAAUUAUACAUUUAAGACGGGUUACUAAUGAAUCCAUAUUUGCCCUAAACCAGAUUCGGGUUUAGAAAAACUCCCUAAAACAAUUCCAUACUUGAUUAGCAUAUUCUCAUGCCCGUCCUAAUAAAAGCGAGGCGGAGUGGGUUACCUAAUUAACUCGUGAAACUAUAAUCCCUACACUCGUCAAGUUCAAAAUACUACAAAUAUAAAAAUAAAUAGGGAAAAUUAUAUGGACGUCUCAUAAGGUAUAUGAUAACUAUACUUUAAUUCCCCAAGUUUCUAAAACUACACUAAUACCCUCUUUUAAGAAAUCCAACUUUCUUUCAUUUUCUUAAUGGCCAAACAUGUCUUGAAAAAUAAAUUCCUAAAACAUGACUAUAUCUUAUUUUGGUCAAAGGAAGAAUGAUCUAAAUUGAAAAAUCCAUGUUAUAAUAAGAACUAGAAGCCAAAGAGAAGGAAAUUUUUUUAAAUUGAUUGAUUGAUAAUUUUGAGAUAAUUUUAUCUUUUAGUUGUUUUAAGUAAGGAAUAUAGUAUAAUCUUUGUCAAUUCAUCAAAUGCAAAAUGUUAAAUUUUGUGAGGUUGUGUAGUUGUACUAUAGGAUCUAUUACAAGGUAAUUGAAAAUGACCUAAGUUAAGUUUAGAUGAUUGAUCAAUGCAAUUAAGAUUGCUAAUUAGACAACAAAAUUGAUCUAAAUUUAAAACUAAAUCAUAUAUAAGUUUAGACAAGAUUUUAUGGUCUUUAACUUAAUUUGAUAAAGUAGGUCCUUAUGAAAUUUUCACCAUAGAUAAUAAUCUCUAGUGAAUUUCAAAUCUAAGAGUUAUUUUAUUUGGUAAACUUUAUUAUAAUUUUGGACCGUUUUACACCUUGAUUUAAAUAUAUUAUUCUUUAUUCUCAUCUAUGAUUUUUCACAUCUUCAUUUCAAUUCAAUCACAAAAUACAUUUACCAUCCAUUAGAGGACACUUAAAUCUACUAUAUGCUUAUAGCCUUUCAUAUUGAAAAUUCUUUUGAUCGAACAACUUGUUAUAUUAGAAACAAUGUUCUUAGUCCACCCUUGCAAUUGAAAUGACAUAUCUAUGGUGUGAAAUAACUAAUUUUGGAAGCGAAGUAUGUAAUUGUUGGAAAAUGAAUUAUAUUGAUUUUAUGAACAUAAUAUUUAUUCGUAGUUUCUACAACUUAUAUUUCUAACUUAUUCAUUUCCUUAUUAUAUUAAAUAAAAUAUAACAUAAAUAAAUGUUAAUUUUCAAAUUGUAGCUAUAUGAUCAUGCACAUGAAAUAAAUAUUUUUAAAAUUUAUUUUCCUUAAGACAAAAUUUUAUUUCACUAAUUUAUUUUAUUAAUUUAGUAUAUAUAUACAUUAUCUAUUCAUCAUGGUAAAUAAUUUUUUAUAUAAAUAAUUGAUUUUAAGAAACCAUUUUUAUGUGUAUUAGUUAUGAUAUAUAUUUUUUAAAAUUUGUUUUUUUUAAUUAACACAUUAUUUUAUUUUGCUUUUUUUCUUCUUUAACAAAGUCGUUAGUGGUAAUGAUAAACUAAUACUUUUAUCUAAUCUUCAUUAAAAAUAAAUUUUUUAGUAAAAAAAUUUAUAUGAAUACAUUUUUAGUAAAUAAAUCUUUUAUGAAUGAUAAUAUUAUGAAAUAAAUAUUUAUUUUAAAUAUUUUUUCUUGAACUAAUCAAAUCUUAUACAUUUUUAGUGGAGUGAUUUUAAAAAAAGGCCUUGGAAUAUGACAUUCAAUUAUGUCGAAUUUGAAUAUAUUUUCAAAGUAUUCCUAAAACAGAAACAAAAUAACAAAGAAAUAAAAAACAUUAAAAUUGAAAAAGAAAAAAGAAAAGAAAGAAAACAGAUAGAGACGCUCCCUCAUGCAAACAAUUGAAUCCACGUGUAAAAUAUACUGUAGCGUGUGACGACGUGUCCUUUCCUCCCAAAUAUCAACCCCUUUUUAUCUCUACAAUCUCUCUGUUUAUUUCCCUCAGUCGCCAAUCGCCAUGGCCACCGCCACUCCAAACCUUCUCCAACCUCCUAACUUUACAUGCGUCAAAUCCCUAUCCGAAUCUUCUGCUCUCACCUCCAUCCCUUCCACCUACACCUUCACCACUGAUCCCAAUCAACUCCUCGCUUUUGAGCCACAGCACUCCAUCCCCAUCAUCGACUUCUCCUUACUCACUUCUGGUGAUCCUGAUCAACGCUCCAGAGCCAUCCAGGACCUUGACCAAGCCUGUCUGGAAUGGGGCUUCUUCAUGGUAAUCGCCACAUGGAAUUCAAUUGAAUUUUAAUGUUUUGUGUGUGAUAGUAGAUGCAUCAUGUAUGUGUAUUGAUGUUGAUGUGUUGCUAGUUGAUCAAUCACGGUGUGCCGGAGAGUCUGAUGACGGGGAUGAUUGAGGCGUGUAGAGGGUUCUUCGAUCUGACGGAGGAGGAGAAGCGUGAGUUUCAGGGGACCCACGUUUUGUCUCCGAUCAGGUGCGGCACAAGCUUCAAUGCUAGGGUGGACCAGAUUUUGUUCUGGAGGGAUUUUCUGAAGGUCUUCGUGCAUCCACAGUUCCACUCUCCCAGCAAACCAGCGGGCUUCAGGUACCACCACUUUCUCCCACUCUAAUCACAAUUAUCAGUACAUAAUAUUAUUUUAUUCUUAUAGAUUAGAGAAAAUGUCAUAUCAUCUACAUUAAAUUAAUUUUUUUUAAUUAAAAAAAGAGUACAAAAUGGAACCGAUGAUAUCAAUAUCAUGAACGGUAGGUGGAGAGUCCCAGUCUUUGGAUGGAGACAUGGCCAACAAGUGGCGGGCUUAUCAUGGGCAAUACAUUAUUAAAAUGGUUAAAUAUACUUUGCCCACAUUUUAUCCCAUCGGUCAUUUACAUUCCAAAUCCAACACUUUACCCUCUCAAACUUAUUAAAGAGUAACACUUUACCUCUAAUUACUGACUCCAUAAAAUUAUAAAAGAAAGUAUUCUUUUUUGCACUCUAAUUUAAACACUGAUUCAGAUUUUUAAGUAAAAUCGACUUUGAAUUAACAAUUUUAAAGUGAAAUUUCUUGAAAUAACAUCCACCUAAACAUGCAUAUUGUUCAAGAAAUAGUUCAUAUUGGUUAGCAGUUGACACAAAUUUCUUGAGAGGCCAAUCUCUGAACGUUAGUUUUUGACUUUUCCAUUAGAUCUCCAUAAAAUAAAGCAUGUUGUCUAUUUUCUGAUGGUAGGAAGUAGAAGGUGUAUAAAUUUGCCAAAACUAUGUACCCUUAGUCUUUGGUUUUAAAUAAUUUGAGGAAAAAUGGAAGGAAACGUAGAAAGAAUUGAAUAAAAAAUAAAUUUAAAACUAAUAAAUUUAUUUUUAUAUAUUAUUUUAAAAAUAGAUUUAAAAAUUAAAUAAUUUGAAAGUUAAUAAGUUUUUAACUAAUUUUACUUAUUUUUUUAUUUUUUUUUUAUUAUUUUUCAUAAUAAAACACGAUAAAAUCAUUACCACUUUCCCAUAAUCAAACGUAUUCUUACUGUUUAGUAAGAAUAUUUUCAAUUUUUGUGCAUUGAGUGAUGAGAGAAGAUCGGUUGCUAGGACUCACUAAGUGAUUCAUGCUAUUCAUUAAUAAAACCGAAUGUUAAUACUUGCUUAUUUCAUGAAUUUGGGUCCAUCUAGAAUUACAUAGUAGCUACUUACUUUAAUUUUUCAUAAGUUCCAAUCACAUGAGAUAGCAGAAUAGCUAAAAAGUUUUGUUUUGCUUCUUGUUGCUGCCACUGCAGUGAGGUUUGUCUAGAAUAUACCCAAAGAAUGAGAAAAGUGGCUGGAGAAUUACUUAAAGGGAUAUCGAAGAGCUUGGGAUUGGAAGAGUGGUAUAUAGACAAGACCAUGAAUAUGGAUUCGGGUUUACAAAUCCUCACUGUCAACCUCUAUCCACCCUGUCCUCAGCCAGAGUAUGCAAUGGGAAUGCCGCCUCAUUCAGACCACAGCUUCUUGACCAUCCUCAUACAGAAUGGGAUUGGUGGGCUUCAGGUGCAGCACAAAGGACAAUGGUUCGAUGUGAAUCCAAUCCCCAACUCCAUUUUGGUUAACACAGGCGACCAUCUUGAGGUACCUUCCUACCUUGCUUAUUCUGUUGUUCUAUUUAGAGAUUGGUUCUCCUAUUUGGUUUUUUUUGACAAAAAAUAACAUAUUCUUUGGUGUUUUAUUUUUAAAAUCAAUGAUUAUGUUAUUGAAGAAAGAGAAAAAUAAAAAAUAAAAAAGUGCAAGAGGGUAGCUAGCUUUACUCUUCCAUUUUUUUACUUAAGGCUAUAUUUAGUUUGCAGGAUAUAAUAUAGGAUAUGACUUAUUGAUAUUAUAAAUGAUAGGAUAUAUUAUUCAAUUUUAUUUAUUUUUUAUUUUUUUAUCACCUCAUGAAAUAUGAUAAUCUUAAGUUGAAAUACGAGUAAUAAAUAACCAUCUAUUAUAAAUGUGUUUUUCUUAUACAUUUUCUUCAAUUUUUUCUAUUUUAUAUAUUAUACAUUUUGUCAAAAGAGUAAAUUUUAAUUGAAAAAUUAAAUUUGUAGUUUAAAAAAAGAAAUAAAAAUAUGUACAAAAAAUAUAUUAUAAAAUAAUAUAUAUAUAUAUAUAUAUAUAUAUAUAUAUAGAUAUAAUUUUUUAUUUAUAAAUUAUAAAUAUUUUAAUUAUGAAUGUUAUUAAAAAAUAAAAUACUUAUUAAACUAUAAAUUAUAAAACAAUCAAAUAAUAUUAAUUAUUUGGGAGAUUUCCUACUUUUCUAAUAGCAAAUAUUAUGUAAUAUAAUUUUUAUUUUAAAGAAAUAUUAAACAUUAAAAUGUAAGAUGCUUUUAGCUCCAUUAUUUAUUCUUUUUAUAAAUCAAUAUCUCCUAUACUCAAUUGUUUAUAAUGUUUAAGUUUAUAUUAAUAUUUAAAGAUAUUAUAUUCCACUAGAAAUGAUAUCCGAAGUAUAGAUAUCUUAUAUAGUGGGAUAUAAUAUUUUAUGAUAUAAAUGUCUCAUUCAAUUAUAUAAUCAAUCAAAUAUAGUCUUAUUACACAUAUAAAUUACCUUACAAUUAUAAUUAAAUAAUAAUAUUAUAUGUGAGAUAUAAAAAUAAAAUAUUUUAAUACCAUUAAAAUUAAUGAGGAAAGAGAAAAUAAGAUGGUAAAUAUCUCUUUUAGGCCAAUUUUGUUUUGCGAGAUGCAAUAUUCUAUAAGAUAAUUGGAUAGGAUAACUUAUGAAACUUUUUUCGCAAAUUGAAUCGUGGACCUUGAGCACAAAAGAUGAGGUUGUGACUAAUGUGCCUGCUUAUUUCUUAAAAGUUGCAAAUUACAAAAAAUAAGUAAGAUAAUGUCAUAUUUUAAAAAAAAUUAUGAAAUAAUAGGAUAUAUAUCUUUUUUUCUUUUAAUAUAUAAGGAAAUUUCUUCUAUUUCACAUUUAAAUACUAUAUAUAUUCUAUUUAAUACAAUUCAAAAUAUUCAUACAUUUAUAUUUAUCUAUGAUUUAAGUUGAUUACAUCAAAGAUGAAAAAUAAAUAUUAUUUCUUUUAAUAUAUAUUUAAAAUUUUAUAAUUAAUUUAAUUUUAAUAAUAUAUAUAAAUUAUAUAUUUAUGACAUCAUCGAUUUGACCAUAGUUUAACGACUGGUCCGACUAUUGAAUUGUGAAUCGAUAAUGUUUCCGGUGUAAUAAUUGGUCCGGUUCUAAAAACAUUGUAUAGAUAUAUAUUUAUUUCAAAAACCCUUGUUCUUGCAUCUUAACUAAUUUCUUUUAACACAAGUUUUAAAUAUUUUUUUGUUUUCUAUUUAAGAAUCGGAGUGAGCAUCAUUUUUCUUAAUUUUUAUUUCAAUAAAUCCAUUAUUUUUAUGCAAGGUUUUGAGCAAUGGUAAGUACAAGAGUGUUUUGCAUCGAGCGGUGGUGAACAACAAAACCACUAGGAUAUCAUUGGCUCUUUCAAAUGGACCAUUGCUAGACACAGUCGUUGAACCAGUACCAGAGCUAAGUCAUCCAUUGAAAUAUGUUGGAAUGGCAUAUAAAGAAUACUUGGAACUUCAACAAGGAAACAAACUUGAUGGGAAAACCUGCUUGGAUCGAGUCCGAAUCAGAACAAUGUGAACUUCAUCCCCAUGCCUUGCAUUUGAGAAUAUUGGUAAUAACAAUACUCAAAUAAUUUAAAAUGUUCUUAGAACAUGGAUAAUAUGUAAGUGUUAGGAAUUGCUAAGGAACAUUUAUGCUUUUAUUUAUUAAUGUUAUGGUGGAUGUUUUUGUGUGAUUUGAGAGAAUAAUUAAUGAAAUAAUUUCUAUCUUCUAUUUUAUUACCAUAGGCUUGAUAAAGUUCAUGGUUAAAGCACUAAUUU